rnacentral:lncRNA from 1 species
GGCAAAAGCGGAGAUUUAUCGCACCAAACCUCAUCAAUAUACUGAACUAUUAUCAGAGACUCACAAAUGGGCUUUCCAUUGUGGAUCAGAACUGGGAUUUUCUUAUGAACUGGGUUCAUCUCAAGAAGCAAAGGGCUCUUGUUCCACAGGUCCUCCUCUCUAUAUUCAUACUUGAGACCCUUCUCUGCCAGGGCAACUCUGACCCUCAUACCAAACAUGCUAGGCCAGAAAUCCAACAAGAUAAUCUCGUCUGCCAUUGCUACUAAUGUGAUUGAUAAGAUUCAAUCUCUUUAGUAUUGAUGAACAACACAGGGCAAAUUGCUGAGUAUUUAUAGCAAAUUUCAGAGAGUGGGUUAAACCCUUGGAUACUUCUAGGAGGUGGUGAUGCUCAUUCCUUAUCUCAGCUUUCAUUUUCAUUUUCCAUUCUAUCUGGGUUUCGUAUCUCCAGAAUUUGUGAAUUAUGCAAACUUUUGUUAUGGCAUGGUAAAAUAUAGAAGCGUCACGAUAGUUGGUUGCUUCCACGACAUCUCAUUGCUUUGAUCAUUCCACGUCAUCGCUUUCGCCAGCCCUGUCAAUUAAGUACACUGGUCCUCCGCAUAAUUUCCACCACAAAAAUGAUGUUGCAAGGAAAAAAAAUGAUAUUGUAGGGAAAAGAAAAUAGAACUUGUAUACUUUUAGAUCGACAAGUCACUAUUGGUCCCUUCCUUAGUUCUUAGAUUCCUGAAAUUAAAUAAAUAUUUAAACUUUAUGUGUAUUAUAAAUAUUUAAAAUUUCAGUGGUGAUUGUAUUUUUAUCUAAGAUCUAAUUUUUUUUUUAAUUUGAAUAAAUUAAGUAUUGUUAAAUAUUUAAAUUUUUUAUAUUUUAAUUAUUAGUAAAUGUUAAUAAAUAUUAAAUUACUGAUCUUUUACAUUACAAAAAUAUUUAUAAAAUAUAAUAUUUUAUUUCUUGUUAAAUUAGUUUGCAAUCCAGCAUAUUUUUUAAUAUUUAAAUAUCAUAAUUCAUUAACAUAUUAAAAUUUUAUAAUAAAUAAUUAUGUAAUUGAUAAGAAAUUGGUAGUAUGAUAAUAAGUAUAAUUAUGGGGUAUUUGGUAAACUCAAUAAUUAUUAUUUAAUGACUUAAGUUGAUUUUAAGUAAAAUUAUAUUUAAGUUAUUGACUUAAAACUUAUCACUUAAUUUUUACUUUAAAUAUUAAGGUUGUUUAAUAAAAUUAAUUUAAAAUUUAUUCUAAAUCAUCAAAUUGAUAUACUUAACCCCAUAAUUAUAAUGAGGGUAAAUGAGAUCGAGUAACGAUGGAAGUUGUAUAAUAGCAAAAGAAAUCGUGGAACUAAGAUAAAUGAGGGUAAAAAGAUAAAAUGAAAACAUGGAUUUAAGAAUAAAUUAAUUAUUUUUACUUAUUACUUAAAGUUGUUUUUUACUUUUAAGUUAUACCAUUAAAUUAUUUUACCAGCUGUAUUUAAUUUGUUUAAUAACUUGAAUUAAGUUAUUAAGUUGAUUUACCAAAUUCCCACUUAGACUUGUUAGAAACUAUUAGAACUUUUUCUAAGUUAGUAUAUGUUUAGAUUUGAAGAUUUGUGAUUGAAAUAUAUAUUCUUUUUUAAAUUAAUCAUUGAUUUUUGGAAUUUUAUCGGAGUAUCAACUUUUAAUUUAUAUUUUUUAAAAUUAUUAAUUCUAAUAAAUAUUUAGAUGAAUGUGAAUUAUGCUUUAGAAUUUUGAUUAAAAAAAUCUUAUUAGAAUUGAUAACUAUUUUUAUUUUUUAUAAAGCUGAAUUUUAAAAAUUUAUAUUAAAUAUUUUUCUAAUUUAAAUUUUAUGAUUUUUAGUGUAAUUUACUUUUUAAUUUUGAAUGAGUAAUCAAUAAUAAUUUGCGGAAUUCAAUUUUAUUAAGAAUGGGAUAAAUUAUGGGGUAAAAAUAAUGGAAACAUGUGGGGAUUUGAAAUUUUGUAAAUUUAUCUUUUAGCUAUCAAUUUAUGAGAAAAUUUUAAAUCUGAUUUUUCUUUAAAAAAAAUGAAAAAUGAAAAUGAAAAAAAAAAAACAAAAAAAAAAAUCAAAUAUAUUUGAUGCUUUUUGUGAAUGACAACUUUGUUAAUUUCUAAUAAAUUUAUUUCUCACUCAAAUUAUAUAAAAUUAACAUAGUUUAACUAUUUUUUAAAACAAGUUAUCUAUUCUUUUUUAAAGGAAUUUAGUUUAAAUUUUUGUGAAAAUUUGUAUUUAAGCAAGUACUCUUAAUUAAUGAUUAAAAGCUUUUUUAUUUUUUAGUUUUUCCCCAUAAAGAAUUAAAUAUUAUAAUUAAUCCUAGUUUUUUCAAACUCUUAUAAAUAGGAGACUUGGGUCAAUGAAAUGGAUACCUCAAAGUUAUUUUAGAAAUCUGUCUUUUCUCUAAUUCUAGUCUCUCCAAAAGAAAACUUUUUUUUAUCAUCUAAAAGGUAUGUGAUAAACUUCUACUUUUAUAUUAUUUUCUAUUUAAUUUAUCCUUUUUUCGAUGAAGAAACUAGAAAAUAUUUUUUUAUAGACAAAAAUUAUGAAAAAAAAAAAUCGCAACUAGAAGUUAUAAAAAAAAAUGUAAAAUAUGUACAAUUGUAUAGCUAGAGGUUAUAUGAGAAAUUAUAAAGUUAUAAAAAUAUAAAGAACGACUUACAUGUAAUUUCUAAUUUCUUUUAAUCAUAAUGAUAUAACCAAAUGUUACACAAAACAAAAUUGUAUAGUCAAAAGUUAAAUAAUGAAUAUUUCAUAGCCUAAAGAUGUAUACAAAUUUACACAUUUUUGUUAUGAUAAAAAUAAUCCAUAGCCAAAAACUAUGUAAGGUAUCAAUUUGUAAUUUUUAUUUUGUUAAUUCUACAUGAUGUUCAUGCAUUUCUUUUUUACCAUAUUUAUAAUAAUCCUUUAGCGAUAAAAUAUAACAAAAUCUUAAAUCAUUAUGCUUUUAUUAAUGAAUAUAAACCUGAUAAAAUAUUGUUAGAUAAUUUUAUUCAUUUAUUUAUAAUUUAUUUUGGUAAAUUGAAAUAUUAUUCUAAUUAAAUUAUUUCAAAUAUAGUUUUCAAAUAAUGUCAAAUCUUACCAAGUUUGAGUUUGUUACACUCCCUAUUUCAGGCAAAACUAUUUAUAUGGAUUUUAGAUGCUAAAAUUCACCUAAACGAUAUGAAUCUUGAAAAGACCAUUAAAGAAUAAAAUGAGGCAUCCUCACAAGAUCGCACUGGAGCAUUAAUAUUCCUUCAUUAUCACAUUGAUGAAGGAAUAAAAGGUGAAUUCCUUACAAUCAAAGAAUUUUCAUCCUUUGAAAUAAUCUAAUGGAAUGAUACUUUGAUCCUUUGGAAUAAUAUAACAUAAUGAUAUGGCCACCACGAGAUUAUAAUCCUUCCAAAAGCACAUCAUGAUUGGAUGCACUUGAGAUUACAAAAUUUCAAGUCUGUCAAUGACCACAACUCGACUUUAUUCAAAAGUUGUUCACAAUUUAUAUGGAGAAAAAAUCAUUAAAGAAUAUAUCCUUGAAAAGACAUUUACUAUUUUCCAUGCCUCGAAUGUACUCCUAUGGCAACAAUAUCAAGAGCAUAAUUUCACUAAAUAUUUUGAAUUAGUUUAAUGUCUUCUUAUGGCUAAACAAAAUAAUGAACUUCUACUUAAGAAUCAUCAAUCUCAUACUAUUAGGUCUGUGUCAUUACUUGAAGCAAAUGUCACAUCCGUCCAAGCUCCUAGACAUUGAGUUGGACUUGGACAUGAACAAGGCUAAGGACACAGUCAUGGUCAUGGUAAACAUAAUUCUUGGUACCAUGGUAAUUAUAGUCAUUAGAAUAGACAAAACAAUUCAAACCAUUAGAAGUGGAAUAAUUCAAAGGUGCAACCUAAAAAGGAUAUAUAUAUAUAUAUAAUCACAAAACAAACAUGAUAAUAAGAAUGAAUGCUAUAGAUAUGGUAUGAAAAGGAUGUAUGUAGGAUUUAGAAAUGACCUACGAGGAACAGGAAGACCUCAAAUUCAUUAUGAGGCUUCUAUAAUUUAAUAUUUAGACCCAAAUAAGAAUGGAUAGAACCAUGGUCCACCUUAAAAGAAAAGUUUUUUUUUUUUUUUGAAGAAUUUACAUACUUUUCUUAAGAAUGUACGUAUUUUUCUUAAGGAUGUACGUAGACUUUGAAAAUGACAAACGAGGAAUGGGCAGCCUCAAAAUUAUUACAAGGCUUCCAUAAAUUAAUAUUAAAAACCUAAAUAAGGCGAAAUAAGGUCACAAUCUGCUUUUAAAAAAACGCACAUAUUUUGUUUUUUUAAGAAUGUACAUGUUUUCCAUAAAAAUAUAUGUAUCUUUUCUUAAGAAUGUUCUUAAGGUUUAGAAAAGCCUAACAAGGAAAAGAAAGACCUCUAAUUCAUUCUCAGGCUUCCAUAAGUGAAUACCUAGACCUAAAUAAGGUCAAAUAGGAUUAUAGUCUUAAGAUAGAGCUCUUAAGAGCAUAACAUGGUGUAUUAAGUUUGAAAUUCAUUAUUUAUUUAAUGAUGUUCCCAUUUCACUUUUAUCUAUCUUUAUUCCAUGUAUUAUAUUUUAUGAGAAGUCUUGUCAGCAUCUUUUGCAUUGUACAUGACUUAGGUGCAUUAGGAGUUGCACAGAAGAUCUUUAAGCCAUGGGUUCCUUGCAAAUAAUUGACUUGUUCACAACCGGUUUAUGGGUCUAGGCAACCCUUUAGAAGUUGUAGUGCACCACCUCCUAAUUAGAGGGAUGGUUGGUCUUCGUUAUCGGGAUGGGUUUCCCAUGGUGAGUACACUACUAUGUAUGAUUACAUGUUGGACAAGACCUACGAUGAGCCAUGACUUAAGACUAUCAAGUAGUCAUGACCUCACCAAGCUACUUCAUUGUGUUAUCUCUCAACCUUGAGAGAAUAUCGAGAUUGUGUUAAAAUUAGCAAUGACUUUUACCUAUGAGUGAGAUCGUAAGUUGGAUCAUAUAUUCCCUAUGGAUUGGGUCACUGUUGAUGGAAGUCGGUAACAAUAGGUAUUCUCAAUAGACACCAUGAUAUCUCAUGGGAUUGAGACAACGUGUCCCCUUGGGUGAUCCUAAGGGGAUGUGUUCAUGGAAACUAUGGCCAUAAUAGUUCCUUAAGUAGAACUUGACACAGGCUCUUUGAGAGCUAAGACAUGUCAAUUGAAUAUACAAUAGGAGGAUUUGUAACUCAAGGAUAGUAGAGGUAGUCUUGAAAGGUUGAUAGCUUUCACCUUGUUAGGCUAGAACACCAGUUCAUGGGGAGAGUGAACACAAUGGAUACUAGGUCACAGACCCGAGUACAUAGUGUCUCGUUGUUAUUUACAUAGGAUAUUGGAGUUCAAUUGAUUCUUUGUAAUAAGAUGUUGAAUCAACUUCAUAAUUGGAUCCUGAGGGAGUUAGUACUCUUAUGGAUCCUAAUGGUCCCCGCUCUAAGCUUAUAUAUCUUUUUGGCAUAGUUAUGAGUGUCGAAUUGACUCUAGGUUCACUUUUGUGCAUAAGGGCAUUUCGAUAAUUAUGCAAGAUUGCAUAAGGGUAAGUGAACAAAGUCUAUAGAUUGAGCUAAUUAAUUAAUUAGUAGGCCCUAUUAGGUUAAUUAAUCCAUUAGGAUCCAUUUUGGGAUAAAUUAAGUUAUCCAAAUCCAUGUGGGCUCAAGUCACUUAAGCCUAGUUAGGAACCCUAUAAAUACCCCCUAGGGGUUAGAGUCUUCAUCACUUUUGUCUUCCACCAUUUAGACAGAAAGAGAGCAAUAGCCUCUACCUUUCGUUCUUCCCUAUUGAAAGUGUGCCAAGAAUAAAUUUGAGUCAUCAGGCAAAAGACCAUGGGUUUACGAGACUUCCAACAACUUCAAUGUCAUCUUCAACACUUGCAAUUUAAGGUUUGAAACAUCCAAACCUAAAGGUUAGCACUUUAACCAUAAAGAUCAAUUUAAAAAAAUAAAUAAAUAAAUUGGUAUUGUUUCCGUUCCUUAGAUCUACGAUGCCAACACACAGUUCGCUUGAAAAAAAUGCAAGUAUUUUCUUCAAAAUAUAUAUAUUUGUUCAGAAUGUAUGUAUUUUUGUAAAAGAUGUACCUUAGGUAGGGUUCCACCAUGCCAAAUGAGGUUUGGGAAGCUUUCAAAUACAUUUCGUAGAGUACAUAAGUCAAAUCUUAGACCCAAAUGAGUGUGAAUCUGUCAUGUUAAGUUGAAAUCAAAUGUACAUAUCUUUCUUAAGGUGUUAUAUUUUUCUAAAAAAUGAACUUAUGAGUGUUUAGCUAGGUUGGCAAUUCCGGAAAAAAUUUCUAAGUGUCCCCUAACUUGGUUUACCAAUCCCUCUUCGGACUACAUGACCUUUGAAGAUUAAGACUUUGCUAAAAGGUCGAGGUAUGUAGCCAAGUCUGUAGUGAUUAAAUGUGAGCCAACCCUAUUUUUUCAUCUUUAAAUGAGUAAAGAAAGCUGAGAGAAAUAUUGUUGGUGCAAGGCUUUUGUUCCCCUGUUUCUAGAUCGAUCCAGGUAUAGGGGCAAAUCAAUCCAACUAACCUAUUUUUAAGAUCAAUUUUCAACCUUUGGAUUAAGGUUUCACUCUCAUUUAAAAUCAAAUCUCCCCCAUUUCUGGAAAUGGUGACUGUAGUAUCCGUAAGAGAUUUUUUUUCUUUCCUCACCAUUUAGAAGGUGUUUACCUAUGAAGAAAAUCCAUCCAAGUUUUCCAAGAAUUUUUUUUAAAAAAAUGGAUUUUCUGAAAAUGAACAAGGGUUGAUUUCUAAAACAUUCAUAUUUCAUUCUCUUGGUUUUGUGCAAAAACCCAUUUUCUUCUUGUAUGAAUUCAAGAAGAAAUCGAGCUUAGUGCAAACUCCAAGUGUGUCCCGAAAGAAGAAGCUAAGAAGCUGAAAAUGAAGGUACUAGUCAAGUGGUUUGGGAAAGAUUGGUUGGCUUGAGCAAGGUAAAACCUUGUAUUCAGAUUUUAUUUUUCAUAGUGGAUGUUUUCAAUCAGUAAUAGGCCCGUGGUUUUUUAUCUCUUCGGAGAUUUUUCAUGUAAAUUUAUGGUGUCUCAUUGUCUCCCUUUCUCUUCUUAGCAUCAGUUUUCAAUUUCAACAAUUUAUUAUAAUUUUGAUUGUCUACUAUUUGAUUGAAUGAUGAAGAGAAAUGACUAUGAAUCAUCUUUGAAGUUGUUUCUAAUUGUUAAUCAUUGAUAUUUUGAGGUAUAUUGAUCUUGCUUUUAUCAAAAUUUAGUUUAAGUUGAUUUGGGUUUGGGAGUGUUAGAUCAUGUGCAUGUGAAUUACAUUUGAAUAUUGUUAGGGAGUGUUGUUGCAUUCAUAUAUGCAUGUGAUUUAUAAUUUGUGUUUUUGAGACUGUGUGAAGAGAAGAAAAAUAUUCAAAAAGUUUUAAGGUUUGCUAAUUUGAGUUGAGAUUUUGUUUAAUUGGUCAAAACACCUAUUCAACCUCCCUUAGGUGUAUUCCACUAUUGAGAUUCACCUUUUCAAUUGGUAUCAGAGAGGGUUUUUAAAGCAAAAAUCAUUUUCGAUCCUUAAAUCUCAAUCAGGGAACCUCAUUAAGAGGGAGCUUCCAUUAGAAGACCACCUUUCUUAACCAGUGAAAAUUUUUCUCAUUGAAAAGUGAGAAUGCAAUAUUUUCUCAAAAUGCAAAGUGAUAAAAUUUGGAAUGUCGUUGAAUUUGGUUAGUCUCCACCUAAGGUGUUAGAUAGAGAAGGUAAAUUAACAAAUGUUAUCAAGCCAAAAUUGAAAUGUGAUAGAAGUGAAAAUGAAGCAAGUGAGAAUAAAGCUAGAGCCAUGUUCUCCAUCUUCAAUGCCAUUAGUACGAAUGAAUUUCAUAGCAUUGCCACAUGCACUUUGGUUAAAGAAGGCUUAGGAUAUCCUCUAAGUGACUCAUGAAGGAACUAAUGUCGUGAAAAUGUCCAAGCUUCAAAUGUUGACAUCUAGGUUUGAGACCAUUAGGAUGGAUGAUCAUGAAACUUUUAGAGAAUUUCAUGCAAAAUUGAUGGAUAUUGUGAAUUCUAACUUCAAUCUAGGUGAAUCCAUCUCUAACUGAAAGAUAGUUAGAAAAAUUUUAAGAUCUCUUCCAGAUAAAUUUAGAGCUAANGUUACCGCCAUUGAAGAGUCUAAAGAUGUGGAUUCCUUGAAGAUAGAUGAACUUGUAGGUUCUCUCCAAACCUUUGAGAUGAUGCUUGUAUCACCUAGGAAAGCUAAGGGAAUUGCUUUAAAAGCUAUUAAAUAAGAGUCCCUAAGUUUCGAAAGUGAGAAUGAUGUCAAAGGGUGAGCUUACUAAGUUUACUAAAAAAAUUAAGAAGUACAUGAAAUUCAGAAAAUCCAAGAAAGAAUCAAAUGAUGGUAAAAAUGGAGGAACUCUAUUAGAAAAAAAGAAGAAUAUGGAGAAAUGUGUGAAAAAAGAGUUGGUGAUUGAGUGCUUUAAAUGUGGAGGAAAUGGGCAUUAUGCCGCCAAAUGUCCCUCAAAGAAAAAAAAAAUGAAAGAAGGUCAUGCAAGUCACUUGAAGCAACAUAGAAUCUUGUCAAUCAAGUGAAAAAGAAUCCAAUGGAAGUGAAGAAUACACUAACUUCAUAGCCUUUGCUGCAAGUGUCAAUGAGAAACCACUCAAGAAAGAGGUCUUAAGUGAGUCAUGAGUCAAGUGACUCCAAUGAUGAUGACAUGAAUUUUGACAUAGCAUAUGAGACUUUGUAUAAGGAAUGCUUGAGCCUUAAACAAGAACAAGUCAAGUGGAAGGCUUCUAAGAAUAUUCUAAUCAAUGAGAUUGAUGUCUUGAAGGGAGAAAAGAAGGCUUUGCUUGAAAAAAUUGGAUUUCUUGAAAAUGACCAUUUGGAAGUGAAAAAAAAAAUAUUAUGUAUUGAAAAGUGAAUCAAAUGUUCAAGGAUGAGUUAAGUCUUAAGAAGAAAGAAUCACAUCCUAGCUCUAAGAGGAUUAAUGAGUUGAUCAAUUUAAGGCGUAAAUCUUUUGAUAAACAAGGCUUAGGAUUUGUUGAUGCAAAUACUACUCCAAGUAGUGGUAAAACAAUUUUUGUUAAGCCUUGUGAAAAAUAAUAUCCUAAGAAAACUCAUUCUCAAAUCAAGUUUCAUUGCAAUCAUUGUGGCAAAAUGGGACACAUUUUUCAUAGAUGUUGUACAAGAUUGUUUGAUAACUUUCAAAGGAAGUUGACCAACCUAAUGAAUGAAUGUUAUGCUUUGAAGAAUAGGUUAUUGAAUGAGAAUAAGAGAGUGUCCAAGAAGUGCUCAAAGAUCCCUCAUAAUGGUGAGUUGAAAGGAAGCACUUUGAAUGAAAAGACAAGUCUCAAAUGUUAAACAAAUUUGGGUGUGAAUGAAUUAGUUGAAGUGUUUUGUUGUCCAUACCGCACUUAGAGCUAGUGAGUCACACUCAUGGCAUCUUGAUAGUAGAUGUUCACAUCAUAUGACUAGAAAUAAAUCUUUGUUCACUUCAUUCACUGAAUUUGAUGGAGGAAAUGUGACAUUUGGAGAUGGUAAUGUGGCUAGGGUGAAAGACAAAGGUACCAUUUGUGCCCCUGACAUUCCUAAUCUUGAAGAGGUCUUAUAUGAAGGUUUAAAGGCUAACUUAAUUAGCACAAGCCAAAUGUGUGGGAAUGAGUUCAAUGUAAAAUUUUCACAAACUUUUUGCAAGGUGUUUGACUUGAAUGAUGUAAGUGUGAUGAUUGGCUUGAGAACUUGUGAUAAUUGCUAUGUUGUUAGUAAAAAAUCUCCUUCAUCCUCUUCUCUCGUGUGUGGAAGUUCUAAAAUUGCAUGUGUUAAUCACUUGUUGCAACAUAGAUUGUUACAAAAUGAAAAAGAGCAUCCCAUUGUAAAAGUUAGGAUUGGUAGGGGGGAUUUGAUGAUGCCAAUGUUAUUGAUAGGCUAGAGAACCAUGUUCUUCAUUAUAGAUAAAAACAUGUGGACAUUAAGCAUCACUGCAUUCAAGACUUGGUAGAAGACAAGGUUGUUUACUAGAGGUUUUCCCUAUAGAGAGUCAAAUUGCUAACAAUGUUACUAAACCUUUGGACAUUUCUAGGUUUGAAUCACUUAGGAGCCCCAUAGGUUUAUAUAUUCUCUGUUUAACUGCCUCUAGAACUUGUCUAGGACUCCUCUUGCAUAUCCUUGAGUCCUAGUUGUCUUCCUAAGUUCCCAAAUAUCAUCAACUUGAUGUUCUUUUUGUUUUGGUUCAAUAUUUUCUCCAUUUUUCAUAAAUUUUCAACAAUUGUUGAGUUCAUGAGAGUGACAUGCUUAUUCAUUUUGUUUAAAAGUUAAAUUAACUCAUAAUGAUCUUAAAAGCUUCAAGAUGUAUUUAUCUCCAUGGCUUGUUUGAUAAACAUGAUAUUGAAUCCUUGCUAUUUUGAUUUGGUUAGAUAAACUACAAAUGAUUAGCUUCAUUUCUAUUAAGUGAGUAAGAGCUCAUUGUUGGACCUUGUGUUUGCAUAAUGGUGAAUAAUGCUCUUUAAAGUCUAAAUGAAAACUUAUACCCAUUUAAUGAGCUUUAAAGAGUGAGUAAAGACACCUGGAAUAUCCUUGAGAGGUUGAGAUGAUCAGUCUUUGAUUGUUUGUCCUCUCUUUGAAAUUAAUUUUUUUUUAAAUGAAAAAGAAAAGAAAAAGAAAAUAUGAAGUUUCCCGGAAUGGAUAUGGCUCCGUGGCAAUGUUUCAAGAAUUAAAAAGCCUCCAUUGCAAGAGUGGGACAUCCCUUAUGUUGUUAUGUUGUAAAGACAUCCUUAGAGAUCCUCAAGUCAAAAAUUGAUCUUAAGGGUAAAACUUAAAGCUUUGUAUUCCUUUCAAUGCUAAAUGUGAAAAGCAAAUAGUGUAUGAAUUUUAUUAAAGGGAUGUGAUUAGGUCAUGUUGAACAGAAAUCUGGCCAAGAGAGAUGCAAAUUGACUUUGAUUACUACUCAAAAAGUACUCUUUUAUAGCUUGAAACUAACUGUUUUAAACACUUUUGAGUAGUAGUUAAUACAUUUUAACUCAAUUGGCACAUUAAGAAACCUAGCAAGGGUUACUAAUCAAUUUUUCGCAAGUUUUGGUGUUUUUGGUAGCUAUUUGAUCAUUGAAACAAGCCAAGAAUGAGGGAGAAUUUUGUGAAAUCCAUGGCAAUGCAAGUUAAAGCUCAAAUACAUGAAGAAUCCAAGCUUUGGAGCACUUCAUAGCCCUUUUCCAAGCCAAUUAGAGAUGCAAGAAGGGAAACCAGAGGAAGAAAUCCAACAACCAGCAUUUCCGCAUGGCUGUGCGAAAUUUCGCACACCAUACGAAACCACUUGAGGCAACCAAAAAAUUUCUCACAUCAUGCGAAAUUUCCCAAGGUAUGCGAAAUCUUCCUGUGCACCAACUCCGUUAGAUUUUUAUCUCUAGAUAUUUUAUGUAAUUUCCUAUUUUCUCCUUAUAAUCAACUUAGAUAUUUUCAUAUAUAUUUUUUUAUAUAUUUAGUGUGUGUAACAUCUUUUGAUAUAGACACACAGGGAUGUAAUCAGAGAACGCUUGUAAAUUCCCCGUAGUAAGAAAUAUACAAAGCUUUUGCUCUGUCUUUUCUUUUCAUUUUGUUUUCACUCUUCUUUCUAGUCAAACAACCUCUAAGGAUGAUUUCUCAGGGGAUGAGUGGCUAGGUUUUACGUUUCUUGGAGCUAUGGAAGCUAGGUGAAGGACUCGAAUGCAAAGAUGGGAGUUGUCCUUACUCUAAAUGAAAGUAGUUGUUAACCAUUAAUGGUUUUUAUUUUAAGGUUUAGCUUUAAAUCCCUUAAAAGCACCUUGAAUGGCCAAUACUUGGUAAGCUUUUUGAAUUCUAUGGAUGCUUAGUGCUAGAUCCAUGGAUGUCUAUUAGUUAUCAUUUAUGAGCUAUUGGAAGGUGGUUCAAGGUGAGAGUCUUUAGUGUGUCAAGCCAUUAAUGGGAAGCAACUAUUAUUUUUCAUGAACCCUUUGGAUCAAAUCUUAAUUGCUAAAAAUAAAAUCGGUUCGGGAGAUAACCAUCCUUAUAUUAUUGUCCCCAACGCGAGGAAAAGAUCCGGAAUCUCCCCCUUUGUCUAAGGAACCCAAUCCUAGUGACCUAAAGCUCCAAGAGACCUUUUCUUUGUAGUCAACUUCACCUAUUAUUUUUGCUUAACUUAAAAUCAAUCUUUGCAACCACAAUUCCAUUUUCUUUAAAAGCUAAUUUUCAUAAGGAAAAACACCAUUUUAUUUCCUUCACUAAAGUCAAUUGUACGAUGAAAACCCAUCCUUGUGGACGAUCCUAGAGCCACUAUACUAUGUUAGCUAUGCUACCCUAGUGUGAGGUGAUUUAGGUUUUAUAAAUUUUGUUGAUAACACCCGUCUAAGCCAGAAUCAAAUGGCAUGACUACAAUGGGGAUGAAUCAGACUUCUUGGAACAUUAUCUUGAAUUUCUCUAGGAAGGAAGAGUAUCUUGAAAAUGAUUUUUGGCUCAUAAAUGAAUAUAGGUUUCUAAGUGGAAAUUAUUUAACAUUAUCACCAUUUUAUGGUGUCAUGAGUGAGUUUUUUUUAGCUUAAGCUUCCUUGUUAGAGUGUUGAUAAUCAUUUGUUUUUUACCUAUUCAUUUGAUAAAUUUGGAAAGUACUUCAAUCUCUAUGUUUAUUAAUUUUGUCUAUUGUUAUGUUCUUGGAAGCAUUUUUGUUCAAUGUGAAUCAAUUCUAACUCAUUAAUUGAAAGAUAAGUAUGUCAUCCUAUUGUAUCUCAUCUUUGGUCGAUCAAUUUUCAUUUUUUGGAAAGCCUAUUCGUGUAUUUCUUGUGAUUUUUCGAUAGUUUUUGCCUAAGUCAUUUUUCAAUUGGGUGUCGAUCGAUCUACUGAAUUUGUGGAUCGAUCCAUUAUGUGCACAAUGUAGUGACCGAGAGCCCUUGAAUGAAUCUUGGAUCGAUCCACCAAGAUCGAUACCACCUAGUACUUGUCUCUCACACACUUAGCCAUUUUUUUCAAAUUUGGUUUGUUCAAACCUAUGUGACUGUGUAUCAUCAAGAGCACAAUUGAAAAUUGGAUCGAUCCACCAAGGUCGAUACCACAUAUGCAUUUGUGAAAAAUUCCAUUUUUGCCCCCAACUAGUUAUACUCAUAUGGUUUAAUGGAUGAGGGGUAUUUUCAUAAUUAAAAGUAAAAAAUUGAAAAAGUCAAAAUUCCUAAAUCUGUUUUUCCCAAUUCAUUUCUUUCAAAAGCCCUAGGUCUUUUGUUUCAAAGAAGAGAACUUCUCUACUCUAAGCUUCUCUUUAGCCAUCAUCGUCGAUCCAUCAUUCUGGCCACUACCAUCAAAAGUCUCUACCACUAGAAACCUUUAUCGUCAGACUUCCUUAUCUGGUGAGCGUUUCAGGUCUGGCCAAUCCCACUAGACAGCCUCGUCAAAUAGCCUAGAAUUGUUGUGUUGCUCAACUCAUGUCAUCAGCUUGUGUGUCUCUUCUUAGUGCGUCGGUGUUUUCGAAAAUUGCCUUCUACAUAGUAUGUGUUGGCUAGGACCUCCUGUGUGCAUCACUAGAUUGUAUCUCAUUCAAUUGGGAUUCCAUUCCAGCAGUUGGAAAUUCCAAUCAGCCCUUAGGACUGUGUUUUUCACAGCACAAUCAACACAACGCAAUCUACACUUCUGGAAAUUGUGUUCUACAUAGCCCAUUUCUCUUGUUUUUUUUUCUACUAUUUUCCAAUGUCCGUGUCUUCAAUGCAACUUAUUUGCAAGAGUUCUCAUUUCCGGCAACCAUUAUUGUUUGAUUUAUCCAUUUUUUUCUCUUCUAUUAGUCUCAUUUGGAACUUCUCUGCUCUAAGCUUCUCUUUAGCCAUCAUCGUCGGUCCAUCAUUCCGGCCACUACCAUCAAAAGUCUCUACCACUGGAAACCUUUAUCGUCAGACUUCCCUAUCUGGUGAGCGUUUCAAGUCUGGCCAAUCCCACUAGACAGCCUCGUCAAAUAGCCUAGAAUUGUUGUGUUGCUCAGCUCAUGUCGUCGGCAUGUGUGUUUCUUCUUAGUGCGUCGGUGUUUUCAAAAAUUGCCUUCUACAUAGUAUGUGUUGGCUAGGACCUCCUGUGUGCAUCACUAGAUUGUAUCUCAUGCAAUUGGGAUUCUGUUCCAGCAGUUGGAAAUUCCAAUCAGCCCUUAGGACUGUGUUUUUCACAGUACAAUGAACACAACGCAAUCUACACUUCUGGAAAUUGUGUUCUACAUAACCCAUUUCUCUUAUUUUUUUCUCUACUAUUUUCCAAUGUUCGUGUUCUCAAUGCAACUUAUUUGCAAGAGUUCUCAUUUCCGAAAACCAUUAUUGUUUGAUUUAUCUAUUCUUCUCUCUUCUAUUAGUCUCAUUUGGAUUAUUUAUUUAUUUAUUUAUUUUUAUUUUUUUGUAGAGUCCUCUCACAGUAGUUUUAAUAGUUUGAGAUUUCAUUUUUGCCUUGGAGUGUUCCUAGUUUCUAGGAAUGCUAAUCCUAGGCUUUGGUUGUUCAUUUUGAGUGGUCUUCAUACAUUUUCAUGCUUGAAAUCUAUUUUCAUGGUGAUAAAGCAUUUUUUGAAAGUUUUUAAUUGAAACCAUGUGAUAGGAUUCAAGAGGAGAUUCUCAUAUCCUGUGAUGGGAGUCAAGGGAAGAUUCUUGUAUCCUAUAAUUUUUUUUUCUGGAAUGUUGAUAUGGAUACUUGGUGAUAUGUGAAUAUUUGAUUUUUGGGUAUUUGACAUUUUGUUGAAAAGUGGAUGUUUGUUGAUUUGGAUGUGAGAUAUUCUGCUAUUGAAUUCUCAUCCAUUUGUCGUUUUUCUUGGAUAGAAAAUGGGAAAUUAUAACUUUUUGUCUCCUGCUAGGACAAAAAGGAGAAAACAUUUUACAUGGAUGUUGAUAUGACAUGUAGUUGAUCAUGACGGCUUCUUUGUGUUUUGUUGCUUUGGAUAUUUGAUAUGUUGAUCAUGAUCACCUUUUUUGUAUAUUGAUGGAUAUUUGACACGUUUUUGAACUCAUGAAUGCAUAUUAAUUAUCUUUAGACAAGUUAUUUUUGUGGAUAUAUGUGGAUAUUUGUGUGUCAAUUCAUUUGAAACUUAUGGAAGUGUCUUGGUAAUAUGUGCAAGUGCUACUAAUGUUUUUUCUUGAGAUUUAUUUGCAGGAUUUGUAGUACCUUUAGUUAGGUUUUGAGUGAGUGAGUGGCCUUGUAUGAGAGUUGGGUGGGACUUACUUGUAUUCAUUUGUGUUGUAAAGGGUUUUGUCCCAGAAUUUUCAAAUGGGGAGAUUUUGAGUGUUUAGCUAGGUUGGUAAUUCCGGACAAAAUUCCUAAGUGUCCCCUAACUCGGUUUACAAAUCCCUCUUCGAACUACUUGACCUUUGAAGAUUAAAACUUUGCUAAGAGGCUGAGGUAUGUAGCCGAGUGUGUGGUGAUUGAAUGUGAAUCAACCCUGUUUUUUCAUCUUUAAAUGAGUUAAGAAAACAAGGAGAAAUAUUGUUAGUGCAAGGCUUUUGUUCCCCUUAUUAUGGAUUGAUCUAGGUGCAAGGGCAAAUUGAUCCAACUAACCUAUUUUUAAGAUCAAUUUUCAACCCUUGGAUUAAGGGUUUCUUUCUCAUUUAAAAUCAAAUAUCUCCCAUCUCUAGAAGUGGUGACUACAACAACUAUGAGAGAGUUUUUUCUUUCUUCACCAUUUUAAGGGUGUUUACCUACGAAGAAAAUCCAUCCAAGUUUUCUAAGAAAUUUUUUUAAAAUGGAUUUUCUGAAAAAAAAAAAAAAAAAAAAAAAAAACAUAGGGUGAUUUUUGAAACAUUCAUAUGUAAUUCUCUUGGUUUUGCGCAAAAACCCUUUUUUUUUCUUAUGUGAAUUCAAGAAGAGGCCGAGAUCGAGCUUGGUGUAGACUCCAAAUGUGCUCUAAAAUAAGAAUGUGAGAAAGUGAAAGUGAAGGUACUAGUCAAGUGGUCCGGGAAGGAUUGGUUGGCUUGAGCUAGGUAAAACCUUGUAUUUAGUUUUUAUUCUUCAUAGUAGAUGUUUUCAAUUGAUAAUAGGCCCAUGGUUUUUUAUCUCUUCGAAAAAUUUUCAUGUAAAUUUAUGGUGUCUCAUUGUCUCAUUUUCUCUUCUUAGCAUCAUUUUUUAGUUUCAACAAUUUAUUAUAAUUUUGAUUGUCUAGUAUUUGAUUGAAUGAUAAAGAGAAAUGGCUAUGAAUCAUCUUUGAAGUUGUUUCUAAUUGUUAAUCAUUGAUAUUUUGAGGUAUAUUGAUCUUGUUUUUAUCAUAAUUUAGUUUAAGUUGAUUUGGGUUUGGGAGUAUUAGAUCAUGUGCAUGUGAAUUUCAUUUGAAUAUUGUUGGGGAGUGUUGUUGCAUUCAUAUAUUCAUUUGAUUUAUAAUUUGUUUUUGAGACUAUGUGAAGAGAAGAAAAAUAUUCAAGAAGUUUUAAGGUUUACUAAUUUGAGUUGAGAUUUUGUUUAAUUGGUCAAAACACCUAUUCAACCCCUUUAGGUGUAUUCCACUAUUGAGAUUCGCCUUUUCAGAACCUAUACUUCUACCAUGCUACAUGAAGUUUUGGAAGGCAUAAAAUACAUUUUGAGGCAUAUAUAAGUCAAAUCUUAUAUCCAAAUUAGGUUGAAUUGGGUCAUGGUUAACCUCAAAUCAAAUAUAUGCAUUUUUCUUACGAAUGUAUAUAUAUAUAUAUAUAUAUAUAUAUAUUUAAGAAUAUAGUUAUUAUUGUAAAGGAUGUAUUUUUUCUUAAGAAUAUACUUUUUUUUGUAACAGAUGUACCUAGGGUUCUCCCAUGCCAAAUAGGGUUUGGGAAUGCAUCAUGAGGUAUAUAAAAGUUAAAAUUUAGACUCAAAAUAGGUCGAAUAAGGGAAUGAUUCAACUCAAAUCAGAUGUAAAUACUUUUCUAAACUUUUAUGCAUUUUUUUAAAGCAUGUACACAAAGUUAUAUCAUGUUGAAUAGGGUAUAAGAAGACCUCAAAUGCAUUCCAAGACCUACAUAAGUGAAAUCCCACACCCGAAUUAGGUUGAAUGAGGAUAAGAAUCCACAAUGAAAUGAAAUGUACAUGUUUUUAUACUAGAUGUACCUAUUUUUCUAAAGGAUGUACUUAUUUUUAAAAAAAAGAUAUAUGUAUUUUAAGAAAUAUAAAAUUUAAUUAAAGAAAUGUUAAUACAAUUUUUAUGAAAAUAAUUUUUUUUCUAUUUUAUGUAUAUAAAAAAGUUAAAGAUUUUAAUUAAAAAGUUAGAACCAUGAUCAAUUUUAAAUCAUAUGAAAAAUUAAAACGAAUGUUAAUAUGAAAGUUCAAAAAUUUAAAUUAAAAUGAUAUAACAAAAAUAUUUUUAGUUUAUUUAAAUGUUAUAAUUUUACAUGCCCUAUCAAUGUCUUGUCAAAUUUUUUUAGUACAAAAUGGAAUAAUAAGUGAAUACUCUUUUAUUUCUUUAAUACAAAAAAUACAAACCAAGCAUCUCUCAAAAUCUUGUUCCUUGCUCUUGAAUAUAAAGUAAGAUAAGCUCGUGAACUUAUUCACAGUAAAAGUUUUGCUAACCUACAGUCACGCAACACAUGAAGGCAUUAUUCGACUUUAUUCAGGCAUCGAACACAAUUCGGCAAAGCUGCUAUAUGUCUUUUGAAGUGAUUUUCAUUUGUCAGCAACUUGUUGUGCAAAGCCAGCCACAAAAAGGAUCUAAUCCUUUGGGAACCCCUUCAUUUCCACAAGGCCAUCCAAUUCUUAUUCAAUUCUAUCCAGCAACUCUCUUCAAUCAGUUCAUAAGUCGACUUGGUAGUUGACAACGCUGACAUGAAGGCCAAAAAUAGUGGAGGAUUGUACAAGAGCACAUAGCACUUGACCCAAAUUCUCAAAAUUUGCUGUUGAAAAGUUUUUAGCCUAUUUGGCCAUUUCAUUAAAAAAAAAAAUUUAAAUUAAAAAAAAACUAUUUUUAAAAAUUCAUAAAAUUGUUUGUUAGUUGUUUUCUAUUUGUAAUUUUUAAAAAUAAAGUGAAAUAAAAAAACAUAUUUUAUAAAACAAAUAGAAAUUGUUUUCACCAAUUUUUAAAGACAAAAGAAAAAUAUAGAGGAAUUAAAAAAACUAUAAAAACCAAAUAAGAUUGAAGAUGAUAUCAUUCUUCUUUACCUCUUUCUACUAUCUAAUACUGAUACUGAAAAUCUUCAAAUAUAAUAUUCUUUUAAAUUACAUGUGUUUUUAUGAAUUUCAUUUAAUUUAAGAAAUUUUUCAUUGAUAAAAUAAAUUCUAAAUCAAAUUAUACUUUAUACAUAAAAUUUACUAAUGUUUAAAAAUAACUUAAAAGUUAAAAACUGAUUUAGUUAGUACUAUAAAGUCAUGAAACUCACUAACAUUGGAAUGCCAUAUAGCAAAAUUCAUUUGAAUGUCUUGGCUAGUUUUUUCUUUGCAUAUAAUCAUAUUUUUACAAUUUUUUUCACUUAGUAAAUAAUCACCAAAUCAAGUAUGACUUAAUGCAUUGAAUUUAUUAACAAGUCUAAGUAAUUCUUAAAAAUAAAUUGAAACGCAAAUAGUGAUCCAAUUAAUACCAUAAAUUUAUGGACAAAAAUUGAACUUGAAUGACUUUAUUGUUUCCAAUUUUGUUUCAUUGGACAAAUAAACUUAAAAUUAAACCAAACUUAAUGUGUUGAAUUCAUUAAUAAAUUUAGUAAUUUCUAAAAAAAACUUAAAACUCAAACAAUGAUGUAAUUAAUAUUAAAAAUUUAUUGAUGAAAAUUGGUCUAAAACUACUCUAUUAUUUUUCUUCUACAUGGAAUCAUAUUUUCCCAAUUUUAUUUUACUAUAUAAAUAAACUCAAAAUUAAACAAAACUUAACAGUCUAGUAAUUUUUAAAUUAGAAUAAUAUUUGAAAUAAUUUAAUUAGAAUAAUAUUGAUUCGACUCAUGGUAGCUUAGCUUUAAAGGCGUAUCAACAAAAUUUAUACCUUGAAUACUAUUACUAAAGUAGCCAAGCUACUAUAGCAUAGUGGUUCUAGGAUCGUUCACUGGGAAGGGUUUUCGCAAACACAAGUGAUAUUCAAAUUAGGAAAAUAGGUGAUUUUCUUAUGGAUGUUAGCUUUAAAAGAAGAUGUAAAUGUUUUAGAAAGAUUUAAACUAAUCUAAGCUAACAUUAAAGACUAAAAUGAAAGGGUGUAAAAACAAGUUUCUCAAAGAUAGGAUAGCUAUGCUCUGGCUCUUAUGCAAAUUGGAAAUCUCAGGAUAGGCUCCUCGCGUUGGGGUUGCAACUAUGGUGAUGCUUGCUUCCCGAACCGGUAUGGAUUUAGCAAAUCAAGUUUUAAUCCUUUAAAAUGGCAAAACAGAUGGUAGUGAAUUUCAUCAAUGGUUAUUCACCUUAGACUUCCUUUGAAUGGCUCGUAAGAGAUAACUAAUGGUCUAAAGCCAAAAGCUUACCAAAUAUUGGCAACUCAAAGUCAUUCCAGGUGAUAAACUUACCUUUCAAUGGCCAUUGAAAUUGGUUCUAACGGAUUAAUGCAAAACUUGGAAUUGAAAACCUCACCUUCCAAUAGCUCGUAGGAGAUAACUAAUGGAUAGUAAUCCAAAAGCUUAUCAAGUAUUGGCCGUUGGAAGUUGUCCAAAGGAAAUAAAAACCAAACUUUGCAUUAAUGAACCUUUAAUGAAAAACGACUACCUUACCUUCCAGGUGCGAGAAAUUUCCAUGGGAGUGCAUCCAAGCCAUCACAUAACAUCCAUACUUUGAGAAACUAAAAGUUUUAGCCAAUCAUCCUCUGAGGAAAAGCCCUCAGAGGCUGUUUGGCUACUAAGAAAAUAGAAACAGGGAAGAACAGGAGAAAAGAGCAAAACAGAGCAAGGCUCUGUAUAUUCUAUAUAUUGAUCGAUUUAUAAUUACAACGGAUGCAAGGGAAUAUAUAUAGAGAAGUUUUUCCAAUCCUUCCUAGCUAAGAAAUCUUAUGAUUCGUGGAUUACAAGGAGAAGAAUGGAAAUUUAUACAAAAAUAUCUAAAAGAAAAGAUCUCGUGUGGAGUCGGUAGAAACAGGGGAAAAUUCGCACGUUGGAGUUCCAAUUUCGCACGUUGAUUUGAGGUGUGCGAAAUUCUCGCACAGUGGACUGAGGAAUUCGCACCUUGAACAGUGGUGUGCGAAAUUGUCCCUCAGCUUGAUGCAGUUGUCUUCCGAAGGCCAUAUCUUUCUCAAUUCAGCUCCAAAUCGUACAUGGUUUGAACCGUUGGAUUCUUGACUUUCUGAGCUUUGAAAUGGUAUAUAGCAUGUAGAAAAUGGACUUCGGGAAGUGCUCCAAAAGUGCCAAAGAAGACUGCAGUUGCUGUCCUCUGUUUUCCUCUUUGCUUCUUUUUGCUUCUCUUUCCUCUUCUCCAUUGUUCUUUCCUUGCAUACUUUGAACGAAUUUGGCAAAGGGCUAUGGAGCUCCAAAGCUUGGUUCUUCAUGAAUUUGAGCUUCCAAAAGCUUUGCCAUAACUUGUCCAAGUAGCUCCUCUAUCAUUUGGCAUGCUUGAAUUGAUUCAUAAGCUGAUAUAAACAUGUAAACUUGCCACAAAAUGGUUAAAACCAAUUACUAAGGACCUUAAUGAAUUAAUUGGGUUAAAUGAAUAUGAUUACUACGCAAAGGUGCUUAAAACCAUUAUAAUUAGGUCUACAAAAUAACACUUUUUGGUAGUAAUCAAAUAUUUUAAUUUAUUAAAAUAAAUCAUAAAUAAAUGAAUAAAAUUAUCUAACAAUAUUUUAUCAAGUUAAUAUUUGUUAAUAAAACUAUAACAAUUUAAGAUUUUGUUAGAUUUUAUCGCUAUAGGAUUAUUAUAAAUGUGGUUUAAAAAAAUGCAUGAACAUCAUGUAAUAUUAACAAAAUAAAAAUUACGAAUUGAUCGCUCUAUGGAUUAUUUUUAUCAUAACAAAAAUGUGUAAAAUUGUAUACACCUUUUAGGCUAUGAAAUAUUCAUUAUCUAACUUAUGAGUGUACAAUUUUGUUUUCUCUAACUUUUGAUUAUACAUUAUAAUUAAAAGAAAUUAGAAAUUACAUUGAAGGUUGUUUUUUAGAUUUUUUUUAACUUUAUAAUUUAUAAUAUAAACUCCAGCUAUACAAUUGUAUAUAUUUUUUAUAACUUCUAGUUGUGAUCUACAAUGACUCUAUUGUUUCUCUUCUAUAUGAAACUAUAUUUUUUAUUUAUUUAUUUCACUAGACAAAUAAAAUCCAAAUUAAACAAAACUUAAUCCCUUAAAAUAAUUAAUGAGUUUAGUAAUUUUUAAAAUAACUUAAAACUUAAAUAGUGGUUCAAUUAAUAUUAAAAAUUUAUGGAUAAAAAUUGGGUUUUAAUGAGUCUACUUUUUUUCUAUACAUACUUAUAUUUUUAUAAAUUUUUUUAUUAAAGAAUAAACUUCAAAUCAAGUAAUUGAAUUCACUAACAGGUUAAUUUUUUUAUUUUUUUUUAAGUUACAACCUAGUAAAUAGAUCUAAUCACUAUAAGAAAUAAUAUAUGAAAACCAAUUGUAGACCCCAAAAUUUGUCCUAAUUUUAUUUUUACAUUGAUAUUGAGUUCAAUUUUAUCCUUAGAUUUAAAUUUCGAUUACAUCUUAAUUGUUUAACCCACUUACACUAUUUUUUUUAUUUUUUCUCUCAUCUCUCCUCUCUCUUCAUCUUUCUCCUCAUUCUACCUACUCCACCUACUUCCCUUACCCAUUUCCUUCUCUUACACGUCUAAGCCACUCCCCAUACCCCCUCCAAGCUUUUUUUUUUUUUUUUUAUCAUCUUUCUCUACUCUCCUCUCUUCACUUUUUUUUUCUCUCCAUCAUUCCUUCUUCGGGCUCCCUUCCAACACCACAACCACUCCACAACCCACACACCAGACACGGUCAACUUCCCCAUCUCCUCUCUUCCUUCUUUCUUUUUUUUUUUUCCUUCCCCUCAACUCUCACACAUGACGGUCCCCAUUUUCUCUUUCAUUUCUUUUCUCCUUCUCACAGUCCUUCCCUCUACAUUGCCAUUUUCCAAAAACUCCCACUGUCACACGCUCCCCAUCUUCCUUCAUUUUUUUUUCCUGUUUUUUUUCUCUUCUUUCUUCUUUCCUUUUCCCCUCUCCACACUCCACGGCCACUAUUGGCCCUCCACUGCCCGCCACUACCAGUAGCCACUGCCAACAACCACCACCCGCCACUGUCUGCCAGUCAUUGCCAACUAGCAAUCCUACCAUCCAUAGUUCUAAAAAAAAUGGGUAAAUUUCUGAGAAGAAAAAGGCUAUGCUUAGUUAAGAAAAACACCCAAAAGGGAGGGUGAAUUGGGUUUUUAAAAUCUUUUCAAUCACAACAAAUUUAAACAAAAUAUAAGCAAAGCAAAGAGAUAGAGUUUAGAGAAUUCAAACUCGGGUUUAUAGUGGUUUGGCACUUCCUUGCCUACGUCCACUCUCUUCAACCUCCUAACCGAGUGAGGAUUCCACUAACUUGAAGCUUCAACCAAGCUUCCAAUCUUCUUACACUUGGAUUCCGGUUUCAAUGGGCUCUUACACAACCUCUUCAAGAUUCAACCCUUUUGAAGGCUUUAACACUUAGAUUGUUACAAGAUAUAAUCACUCAACCUAGCUUAAAGAUGGCUCAAAUACAAGACAAAGCUAGGAUGACAAACAAGAGUGCACUAAAGGAUAUGCAAGUGGUGAUUUAAUGCACUAUGAAAUAAAUGAGAGCUUUUUUUAUCAAGAACAGGUAGGUAGGCUUUGAAUGCAAGUGUUAUCUUCACAAUAAAUGAAGUGGAGCUCUCAAUUUAUAGGUUUCUAAGCUCGGGAGUCAAAAACAACAAAAGGCAACCUCGACCGGUUCACUAGCCGUUGAAGCAUUUAAUGCAUGACAGGUUACCGUUGCCUCAACCGGACCUCGAUCAAUAAGGGAAUCACCUCGACCGGGAAGAGAAGGCUACUGGGAGAGAGAGAAGGUUUUUGACCUUCCUCGACUGGACGACCUCAACCGGUUCUCGACCGGACGACCUCAACCGGUCGACCAGUUCCUCAACCGGUUGACCGGUUGGCCAUAGCCUCGACCGAUUGAGCCUUUUUGGCCCCGAAAAACCUAUUUUUUUAUUUCUUUCUUUUCUAACACUUAGGCAAGGUCUUUAGGUAAAUUAUUAAGCCAAUUUUGAAACAUUUUGCCUAAGGUAAAUUAGUUAAAAACUCGGGUUUUAAUGAAAUCGAUGUUUUAAAGAAUAAACCGAGUUUUCUAAGAUGCAUGAAACGUAUGAAAAUCCUAAGUGCACUCAUGCAUUCAUCUUACAUUAGGUUCCUAUGAUCACAAGUCUUCCAAGCGUCUCGAUCUUGUAUGCAUUUGGUCUUUUGAUGAAUUUUUGAGUUUAUACCUGAGAUUCUUAGACAUUAAACCAAUUAGUCACUUAACCAUGGUUUGUUAUCAUCAAAACCCGAUUAGGAGAACCCUUGGGCUAACAAUUUCCUUUUUACUUUAUUUUAUUUUGAUUUUUGUAUCUUUAUUUUUUUAUUUUCGUUUGCACAGUAAUUGAUUUAGACUUGGAUCUAUUGCUUAUUAGUUAUUUAUUUGGGCUUAUUGGAUUGGGUUUGAGAUAUUAUUUUCUUUGGUCAUGUGUAUUAUUAAUGUGGGUUUGUUGAUUGAUAUGAAUUUUUGACCCAUAAUGUGGGUAUGAAUUUUGGGCCCACAAUGUUGGUGGAAUUUGAUUGAUGACUUGAAUAUUUGAUAUGAGCCUGACCAAUUUAAACUAUUUAAUUUGGAUAUGGGACAAUUAUGGUGUAUAUUAAAUUAGGCUUGGAUUAUGAGAUAUUAAAUUUAGGCCUAAUUGAAUUUAUUUUAUUUUGUGAUAUUUUGGGCUUGGCUAAUUGUGUUGUAUUUUGAUUAUUAAUUUGAAAAUUUUGGAUUAAGAUUUAUAGCAUGUGAGAUGUUUUUGUUAGGUUAUAUUUGUUCAUUUGUGCCCAUUUUGAUUGACAAAAUUUAUGAGACUAAUUUGAAAUUUGAAUUUGAGUUUGAAUAUUUGUUUGGGAUUUUGUACAUCUUUGGAUAUUUACAUUUGAGCUAUUUUGUUUUUGCAUGGGCCUAUUCUACAAUUCUGUUGGCUGAGUACAAAUUUAUGAUACACGGAGCACGAAAUUUUAUGGAAGAAUAAAAAAGUUGUAUGAAGACAUUAAACUAGUUAUAAGCUUAUUUGGGUACACAUUUUAUUUCCCACUUUUAUUUGAUUUUAUUUCUAUUAGUUCUUGUAAAUAUUCGUUUGUAUAUAUUUAUUGUGUACAGAAUUGAAUAUUUAACAAAUCAAAAUUUUCAUUUAAAUAAGAGGAAUAAUUCAGUAAAUAUGUUCUAAUAAAAUAAUAAUUUUAAAAUAUUCUUCUUAAUAAAAGAAAGUUUUUUUUAUUAAUAAAAAUUCAUAAAAAUGCUUUUAGAAAAAUUCAAAAAAAUUGUUUUUAAUAGAAUUUGAAAAAUUAUUUUUAAUAAUAAUUGUCCAAAAAUGUCUUUGUUUAAUAAAAAUUGUCCAAAAAUUGUUUUGUAAAUAAAGUUGUCCCAAAAAUUAAUUUUUAAUUAAAAAUUCUUUUGCAAAUAAAGUUAUAUUCUUUUUAAUAAUUUGUACAAGUCACUUUUCUUUUACUACAAGAAAACUUAUUUUUCCUGACAAAAAUUUAGGGGCGAAUUGUAAUUUUGUCGCUAAAAAUUACUUUUACCGAUGAAAUUUUAGAUAUCGUUGCUAAUGUCAAAUUUAUGAAAACUUUUUGUAACGAAUUUGAAUUUUUCGUUGCCAAAAGAUAUUGCGGGAAAAUUUGGCGGCUUUUUUUGGCGCAAACGCUAUUGUGAUGAAAAAAAUACUAUUUGCCAACGAAAAUAUUUGUUACUAAAUACAAUUUUUUUGUGACGAAAAUAAUUUCCUUACUAAAAGUUACAAAUUUUUAUCCAUAUUUGCUUACAAAAUGGUUUCAUCAGUAAAUAUAUUAUUUUCUGACAAAAUGAGUAAUUUUGUCACUGAAUAGUGUUGCUAAAUUGUAAUAUUAAUAAGUCAUAUUGACAAAUAGAUAAAAGGUUUAUGCUAUAAAAUAAUAAUACGUAUUUUUUGAGACUUGAUAUUUAAAUUACAAUAUUUUAUUUAUAUAUAUAAUAAUAAUACUAAUUAAAGAUUCAUAAAAUUAAAUACUAGAAUAUAGAUUUAUAGAAAUUUAAAUGUUUUGUUAUGUAAUAAUAGUAUUGUUAUGAAAUAAUAAAAAGGUAAAUUAUUUAAGCAAUUAAUUUUUAUAGUGUAAUAUAUAUGUUAUAUUUUUUUUAUAUAGAUAAUAACAAAUAAUCCAAGAUAUAAUAUAAAUUUAUUUAAAUUUCAAUAUUAUUAUAUGAUGUUAACCAAACAUAAAUAAUUUUAAAUCUUUUUUAUUAUACAAUGUAAAAGUUAUUUUUGCAAGUUUAAUAUAGUAGUAUUGAACUUAAAUUAGCUAUGAAUAAGUAAUGAUCCUCUAAUUUGUUCUCAUUCAAAAUCAUGUCGUCUGAAGUAAAUUUAUACUAAUAUUUAACUACCUAGUUUAAAUUAAUAGAUUUUUAUAAUUAUUACUUGGUUUUUAAAUAGUUGUUCAGAAUUGAAAUUAUCAAAUAAAUUACCUAGUGUCUAUAAAAACAUUAUAUUUGCAUAGAAUUUCAAAUAAUACUUGUGUGUAUAAAAAAUAUCAUAUAUUAUCAAUACAUAUAUGAUUGCAAUUAAAUAUUAUAUGAUAUGAUAUAUGGCAUUAUAUGCCUCACUACUAUAAUAUUAAUAACAAAAUAAAAAAUGUGUCAUAUAUAUAUACACAUAUUAUAAUGGGUAUAUGAAGAAAUUAAUAUAUGAAUGAUAUAAAUUGUAACAUUUUAUAAUAAUCAACAGUAUUUGAAAGCAUAUUUAAUGUUAAAAUGAUAAUUUAUUUACUUUAUAAUAAGUGAAUAAUUAUUAUAUUUUUAUUUCAUUCAUGAUUUUUGUGCUUUCAAUAAUAAAUUAAAUGGAAAAUAAAAUUAAAUAUUGAAAAUUAAUAGAAUUAUUAAAACUUUAUCUUAAUAUUUUAAUAUUUAAAAUGUAUAUAAAAUUUAGGUGUAAACAUAAUUAUAUAUAAUGUAGGCACUUUAAUAACUCAAAUGAAUGACUAUCCUAGUGGUGUAUAGUUAACUUCGUAAGCUUGGGAAGUCUGAACACUUUAUUGAUCUCAUUAUAAAUUUUUAUUUUUAAUUGUUAAAUAUUAAUUUAUCAUAAAUGAUUACUUAUUAAAAAUAAAAUCAUAAAUUAUAUCACAAAAUAGUAAAUGUUGUAUACUAACUUGUAAAGAAGUUUUUAUAUUUGUAUACAAUUUUUUAAUAAAACAUGUAAAACAAAUAUAGUUAUAAAAAUAAUUGUAACAUAUAAUAAAAUAGUAUAUCAUUUACAUUUAUAGUGUUUUAUUGCAUUUGAUAUUUUUGUUUGAAAUAUAAGAGAAAGAAAAUGAAAAAUAUAAAGAUGACUUGUUGACACGAAUUGUUGCACUUAGGCUUAUUCACUUUGAAAGUAAAUUUAUACUAAUAUUUAAUUACCUAGAUUAACCUAAUAAAAAUAUUUUUUUUAAUUAUUGUUUAGUUUUUAAAUAAUUGUUAAUAUUAGAAAUUAUCAAAUAAUAACCUAAUUUUUGUCAAGAUAUUCUAUUGACGUAAAUUCCAAAUAUGGUUUAUGUUUAUAAAGAUAUCAUAUAUCAUUAAUGAAUAUAUGAUUGUAAGUUAAAUAUCAUAUGAUACAAUACAUUGUACCAUAUGCAUAACUACUAUAUUAUUAUUUUAGAAAAUAAAAAAUGCAUUAUAUAUUAGUAAUAUAUUAUAUACAUAAAAACAAAAAUUGUAAGGUAUCUAACCACUUCUUAAUUAACAAUUGAUUAGUUUAAUUUUUAAAUAAUUUUAUGAUGUAUUAAUGAUCUUUAGCUUAACUACUAAAAUAAGAUAAUAAAUUAUGCCACAAAAGUAGCAACUAUUAUAGCUACUAAUUUGUUAAGGAUUGUUUUACACUUUUAUAUGUUUUUUAAUAAAAUAUUUAAUCUAUGAUUUUUAUUCCUUGCUUUAAAUUUCAAUUUUUAUUUUACUCUAAUUUCUAAUAUAUAAAUUCUGAUUUUUAAAUUUUUAAUUUUUAAUUUCUAAAUUUUAAAUAAUACAAAACUCAUAAAUCUUACAUUUUAUUUUUAGUCAAUUUUGUAAUUUAUAAAUUCUAAUUUUUUUAUUUUCUAAAUUUUCUAAAUUUUAAAUAAUAAAUAGUCCCAAUAAUAGGCAAAUAAUAAAGUUUCAAUUUUAUUUUUAAUCUAAUUUUUAAUUUAUAUUUUAAAUUUUUAAAUUUUUAAAUUCUAAAUUUUAAAUAAUAUAAAACAUAUAACAUCAUGAAAUGCAUUAAAUGCGCCGAGUUGUAGCAGCAUGCUACUGAGAUUUGGUUGUAGAGACGGCACAAUGGAUGGUAUGGAGUAUUGGUUGGGAAAUGAAAUGAAAAGAAAGUGAAAUAAAAAAGAAAAAAACAAAUCUCCCAAGCACCCACGUAGCACUGGGACUUUGAAAAGUGAGAAGACUUUCUCACCAACUCUCCAUCAUUUGCCUACAACUUUGAAAAUGAAAAAGAGCAUUACUUCCCACCACAUCUCUAACAUCUACCAUAACCUCCUGAACCUUCCACCAUUUUCACCAUCUCAUCUACCUUCUUAAAAAAUUGUUUCCCACUUGCAAGCCAUAUUCACCAUUCUCCACCAAAGUUUACCGAGCCGGCAAAGCUUCUUAUCUACCAUUUUCAUCGGUCUGUUAUACUACAGAAAUCUACCACUNNNNNNNNNNNNNNNNNNNNNNNNNNNNNNNNNNNNNNNNNNNNNNNNNNNNNNNNNNNNNNNNNNNNNNNNNNNNNNNNNNNNNNNNNNNNNNNNNNNNNNNNNNNNNNNNNNNNNNNNNNNNNNNNNNNNNNNNNNNNNNNNNNNNNNNNNNNNNNNNNNNNNNNNNNNNNNNNNNNNNNNNNNNNNNNNNNNNNNNNNNNNNNNNNNNNNNNNNNNNNNNNNNNNNNNNNNNNNNNNNNNNNNNNNNNNNNNNNNNNNNNNNNNNNNNNNNNNNNNNNNNNNNNNNNNNNNNNNNNNNNNNNNNNNNNNNNNNNNNNNNNNNNNNNNNNNNNNNNNNNNNNNNNNNNNNNNNNNNNNNNNNNNNNNNNNNNNNNNNNNNNNNNNNNNNNNNNNNNNNNNNNNNNNNNNNNNNNNNNNNNNNNNNNNNNNNNNNNNNNNNNNNNNNNNNNNNNNNNNNNNNNNNNNNNNNNNNNNNNNNNNNNNNNNNNNNNNNNNNNNNNNNNNNNNNNNNNNNNNNNNNNNNNNNNNNNNNNNNNNNNNNNNNNNNNNNNNNNNNNNNNNNNNNNNNNNNNNNNNNNNNNNNNNNNNNNNNNNNNNNNNNNNNNNNNNNNNNNNNNNNNNNNNNNNNNNNNNNNNNNNNNNNNNNNNNNNNNNNNNNNNNNNNNNNNNNNNNNNNNNNNNNNNNNNNNNNNNNNNNNNNNNNNNNNNNNNNNNNNNNNNNNNNNNNNNNNNNNNNNNNNNNNNNNNNNNNNNNNNNNNNNNNNNNNNNNNNNNNNNNNNNNNNNNNNNNNNNNNNNNNNNNNNNNNNNNNNNNNNNNNNNNNNNNNNNNNNNNNNNNNNNNNNNNNNNNNNNNNNNNNNNNNNNNNNNNNNNNNNNNNNNNNNNNNNNNNNNNNNNNNNNNNNNNNNNNNNNNNNNNNNNNNNNNNNNNNNNNNNNNNNNNNNNNNNNNNNNNNNNNNNNNNNNNNNNNNNNNNNNNNNNNNNNNNNNNNNNNNNNNNNNNNNNNNNNNNNNNNNNNNNNNNNNNNNNNNNNNNNNNNNNNNNNNNNNNNNNNNNNNNNNNNNNNNNNNNNNNNNNNNNNNNNNNNNNNNNNNNNNNNNNNNNNNNNNNNNNNNNNNNNNNNNNNNNNNNNNNNNNNNNNNNNNNNNNNNNNNNNNNNNNNNNNNNNNNNNNNNNNNNNNNNNNNNNNNNNNNNNNNNNNNNNNNNNNNNNNNNNNNNNNNNNNNNNNNNNNNNNNNNNNNNNNNNNNNNNNNNNNNNNNNNNNNNNNNNNNNNNNNNNNNNNNNNNNNNNNNNNNNNNNNNNNNNNNNNNNNNNNNNNNNNNNNNNNNNNNNNNNNNNNNNNNNNNNNNNNNNNNNNNNNNNNNNNNNNNNNNNNNNNNNNNNNNNNNNNNNNNNNNNNNNNNNNNNNNNNNNNNNNNNNNNNNNNNNNNNNNNNNNNNNNNNNNNNNNNNNNNNNNNNNNNNNNNNNNNNNNNNNNNNNNNNNNNNNNNNNNNNNNNNNNNNNNNNNNNNNNNNNNNNNNNNNNNNNNNNNNNNNNNNNNNNNNNNNNNNNNNNNNNNNNNNNNNNNNNNNNNNNNNNNNNNNNNNNNNNNNNNNNNNNNNNNNNNNNNNNNNNNNNNNNNNNNNNNNNNNNNNNNNNNNNNNNNNNNNNNNNNNNNNNNNNNNNNNNNNNNNNNNNNNNNNNNNNNNNNNNNNNNNNNNNNNNNNNNNNNNNNNNNNNNNNNNNNNNNNNNNNNNNNNNNNNNNNNNNNNNNNNNNNNNNNNNNNNNNNNNNNNNNNNNNNNNNNNNNNNNNNNNNNNNNNNNNNNNNNNNNNNNNNNNNNNNNNNNNNNNNNNNNNNNNNNNNNNNNNNNNNNNNNNNNNNNNNNNNNNNNNNNNNNNNNNNNNNNNNNNNNNNNNNNNNNNNNNNNNNNNNNNNNNNNNNNNNNNNNNNNNNNNNNNNNNNNNNNNNNNNNNNNNNNNNNNNNNNNNNNNNNNNNNNNNNNNNNNNNNNNNNNNNNNNNNNNNNNNNNNNNNNNNNNNNNNNNNNNNNNNNNNNNNNNNNNNNNNNNNNNNNNNNNNNNNNNNNNNNNNNNNNNNNNNNNNNNNNNNNNNNNNNNNNNNNNNNNNNNNNNNNNNNNNNNNNNNNNNNNNNNNNNNNNNNNNNNNNNNNNNNNNNNNNNNNNNNNNNNNNNNNNNNNNNNNNNNNNNNNNNNNNNNNNNNNNNNNNNNNNNNNNNNNNNNNNNNNNNNNNNNNNNNNNNNNNNNNNNNNNNNNNNNNNNNNNNNNNNNNNNNNNNNNNNNNNNNNNNNNNNNNNNNNNNNNNNNNNNNNNNNNNNNNNNNNNNNNNNNNNNNNNNNNNNNNNNNNNNNNNNNNNNNNNNNNNNNNNNNNNNNNNNNNNNNNNNNNNNNNNNNNNNNNNNNNNNNNNNNNNNNNNNNNNNNNNNNNNNNNNNNNNNNNNNNNNNNNNNNNNNNNNNNNNNNNNNNNNNNNNNNNNNNNNNNNNNNNNNNNNNNNNNNNNNNNNNNNNNNNNNNNNNNNNNNNNNNNNNNNNNNNNNNNNNNNNNNNNNNNNNNNNNNNNNNNNNNNNNNNNNNNNNNNNNNNNNNNNNNNNNNNNNNNNNNNNNNNNNNNNNNNNNNNNNNNNNNNNNNNNNNNNNNNNNNNNNNNNNNNNNNNNNNNNNNNNNNNNNNNNNNNNNNNNNNNNNNNNNNNNNNNNNNNNNNNNNNNNNNNNNNNNNNNNNNNNNNNNNNNNNNNNNNNNNNNNNNNNNNNNNNNNNNNNNNNNNNNNNNNNNNNNNNNNNNNNNNNNNNNNNNNNNNNNNNNNNNNNNNNNNNNNNNNNNNNNNNNNNNNNNNNNNNNNNNNNNNNNNNNNNNNNNNNNNNNNNNNNNNNNNNNNNNNNNNNNNNNNNNNNNNNNNNNNNNNNNNNNNNNNNNNNNNNNNNNNNNNNNNNNNNNNNNNNNNNNNNNNNNNNNNNNNNNNNNNNNNNNNNNNNNNNNNNNNNNNNNNNNNNNNNNNNNNNNNNNNNNNNNNNNNNNNNNNNNNNNNNNNNNNNNNNNNNNNNNNNNNNNNNNNNNNNNNNNNNNNNNNNNNNNNNNNNNNNNNNNNNNNNNNNNNNNNNNNNNNNNNNNNNNNNNNNNNNNNNNNNNNNNNNNNNNNNNNNNNNNNNNNNNNNNNNNNNNNNNNNNNNNNNNNNNNNNNNNNNNNNNNNNNNNNNNNNNNNNNNNNNNNNNNNNNNNNNNNNNNNNNNNNNNNNNNNNNNNNNNNNNNNNNNNNNNNNNNNNNNNNNNNNNNNNNNNNNNNNNNNNNNNNNNNNNNNNNNNNNNNNNNNNNNNNNNNNNNNNNNNNNNNNNNNNNNNNNNNNNNNNNNNNNNNNNNNNNNNNNNNNNNNNNNNNNNNNNNNNNNNNNNNNNNNNNNNNNNNNNNNNNNNNNNNNNNNNNNNNNNNNNNNNNNNNNNNNNNNNNNNNNNNNNNNNNNNNNNNNNNNNNNNNNNNNNNNNNNNNNNNNNNNNNNNNNNNNNNNNNNNNNNNNNNNNNNNNNNNNNNNNNNNNNNNNNNNNNNNNNNNNNNNNNNNNNNNNNNNNNNNNNNNNNNNNNNNNNNNNNNNNNNNNNNNNNNNNNNNNNNNNNNNNNNNNNNNNNNNNNNNNNNNNNNNNNNNNNNNNNNNNNNNNNNNNNNNNNNNNNNNNNNNNNNNNNNNNNNNNNNNNNNNNNNNNNNNNNNNNNNNNNNNNNNNNNNNNNNNNNNNNNNNNNNNNNNNNNNNNNNNNNNNNNNNNNNNNNNNNNNNNNNNNNNNNNNNNNNNNNNNNNNNNNNNNNNNNNNNNNNNNNNNNNNNNNNNNNNNNNNNNNNNNNNNNNNNNNNNNNNNNNNNNNNNNNNNNNNNNNNNNNNNNNNNNNNNNNNNNNNNNNNNNNNNNNNNNNNNNNNNNNNNNNNNNNNNNNNNNNNNNNNNNNNNNNNNNNNNNNNNNNNNNNNNNNNNNNNNNNNNNNNNNNNNNNNNNNNNNNNNNNNNNNNNNNNNNNNNNNNNNNNNNNNNNNNNNNNNNNNNNNNNNNNNNNNNNNNNNNNNNNNNNNNNNNNNNNNNNNNNNNNNNNNNNNNNNNNNNNNNNNNNNNNNNNNNNNNNNNNNNNNNNNNNNNNNNNNNNNNNNNNNNNNNNNNNNNNNNNNNNNNNNNNNNNNNNNNNNNNNNNNNNNNNNNNNNNNNNNNNNNNNNNNNNNNNNNNNNNNNNNNNNNNNNNNNNNNNNNNNNNNNNNNNNNNNNNNNNNNNNNNNNNNNNNNNNNNNNNNNNNNNNNNNNNNNNNNNNNNNNNNNNNNNNNNNNNNNNNNNNNNNNGUUCUAGAAGUUAUCAAAAAUGGAUUUUCCAUGGGGAAGAACAUGAAUCUCAACCUAAUGAGCAAAAUGAUAUUGGUGUUGAUACAGAAAUUGUUGACGCUACUGAUGCUGAUAUCCUUAAUGAAGUUGCGGAUGCAUUAAAUGAUGCAUGUGGACACAUAGACAAUGAUAUUAACUUAGAGGAAUCUACUACUCAUGGAAAAUUUGAUUACUUACUUGGUGAAGCUAAUAAAGAAUUGUAUCUAGGUUGUAAAAAGUUUUCUGCUUUGACAUUCCUUGUGAAGUUAAUGCAUAUUAAAGUCCUCAAUCGUUGGAGUGACAAGUCUUUUGACAUGUUACUCCAAGUUUUAGUUGAUGUUUUUCCAGAAAGAUCAAACAUUCCAAAGACAUACUAUGAUGCUAAGAAGAUGUUAAGAGAUUUGGGCUUAGGAUAUGAUUCAAUCCAUGCAUGCAAGUAUGAUUGUGCAUUGUUUUGGAAGGAGAAUGAGACUCUUGAUAAAUGUUCAAUGUGUGAUGAGCCACGAUAUAAGUUCUGUAAUGGAAAAGGUAAAAAAAUUCCUCAAAAAGUAUUGUGUCAUUUUCCACUAAAAUCAAGGCUACAAAGGUUAUUCAUGUCAAGGCAUACAGCAUCAGCUAUGAGGUGGCAUAAAGAAAACUGAAUCAGUGAGGAGGGAGUCCUAAGGCAUCCAGCAGAUUCUGAAGCUUGGAAGGAUAUGGACACCCAAUUCCCUUGGUUUUCGCAAGAACCUCGAAAUGUUAGAUUAGGGCUUGCAACAAAUGGUUUCAAUCCAUUUGGGAGCAUGAGUAAUAGUUAUAGCAUGUGGCCAAUUGUUCUUGUGCCAUACAAUAUGGCACCAUGGAGAUGUAUGAAAGAGAUGUUUUUCAUGUUAUCAUUACUAAUUCUAGGCCCACAAGCCUUAGGGAGAGAUAUUGAUGUAUACCUACGUCCUUUGAUAGAAGAAUUAAAAGAGUUAUGGCAUGAAGGUGUUCAAACAUUUGACAUGUCAACAGGAGAAAACUUUCGCAUGCAUGCAUGUGUUUUAUGGACAAUAAAUGACAUUCCUGCUUAUGGGAACUUGGCUGGGUGGAGUACAAAAGGAUAUAAAGCAUGUCCAGUUUGUAAUGAAGACACAUCGUCACUAAGUAUUAGAAGUAAAAUAUGUUACAUGGGUCAUCGACGUUUUUUACCUCUUGAUCAUGGAUGGCGAAGGAGUAAACAACACGAUGGUAAGCCGGAGUUUCGACCACCGCCAAGAAUGUUCUCUAGUGAUGAAAUAUUGCAACAAUUGUGUUGUCUUAAACAUCAGAAGCCUAGUAAGCAUCCAAACAACGUUGAUAGAAAGCAAAAACGGGUGCCUGAAGAAUUAAAUUGGACAAAAAAAAGUAUUUUCUUUGAGUUGGAGUACUGGUCAAAGUUGAAGUUGAGACAUAAUAUUGAUGUUAUGCAUGUUGAAAAGAAUGUAUGUGAUAGUGUUGUGGGAACUUUGUUAAAUAUUGUAGGAAAAACAAAAGAUAUAAACAAAGCUCGCUUAGAUUUGGCUGAUAUGAAUAUAAGGAAAGAAUUGCAUUUGCAAAUACAAGGGAACAAAUUGGUAAAACCCCAUGCAUGCUACACAUUGACUGUAGAGGAAAGGAAAGAGUUCUGUAAGUUUCUAAAGUCUGUUAAAUUUCCAGAUGGUUAUGCUGCAAAUUUAUCUAGAAAUGUUAGCAUCAAUGAUGGGAAGAUCUCAGGGUUAAAGAGUCAUGAUUGUCAUGUUUUGCUGCAAAAAUUACUCCCUAUCGCUAUUCGUCCAUAUUUUAAUAAAGAUUUGUGUACAACACUGGUUGAGUUGUGUAGUUUUUUCCAAAAGUUAUGUGCAAAGACCUUGUACAUGAAUGAUUUGGAAAAAUUAGAAGAAGGGAUUGUCUUAAUAUUGUGUAAGCUUGAAAGGAUAUUCCCACCAGCUUUCUUUGAUGUCAUGGUUCACUUGAUGGUACAUUUACCACGUGAGGCCAAACUUGCUGGACUAGUUAGUUAUCGAUGGAUGUAUCCAUUUAAGAGGUACAUUUUUACCUUUUUUGUUUAUUAAUAUUCUCAUCUAACUAUGUUACACAAUACAUGUGUUAAGGCUUAUUUAUUAACACUAUUUCUAUUUAGGAACUUAGGAACAUUGAAAAGAUAUGUGAGAAAUAAAGCUCGACCAGAAGGUUCAAUUGCAAAGGCAUACAUCGUGAAUGAAGCUUUAAUGUUUUGUUCAAUGUAUCUUACUGGAAUUGAAACACGUUUUAAUCGAAGUGAAAGGAACGAAGAUCGAUUUGAACAUCGAGUACAAGAAUGUCUUUCCAUAUUUUCAUAGCAAGCUCAACCAUUAGGCUGUCGAUAACAUCUCCAAUUUUCGAAGGAAGAGUUAACUAAGGCACAUUGGUAUAUCAUGAAUAAUUGCCCAGAGUUGAGACCAUACUUAGAGUAAGUUUUAGAAUCAACAUUAAAGAUAUUUCUUUAAUACCUCGUUACUUAAUAUCUAUUUAAUGAUGUAGUGAACAUACAAAAGAAUUGGAGAGGACAAGUUCACAUAACUUAGAGAAACGACAAGAACAAGAGUUUCCUAAGUGGCUUGCAGAUCGUGUAAGUUUUAUUUGUGUAAUUUGCUUGCUACAAUAUAGUUGUAAUGAACUAAUAUAAUUUUAAUAAUAUUUGAUAUUAAACUAUAAAUAAUUAUGUACAUUUAUAUUGUAGAUGAAAGCUUUGCAUGUUAAACAAUCACCAGAAGCAACUGAUGAACUAUACUCAUUAGCGUGUGGACUAGAUAAUCGAGUCCACACAUACAUGGGUUGUAUUGUUAAUGGAGUUCGCUUCCAUACAAAAGAUCAUGAUGAUCGGCGUAUCACCCAAAAUAGUGGGAUAUGUGUUUCUGGGGAGCAUGAUGGUGAGGAGGUUGAUUUCUAUGGUGUUUUAUCAAAUGUGGUUGUUUUGAACUAUGUCUUGGGGUAUAAGGUUAUUCUUUUCAAGUGCACAUGGUUCGACACAAACCAAAAGAAGAAGAGAAUAAAACAUGACUAUAAUUUUACCACAAUCCAAGUUAUCUCCACCUGGUAUGACAAUGAUCCUUUUAUACUUGCUACACAAACACAACAAGUUUUCUACCUAGAUGACUACAAAAAUGGUCAUAAUUGGAAAGUAGUACAAAAAGUGAAUCAUAGACACAUGUGGGAUGUACCAGAAAGGGAUACUAAUAUAGAAAUCGAUGAAGAAGUGUGCGGGGGAAGUGAUGAAGAAGCUUACCAAGAUAAUGAAUCUCAUGAGCUUAACUGGUUUGUAGAGCAAGAUGAUGGAUUUGAAUUUCAACGAUCUGACCGCUUAAACAUUGAUCUAGAAGUUGUUAAUGAUAAUGUUUUGAUUUUAGAGAACAUGAAUGACAAUGAUGAUAACUUCAUAUGUGAUGACAUUGAGGAAGAAGAUGAAACACUAGAUGAUUAUGCUAAUGAGAAUGAAAUGUGGCUUUCAAGUGAUAGUGAAAGUGAAAGUGAUUAAAGAGACUGGUAAGCUACAUUUUAUUUACUUUAUUAUAUGUUAAAUAACAUAAUGUAAUCUAGGUCUAGUUCUUUAAAUUUNNNNNNNNNNNNNNNNNNNNNNNNNNNNNNNNNNNNNNNNNNNNNNNNNNNNNNNNNNNNNNNNNNNNNNNNNNNNNNNNNNNNNNNNNNNNNNNNNNNNNNNNNNNNNNNNNNNNNNNNNNNNNNNNNNNNNNNNNNNNNNNNNNNNNNNNNNNNNNNNNNNNNNNNNNNNNNNNNNNNNNNNNNNNNNNNNNNNNNNNNNNNNNNNNNNNNNNNNNNNNNNNNNNNNNNNNNNNNNNNNNNNNNNNNNNNNNNNNNNNNNNNNNNNNNNNNNNNNNNNNNNNNNNNNNNNNNNNNNNNNNNNNNNNNNNNNNNNNNNNNNNNNNNNNNNNNNNNNNNNNNNNNNNNNNNNNNNNNNNNNNNNNNNNNNNNNNNNNNNNNNNNNNNNNNNNNNNNNNNNNNNNNNNNNNNNNNNNNNNNNNNNNNNNNNNNNNNNNNNNNNNNNNNNNNNNNNNNNNNNNNNNNNNNNNNNNNNNNNNNNNNNNNNNNNNNNNNNNNNNNNNNNNNNNNNNNNNNNNNNNNNNNNNNNNNNNNNNNNNNNNNNNNNNNNNNNNNNNNNNNNNNNNNNNNNNNNNNNNNNNNNNNNNNNNNNNNNNNNNNNNNNNNNNNNNNNNNNNNNNNNNNNNNNNNNNNNNNNNNNNNNNNNNNNNNNNNNNNNNNNNNNNNNNNNNNNNNNNNNNNNNNNNNNNNNNNNNNNNNNNNNNNNNNNNNNNNNNNNNNNNNNNNNNNNNNNNNNNNNNNNNNNNNNNNNNNNNNNNNNNNNNNNNNNNNNNNNNNNNNNNNNNNNNNNNNNNNNNNNNNNNNNNNNNNNNNNNNNNNNNNNNNNNNNNNNNNNNNNNNNNNNNNNNNNNNNNNNNNNNNNNNNNNNNNNNNNNNNNNNNNNNNNNNNNNNNNNNNNNNNNNNNNNNNNNNNNNNNNNNNNNNNNNNNNNNNNNNNNNNNNNNNNNNNNNNNNNNNNNNNNNNNNNNNNNNNNNNNNNNNNNNNNNNNNNNNNNNNNNNNNNNNNNNNNNNNNNNNNNNNNNNNNNNNNNNNNNNNNNNNNNNNNNNNNNNNNNNNNNNNNNNNNNNNNNNNNNNNNNNNNNNNNNNNNNNNNNNNNNNNNNNNNNNNNNNNNNNNNNNNNNNNNNNNNNNNNNNNNNNNNNNNNNNNNNNNNNNNNNNNNNNNNNNNNNNNNNNNNNNNNNNNNNNNNNNNNNNNNNNNNNNNNNNNNNNNNNNNNNNNNNNNNNNNNNNNNNNNNNNNNNNNNNNNNNNNNNNNNNNNNNNNNNNNNNNNNNNNNNNNNNNNNNNNNNNNNNNNNNNNNNNNNNNNNNNNNNNNNNNNNNNNNNNNNNNNNNNNNNNNNNNNNNNNNNNNNNNNNNNNNNNNNNNNNNNNNNNNNNNNNNNNNNNNNNNNNNNNNNNNNNNNNNNNNNNNNNNNNNNNNNNNNNNNNNNNNNNNNNNNNNNNNNNNNNNNNNNNNNNNNNNNNNNNNNNNNNNNNNNNNNNNNNNNNNNNNNNNNNNNNNNNNNNNNNNNNNNNNNNNNNNNNNNNNNNNNNNNNNNNNNNNNNNNNNNNNNNNNNNNNNNNNNNNNNNNNNNNNNNNNNNNNNNNNNNNNNNNNNNNNNNNNNNNNNNNNNNNNNNNNNNNNNNNNNNNNNNNNNNNNNNNNNNNNNNNNNNNNNNNNNNNNNNNNNNNNNNNNNNNNNNNNNNNNNNNNNNNNNNNNNNNNNNNNNNNNNNNNNNNNNNNNNNNNNNNNNNNNNNNNNNNNNNNNNNNNNNNNNNNNNNNNNNNNNNNNNNNNNNNNNNNNNNNNNNNNNNNNNNNNNNNNNNNNNNNNNNNNNNNNNNNNNNNNNNNNNNNNNNNNNNNNNNNNNNNNNNNNNNNNNNNNNNNNNNNNNNNNNNNNNNNNNNNNNNNNNNNNNNNNNNNNNNNNNNNNNNNNNNNNNNNNNNNNNNNNNNNNNNNNNNNNNNNNNNNNNNNNNNNNNNNNNNNNNNNNNNNNNNNNNNNNNNNNNNNNNNNNNNNNNNNNNNNNNNNNNNNNNNNNNNNNNNNNNNNNNNNNNNNNNNNNNNNNNNNNNNNNNNNNNNNNNNNNNNNNNNNNNNNNNNNNNNNNNNNNNNNNNNNNNNNNNNNNNNNNNNNNNNNNNNNNNNNNNNNNNNNNNNNNNNNNNNNNNNNNNNNNNNNNNNNNNNNNNNNNNNNNNNNNNNNNNNNNNNNNNNNNNNNNNNNNNNNNNNNNNNNNNNNNNNNNNNNNNNNNNNNNNNNNNNNNNNNNNNNNNNNNNNNNNNNNNNNNNNNNNNNNNNNNNNNNNNNNNNNNNNNNNNNNNNNNNNNNNNNNNNNNNNNNNNNNNNNNNNNNNNNNNNNNNNNNNNNNNNNNNNNNNNNNNNNNNNNNNNNNNNNNNNNNNNNNNNNNNNNNNNNNNNNNNNNNNNNNNNNNNNNNNNNNNNNNNNNNNNNNNNNNNNNNNNNNNNNNNNNNNNNNNNNNNNNNNNNNNNNNNNNNNNNNNNNNNNNNNNNNNNNNNNNNNNNNNNNNNNNNNNNNNNNNNNNNNNNNNNNNNNNNNNNNNNNNNNNNNNNNNNNNNNNNNNNNNNNNNNNNNNNNNNNNNNNNNNNNNNNNNNNNNNNNNNNNNNNNNNNNNNNNNNNNNNNNNNNNNNNNNNNNNNNNNNNNNNNNNNNNNNNNNNNNNNNNNNNNNNNNNNNNNNNNNNNNNNNNNNNNNNNNNNNNNNNNNNNNNNNNNNNNNNNNNNNNNNNNNNNNNNNNNNNNNNNNNNNNNNNNNNNNNNNNNNNNNNNNNNNNNNNNNNNNNNNNNNNNNNNNNNNNNNNNNNNNNNNNNNNNNNNNNNNNNNNNNNNNNNNNNNNNNNNNNNNNNNNNNNNNNNNNNNNNNNNNNNNNNNNNNNNNNNNNNNNNNNNNNNNNNNNNNNNNNNNNNNNNNNNNNNNNNNNNNNNNNNNNNNNNNNNNNNNNNNNNNNNNNNNNNNNNNNNNNNNNNNNNNNNNNNNNNNNNNNNNNNNNNNNNNNNNNNNNNNNNNNNNNNNNNNNNNNNNNNNNNNNNNNNNNNNNNNNNNNNNNNNNNNNNNNNNNNNNNNNNNNNNNNNNNNNNNNNNNNNNNNNNNNNNNNNNNNNNNNNNNNNNNNNNNNNNNNNNNNNNNNNNNNNNNNNNNNNNNNNNNNNNNNNNNNNNNNNNNNNNNNNNNNNNNNNNNNNNNNNNNNNNNNNNNNNNNNNNNNNNNNNNNNNNNNNNNNNNNNNNNNNNNNNNNNNNNNNNNNNNNNNNNNNNNNNNNNNNNNNNNNNNNNNNNNNNNNNNNNNNNNNNNNNNNNNNNNNNNNNNNNNNNNNNNNNNNNNNNNNNNNNNNNNNNNNNNNNNNNNNNNNNNNNNNNNNNNNNNNNNNNNNNNNNNNNNNNNNNNNNNNNNNNNNNNNNNNNNNNNNNNNNNNNNNNNNNNNNNNNNNNNNNNNNNNNNNNNNNNNNNNNNNNNNNNNNNNNNNNNNNNNNNNNNNNNNNNNNNNNNNNNNNNNNNNNNNNNNNNNNNNNNNNNNNNNNNNNNNNNNNNNNNNNNNNNNNNNNNNNNNNNNNNNNNNNNNNNNNNNNNNNNNNNNNNNNNNNNNNNNNNNNNNNNNNNNNNNNNNNNNNNNNNNNNNNNNNNNNNNNNNNNNNNNNNNNNNNNNNNNNNNNNNNNNNNNNNNNNNNNNNNNNNNNNNNNNNNNNNNNNNNNNNNNNNNNNNNNNNNNNNNNNNNNNNNNNNNNNNNNNNNNNNNNNNNNNNNNNNNNNNNNNNNNNNNNNNNNNNNNNNNNNNNNNNNNNNNNNNNNNNNNNNNNNNNNNNNNNNNNNNNNNNNNNNNNNNNNNNNNNNNNNNNNNNNNNNNNNNNNNNNNNNNNNNNNNNNNNNNNNNNNNNNNNNNNNNNNNNNNNNNNNNNNNNNNNNNNNNNNNNNNNNNNNNNNNNNNNNNNNNNNNNNNNNNNNNNNNNNNNNNNNNNNNNNNNNNNNNNNNNNNNNNNNNNNNNNNNNNNNNNNNNNNNNNNNNNNNNNNNNNNNNNNNNNNNNNNNNNNNNNNNNNNNNNNNNNNNNNNNNNNNNNNNNNNNNNNNNNNNNNNNNNNNNNNNNNNNNNNNNNNNNNNNNNNNNNNNNNNNNNNNNNNNNNNNNNNNNNNNNNNNNNNNNNNNNNNNNNNNNNNNNNNNNNNNNNNNNNNNNNNNNNNNNNNNNNNNNNNNNNNNNNNNNNNNNNNNNNNNNNNNNNNNNNNNNNNNNNNNNNNNNNNNNNNNNNNNNNNNNNNNNNNNNNNNNNNNNNNNNNNNNNNNNNNNNNNNNNNNNNNNNNNNNNNNNNNNNNNNNNNNNNNNNNNNNNNNNNNNNNNNNNNNNNNNNNNNNNNNNNNNNNNNNNNNNNNNNNNNNNNNNNNNNNNNNNNNNNNNNNNNNNNNNNNNNNNNNNNNNNNNNNNNNNNNNNNNNNNNNNNNNNNNNNNNNNNNNNNNNNNNNNNNNNNNNNNNNNNNNNNNNNNNNNNNNNNNNNNNNNNNNNNNNNNNNNNNNNNNNNNNNNNNNNNNNNNNNNNNNNNNNNNNNNNNNNNNNNNNNNNNNNNNNNNNNNNNNNNNNNNNNNNNNNNNNNNNNNNNNNNNNNNNNNNNNNNNNNNNNNNNNNNNNNNNNNNNNNNNNNNNNNNNNNNNNNNNNNNNNNNNNNNNNNNNNNNNNNNNNNNNNNNNNNNNNNNNNNNNNNNNNNNNNNNNNNNNNNNNNNNNNNNNNNNNNNNNNNNNNNNNNNNNNNNNNNNNNNNNNNNNNNNNNNNNNNNNNNNNNNNNNNNNNNNNNNNNNNNNNNNNNNNNNNNNNNNNNNNNNNNNNNNNNNNNNNNNNNNNNNNNNNNNNNNNNNNNNNNNNNNNNNNNNNNNNNNNNNNNNNNNNNNNNNNNNNNNNNNNNNNNNNNNNNNNNNNNNNNNNNNNNNNNNNNNNNNNNNNNNNNNNNNNNNNNNNNNNNNNNNNNNNNNNNNNNNNNNNNNNNNNNNNNNNNNNNNNNNNNNNNNNNNNNNNNNNNNNNNNNNNNNNNNNNNNNNNNNNNNNNNNNNNNNNNNNNNNNNNNNNNNNNNNNNNNNNNNNNNNNNNNNNNNNNNNNNNNNNNNNNNNNNNNNNNNNNNNNNNNNNNNNNNNNNNNNNNNNNNNNNNNNNNNNNNNNNNNNNNNNNNNNNNNNNNNNNNNNNNNNNNNNNNNNNNNNNNNNNNNNNNNNNNNNNNNNNNNNNNNNNNNNNNNNNNNNNNNNNNNNNNNNNNNNNNNNNNNNNNNNNNNNNNNNNNNNNNNNNNNNNNNNNNNNNNNNNNNNNNNNNNNNNNNNNNNNNNNNNNNNNNNNNNNNNNNNNNNNNNNNNNNNNNNNNNNNNNNNNNNNNNNNNNNNNNNNNNNNNNNNNNNNNNNNNNNNNNNNNNNNNNNNNNNNNNNNNNNNNNNNNNNNNNNNNNNNNNNNNNNNNNNNNNNNNNNNNNNNNNNNNNNNNNNNNNNNNNNNNNNNNNNNNNNNNNNNNNNNNNNNNNNNNNNNNNNNNNNNNNNNNNNNNNNNNNNNNNNNNNNNNNNNNNNNNNNNNNNNNNNNNNNNNNNNNNNNNNNNNNNNNNNNNNNNNNNNNNNNNNNNNNNNNNNNNNNNNNNNNNNNNNNNNNNNNNNNNNNNNNNNNNNNNNNNNNNNNNNNNNNNNNNNNNNNNNNNNNNNNNNNNNNNNNNNNNNNNNNNNNNNNNNNNNNNNNNNNNNNNNNNNNNNNNNNNNNNNNNNNNNNNNNNNNNNNNNNNNNNNNNNNNNNNNNNNNNNNNNNNNNNNNNNNNNNNNNNNNNNNNNNNNNNNNNNNNNNNNNNNNNNNNNNNNNNNNNNNNNNNNNNNNNNNNNNNNNNNNNNNNNNNNNNNNNNNNNNNNNNNNNNNNNNNNNNNNNNNNNNNNNNNNNNNNNNNNNNNNNNNNNNNNNNNNNNNNNNNNNNNNNNNNNNNNNNNNNNNNNNNNNNNNNNNNNNNNNNNNNNNNNNNNNNNNNNNNNNNNNNNNNNNNNNNNNNNNNNNNNNNNNNNNNNNNNNNNNNNNNNNNNNNNNNNNNNNNNNNNNNNNNNNNNNNNNNNNNNNNNNNNNNNNNNNNNNNNNNNNNNNNNNNNNNNNNNNNNNNNNNNNNNNNNNNNNNNNNNNNNNNNNNNNNNNNNNNNNNNNNNNNNNNNNNNNNNNNNNNNNNNNNNNNNNNNNNNNNNNNNNNNNNNNNNNNNNNNNNNNNNNNNNNNNNNNNNNNNNNNNNNNNNNNNNNNNNNNNNNNNNNNNNNNNNNNNNNNNNNNNNNNNNNNNNNNNNNNNNNNNNNNNNNNNNNNNNNNNNNNNNNNNNNNNNNNNNNNNNNNNNNNNNNNNNNNNNNNNNNNNNNNNNNNNNNNNNNNNNNNNNNNNNNNNNNNNNNNNNNNNNNNNNNNNNNNNNNNNNNNNNNNNNNNNNNNNNNNNNNNNNNNNNNNNNNNNNNNNNNNNNNNNNNNNNNNNNNNNNNNNNNNNNNNNNNNNNNNNNNNNNNNNNNNNNNNNNNNNNNNNNNNNNNNNNNNNNNNNNNNNNNNNNNNNNNNNNNNNNNNNNNNNNNNNNNNNNNNNNNNNNNNNNNNNNNNNNNNNNNNNNNNNNNNNNNNNNNNNNNNNNNNNNNNNNNNNNNNNNNNNNNNNNNNNNNNNNNNNNNNNNNNNNNNNNNNNNNNNNNNNNNNNNNNNNNNNNNNNNNNNNNNNNNNNNNNNNNNNNNNNNNNNNNNNNNNNNNNNNNNNNNNNNNNNNNNNNNNNNNNNNNNNNNNNNNNNNNNNNNNNNNNNNCUUAGUGAACCGUCAAAACCAGGCCCUGGGAGAUUGUUUGAGACCAUACAAGGAUUUUUGGAGUCUACAAACCUUGUUGAAAUUUGAUGUUGUCUCAAGUCCAGCAGGAAUCUCCAUGUAAACUUCUUCCUCUAAGUCACCAUUGAGGAAGGCACUCUUCACAUCAAGUUGGUGAAGCGACCAAUCAAGAUUAGCUGCCAAGGAUAAAAGUAUACGAACAGUAUUGAGGUUGGCAACUGGAGCAAAAGUUUCUUGAUAGUCAAUGCCAUAGGAUUGGGUGAAUCCUUUGGCGACCAACCGAGCCUUAUACCUGUCCAUAUUACCAUCUACCUUGUAUUUUACUGUGAAAAUCCACUUACACCCAACUGGUUUCUUACCUCUUGGGAGGUCAGUAAUUUCCCACGUACCAUUCUUUUCUAGCGCCCGAACUUCCUCAUCGACUGCCGCCUUCCACUUAGGAUACUUGAAAGCUUCCUGAAUAUUCCGAGGAACUUGUAUCUCUGUGAUGCUAGAAGUGAAUGCACGAAACGUAGGUGAUAGCUUAUCAUAAGAAAUAAAAUUUCCAAUGGGAUGCUGAGUGCAUGAUCUAACUCCUUUCCUCCAAGCUAUGGGCAUAUUAAGAAUAUCAUUUUCUAACUCGAAAUCAACAGUACCAUCAAGAGCGUUGUUACCUGGAAGUUUGCUUGGAUUAGGACCCGGUUCAGCCUCAUGGGUUUGUUGAGAAAGUGCUCCUUCCUCCGUUUCCUCUUGGAUGUGCUCCUUAUCCCACAAGUCAACAAUGGACUCAGGCUUAUUAAAUGACUCUGGAGGAAUGUGAUUUUCAGUGGUGAUGGGUGACUCACUGAAUGACUCAAGAUCCCAAAAUUGAUAUUCCUGAGUUGAAUUCUCCCCCUGAAUAUCGUUUUUGGGAUAGUAAGGCUGGGUUUCAAAAAAUGUGAUAUCCAUUGAAUUGUAGAAUUUUCUUGUGACUGGAGAGUAACACUUAUACCCUUUUUGAUUUGAAGAAUACCCAAGAAAGAUGCACUUGAGUGACCUAGGAUCAAGUUUACUUCUUUUUUGUUGAUUGAUAUGAACAAAGACAGAGCACCCGAAAAUUUUGGGUGGGACGGUGGAGAUGAGACGAGUAGUCGGAAAGGAUUUUAGGAGUGUUUGACAAGGUGUUUGGAAUUUUAGUACCCUAGACGGCAUCCUAUUGAUGAGGUAGGCUGCCGUAAGGACAGCUUGCCCCCAGAAUAAUUUUGGAACAUUCAUGGAGAACAUUAGUGAUCUAGCCACCUCUAACAAAUGCCUAUUUUUCCUUUCAGCGAUUUCGUUUUGUUGUGGGGUAUCAACACAUGAACUUAAGUGAACUAUCCCUUCUUGUGCUAGAAAUUCUCCUAGAAUGGAGUUGAAAUAAUCCCUAGCAUUAUCAGACUUUAGAAUUUGUAUUUUUGACUGGAAUUGGGUCUGAAUCAUAUUUUUAAAAUUUUUGAAAAUUUGACUCGUUUCAGAUUUUUCUUUCAUGAGGAAUACCCAAGUUAAUCUAGUGUGAUCAUCUAUGAAUGAGACAAACCACCUAGUACCAGUUACAUUUUUUAUUCUUGACGGACCCCAGAUAUCGCUAUGAUCAUGAGAUGGACUAGACUCUUNNNNNNNNNNNNNNNNNNNNNNNNNNNNNNNNNNNNNNNNNNNNNNNNNNNNNNNNNNNNNNNNNNNNNNNNNNNNNNNNNNNNNNNNNNNNNNNNNNNNGGGAAGUGAUGAAGAAGCUUACCAAGAUAAUGAAUCUCAUGAGCUUAACUGGUUUGUAGAGCAAGAUGAUGGAUUUGAAUUUCAACGAUCUGACCGCUUAAACAUUGAUCUAGAAGUUGUUAAUGAUAAUGUUUUGAUUUUAGAGAACAUGAAUGACAAUGAUGAUAACUUCAUAUGUGAUGACAUUGAGGAAGAAGAUGAAACACUAGAUGAUUAUGCUAAUGAGAAUGAAAUGUGGCUUUCAAGUGAUAGUGAAAGUGAAAGUGAUUAAAGAGACUGGUAAGCUACAUUUUAUUUACUUUAUUAUAUGUUAAAUAACAUAAUGUAAUCUAGGUCUAGUUCUUUAAAUUUAUGUUAUGUGUUGUGAUAUUCCUUUUUUAUUAUUAUUUAUUUGUCUUUAUUGUUAUUUUAUUAUAGAUGACUCCUGGACGAAAGCGGUCACCUUCUGAGUUAACUCAACCACCCACAACAACACCCAUGACUCCUUUUUAUGUCGAUGUUCCAAUGCACACAUCCAAUGAGGGCACUAGUAGUUGUAAGAAACUUCUUACAUUUAUAUAUUUUACUUAUUAUAAUUUUGUAAGAUAUUUUUUUUUUAAAUUUUAAAUUAUAAUGAGUUGUAAUUUAAUUUUAGUCUUUUUAUUAACUCUUAUUAAUUGUUAAAGUUUAAUCAAUAAUUUCAUGGUAGCACCUAAUAAAGAAAUUUAAGAGGCAAAACUAGAGGUGUCAUUCUUGACAAACUUAUUGAAGCUAAUGGGGGCAAACCUCUUCCGAUCACAAUCAAGCCAUCUAAUGGGAAGCAAACAGGAAAAUAUUGUGAGAAAUUGUCAAAUGAGAUUGGGUUAAUAGUGAGACAACAUGCACCUGUUAGAGUGGAAAAAUGGAACCAAAUGCCUCGAGCUGAGAUCAAUACAAUGCUUGAUCGAAUCAAGGUAAAGUUGCUUGAAAUAUAUAUAUAUUUUUUAGCUUGUAAUUAUAACUAAUUGUUGGUUAUCUCUAAACUUACUUUAUCUCAUAUUAGUUCUUCCCUUGUUUGACUAUGAAGGAAAAGUUUGCCCUAGAUUUGACACAAGAGCAUGUGAAGAAAAGUUUAGAAAAACAAUUAUCUGACCGCUUUAGAAAUUGGAGAUGUGAUUUGCACAAGCACUUCAAAAAGUUCCCAACUGUGGUGGAGGCUAAGCGAAAUCCUCAUGAAUCUGUGUCAAAUCAGGAAGAUUGGGACUACUUUUGUGAUAGAUUUUCAAGUGAAGAAUUUAAGGUAAAGUUUUCAAUGAAUAAUCAUUCAAACCUAUUUCUUAUUGAAUAUUCUACUAACUAUAUUUAUAUUAUUUUCAAUAAUAACUAUUAUUACAGCGUCGUUCAGCAAUCAAUUCAGUAAAUAGAUCAAAGAUGCCUUUUCAUCAUCGAGGAGGCUCUCGUUCAUUUAUCCAACAUGGUCUACAAGUGGUAAAAUAUAAAACUAAGGUUCUUUAGUUAUUCAUAUAACUUAUAAUUCUUAAUAUUAAUGCAUAAUACUUGACAGCCAACAGAGAAUGGAGAGAUGGUUGGCCAAAUUGAACUAUUCAAACUAGUUCAUUGGAAAAGUCAAGAUGGAUGGAUAAAUCAAGAGGCUAGAUAUUAUUAUGUAAGAUUAUUUUGAUAGCUUUCUAUGUUUAAAUCAUGUUUGGGAUUAUGAAUCUUUGUGGAAGUGUCAUCGUGAUAGUUUAUUUACCAUGUUUUGAUAAAUAAGGCACUUCCUUGGUAGUUUUCAUAAAUCUAUAAAUUUUGAUUUGGUUAUUGAUUGCUUGGGUGUUCAAUGUUGUUAAAUUGAUUAAUAGCAGGGAAAAUUUGGCAAAGUCUAAAAAUUAGGAGAGACUAUGCCAAAAUUUCUAUUGAAAUUUUAUCUUACCAACUUAUUAUUAUAACUUUUCUUACUCAAAAUUACAUUUAAGAUUAUUAGUACUUGUAAAGUAUUAUUAUAUCAACUUGUAUACUAGAUUCUUAUUUCAAUUUUUAUAUUAUUUAGUGUGUGAUUACAAGCUAAUUAGGUUCUUCUUAGGUAGAAUCCUUGAAGUAAACUUUUGUUUGGGCAUUAACUAAUCAUAAAUCUUUAUUGUUAAAUAUUUGAUUAUGUGGUUGGUAAAAAUUUGUGGAAAUAGUAAAGAAUUAAAGAGGGAUUAGUAUAUUAUUAACUUGAAUAUAUAAUAGGUCAAAUUUUGGAAAAAAAACUAAGAAAUAUAAGAGAAUAUGCCAAAAUUUAAAUAGGAUUUUUAACUUGUUAACUUCUUGUUAUAAUUUUCUUUGCUUAAAAUUAAGUUGAGAUUCUAUGUACUUUUCAAUUUUUACCAUUUUAUUAUGUAUAUAAGAAUCUUGUUUAUGUGAUAACAAGUUUAGAUACUUUUUUUAGCCAUUUCUUUGCUUAAAAUGAAGUUUAGGAUUAUAUGUGCUUGUGGGGUGUUACAAUAUUUGUAUAAAAAAUAUCAUAUCCUUAUUUGAAAUCUAAUAUUAAGGGACUAUUCCAAAAUUUAAUUAGGAUUUUUAACUUAUUAACUUCUUGUUGUAAUUUUCUUUACUUAUAAUUAAGUUGAGAUUCUAACUACUUUUCAAUUUUUAUCAUUUUAGUAUGUAUAUAAGAAUCUUGUUUAUGUGAUAACAAGUUUAGAUACUUUUUUAGGCAUUUAUUUGCUUAAAAUGAAUUUUAGGAUUAUAUGUGCUUGUGGGGUGUUAUAAUAUUUGUAUAAAAAUAUCAUAUCCUUAUUUGAAAUCUAAUAUUAAGGGACUAUUCCAAAAUUUAAUUAGGAUUUUUAACUUGUGAACUUCUUGUUAUAAUUUUCUUUACUUAUAAUUAAGUUGAGAUUCUAACUACUUUUCAAUUUUUAUCAUUUUAGUAUGUAUAUAAGAAUCUUGUUUAUGUGAUAACAAGUUUAGAUAUUUUUUUAGGCAUUUCUUUGCUUAAAAUUAAGUUUAGGAUUAUGUGUGCUUGUAGGGUGUUACAAUGUUUGUAUAAAAAUACCAUAUUCUUAUUUGAAAUCUAAUAUUAAGGGACUAUGCCAAAAUUUAAAUAGGAUUUUUAACUUUAUAACUACUUGUUAUAAUUUUCUUUACUUAUAAUUAAGUUGAGAUUCUAACUAAUUUUCAAUUUUUAUCAUUUUAGUAUGUAUAUAGGAAUCUUGUUUAUGUGAUAACAAGUUUAGAUCAUUUUUUAGGUAUUUCUUUGCUUAAAAUUAAGUUUAGGAUUAUGUGUGUUUGUGGGGUGCUACAAUGUUUGUAUAAAAAUACCAUAUUCUUGUUUGAAAUAUAAUAUUAAGGGACUAUGCUGAAAUUUAAAUAGGAUUUUUAACUUACUAUCUUCUUGUUAUAAUUUUCUUUACUUAAAAUUAAGUUAAGAUUCUAACUACUUUUGAAUUUUCACCAUUUUAGUAUGUAUAUAUUAUUCUUGUUUAUGUGAUAACAUGUUUAUAAACACUUUUUUAGGCAUUUCUUAGCUUAAAAUUAAGUUUAGGAUUAUGUGUGCUUAUGGGAUGUUACAAUGUUUGUAUAAAAAUACUAUAUUCUUGUUUGAAAUCUACUAUUAUUUACCAUAUAAUAACAAAUUAAGGCACUUGGAUGUUUUGUUGUGCUAAAAAUCAAUUUGAUUAUUAACUAAUUUGAAAUUCCAAUGCUUAUAUUUAUUAUAUAUAGUAGGUAUAAUUUAAAAAAUAUCUACUAAAUAUGGGAGAUCAUGCCCAAAUUUAAUGGAAAUUUUAAUUUACUAACUUAUUAAUUAUGUUUUGGUUCUUUUUUUUUUGUUUUAUUUUUUAUUUUGCAUAUAUAGGAGAAGAUGUUGGAGCUUUAACGCCAGCCUAUUGCAGAAGGAGCUGUGGCUAUGACUGAGGUAGAAAUUUGUGAGAAAGUUUUGGGACAAAAAUCAGGAUAUGUCAAGGGCCUUGGUUUUGGCCCUAAACCAAUCUCAUUUUCUAAAUCUAAACCAUCAUCUUCUGAGCGUGAAAAUGAGUUGGAGCAUAGACUUAUUGAGACUCAACUACUUGUGGAGACUCAACAACAAUAACUUGAGACUCAACAAGAUCGAAUUGACCAAUUGGAGGCCUUCGUACAAAAACAAAAUCAACAACAUCAUCAACAAUUUGAAGAAAUAUUGCGUCAUCUAUGAUCAAGCCAAGGGUCCUCAUGAUCCCUUUUUUUAUGAUGUGCAUAUGAUGGACGUUCAUUUCUUUUUUUUGCCUAUGCUAAUAUAGUUGUUUUGUGAUAGACAUUUUGUUAAACUAAUACUUUAUUUUGUUUUGUAGUUAUAUUAGCGUAGAUAUUAUACUACUAUGAUCACAUGUUAUGGUUACAUAUAUUAAUUACCAAUGAAGUUAUGUGAUAUAUAUUUUGAUUUUUGUAAGCAGGUUUCAGAAUUAACCUUUCUAUUAUAAUUAAUGUUUUAAAUACCAAAUGCCAUACAUUUGUAAUAUGAAAAAUAAAAAAUGUAAAUACAUUUCCUGACAAAAAAAAAAAAUUGUUACUAAAGAUAUUUCCUGAUGAAAUAUUUUUGUUGCUGAAGAUUGUUGUAUCAUCCACAACUAAUUUAUAAUUCACUGGCAUACGUUUUAGGGACAAAAUCAUUUUGUAAAUAAAAGGAUUUAGCAACGAAAUGAAUUUGUCAGUAUUAAUGAUAAAUAUUUUAGUUCAAAAAAAUCCUUUAGCAAUGAAAUAUCUAUUUCAUCAAGAAAAACUUUUAGUGACAAAAUGGAACUUUCGUUGGGAUUGCAAAGCAUAGGGAGACGAAAUUAAAUUGUUACAAAAAAUAUUUGGCAGCAAAAUAAAUUUGUUAGCACUAAGUAUUGACGACUUUGAGGACAAAAAUUUAUAUUUUUUAGUGGCAAAAAUUCUUAUUUUUGUUAAUGAAAAAUUUCGUUGGGGAAAAUAUUUAGUAACAAAAUUUUUAUUUCAUCAGGGAAAAUAUUGGGCGACGAAAUAGGAUUUUUGUCGGGAAACUUUUAGCGACGGGUCUAAGGCAACGAAUGUGACACGAAACAUUUUUCGUUGGGAAAUAUUUUUGCAGACGAAAUUUCGACUUUUAGUGACAAAAUAUUUUAUCAUUGAAAGUUAAUUUUCUUGUAGUUAAAUGAAAACAAAUUGAAAUACUUUUGUAAAUAAAAUUGUAAUUUUUUUUUGUAAAAGCAAGUAAAAAUCAUUUUUGUUGCCAAAUUGAAAUUUUGCAAUAAAUUAUUUUGAUAUAAUAAGUGAAAAUAAAUUUUUUUGAAAAUUAAAUACAAAUGAAAUUGAAUUAAAUCAUUAAUUAAAAAUAAAUUGAAACUUCUUUUUUGGCAAUAAAAAAAAAUUAAAAUCAUUAAUUUAAAAUCAUUUUUAAUAAAUACUUUGAAAUUUCUUGAAAAUUAUUUUUUUAAUAUUUUUUUUUAGUUCAAUAAAUCAUUUUGCAUAAUUCUCUUAUUAUUUAUUUUGUGUAUUCUUGUAAUUAGAUUUCAUCAUUAUUUUUGUGUAUAUUAAUUUUCACCAUGACUUGUACAUACUCAUUUACAUGAUUAUUUUUCUUGGUAUCCAUAAUUAAUUAAUUAAUCAUCACAAUUUCCUUAAUUCAUUUAGUAGAGGGCAUACGUAUACAAGCUUAGAGGGGUGUUACAGCUCAUUACAAUACCUUCCCGAUAUGUAACGGGGGACUCAAACUCAAUUUUUCACAAACUUGUUUUUACUUCGAGAGUCACAUUUAAGGUUUUUCUUUUUUAUUUUGUUUUUCCCUUAAAAAAAUAAAACAAAAAUCAGUAACGACUUUAAGUCUUUUUUAAAAAAUCAUAUUUUUUACCAAAUAAAUAAAAAACGAGUCUCGUUGUCGAGUGGAGACGCACAUGAAAAACGUAGGUCCACACCGAUAUAUUAUAUUAUUUUUUAAUUUAUUUAUAAUUUAAAACUAAUUUCAUUUUUUAUAAGACCUCAAUUAAAUUUCUAUUAAUUAAAUUUAGAAUAUUUUUACAAAAUCAAUAUAGAAAAAUUAUUUAAAAAAAAAAAAAAAAAAACCAACUUGUAGACUCCUUCUCUUGAGCUCUAUUUUUUUUAUGGUCUGAAACAAGGGGGCAUGGCAUGACCCAAGGGAGAAAUUUUCGAUUUUUUAGUGAAGGAGGGGACACCUCCCAAGAAGGUAGCUGCCUUGGACGUGUGGCAAGGGAGAUUGGCUGCCCAUGAAAGUGGUUGCAAGCCCAUGCUUGCUGUGAGGUGAAUAGGAGAGUGGGUGGUGGCUUGCCAAGGAAGGGAAAAAGAGAGAGAAAAAAGGGGAGUUAGAGCUGAGGGCAAGGGUGGAGCCAGAGAGAAAGGAGAAGCCCGAAUGAGAAGAAGGGAGAGGUACGACAUUUACCAUGACUCUUUGGACUCACUUGAUGUAUAUAAUCUCCUUAUUUUUCUCUUAAUAGUUUCGAGUAGAUUAUUCGAACAUAUGUUUCGUUUUAUGGUUCAUAGUUAUGGUUUGGAUGCUACUAUCUCUUUCAUAUUUUUGGUUUGUUUUGAGAGCAAUGAAGCUCUGUUUUAACCUCCUCCUCAUGGCCAUUACCGUGCUCAUCAUCCACCCCCAAUACCCACAUCGUCACGCACCAAUAUACCAGCUCCAUUUCAUCACCAUCCCACGUUCCAUGCAUGGCUGUCACCCUCACCCAUCCUCCCAAUCACCUUUUCUCUCUCUACCCGCCAUACCCAUCCUUCACCCGCAUGCGCGGAACCUGGUAUAUUUGGCUGCCCACCAUGCCCGCGUUCAGCUCAUCUCCACAGGAACCCCCAAAGCCGCCCGUCUACACGCGUGUGUCCCAUGCAUGCAAGCCGCCCCAUCCCUCAUUUUUUUUUGCUGCAUGCACCGCGUCGACAAGGCGUCUGCUCCUCACCAGCCACCAUCACCCGCUCCAGCCAUGCGGGCAUUUGCACCAGCCACCAUGGCGGCAGCAUCUCUUGGAUGCCAUGGGACUACCACCAUUGCUCCUUGAAGACUUUGAAGACUAAAAUAUGAAGAAUUUGAAGACAAACUAUGGAGGAACACAGACUCAAUUCAUUCUGUGAUUCUUUUUUUUUUUUUUACAAUGAAAGAAAGCAUAAAUAAAUAGCCUACAGAUAUGAGAUAAUUCCGGAAUGGUACACUAUCACUGGACGGAAUUUCCCUUACAUGGAAAGUGUUACAUGGAAAGUGAAUAAACUACCUUGCUAGAAUUACUCCUAAAUCAAUUAUAAUAAAGGUUGUACAUUACACUAAUUCAGGGAAGUAAACAGAGGAUGCUAAAUAUGGGGAGGAACAUGCACAGGCAGGAAGGCGACGUGGGCUUGAUUUCCAACACUCCCCCUCAAGCCGCGUUGUAGAUGUUGAUCAUUCCAAGUUUUUCUGUCAGAUCUUCGAAGUUAACUCGAGCAAGAGCUUUUGUGAGAAUGUCAGCCGUUUGAUAGUUUGUCGGAGUGUAGCUGACUUUGAAAACUCCUUCUUCAAUCUUUUCCUUGAUAAAGUGUCGAUCUAUCUCCACGUGCUUAGUUCGAUCAUGAUGAACCGGAUUCUUAGCGAUACUGAUGGCAGCUUGAUUGUCGCAGUAUAACACCAUGGGAUGCUUCAAUGGAACCCAUAAUUCUUCUAGCAGCCUGUUCAACCAGAUUUCCUCGCAGAUACCUUGUUCCAUAGCACGAAAUUCUGCCUCAGCACUGCUACGGGCUACCACUGACUGUUUCUUGCUUCGCCAUGUAACCAAGUUCCCCUAGACAAAUGAACAAUAGCCUGAAGUUGAUCUCCGAUCAGUCACUGAACCUGCCCAAUCUGCAUUUGAAAAAAUCUCAAUCUCUUUCUUUGUUGUUCUUUGAAAGAAAAGACCCUUUCCCGGUGUCAUCUUGAGGCACCUCAAUAUUCUGAUCACAGUAGUCAUGUGUUUUUCGGUUGGAUUAUUCAUGAAUUGACUUACCACACUAACGGAGAAGCCGAUGUCUGGCCUUGUAUGAGAAAGAUAGAUGAGUUUCCCCACAAGACGUUGAUAUCUUCCUUUAUCAACUGGCGCACUUCCAUCACUUUCUUCCAGUUUGACAGUUGUAUCCAUAGGUGUUUCUGCUGGCUUGCAUCCUAGCAUUCCUGUUUCAUUCAAUAAGUCCAGAACGUAUUUGCGUUGUGAGACUGCUAUACCUUUCUUUGACCUAGCAAUCUCCAUUCCGAGAAAGUACUUGAGGUUUCCAAGAUCCUUGAUCUCAAAUUCCUUUGUCAGUAAUUUUUUAAGUAAGUCAAUUUUCUCUUCAUGAUCACCUGUCACNNNNNNNNNNNNNNNNNNNNNNNNNNNNNNNNNNNNNNNNNNNNNNNNNNNNNNNNNNNNNNNNNNNNNNNNNNNNNNNNNNNNNNNNNNNNNNNNNNNNGAUAGUGCCACAACAUAAUUGCACUAUUGUUAUUUUGACAUGAAACCGAAAAAGAAUUACUACCAACUGCCAUUUGAGGUUGUUCUUGUGGAUCGUGGCGCUCCUUAAGGAUGUAGAGUCCAGAGCAUUCCUCAGCAUUGCCAAUCGUCUUCCCCGAAUCCAAAUCCUGAAAUUCACAGUGAGUGGAGGAAAAAUUAGUAAUACACCUCUUUUCCUUAGUGAGUUUACUAAUUGACAAUAGAUUACAGUCCAAGUUAGGAACAAGGAGAACAGAGUUGAGAGUAAGAUCCCUUGAUAGCACAACUGAACCUGUUCCGGCAACCUUUGAUAGUGAACCAUCUACUAUUCGGACUGUUAAAUUAUUUGGACAUGAGCUAUAUGUAUCAAAAAUUGUCGCAUCUCCCGUCAUAUGAUCAGAUGCUCUUGAAUCCACGAUCCAAGGUUUUUUACGUUUCUUACCAGCAGUGAAGGCACUCAAAAAAUUACCUUUGUGAGCCAAGGUUCCGGAACCAAUGACCUGGUUGGAAGAUGAGCCAGUUUGUGACUGUACUGACAAAAGAGGAGACAGUAGUUUCUGAAGCAUCUCCAUUUGCUCCUUAUUAAAAGGGCUAGCUUCAGGUUGUGGCGAUUGUUCAUCGGUAGCCACAUGAUUGCCUCGUCCUUCUUUCUCAGGUGGUUGACGUGGCUUCCAAUCUACUGGCUUUCCAUGAAUCUUCCAACAAGUUUCUCUUGAGUGUCCCGGCUUUCUGCAAUGAUCACACCAAGGUCUACCUCCUUUAAUUUUUUGACGGUUGUCAAAAGGAGCGAAUUGAGUCUUAAGAGCCGAGCUUUCUGCCAUAUUCAAUUGUUGAUGGGAUCCCAUCAUGAGAUUUUUCCGACUUUCUUAGCAACGGACUUCAGAGAAUGCCUCUCUGAGGCUAGGUAGAGGUUUUACUCCCAUGAUUCUUCCUCUAAUUUCAUCAAGAUUUUUGUUCAAGCCUAACAAAAAUUUAAACACACGUUUCCCUUCGACAAUCUUUUUAUACAACAAACCAUCUGUAACACAAUUCCAGUUAUGAACCUCAAACGUAUCAAGUUGACGCUGAUUCGUCCCUAGCAGUGGAAGUGGCAAUGACACCAUUUGAUUCGAGGUUCGAUCCCCGGCAACGGCGCCAUUUGAUUCGUCCCUAGCAGCGGAAGUGGCAAUGGCACCAUCUGAUUCGGGGUUCGAUCCCCGGCAACGGCGCCAUUUGAUUCGUGCCUAAUUGGUGUCUCAGCUGAUUCGUGUCCAGCUGGUGCUCCUUGAUUGAGGGAUUAAUCAACAAAAUUUAUAACCUAUUACACCAUAUACUAGGGUAGCAAAGACAAAGCUACUAUAGCAUAGUGGCUCUAGGAUCGUUCACUAGGAUGGGUUUUCACUUCACAAAUGAUGUUAAUUCAAAGUUGAAUUGGUGCCUUUUCAUUUCAAGGUUAGCUUUAAAAGAAAACAUAAAGAUGCUUGAAUGAAAAAAAUUUGGUUUUAAACUAACCAAAAAUAGUAACUGAUUUUACUUAUAAAGAAAAGUGUUUCUUGGAGUUCAGAUCACUAGGCUCGUUCCUCAUACAAAAUGGAGAGUUCCGGUCACUUGUUUAUUUUCCUCGCAUUAGAGAAUUAACAUAUAGUUCCUUCUCCAACCGGUGUUGUACAGAUGCUUCCCAUUAAUGGGUUCAAACACUAAAUCUCUCUCACUGAUGCAUCUUGCAAUGGUUCAUGCCUCUCACGAGCACUUACCAUUCAAGAUGAUCUUUAACCUUGGAUUUCCCUUCUCAAACUCGCAAGAGAUAACUAAUGGAUGUCUCCUUGGAGUCCAAAAGCUUACCAAGUGUUGGCUAUUCUAGAAAAUCCUACCUACAAGUCACCUCCCAAAGGCUCGCAAGGGGUAAACUAGUGCAUUUCCAUGGUUGGAAAUCACUUGCCUUACCAAGUGUUAGCCCAGGUGACUCUAAGGUGUUUUAAGUUAACUAAAAACAUAGAAAUCACUAACGGGUUACACUUUCUCUUCAUUAAAAACUAAAACAACAAAACUUCCAAAUUAUGCAUGUGGAAACUUACCCGGCUUUCCUCACUCCAAGAGACAAAAAGCUUAGCCUCUCAUCCUCUGUGGAAAAAUCCUCAGAGUUUGGUUGGCUAGAAAAUGAAAAUGAAAGAGAAGACAAGAAUAUAUAUCAAAAACAGAGCAAGUGCUCUGUUCGUUGAUUCUAUAUAUUGGAUUACAUGAUAUAUCUGAUUACAUGCCCCUCUUACAGUGGAUGCAAGAGAGUUUAUAUAGGAAUGUUUUUCCAACCUUCCCAACUAAGAAAUCUUAUGGUUGGUGGAUUACAAGGAGAGGAAUGGAAAUUUAUACAAAAAUAUCUUAAGAAAAGAUCUAAAAGAGUCGGUGGCAAAUAUCGGGAAGCAUUAAGGACCAUUUCGCAGGUGAAAAUGGUGUCUGCGAGAUUUCGCAGACACUCAAGAGGGCUGCGAAAUAUUUUCGCAUCAACAAGCUGAACUCGCAGGACUGCGAAAUUGGCUUCCACCUUGAGGUUCUCAGAGUUCCAGCUUGUGGCAUGUAUCGGGUAGCUUCAGGAGGAAUUCCAUAGCACUGUACAAAAAGGCUGCGAAAUUCUCGCAACAAAAGGCUGAAUUCGCAACACUUUGGAGUGAUCUGCUUGCAAUGGCUGUAACUCCUUCGUUUCAACUCCAAAUCGUGCACCGUUUGAAGCAUUGGAUUCUUGACUUCCUGAGCUUUGAAAUGGUAUAUAGAAUAUAUAAAAUGGACUUCGUGAAGUGUUCCAAAAGUGCGCAAGAAGACUGCAGUUGGCUUUCCUCUGUUUUCUUCACUCUGUUUUCCUCUUCUCCUUGCUUCUCUCCUUGCAUACUUUGAACGACUUUGGCAAAGGGCUAUGGAGCUCCAAAGCUUGGUUCUUCAUGAAUUUGAGCUCUUCAUUGCUUUGCCAUGGAUUCCAAAUAACUCUCCUCAAUCUUGGAUUGUUUUGGUGAUCAAAUUACUAACAAAAACACCAAAACUUACACAAUUUGAUUAGAAAUGAUUGCAAGGGUCCUUAACAUGUUAAUUGAGUUAAAAGGCAAUAACUACUACUCAAAAGUGUUUAAAAGGAUUAAUUACAAGCUACAAAAUAGCACUUUUUGAGUAGUAAUCACUCCCCCCAACCGACAUAUUGCUAGUCCCUUAGCAAUGAAGGUGAUAAAAACUAAGUAAACUAUAAUAAUAUACAUAAAAUGGAUCAUGCAAAUCACUCCAAAAAAUGAUAUGAGUGGCAUGAUGGACAUCCAUGGAUCAAUAAAGAUGUGAAACUCAACCUAUAAUAAGAGUUGUCAAAGCAUUCACUUGAUCAUAGAGUACAAAGAAUGGAUAUUAUGCAGGUUUAAGCAUCAAAAGAAUUUCCACUCUCAAAAGAUCCAAAUCAAAUUCUUCCACUAAAAGCUAAGUGUUAAUGUGAUUAGCUUCCGAGUAUAGUAUGGAUAACUAUCAUCUCCCCCCAACCUAAGUCUUUCUUUAAGCUUAGCAAAAUUAACCAUCUCUUGAUAGGCUAGGAACGCACCUCUUAUUCACAAUUCUUUUCACUUACUAAACUUAACCAAUUCACCCAUGUAACAAGCAGAGGAUCGGUGACUCCCAACCAAUAAAGGCUUAGGGCACCAGGCUUUAAAGGCUUUCGCCACCCCUUCGGACCAUGCUCAGGUUUCAAGGCAAGUAAAGAAGUUUAUUCUUUUUUUUUUUUUUCUUUUUCUUUUUUCUUUUUUCUUUUUCUUUUUCUUUUUCUACAAAGACUCAUUGGUCUUUAUGAGGUGUCCCAACACUAUUAAAGAGAGGUUAAGGGUGUCAAAUUAUGAUUUCUCAAGCUUAGAGGGUGAGAUAGUUUCACAUCUUAUAACCGGAAUCUAAUGUAUGUGUGUGCGAAUAGCUUAAGGUGGAAGAGAUAAGUUUGCAUGCAAUGGGAGUUUCAACAAUUCAUCAACUUUUAGAAGAGCAUAAUACAAACUCUAAGACUCAUGUAAUCAAGUUGAAACUCGACUUCUCUCAUUUAAUUUUGAGAGUUAAUCCUUAAUAUCCAUGGAGUUUAAAGCAAAAAUUUUAAAAAUUAAGCAAAAAACAACUAAAUUACCAAAAUAACUUAGCAUUAUUAACAAUACUUACUUCCUCAACUCUCCCCCCAACCAAGCUGAACAUUGUCCUCAAUGUGACAAAAGCGAUUAAAAAAUAGGGAGGAAGUGGUACCUCCUUAGUGACAUGGAGUCUGAGUCGUAUAGGAGAAACCACAUGUUUCAAAGAAAACAUAAAAGAGUUAGUGAGUAGAGGAAAUAAAAAAAUGCCAAGUUUAAACAAAAAAUGAUGUCUAUGUAUGAUGCAUCAUCAGUAAUACAUCCAAUCCCAGAAUAUAAGACAUCAAAACAUGGAAUUAUCUAUACUAAUAUAAUAUGUAAAGACAAAAAGUAAAGAGAUGAUCAUGUAAUGGUAAGGUCCUGUGGAGCUGAUGUGUCUGUGGUGGCCUCUUGAAUGGGUUGGAUCAGGAUUUUGGCCUCUGUUCUGGUAGUCUCCUUAAGUGGCAUGGUCUCCUCAGCUGGAGCUCUCAGUUAGAGCUAUGAGCUUUGAUGGUUUAAGGAGGUCAGAAAUGGAGUGAGAGGCUUGGUGUGUGUGAUCUCAAGGUGUGCGGGGCUCUCCUCUUCAGAUGCAUGGUUGCAGAGCUCUAUUGGCAUUUUAGCAACUUCCCUUGGCUUUGCAAAGUGUUUUUGCAAAUCACCCUCCAUUUUGCAAGUCAAUUUCGCAAUUUGAAGGCCCUUUCUAAGCUUGGAGGUGAUUUCAUAGCCAUUUCGAAGCUUGGAGAUCAUUUCGCAGAAAAGUGGCAUGUUCACAGACCAUUUUUUAAGCUUGGAGCAUUUUCGCAGCUCAUAGGUGAUUUCGCAGCCAUAUCGAAGCUUGGAGAUCAUUUCAUAGCCAUUUCAAAGCUCAAAAGUGAUUUCGCAGGUGUAUCGCAGCUUCAAAAUGAGGGGAAUUGUGCUGCAAAUGGCACUCGUGUGCCAAAAAGUGGUUUCGCAGCUGCGAAACACCCUUCCAAAUGGCGUCUCGGCUGCGAAAUUCCCGUUUAGCUUUGCGCGCUUGUCUUCAAACGGCCAUAACUUCUUCAUUUCAAAUCCAAAUCGAGUACCGUUUGAAGCUAUGGACUCCUGACUUCUCAAGAUUUGAAACGAGAUAUCAUGUGCAUAAUUUGAGCUCCAGAAAGUGCUUCAAAAAUGUGUCCAACAGUAGCGAAAUUGAGGUGCGACAUUUCCGUUCAUAGUUUGCACAGUCAUCUUCAAAUGGCCAUAACUUUUCUGUUUCAAAUCCAAAUCAAGUACCGUUUGAAGCUGUGGACUCUUGACUUCCCAAGCUUUCAAAUGAGAUAUUGUAUGAAUAAUUUGAACUUCGGGAAGUGAUCGAAAUGUGUCCAACAAUUGCCAAAAUGGGGGUGCGGCUGUGAAAUUGGGAUUUUUCAUGUUUUGGAACUUCGCAGCCGUUUCGUAGCUGCGAAAUGAGGGUUACUGUGCUGCGAAAUGGCACUCGUGUACCAAAACCGGCUUCGCAAUUGCGAAAUACCCUGCGGAAUGGAGCUUUGGCUGCGAAAUUGAGAAUUUUCACGCUUUGGAGCUUCGCAGCCGUUUCGCAGCUGCGAAAUGAGGGUCACUGUGCUGCGGAAUGGCACUCGUGUGCCAAAAGUGCUUUCGCAGCCGCGAAAUCCUUUGCGAAAUGGGACUUUUGUUGCGAAAUCAGCCUUUUUCACUUCGCAAUGCGUUUCGCAGCUGCGAAACAUAUGCUCCUGUGCUGCGAAGUGGCACUCGUGUGCCAAAAUGGGUUUCGCAGCUGCGAAAAUUUUCGCAGAGACUUCUACAGUGUUGCGGAAUGGUUUGGCAACAAAAUGCCGAUUUCGCAGAGGCUGCGAAAUCUCGCAGACCCUUGUUUUUCCCCUGUUUUCGCUCCGUUUGACUCCGAUUUUGCUCUGAUUUUUUUUCUUCAAUUUCUUUGCAAUUCCUCUUGAUUUUGAUCAUUCAAAAACCUAUAUUACAUCAAAACAAAUUAGAAUUAAAGCAUUGAAAUCAAAAUUAAAGCAUUGAAAUCCAAAUUAAAACAUUGAAAUCAAAAUUAAAACAAGAAAUUAACAAAACAAAAAGAUAUGGACUAGCUAGUCUUUAAAAAGACUAAGUCCAUCAAAAAAUUUGCUCAUGAUUUAGCUUGCCCGGAUCCCAUAUGAAGCUUACAUCCCUCACUUGAGACUUGGUUUGUAUGAUUUUGCCAUACAAAGCUUGGAGAAAAGGUGGAGGCAUGCGUUUCAUCAUUUCUUCCUUGAUGACUAUCCUCUGUGGUUCUCUUUGUACAUUAAUAUCAUAGCCAUCAUUCUCUAUGCUUUCCCCCUUUUUCUUUCCUUUGAUUUCCUCCCUAUUUUCUUUCUCUGUUUCACUCUCUUCCUUAUGCUCUAGCUUGCAUGUGGGCAGAUCAACCUCUUUACCACUCCUCAGAGUGAUCACUUCUUCAAUUUCCUUCACCAUUGAAGAUUCUCCCUCUUGAGCCUCCACUUCAUGGAUGCCCUUGGAAUUUUGACAAGGUUGAGAAGGAGAGUUUUCUUUCUCUUGCACUAUGUUGAGGUUGGCAAGCCUUGAGAUUGAAUCUUGGAGAAUAUCUAACUUUUGAGAUAGAUCAUUUUGCAUUUCAUCCAUCCUUUUAUUCAAAGUACUCUCCACUCUAUCAAUUCUUUGAUCGACUCGAGCAUUGGUGGCUUCUUGCUUUUCAAUAAAAUCUCCCAUGACCUUGCAAAGAUUCACCAUAGCUUGUUCAAGGUUUGAGGCUUGCUGUGGUGCUUGAGCAGGUUGCUGAUACUGAGGUGGCUGUGGUUUCCAAGAGAAAUUUGGAUGGUCCCUCCAAUUGGAAUUGUAGGUGUUGCAAUCACCAAACAUUUCCCUCUCGGCUGGAAUGGUAGGACACUCAUCCACCAAGUGCUCAUAUGAUAGACAAAUGGCACAAGGCAUAGCUUGCAAUGAUGACUGAGAGAUGGCUUGCACUUGUUGCAUAUUCGUCAUUUCUAGCUUUUCCAAUCUCCUUUCCAUAGCUGCAAUCUCUGCCUUCAUGUUCAUACCAUCAUUCAAAAUAUACAUCUCACCCUUAGCUUUAGGUUGAGAUGUCAUUCUUCCCAUAUCUCUAGCAUUUGGUUCAUUCCAUCCUCUUGAGACUUCAGCCACAUAACUCAUGAAGUUCAUGGCUUCCUCUGCUAUGGUAUUCAAUAUGGCAUGCACAACUAGCAAUUUAUGAAUUAAAAACAGAGAACACAAAAGAAAAUAAAAGAAAAACAAUUCAAAGAAAGAAAAUUAAGGUAAACUAAAAACUAAAUAAAAGGUAUACUAAAAUAUGAACAAUAAAGAAAUAAAAAGAGUUAGUAAAAGGAAAAGAAAAGUCACCAAACUUGUGAUGAAGAUCACAAGUACUCUAGAAAGGUGAUAUCACUGUAAAGUGGCACCAUCCCCGGCAACGGCGCCAUUUGAUUCGUCCCUAGCAGUGGAAGUGGCAAUGGCACCAUUUGAUUCGAGGUUCGAUCCCCGGCAACGGCGCCAUUUGAUUCGUCCCUAGCAGCGGAAGUGGCAAUGGCACCAUCUGAUUCAGGGUUCGAUCCCCGGCAACGGCGCCAUUUGAUUCGUGCCUAAUUGGUGUCUCAGCUGAUUCGUGUCCAGCUGGUGCUCCUUGAUUGAGGGAUUAAUCAACAAAAUUUAUAACCUAUUACACCAUAUACUAGGGUAGCAAAGACAAAGCUACUAUAGCAUAGUGGCUCUAGGAUCGUUCACUAGGAUGGGUUUUCACUUCACAAAUGAUGUUAAUUCAAAGUUGAAUUGGUGCCUUUUCAUUUCAAGGUUAGCUUUAAAAGAAAACAUAAAGAUGCUUGAAUGAAAAAAAUUUGGUUUUAAACUAACCAAAAAUAGUAACUGAUUUUACUUAUAAAGAAAAGUGUUUCUUGGAGUUCAGAUCACUAGGCUCGUUCCUCAUACAAAAUGGAGAGUUCCGGUCACUUGUUUAUUUUCCUCGCAUUAGAGAAUUAACAUAUAGUUCCUUCUCCAACCGGUGUUGUACAGAUGCUUCCCAUUAAUGGGUUCAAACACUAAAUCUCUCUCACUGAUGCAUCUUGCAAUGGUUCAUGCCUCUCACGAGCACUUACCAUUCAAGAUGAUCUUUAACCUUGGAUUUCCCUUCUCAAACUCGCAAGAGAUAACUAAUGGAUGUCUCCUUGGAGUCCAAAAGCUUACCAAGUGUUGGCUAUUCUAGAAAAUCCUACCUACAAGUCACCUCCCAAAGGCUCGCAAGGGGUAAACUAGUGCAUUUCCAUGGUUGGAAAUCACUUGCCUUACCAAGUGUUAGCCCAGGUGACUCUAAGGUGUUUUAAGUUAACUAAAAACAUAGAAAUCACUAACGGGUUACACUUUCUCUUCAUUAAAAACUAAAACAACAAAACUUCCAAAUUAUGCAUGUGGAAACUUACCCGGCUUUCCUCACUCCAAGAGACAAAAAGCUUAGCCUCUCAUCCUCUGUGGAAAAAUCCUCAGAGUUUGGUUGGCUAGAAAAUGAAAAUGAAAGAGAAGACAAGAAUAUAUAUCAAAAACAGAGCAAGUGCUCUGUUCGUUGAUUCUAUAUAUUGGAUUACAUUAUAUAUCUGAUUACAUGCCCCUCUUACAGUGGAUGCAAGAGAGUUUAUAUAGGAAUGUUUUUCCAACCUUCCCAACUAAGAAAUCUUAUGGUUGGUGGAUUACAAGGAGAGGAAUGGAAAUUUAUACAAAAAUAUCUUAAGAAAAGAUCUAAAAGAGUCGGUGGCAAAUAUCGGGAAGCAUUAAGGACCAUUUCGCAGGUGAAAAUGGUGUCUGCGAGAUUUCGCAGACACUCAAGAGGGCUGCGAAAUAUUUUCGCAUCAACAAGCUGAACUCGCAGGGCUGCGAAAUUGGCUUCCACCUUGAGGUUCUCAGAGUUCCAGCUUGUGGCAUGUAUCGGGUAGCUUCAGGAGGAAUUCCAUAGCACUGUACAAAAAGGCUACGAAAUUCUCGCAACAAAAGGCUGAUUUCGCAACACUUUGGAGUGAUCUGCUUGCAAUGGCUGUAACUCCUUCGUUUCAACUCCAAAUCGUGCACCGUUUGAAGCAUUGGAUUCUUGACUUCCUGAGCUUUGAAAUGUUAUAUAGAAUAUAGAAAAUGGACUUCGGUAAGUGUUCCAAAAGUGCGCAAGAAGACUGUAGCUGGCUUUCCUCUGUUUUCUUCACUCUGUUUUCCUCUUCUCCUUGCUUCUCUCCUUGCAUACUUUGAACGACUUUGGCAAAGGGCUAUGGAGCUCCAAAGCUUGGUUAUUCAUGAAUUUGAGCUCUUCAUUGCUUUGCCAUGGAUUCCAAAUAACUCUCCUCAAUCUUGGAUUGUUUUGGUAAUCAAAUUACUAACAAAAACACCAAAACUUACACAAUUUGAUUAGAAAUGAUUGCAAGGGUCCUUAACAUGUUAAUUGAGUUAAAAGGCAAUAACUACUACUCAAAAGUGUUUAAAAGGAUUAAUUACAAGCUACAAAAUAGCACUUUUUGAGUAGUAAUCAGACGCCAUAGACGAGUAAGAGUAUUGAAAUAUUCAGUUAACGUAAGGUUUCCUUGACGCAAAUCGUGGAGGAUGCCUUCAAUCUGGAUGAUUUCAGAUGUGUUUUCCUUGUCUGAGAAAGUUUCUUUUGCAGUGUCCCAGAUUUCUUUGGCAGUAUCAAAUGAUAGAAAAUUUUCACCAAUAUCAGUGGUCAUAGAGUUGACUAGCCAGGACAUGACCAUAUUAUUUUCUGCUAUCCACUUUUUGUAGGUUGAUGCUGUGGUUUUUGGUGCCACCGAAGCUCCGGUGAUGUAGUCAUCUUUCUCCUUUCCCUGUAUAAACAUUAAUAUGGACUGAGACCAUUGCAAAUAAUUUUGCUCAUUCAGUUUAUGGGCUGUGAUUGGAAGAUGAGAGGUUUCCAUCUGAUGAGAGGAUGAAGACGAUGAGAUGAUGAUAUCAGAAGUAGAGGAUGAUGAGUUGGUAGCCAUUCCAAAGGCUGGACCGUAUUUAGGCAUAAACUAGAAGAAUAGAAUUGAGUAGGAAAAAAAAAUACUGACUAAAGAUGAAGACGAUGAGACAGGAUUAAACCUGCUCUGAUACCAUGAAGAAUUUGAAGACAAACUAUGGAGGAACACAGACUCAAUUCAUUCUGUGAUUCUUUUUUUUUUUUUUUACAAUGAAAGAAAGCAUAAAUAAAUAGCCUACAGAUAUGAGAUAAUUCCGAAAUGGUACACUAUCACCGGACGGAAUUUCCCUUACAUGGAAAGUGUUACAUGGAAAGUGAAUAAACUACCUUGCUAGAAUUACUCCUAAAUCAAUUAUAAUAAAGGAUGUACAUUACACUAAUUCAGGGAAGUAAACAGAGGAUGCUAAAUAUGGGGAGGAGCAUGCACAGGCAGGAAGGCGACGUGGGCUUGAUUUCCAACACUCCUCUCUCCAUGGUGUCGCCGGUGGUGGGAGCUUCCUCUAAGGAUGAUAUCCAGGCGGAGAGGCAAGCUAUGAAGGAGAUGAAGUCUUGGGCUUGAGAAGAAGCCCAACCCAAGCAUGUUGAUGGAGCCAUGCCAUCUCAAAUAAGUGGGAUGUGAGGGGAAAUGAUGCCUUGGGCUUGCCCAUGGUGGGAAUGGAUUUGGGCUUAAGUUGAGGCACCAGGCCCAAGCUAUGAUGAUGAUGGUGCCUUGGGAAGAGAAUGUGUGAAGAAGAACCCAGCAUUUUGGACAAAUCCCUCAUCAUUAUCAAAAUCUGAGCCAAUCGCCAUGAAUCAAUGGAAAAAAAAUGCUUUAAAUCAACAGCAAAGACAUACCUUCUUGUCUACGUAGUCCGCCCAGAACCUGGCCUGAGCUCUCUGGUAUGGGUCACUAGGCAAAAGCGGAGAUUUAUCGUGCCAAACCUCAUCAAUAUACUGAACUAUUAUCAGAGACUCACAAAUGGGCUUUCCAUUGUGGAUCAGAACCGGGAUUUUCUUAUGAACUGGAUUCAUCUCAAGAAGCAGAGGGCUCUUAUUCCUAAGGUCCUCCUCUUUAUAUUCAUACUUGAGGCCCUUCUCUGCCAGGGCAAGUCUGACCCUAAUACCAAACAUGCUAGGCCAAAAAUCCAACAAGAUAAUCUCGUCUGUCAUUGCUCCUACUGUGAUCAAGUAUUGAUGAACAACCCAAGGGAUAUUGUCAAGUAUUUAUAGCAAAUCUCAGAGAGUGAGUCAAAACCUUGGACAUUUCUAGGAGGUGGUGAUGGCGUGAUGCUCAUUCCUUAUCUCAGCAUACACUUUCCUUCCAUAUUAUAUCCUUAUCUCGGUUUUCUUUCUCUCUCCAGAAUUCCAAAAUUUUAAGUUUUUCUAUAUUUUUUUAUCAGUCUAGAAUUUUUUUUUAUCAAAUCUCAGUUUAAUGUAUUCACUUUUUUUAUUAAAAAAAAUUAAAAAUGUCAGUUGAGAUAUUCUUAUAUUUUUAUCAUUUGUACAAAAAUAAUUUAAUUUUAAAAUUAAUAUCAUAUUUAAAUCCAAAAAUAUUAUCAGAUAGAAAGCAAUUUAGCGUUUUUUUAUAUAUAUAAUAUCUGCAUUCAAAAAAAAAAAAUCAGCACAUUUAUUUAUUUUUAAAAACUUAUUAAAUUUUAAUUUUACUAGUAAAUAAUAGAAAUUAAAAUAAUGAACUUGUGCCAUAAGUUUGUGAGAGAAGUAAACUUUGGUUAUGGAGCAUCCAAUGCUCUGGUUGCUUCCACGAGAGGUCAUUGCUGUCGUCAGCCCUGGUCAACUAAGUACACUUGUCCACUCCAUGAAAUAUAUUUAUGUUAUUUUUUAUUUUAAAUUUUUGGUAGGAGAACUCUUCGCUAUGAGAAAAAAACACACUCUCAAAUGUGGGAGAUUGUCAUAAAAAAAAAAUUAAUAAUAAAUAAUAAUAAAUACGGGGUGAUCUCACCACUUACAUAUCUCCUCCGUCAUAAAACCAGAAUCAUUGAAUAUGGUUCUAGUUUACUAUGGUUCUAGCUUUAUGGCUUGAUUAAAAUUUACAAUUUUUUGUUUGUAUUAAAAUAAAAUAGAUAUAUAUUUUUUCAUAAAAAAAUCAUAUUAAAUAUUUUAUUUUAAUUUUAAAAUAUUUUUAUAGUUCUUUGCUCUUAAUAGAUAAAGACAAAAGAUUUAUACUCUAUUUAGUAAUUAUUUUUUGAAAUAAUUUUCUGUUUUUGAAAACCAAAAAAGAAAAAAAAAAAACAAGAAAACAAGAAAACAAAUUUGACAAUUUUAAAAAAAAAAAAUUGAUCUUAAAAGCAAAAAUAUGGUAUUUUUGAAAACAUAUUUUAUUGGUUUUCACUUGAUUUUUUUAUGGUUAUUUAAAAAGUAAACAUGCAACAUAAAGAGUGAUUAAAAAUAAAACAUUACACAUAAAAUUUAUUAUUAAAAUAUAUUUAAAAAUAUAGAAAACAACUUAAAAAUAUUUCUAUUCCAAAACAAAUUUUUUGUCUAUAAAAUAUCAAAAAAGAAAUUUCAAAAACUAUUUUUAAAAAUUUAUUUUUCAGAAUUGUUUUAAAAAUAAGUACACCAUAUAUAUAUAUAUAUAUAUAUAUAUAUAUUAUGUAUGUGACUCAUUUGCUCUAAUUGGACAUGAUCUUCCAUUUUUGUAGGCCUAGGCUGACAUAAAGGGCUUUCACUUUUUUUAUGGGCUUGAGGCUUUCACAUAUCCCAUUCUACAUCCUAGAACCCUACGUACAUCAAUUGAAAAAAUAGAUACGUCGUAUUAAAAAAUAAGCACAUCUUAAAAAAUAAGUACAUCUAUACUUGACUCAUUUGUCCUAUUUUGGACAUGAGCUUUCAUUUUUAUAACUGACUCAUUUGGCCAAUUUUUUGAGGUCUUUGCAUAUCCCAUUUUGCAUAGAAGAACUUUGGGUAUAUCCUUCAGAAAAAAUAAAUACAUCAUAUUGUAAAAAUAAGUACAUUCCCUUAAAAAAUAAUUGGUACAUAUUAUUUUCAUUGUAUAGGUGACUUGUUUGGCUUAUUCUUGUUUGGCAUGUCUUAUCCAACUUGUUUUAAUACUUGUUUAUGUGACAUGAAACGAUGGAAUGGACUAGAAUCUCCCCUGUGACAUUUAGUCAACUUCAAAUAUCUUAGUAACUCUAGUUAGAAUUGUUGAUUAGGUCAUCUAUUUGAACUUUUAUGCACCCUAAUAUCUUGUGAAACACCCUCUAGGCUCUAUUAUAUGGUAGAUAGCUUUAGAAAAUGUCCCUUUUCUUUUUCAUAUGUAAAUUUUUGUCCUCAUCUGGAACCUCCUACAAACCCUUUCCAAUCCUUUACCACUUGGGCAAGCCUCAAGUGGUACCAUUAAAGUGAUAAGCUUUAGAAGAUGUUCUUAUCACUCUUUACUUCAAUUUUUCCUAGGUUUUUGCCAUAUCUAAGGAUGAAGCAACCAAAAUCCCUAAAACUUUUAAAAUUAGCUAGGCUUCUUUUAUUGUAAAGAGUUUGAGUAGCAUCAAUUUUAUAGUAAAUCUAUUAAUUAUGUAAUAAGUUGUAUUAACUUCCUCUACUCAAAACUGUUAAACUAAGCCAUUUCCAUUAAGCAUCUGGAUGCCAUAUGUUGAAGAGUUAUACUUUCUCUUUGUAAAUCUAUUUUGUUAUUAGUUUCUUGUAGGUUUUUAAAGGCAUAUGUACAUUAGAAGUUACUCAUUCAUUCAAUCCGUCCAUCUCCAAAGAACAUGAUGCUUCCUUCAUAUUCAAGAAGGCUUGUAAAUUUUGUUUCAUCACUGUGUUAAGCAACUAUGAUAAAUAAAUAAAUAAAAAACAGUAUGAGUUUUCUUCUAUUACCCAAAUUCUAUGAAAUUAUUUAGAAGCUCUUUUUGGGGUAAUUCAAUUUUCUGCUUUGUUCAAGGGGCUUUUUAUUUUCUUUCAUUUUAUUUUGAAAAUCAUUAGGUUUUCUUUUCUUGAUUCCCUUUUCCACUGUCCUGUUAAUCUGCAUUGAUAUUAUUUAUCUUAAUUAAAUUAGCAUCACAAAAAAUACUUUUAUUUACGUACGAUCUUUAUUAGAGAAUAUGAUAUAUAUUAUGAGUCCAAAUCUUAAUGAUACAAGCUUUUAGAAAAAUUGGUUUUGUCAAUAAGAUAUUAAAAUGUCAUUUAGUGAAAGAUCAUGAGUUUGAAUAUGUUUAUUUCUCUAAUUAAGCUUUUAAUUUUUUUUUUAAUAUAUAGGUUUAUGAGUUUGUUUUAAUACUUGUUUAUGUGACAUGAAACGAUGGAAUGGUAGUUAAAAACUCUUUUAUUUCUUUAAUACAAGAACACAGCUCAGCAAACCCACCAACCCUCAGAAAGGGAUUUCAACCGGAAAGAUUAACGAUACAAUUUCAAAGAAAAAACUUAAGCAAACAGCCAAACACUCAUAUAUAUUAUCUAAUAUUAACUAAACAACACUACUCAAUAGCCCAUGAUGUUUCCCUUUUACUCUAUACCAAGCUUCUUUCUUAUCCUCACAACAAAUCCAUGUGCCCCUUCUACUCUAUACCAAACCUCUUUCUCAUCCCCAUGAUAAAGCCAUGGACCUUGUGUGGGUCUUCCAGAGAAGACGACACGCUCUCCUUUUCCAUGCACCUCUUGGUCCAAGCUACCAACUUGGGGCACUCCGCCUCUAUGCUGAAGUUGCCAAAGGUCUCGUAUGCAUAAAACCAGCAAGAGAAGGUCACCAGGGCCACAUCCACAAACCCAAUUUUUUCACCCCCGAAGUAAGGCUUCUCUCCAAGCUCUCCUUCCAAAAGCUUGAGGCACUCUAUGAAUUCCUUCUUGCCUGUUUCCUGCUCUUCUCCUUUGGUUGACCAUAUCUUCCCUCCAAGUUCAUAGAGCUGUGGAAAACAAUAAAGUCAAAAGAGAGAAAAGGGUUAUUUUUUUGGAGCAUUUCAUCAAGUUUCAACUUUCCGUAUAGUUGGACAAGUUUAUUAAGGACCCUUCAGCAUAGAAAUCUCANNNNNNNNNNNNNNNNNNNNNNNNNNNNNNNNNNNNNNNNNNNNNNNNNNNNNNNNNNNNNNNNNNNNNNNNNNNNNNNNNNNNNNNNNNNNNNNNNNNNAAAAAAAAAAAAACAAAAAACAAAAAACAAAAAAACAAAAGAAAAUGCUUUAAAUCAACAGCAAAGACAUACCUUCUUGUCUACGUAGUCCGCCCAGAACCUGGCCUGAGCUCUCUGGUAUGGGUCACUAGGCAACAAUGGAGAUUUAUCCUUCCAAACCUCAUCAAUAUACUGAACUAUUAUCAGAGACUCACAAAUGGGCUUUCCAUUGUGGAUCAGAACCGGGAUUUUCUUAUGAACUGGGUUCAUCUCAAGCAGCAGAGGGCUCUUGUUCCUCAAGUCCUCCUGUCUAUAUUCAUACUUGAGGCCCUUCUCUGCCAGGGCAAGUCUGACCCUCAUACCAAACAUGCUAGGCCAGAAAUCCAACAAGAUAAUCUCGUCUGCCAUUGCUACUACUGUGAUCGAUAAGAUUCAAACUCAGUUAUUCAAGUAUUGAUGAACAACACAAGGGAAAUUGUCAGGUAUUUAUAGCAAAUCCCAGGGAGUGGGUUAAAACCUUGGAACUUCUAGGAGGUGGUGGUGCUCAUUGCUUAUCUCAGCAUUCAUUUUCCUUCCAUAUUAUGUUCUCAUCUCAGUUUCGUUUCUCACUCCAGAAUUCCCAUAUGUAUUUUUUUAUUAAAUAUAAUGCUUCCAGAGAGGUCAUUGCUUUGAUCAUUCCACGUCGUUGCUGUCGUCAGCCCAAGUCCAUUAAGUACACUGGUCCAUUCUUGCAUCCUUUUGGGCGGACAAGUCAAACUAUUUUAAACUUUGUGUUUAUUAUAACUCCUUAAAAUUUCUGUGAUGUUUGUAUUUUUAUCUAAGCUCUAAACUUGUUUUUAAAUUCCAAAUCUACUUUAUUUUUACGUAUGAAAAAUAUCUAUAAAAUUAAUUAUUUUAUUUCUUUUUAAAUUAAUUUGCAAUCUAAUAUAUUUUUUUAAACAUUUAAUUAUUAUAAUUUAUCAACAUAAUAAAAUUUUUAUAACAAUUAAUUAUAUAAUCAAUAAAAAAAAUAGUAAUAGGAUAGUAAGUACAAUUUCUAAUUAUAUGUUUAAAAAAUUUUUAAACAUCUUGAAAGUUGUGUGGUUUGAUGACAGUCAAAUACUUGUAAGUGUUUGUAUAAUAUUAAUAAGCAGUUGAUAUGGCUUAAUUUUCUUACAUCAUUAUAUUAUAGCUUCCUAUUAGCGCUNNNNNNNNNNNNNNNNNNNNNNNNNNNNNNNNNNNNNNNNNNNNNNNNNNNNNNNNNNNNNNNNNNNNNNNNNNNNNNNNNNNNNNNNNNNNNNNNNNNNGAAUCUUGUUUGACCUAAACUUCACCACCACAUCCAGGCAGCUUGCUUGGGCUGAGAUUUGGUGCAGGGAUGGGAGCCGAAGUGCUCCUGGAGAUGCAUCUGCAUAGACUGUCUUAUUUAGCUGUGAAUUUGUAAUAUGUAACUCUACUGGCAGCAAAGAUAAACAAUAAUGAUGAUGAUAACAAUGAUAUAAGGAAAAGGGUUCAAACUUCAACUCCCCCUCCAAACACUAAUCCCAUAAAUAUUACUAUACUCAGAUGGUUACAACUUAUUUUCGACACAAUAACAAAAUUAACUGAAAUAAAAUUAUUCUGGGACAUAUUCCUAAAUAAUAGAAAACGUUUACUUCUAGACUUCUUAGUUGAAAGCAAUACAAAAACCCAAAAACAACAAAUCAAUCUUUCAUGUUCUUAACAGUUACUGUUCAAACACUUUUUGUGAUCAAUAAAAUAACAAAAAACAAACAAAAAACAAAUAUGGAAAAUAAAAUAACUGAUUCUACAUCUCCACUGGUUUUAGCUACUAGUCAAACACCUUCUGGACUUGGUUCUGGUUGACAUUGGCAUGUUCCAUUGAGAAAACAGAGUCAGGAACCAGGAAUUUUAAUGCUUACAUCUUCUCAAUUAUAAAACAUGGUGAGUGAAUGAAAGUGAUGUGUCCUGGGCUUGUUCUGAGGGGUAGAUGGUUUGUGAUUAUCACACAGGGACCUUGUUUUAAAUUUGUGACUUAGAGUUUGGUUAUUUGCUAAUAUUUACUUGUGGGGUUGAAGCAAGGAGAAGGUUUGUGCAAAAAUAGGAUUAUCUUCAGUGAUUUUUAUGGGGCUCCAUACUAAUGGAUGGACCUUUUAAUGGACACCUGCACAUGUUCUUUGUUUCAAGAUUGUCAAUGAGAGCUAGCACAUACAUCAUGAAUAUUUAGCAUGGACAAGGUAUCCCUAUAGUAGUAAAGAGCAUACAAUCAAUGCUUGAAAUGUCCAGAUCACGUGCCUAAAAGGAUGGGGCUUACUUGUUGAAUAGGCAGAACUACAAAAAAUCAUGGUCUGAUAAAGAGUUAAGACUGAAUUCAUGAUAGUUGACACUGUUAACGAAAGCAAUAUUUCUAGCAGUCAUUGAUCAGUCAUGACAGUAAAGAUUGCACUAAUAAACUCACACAUUGUUUACAAGGGAACACCUACCUGGGGACAUACCACUUGGAGAGAUAAAACAGCUAGAGUAUGAAAUUUAAACCACACAAAUCCCAAGGUAACAUUUUUUUGACAAACCAUAUGUAUUUUUAAACAAGGAAAAAGGCAAAAUAUUCUACAAAAUUUCCUGCACAAACAAUGGGAAGGGGGCUCCAAAAUGAGUCAAAAAGAUGGUUUUAAUUUCACCAUACACACAUAAAGCAGUUUGUACUUGGCUUGAUACUCAACCUAUAAAAUAAGAUAUAUUUUUUUUAGUCUUCUCUUUUGGAGAAUAUUAAAAAUAGACAGAAAGAUUCAGAUGAAUUAGAUGUCUUCUGCUCCAAGCGUCCAACUAUCUUGGACUUGUUCAACUCUGGAUUCUGUUUCUUUUAUGGAACUCGGUUUCCUCAGAAAGAGGACACUGGGAAAAGACAAGCAAUUAAGAAAUGCAGUAUAUAUCAGAAAAUAUCCAAAGGCAACUGAUAUUAUAUUGUUGUUUUUCAGUAAAUAUCAUUUGUCAACCAAGAAAUGCACCAUCAGUGUAGUGCUACCAGUGCAACCAAGAGGACUGAACUGACACUUAGAUAAGAUUAUCGGAUUAAAUCAAAGAAUAAGCCUAUAUUAAGGUUAAGCAAAACCAUAUCCAAAAUGAGAUUUCAAAAUUUUAUUCCAAGGGCAGAUCGUACAACCGUUCUACUUCCAGAAACACAAACUAAAAGAACAUUAUAGAAUUCAGCAUAUAUGUGGAAUUCAAAAUCAAAUCCAACUUCUUAUAAUAAAAUAAAAUCAGCUAUUGAACAUAAAAAUUUGCAACAGAACAUUAUACCAUAAUAAUAUCAGAAACCAAAUAUUAUCUUUGUUGGCCUUCAACAAUUUGAAACUUUUCCCCAUUCUUAUUUGCAUGAUUUCUAAAACCCACAAUGAUUGGUUUUAUUUUGAAUGUAUUUUACUUAGUUUUAAAGCUGAAGGUAUGUUUUAUUCAUCAUUGGUGUGUUUAAGUGCAAGUGAAGUUCCAAGUUGGUCACUUGUCUUCUUCAUCUUCAAUAUUUGCUUUACAGCAUCUUAUUAGUUUCAUCCUCACCUCUUGCUACCAGAGAUGAAAAAUAAGAUACAAAGGCAUGCCUUACCUCUUGCCUUCAAAAUUACUCAUGUCUCUGUUCCCUCAGGAAGAGCCACCAUCAUCUCAAUCUCUCGUCCAGGCCAUGCCUAUGAAAAAAUGUGAAACUGUAAAAAGAAUUCCAUAAGAUGAAUUUUUAAGGCACAAAAUUUGGAGCUGUUAGUGUAAAGAAUCUAACCAUUGUCACAAACAUGGAAUAAUUCAUUCAAUCAAACACCAGCUUCAACAACUAUGCAUACCUUAGAGUGUAACUACUGAAAACGGAAUGGUAAAAUUAAAAUUUCUGCCCAAACAAAACUAGGGGAAAGAGUAAUAAAAACCAGUUCAAACUUCCAUGACAAACAUAUUGAAGAACAACUAAUAGAUCAAUUUCAUAAUUCUUUGAUCAAUUUGAGCAUUAAGAAUCAGGAGCAACUUAACAAUAUGAAAAGGUCAUAACACACUCAGUUACAAAUAACACCCAGAUAGAAUUUUGGAAAACCAAAUACAAUAUGUAAAAAAGGUUAGAUCAAAUGUCUGCAAUAGCUGGACAUCAAAUCAUACAAAGAUUUAGAUCAGAUAUUUGGAUCAUUGCAGGUAGCACAAUUCCGACUGGCCCCGUUGCAAUGAGAGCAAUGUACAAUUAUCUGUUCUCUAAAUUUGGCCUGAUUCGUUGCCGUCGAGGUCUUCCAAGACAACGUUUUGUAACAGGAGGAUCAAGAGAAACAUGCACAUAACCAUUUGGAUCAUGCACAUUUCCAUUUGAAUGAACUGUUGGCAGAUUCUGAAACUCAAGUGGAUGCAAAGUGCCAGAAUAAACCAUUUCCUGCUUGAACAAAUGAUACCAAUCAUCAACAAAUUCAUAAAUAUCUUGGUUCAUCUUCUGUAUCAUUGCGCAUGCAUGCUCACAUGGGAUGCCCGACAUCUGCCAAGCCAAACAAGUGCAAGUAUGCUGCCUCAAGUCAACACUUAUCUUUGCCUUCCCAUCUGAAAAUGUUUCGCUUUUGGCAAUGUUAUGCAAGAGUUUAUCCUCAGUUUUUGGGCCAAUGGAUCUUUCCCAACUCUGCAUUGUGGUUUUAUGCUCAACUAACAAAGAGGCUAGCAUAUCCAUGUGCUUCUCAAUGAAACUAAAUAUUGUGUGAUGUUGUUCUUCUUUGACCCAAGCACUAAAUGACCCAAAGAUAUUAGUAUUCAUUUUGUCCCAACGCUUUUUAGGGAACUUUGACAUCGCCCAGUGUUCAGGAUUGUUAUCUUCAACCCAUUUGGCCAAGUUAGCAUCAAAUCUCCUUAAGUUCUCCAUUGCACUGUUGUAACCAAUUUCUAACCUUGCAUAUGCAACAGCAUCAAGUAGUUUAAGAGCGUUAUCUUUACCUUCCCUUCCCAUCAUCAACUGGUGGCUAAAGUCCUCCUUUAGAUGACAAUAACAAUAUGCAUGGUUUUCAACUCCAAAAACCUCUGCAACACUACGAAUAAUCGCAUGAUGCCUUCCAGAAAUGAUGACCACCUCCAUUUCACCAACUAACUGCUUUAGCCUCUGUAAGAACCAAAACCAGUUAUAAUAAUUUUCCGAACUCACAAUGGCAUAUGCUAAUGGAAACAUGUCAUCAUCAGCAUCAUAUGCCAAGGCUGAAAACAAAGCACCUUUGUGUGGCCCACUCAAGUUGGAUGAGUUAAUGGAUAUGAUAGGUCGGCAUCCCAUUAAAAACCCAUGCACAAAAUCCAUGUGCAAUGAACAAUUGCAUGAAAUUACCUUCGUCUGAGGAAGUCCAUUCAGCAAUUGUCCCAGAAUUAGUUUCCAUUAACUGCUUACAUAACCAGGGCAGCAACUUAUAUGAAUUGUGUAGAAGACCAAAUAUUCUCUCCUUCGCCUUCUCUUUACAUUUCCAAGCUUGAUUGUAGGUCAAUUUCACUCCAUGCUGCCUUUCAAAAUCUUCACAGAUUUGACGGGGCAGGUAAUCAGGGUUAGCCCUUAUCAUAUCAUCAAUUAGAAGAGCCGCUUUAUUUGGUCGUAAUGCAGGCACUGAUGAAGACUCCUCCUGUGCAGAAUGAUUAUGUUAGUUUUCAAAUGUGUGCACUCUCACAAUUUUGGUAGCCCCAACACCACGAGCAGUUAUCUUCCAAGGACAUCCACCAGCUGUGCAACAUGCAGUCAUGUGCUUUAAAGAAUUCCUCUUGAACUUGUAGUUGAAUCGUCCAGCUAAGGAGGUAAGGUAUAGUGCAUUCCGGAAUUCAUCAGCAUUUGUAAAAAUUUCCCACUACCUGAUAUAGCCUUUCCAAGAGUACUUGAAACUGGAGGAAUUGCUUCUAACUCUAUGCAUCUUGAUGCAACUUCAUGUCUCUGAAUGAUGUUAUCAUCAUUUACACCUUGAGAUGAUGAUGAUGGCGAUGAAAAAUGAUUGUUGUCCACAUUAACACUGCACGAUUAACAUAUUCAUGUAAAGUUAGAAUAAAAAAGGAGGAUAAAAUUUAAUCAUGCUGAUAAGCAAGAUAAUAUGCAGGUGUGACUUACAAAGUGCUUUGUUCAUCUAUUACUCCUUGCUUUACUCCUCCAUUAUGAGCUUCAAAUGCAUAGACUCUUGAGAAACCGUCAUUGAAGAGGACCAUGCUAUAUAUGUCAUCAUCAUCAUCCAAUGGCUGGAGUAAAGAUUUAUCAAACUUCAAGGUGCACUUAAAUGACAGACUAGAUGGGUCAAUUUGGACUUUCUUACUUGCUUUAAAAACAAAUUCAGCAUGUGAGAUUCCUUGAUUAAUACAUAUGCCAUUAGUACAUCCACCUUUAUAAUUGAUGGACCCAUUGUCAGCCUUUAUGAUCUCCCCUCCAAAAUAAAGAUAGCAAUAUAUUGAUAUUACUUUCCAUUUACCUACUAUAAAAUAAUGCAACCAAUCCAUUAGUAUGUGCUAUACUUGUUCAAGCCUUCAAGGUAAAAACUACACUUAAUUUUGGUUCCAACGGUGAAAACUAAGUUCAAAUCAUGUAUAUAAGAAGGUUUAAAACAACACAACAUCCCAAAAAGUCUAAUAUAUGAUAACACUACACCCCAUAAUUUAUACCUUGUGCCUUUUUAGGAACUAAAGUUCCCUAGAAUUGAGGUAAGACGGUACGAAAAUCAAUUGGAAAUGAAAGCAAAGAGAUAGCAUAGAAUUUAAGAGUAGCAUAAAUCAUAAGUAAAUAUUAUUUAUAAUUUUGUUUUUUUUUCGAUAACUGAGGAACCUUCUAUGGCCAAGCCCUUAAGACUCUCCAUGGGGACCCAAACCUUGGGGUGUUGACCACACUCUAACAACCAGCACCAAGUAAAUCAAGGUAUCAUCAGUAGCAAGAUUCAGGGACCACACCUCCCAACAUUCGCCCUGACCAACUGGGCUACUCUGGCAGACUAAAUAUUAUUCAUAAUUUAAAAAGGAAAAAAGAAUCCGAAAGAGAAAACAGUACAAAGUGCCUAUUCUGAUUUGAAGCAGAGAAAAAAAAUGGAAGUUUGACCUUUUUGUUUUCUUAAGAUGUAUAAUAGCGGUUUGACUUCUAAUUCAAAAGUGUUACAAUAGUUAAGAAAGCCUUAAAAUUGCUAAUUGAAGUAGGUUCAUUAUUGUUAUUCAUUUCAAUACAAACAAAAGGUGGUUAAAGGGAUAUUGUAACCAAGUUUUGAACAAGAUAAGAACAAAAGUAAAAUUGUCAUUCUGAAACCAGCCUAGUUUCAACACAGCCAUAUUCCUGCUCUGGUUCACUCUAAUAAAUAAAAUUUCUUGUACAAUGGAACCACAUCUCAUGAGCUAGGGAACAUCUGGUUUGAAGGAAAGAGCUGCAAAUGCUACUUGGUCAUAGCUCUAUUUUAACUAGGUAUCCCUAUUUUUGACUAAUAUAAGGGAUAAAGUAAAAGAGCAUGCACAUGUGGACAAGCGCACACACACAGAGACAGAAAUUUAUAGGAAACUGCAUCAAUUCUACUAGAUUAUUCAUAUUUGAAGAAGGGGAAUGAAGUGUGGUACCAAAGCAAUUCAAUAUGUAAAAGUUUCACAUAUUUCAAUCACAAAAAUAUUUCUACUUCAAUGCAAUUUUUAAGAUGCUAAUAAACUUUCAGAAACCUUAGCAAGUAAUUUGCCAGGCCAAAAGAAGUAAUGAAUUGCAUUUACAUCCAUAUAAUAACAAAACAUCUAAAAAUCAAAGCAACAUCCUAUCUCCAUACAAACUCAUCCAGCUUGUAAUAGCAAUGACGAAGGAAGUUAAAGGAAUUAAAUCAAAUUUAUUAAUUCCGUUGAGAACAUAUAACAAAUGCAUGAGAGAGAGAGAGAGAGUAAAAAAACUUAUUUAAUAAAUGAAACUUUUUAAGGCCAUUAUUUAUUUUUCCCUGAGUAAACAAAAAUUUAGUAGCAUAAAUCAUGGACGGAUGCAUAUGUAUCUAUGUGUAUACAACCAUCAACUAAUAUUUAUCACUUAUCAGCACAAACAAUAAAAAUCUAGAACCAUGAUUCAUACACUCAAAACCCCAAAUCUGCAGGGGAAAAUGAUAGCAAAGCCUGCCAACUUUGUCUCCGGAUGAAACUCCUGAUAGAUUGCAACUUUUAGCAUACAUCUGUAUGAAGGCCCAAAAGAAAUAAUAUAAAAUCGAGUCCAUCGAUAAGGUAACAUGUCACAUAUGAAUCAAUCCCUUGAAAGUUAUACAUGGGACAAAUUUCAAAAUUCAUUCAUUUCUUGUAGCUACAAUUUGAACAAAAACUCGGGUUUCAUCUACUUGAUUCAGUAAAUACAACAAUAUUUAUAUCUCACAUGGGUCAAUGCAGUUUAAAACAUAUUUCUUAACCAUUAAAUUGCUUUGGGGUUCUGUUAUACAUACUUCAACAAAACUUUGUCUUAAAAAAUUUCUAACUCGUACUUUGUACACAGAAUAUAUGGUUACUUCAUUCUUUAUAUAGCCAAGAAGUAUUGUAGACAAACUAUAGCAGAUACAGCAUUAUUUUUAUGCAAUUAACUAGAUACAAUAAUUUAUAUUAAGCAGAAAGCCAUGGUCACCAAAAAGAGGGGACCAAAGAAAGAAUUAGGUCUCUAAAAUUACAGGCGAAAUUGCAUAAAACUUAAUGAAGUUCCUGAAAGGACGAAAUCGUGGCGAAAUUGUUACUGUGAUAAAUCACAUAAAUUAGGAAAUCAAACACCUCACAGGAACAACAAAUCUACCAAAAAGAGCAGAGCCAAAUAGUGAAAUUGAUAAUCUUUAUCAUUCAUUUUUUCAGUAGAAUUGAAGCUCUCACUACAAAAUUUUCCCUGAAGUUUGAUGGAAUUAAAGUCCCUGAAACUGGCAACAUUUUAGCAAAUGAAGCCUCCUCACGAAGACAAAAUGCACAACGAGGGUGUCUUUGAACUCGAAACAAAUUGAAGGCUAAAAAGAACAUAAAAAAUUACAGGGCCCUUCAAAAUCAUUAAAAAAAAAUUAUAUUAAAAUAGAAUCCAGUCCACAGCUGAUAAUGUACGAUAUUGGGCUGUUUGGAUGGUGAGAAGGUUAAAUAAAUAGGUGUUGGAACAUUUACCUAUAAGAGAAAGAAAAUGGGUAAACUUGGGUGACGGGCCUAGAGCCUCCUUUCAUUCAUGGUGUUUGAGUUAAGAAAUUUCUGAGGACUGUCGGAGAUUUUCCGAAAUUUUCCCGCCUUUAGGGUUCUGCUUUACAUGCAGGAGAGGUGAGAGGGUGCACGGAUGUCUAGUGUGGUGCAAAAUCCAGCAGCACUAUGCGUGUGUUGCGUUUUUGCUAAUUAAUAUAAUUAUUUUUUAUUCAAUAUUCAUAAAAAGUAAUAAAGGAAAAAAAUAUCAAUCCAAAACUACCCUACUCGCUCUUAUUUUAACCCAAAGUUUGAAAUCCAACAAAAUUGAUGUCAAAGUAUAAUUUGAAUACAAAAGUCAUUUUUACUAAAAUUAUUAUUAUUAUUUUAAAUAAUGUUAGAUUAGGUUUGACAGUGAUUUUAUAAAAUAUUUAUAAUCUUUUUAAUACUUUAAAAGAUAAAAUUUUUUUAAGUGUUACAAAGUUCAGAAACACUUCCUAAGAUUACUAUCAAACGCAUUUUUAAUAUCUAUGCUUGUUCCAUAUGGUAUAAGUGUCACAUUUUUUUUUUCUUUUUUAUAAAUUAUAAUUAAAAUAGUAAAAAGAAAAUCUUUGUUACUUCUAAUAGAGAUUAGAUAUUGAAAUAUUAAGUAUGUUUGUUAAUCUCUCAAUUUAUUUAGAACACAAAAAAAAAACAUGUUUAAUAAUAUAAAAUAGAAAACAUCAUGGUAUUUUUUGAGAAUAUCUUUUGGUUAUAUUCAAUUUUUUUCAUUAUUUGAUGAGAAUUGUUUUAAAAAAUAAUUAUACAAAUAUAAAAAAAAUGACUAAAGAUAAAAUAUUAUAAAUAAAAAUUAUUUUAAAACAUUUGAAGUUUUCAAAUAAAUUUUUAUUUUACAAAAUAUCAAAAAAUUAUUUUCAAAUUAUUUUCGAAAACACCUUGUAGAUAGUUUUUAUAACAAAGCUUUUUUUUUUUAUGCCUAAUGAAUACAGACAUUUGAAAAGGAAAAAAAAAAACUAUACAGUACUCAAUUUUUGUGAGAGUAGAGUUUGAGGUUAAAAUACCAUUUAAUUUAUUUAUUAAAACUAGUAAAAUCAAUUAUUAUUUUUAAAAAAAAAUUAAAAAAAUAUUUAUUUGAUAAUAUUAUAAUAAUUAAUUAAAAAAAAUUGUAAGAUAUUUAUUUUAAACAAAAUAUUUAUUUAACAUACAUGGUCACUAAUGUUGGACACCUUCCCACUUAGUAGAGUAACCUAGAAUAUUAAUACAUUAUAAUGAGAGUAGAUGAUAAAAAAAUUUGCAAAAGGAACUCAAAAUAAGUGACUUUCUACUACAAAGGGUGCUCAACAACAAGAGAAACCCAAAAGAUGGAAAACUAGGGCUAAAUUAUGAAGACUCUAUCAAAUCUACCAUGAAGCUGGAAUUUGCCUUUUCAAAAUUCAAUCCAUUCAAGGGCAACAACUCAAUUGCUCAUGAAAUGUUAUUGAAUUCAAAGACAUUAUUCAUUGAAGUAGUGAAAAAUACAUUGUUGAUCUAUGUAUCCCAAAUAUUAAGUGAUGGGAAGUAGUGAAAGUGCAUUGUUGAUCUAUGUUACCCCCAAAAAAUAAGUUGACCAUCACCUAGGAACUUUGGAGUCCUUAAUAAGAGCAUUAUGUCACAGACUUAGUCUUUUCCUAAGCUUGUGCAACACUUAGACAAGUCAAGACACUUGAUCUUGCUAAGUCAGCCUAUCUCCUAAUGUUUAGCUUGCUAGGCUAAGAUGCUCACGACUCGGAAGCUUGAGAAGGCGUAGUAGGCAACUCUUAAAGAAUGGAAGUUGUUAUUACUCAAGGAAACCUUUACAAGUGCUUUUGGGAACUCACUUGCUUGGUUAGGAAGUGAUUUGGGUGGUCCAUUGGCCAAAUGAGGCCCUCACCUAUUUAUAGGCACCAAUGGAACUCUCUGGAACCUUGGAGGGUUCCUUACAAAUUAAGAAGAUUCUAGAAUACCCUACACAAUUCUAUGUACAACCCUAUGUACAAGAGAUCUCUAGAAUUCUUUAGAAAGCCUUGGACUCCUCUCAUGCCUUCCACCAUAGUGUAGAGAUGUGUGGACAUCUAUAGGCAUCUCUAGAACCUUCCACACUCUUCCCUCUAAUAGCUUAGUGUAGAUGGCUCCAAGAGUCUCUAGAAGCUUCUUGGGCUCUAUAUAAAUCCAUGAGGAGGCUCAUUUGAAGCAUCCUAUGACACUCUCCCCAUCCUAUUCCGUUGACGUCUUUUUUGUUGCCUCUUUCUGAAACCUCUCGAUGUGUUUCCAGAACCUUCUCAAGGCAUCCGCAUAUUCCCAGCUUACAUGCCUCCUAGGUAGUCCUUUCCAUCGGACUAGAUACUCUAUCACAGGAGGGACCCUUAUUCUCCUGGUGACCCAUUCAACCAGGAUAUUUUUCACCUCCUUUUCUUGUGAGGCCUCGGAUGGAUGCAGAUCCUUGCACUUUCGAUGCUUGGAGUGCUGCUUCCUCUUACCCAUCAAGUUCACCUUUCCCUUGGUGACCUUGUCGAUGUAUGUGCGGGCUACCUUAGCUUGCUCCCCUUUUGCCUCCUUUACUUGCACCCUUGAUAGUAAGGAGGUCUUAGGCGUACUAGACUUUGGGUUGAAUUGGAGGGCACCUAGUAACUGCAUCAAGCCCAUAUGUGCUUCGUCCUCCUGUUCCCUCUCCUUGAUCAUGGCAUUGAGCGCCUUUCUCUUUGGACAAUCCCGUGCCCAAUGUGGAUCGUCACAUAGGAAGCAUUUGAUUUUAGGCGUAAACUCCUUCCUUUCCACCUUACCCCUUCCUUCUCGAACAUUAAGCGUCUUGCCUAAUCCCAUUCUAAGAGCAUUGUGGUCCCUUGAGACCUCAUCUCCCCCACCCGUGGCGUGGCUAUCCUCCAAAGACUCAACCUUGGAGGAGUCUCCCCUUUUGUAGUCCGUUAAAGACUCUGCUACUGCCAUAGUAGUGGCUAAGUCUUGAACACCUCGACGCCUUAAUUCCUGCUCGGCCCAUUCUUGUAGGUUAUCCAUGAAGUUGAAUAGCAACUCCUUCUUAGUCAUAUUAGGAAUCUCAAGCAUGAGUGAAGAGAAUUCCUUAACAUAGUCUCAUAUCGAGCCUAUAUGCUUGAGACGCCUCAUGUUUUUCCUAGCCAAGUAGGCCACGUCCUCAGGGUAGAAUUGCCUUUUGAUUUCCCUCUUGAAGUCUUCCCACGUCUCUAUGGUGCAAAUGUCUUUCUCCAUAUCGGCAAACCUCUAAUGCCACCAUAGAGUAGUUGUGUUAGUGAGGUAGAGGGUUGCAAUCCUUACCUUAGCCGCCUUAUUAUUUAGUGCGAUAGCCUUGAAGUAUUGCUCCAUAUGCCAUAAGAAGUUGUCCAACUCCUUAGCAUCCCGCUUGCCACUAAACCAUUGUGGCUUCAACACCUCCACCCUAGAUGCCUCUUAGGUGGCCAUGACUUGUGCCAACACAACAGCCUUAUAGAUGGCCAACUCCUGCCUAACCUCAUGGUCUUGGGACUCCAUUCAAGUGGCCAAGGCCUUUAUCCUUGACUCCAUGUUAGCAAGCAUGCUAAAGACCUUUUCUUGGAAAGACAUGAACUCCUCAUGUGACACCGGUUGAACUUGUGAGCCUAGCACCCCCUCACGAAGGUCUUAGAUAUGCUCCCUUAGAUCCUCAAUACCCUUCUCCAUGCCUUGCUCGAUCAAGUCCACCCCUUCCCGGGUGUCUGCCAUGGCUAGCUCCACCUUGGCUAGCCUUGCCUCCAUGUUGGCUAUGGCAUCACGAGACUUAUCCUUCCUGCCCUUGCCCCGUGCAGUAGGCUCGAUCUCCCUUCCACGGGUUUGCUCGCUAGUCUCCUCCAUGUUAGAGCCCAACAUGCUUUCUUUACUAUGCUCGUUUCAUAGCCGCGCUCUAGUAUCACUUGUCACAGACUUAGUCUUUUCCUAAGCUUGUGCAACACUUAGACAAGUCAAGACACUUGAUCUUGCCAAGUCAGCCUGUCUCCUAAUGUUUAGCUUGCUAAGCUAAGAUGCUCACGACUCGGAAGCUUGAGAAGGCGUAGUAGGCAACUCUUAAAGAAUGGAAGUUGUUAUUACUCAAGGAAGCCUUUACAAGUGCUUUUGGGAACUCACUUGCUUGGUUAGGAAGUGAUUUGGGUGGUCCCUUGGCCAAAUGAGGCCCUCACCUAUUUAUAGGCACCAAUGGAACUCUCUGGAACCUUGGAGGGUUCCUUACAAAUUAAGAAGAUUCUAGAAUACCCUACACAAUUCUAUGUACAACCCUAUGUACAAGAGAUCUCUAGAAUUCUCUAGAAAGCCUUGGACUCCUCUCAUGCCUUCCACCAUAGUGUAGAGAUGUGUGGACAUCUAUAGGCAUCUCUAGAACCUUCCACACUCUUCCCUCCAAUAGCUUAGUGUAGAUGGCUCCAAGAGUCUCCAGAAGCUUCUUGGGCUCUAUAUAAAUCCAUGAGAAGGCUCAUUUGAAGCAUCCUAUGACAAAUAGCUCAAAAUAAAAGAGGAAAUCCAAGUAUUGAAAAAAAGGUUAGUUUUCUAAAUGUAGUUGACAUCAUUUGAUAAGGUAGUGCCUUAAAAUUAUGCUAGUUCUAAAUAAUUUGAGAGGGCAUAUGCUCUAAAAAUGCAAAUGAUCUAAAUAUAGGAAGAGAAAUCCAAUGAGAAAAAGAAAAAGAAAGAAGACCGUUAUCAAAAGGAAUUUUGGAAUUCAUGAUAAAAAAAAAAGAAGGAAAGUGGCCUACUCACGUAAUCCAUUAUGCAACUCUACUAUGCCUACCUAUGGUCCACUAUAUUUGAUGCUAUUAUAGUUAAGUUAACCCUUGACACUACUAUAAUUGAGUUUGCUAUUGACAUUGUUGCAACUAAGUUCACUAUAUUACAACCAUACUCACUAUUAUAGUCUUCUUACAAACAUACUCAUUAUCCGUACAUCUUUCGAAGGAACCCUUCAAGAUCUCAACUCUUUUACCUAUUAAGUGUAUCUUAAAUGAGCCUUCUAACUAUUGAAUUUUGAAGGUAAGACAUUAAUUCUCUACAACAUCAUCGAGAUUCAUCUCCAAUAAGGGUGGAUCUACCUUAAGAAUAGUGUUUUCAUCAUGGAUCUACUUUAAGAAUAGUAUUUUCAUCAGACCUUAAUAAUUCUAAUAUGAUAAGUACCUAAAUUCCCUUUUGUUAUUUCAUUAUUUGUUGAUGUUUUGUGUUCAACUUAGUUUAGACUUAGUUUCAACCUUCUAGAAUAUUUAAAAACAACCACGGUUGAAAAUUUCUCUUUUUUUGUUGAAAUUUCGAUGAAAUAUCGGUUUCGGCGAUCGGCGAUACGAAAGAAGGGAGCGAAAUGUCGAUGGAGAAAUUUCAGCAAAUUUUGGUUAAAAUCGUCGAAAAAUUGGCUCAUAGCGAAAUUUCGACGAUUUUUCUUAACUUUUUCGAUUGGUCAACACGGGUUAACAUGCUACAGUGCUUCUGUUACAGUGAAAUGCUACAAUAUGCCAUUACAGUGAAAGCUUGAUAAAAAUCCAAAAUGCUAUAGUGUGCUACUAUAGUGAAAGCUUGAUAAAAAUCCCUUUUAGUUUGUUGUUGGGGAGACAAAAGCUUCAAUUGAGGUGUGGUGAACCAUUAGGGCAAGUAUGCCCUUUGUUAAAUAUGUUGCACCAAACAUAUUUAUAUUAAAAGUCAUCAAAUAAACAAAAUAUUAAAAGAACAUUUUAAAUAACAAAUUAAUUAUAAUUAUUUGGGAAAAUUGUGUUUUGGGCCUAGCUAGGCCCAAAAAUUAAUGUAUGGUCCAUAUAAGUUUCAUAUUUAAGCCCAACACCCAAUAAAAGAGUGGAAAUUGAGAGUAAGGAUAUUGUCUUUAAAAAAUCCCUAAAAUACCCUUGACUAUUAAAUGAAAAAACUAACCAAUCACCUCACCUUUCUCAUUCUCUCUUUGACUUUUUUGCCCUUCUCUCACCUAUUUAAUAGUGGAACCAACUUGAAUAAUUUUUCUUCAUCAAAUAUGAAAGAUGGUUAAAAAUUAUUAUUACCAAAUGUAUUUUUGAAGUGAAUAACUUUUAAAUACCUUAUCAAAUAUUAUUCUUUUUUUCAAACUUACAUAAUAUAUAAUAAAUAUCAUUCUUUAUUUCAAACCUAUAUUAUUUCUUUAUGUAUAUUAAAUAAUUUUUAAACACCUAAAAUAUUAGUAUUAUUUGUUUACUCUAACUUGUAAAUUAGAUAUUAUCAAAUAUUAUAUUUUUUCAAAUUUAUAGAACAUAUAAUAAAUACUUUUUAAAUACCUCAUAGAAUAUUAUUAAUUUUUUUUUCUAACUUGCAAAUUAGACACAUGGUGUUUAUUAUUAUUUUGAAUAUAAUGUAAAUACUCACAUGCAUAUAUAUAUAUAUUAAUCAAGAAGACAAUAUUUAUAAGACUAAUUUACCAACCUUCCAAUAAUUUUGAAAAUGUAAAUAGAGUAAUUGUCCGAAUUAAAGUCUUCAAAAAUAUUCAAAAUUUCUCCAUUCCAAAAUUACCUAAUUGCUCUCCACACUAAUCCUAAAUAUUUUUGAAUAAAGAUUUAAAUAUUUAAAACCAUUAAAAUAAAUACUUUCUUAUUAAAGCAAUUUUUUCAAAGUAAUAAGAUAAAAAUCAUGAAAUCUUCAAAACUAUAAUUACAACAAAUAUUUUUAACUUUAAAACUAAUUUCAUAAUUUAAAUUAAUGAUUUUAAAAAAUAAAAAUGUUAUAAAAAUAAUUUUUUUAUUUUUAAUGCCAUUUAAAUAUGAUUUUUUUAAUCUCUAUUGAUAACAAUGAAAUUAUAUUUACAAAGGCAAAAUAGUAAAAAUAUAUAUUUCAUUUAGUUUACUUAUAAUGAACAAUUCAAACAUGAAUGAUUUUAAUUUUAUUUCCUAAGUGUUAAUUUUUGUAGAGAAUGUCUUAAUGACAUAGUUUGGUAAAAAAAGAAAAACAAAAUUAUCAAUAAUCGUCUUAAUGUCAAAUUCAAGUUAUUUAAAAAUCGUAUAAAACCUAUUAGAAGUCUUGUACACCCUUGUACACUUAGCACAUUUCCCUUGUACAGUUAGUGUAAUAUCCUUGUACAGUUAGUGUAAUACCCUUGUACAAUGACACAAAUUUCAUAUAUCUCCUAAUUUAUAUAUCCAUGUAGGUGUAUUAAUCAUAUUUUCAAUGGUUUGGUUGAGAAAAUGGUGGAUGACUUAGGGUCAAAUUUUUUCCCCAAAUAUCAUUAUUGGGAAAAAUAUUAGAAUUUUCAUGUAAGAAUUAAAUAAAGUGCAUGACAUAGGUGUACAAUCAUUGGGUGACAAGGAAAAUAAAAAAGUAGUUUAGAGUCAAUUAAAAUCAUUCACAAAGGGUAAUAUUGUACACUUUUGUACAAUUAGUACAUUUCCCUUGUACAGUUAGUGUAAUACCCUUGUAUAAUGACACAAAUUUUAUAUCCCUCCUAAGUUAUGUGUCCACGUAGGAGUGUUUAACCAUAUUUUCAAUGAUUUAGUUGAGAAGAUGGUAGAUGAUUUAAGGUCAAAAUUUUUUUUCUCCAAAUAUUAUUAUUAUGGAAAAUAUUGGAAUUUCCAUGCGGGAAUUAAAUAAAGUGCAUGACAUAUAUGUACAAUUCAUGAGUGAUAAAAAAAUAAAAAUAAAGGAAUGACUCAUAAUCGAUUAUAAUAUUUCACAAAGGGUACCCUUGUACACCUUUGUACAGUUAGCACAUUUCUCUUAUACAGUUAGUGUAAUACAAUUGUACAGUGACGCAAUAAAUAAAUAAAUAAAAUUUAUUACUUUUUUAUUUUCAUAUAAAAAAAAUAGUACUAAACAAGGUUUUCAAUUUCAUUUUAAAAAAUAGUUUUCAUUUUUUAAUUAAAAAUAUUUUCAAAAGGAGACAAUAUAGAAAAUAAAAAUUAUUUUUAAAAAUAAAAAAUAAAAACUAGAAAAAUAUUUUAAAACCAAACUCAAAUAUAAUCUAUAUAAUAAUAAACAAAUUUGUAACAUUUCAUAUAACUUAUUACUAAAAAUCAUGUUCAAAAAGUUAUUAAAAUAAGGAAGAAAGAAGAUUAAAAAAAAAAUAAACAUUUUAUUUUAUAAUAGUAAAAAAAAACUUUAAAAUACAUUUUAAUAUAAAAAAAAUUAAAAUAGUGAAUAUAUUUAUUUUAAAUAGUUUUUUAUUCAUUAAAUUAUUUACUUCUAAAAUAUAAAAGACAAAAAUAAAUGUAAAAUGUAAUUUUUAUUUAUUUAAAUUAAUAUUUUUUUAGAAAGUAUUUUUCAAAAUAGUCUUUGAAUCAUUAAUAUAAUUUUUUUAUUUAUAAUUUAAAAAUAAAAAAAUAAUUUUGAUUUUUCAAUUAUUUAUAAAAGAGUUUAAAAAAAUAAUGAAAAAUCCAAAAAUGAUUAAAUAAGAAAGAAUAGUGGCAUGUGAAGAGUGGUAGAAUAAAGACAAAAAUGAGUCAAGUGGGUAUUUUUGUCUAUUCCUAUCUCAUAUCCUUGAAAUCAAUUAUAGGUGUUUGAAGGACUCUUUAUUAAUUACCAAAGCCAAAUGGGUCUAAAGCCCAAUUCUCCCUAAUUAUUUUAUAAUUAAAUAAAAUUUUUUCAUUUAAUUGAUUACCAAAAAUAUAAAAUUAUUAUGAUAAUUUUCUUCAUAGUGUUUUUAAUAUCAUUAAUAAAUUAAUUAAAUAUUAAAAAGUUAUACAUAUAUCACAAUUCAUUUUAUAUAAUUUAAUACAAUUGAAUUAAAUGAAUCAUAAUUUUAAUAUUAAAUAUAUUUUAAAAUUAGGCAUAUUAUAAUCAAAUAUCACAAUAUUAUUAUGAAAUAAUAUUUGAUAUAAUUUAAUAAUAAAUGUACACUUAUCAAAUUCUUCAGCAAAACAAUUUUGAAAUGUCUAUUAUAUUUCUAAUUACAUUUUUAUAAGGUUUUUCUUACAUUCCUAUGAAUUUUGAUUAAUUUUAGGUCUAUCGAUAUUUUUUUUUCCAAAAUAUCUGUCGAUAUAUCUCUGAUAUAUCCGUAAUUACCAAUAUUUUUAUCCUUAAAAACAACACAACACCACUUGUACCAAAGGCAUAACACCCACUAAAUUUAGUUAAGUCAUUGAGGGACCCCCAAUUACUUUGAAAGAUUGGAAUGACACGUGGAACCACUUAUAUUCCAUGGAUUUCUUAUGUUAAUGGGAUUUUUUAAAAUUUUUAUUUGGUAAUUGUUGUGAGUAUUAAGUGGUAAGGUAUGACAAAUUUGAUGAGGACAUUCUUUACAUUUAGAGAUCCUAGCAUAUGGGUUCAAUUUGUCUUACUCUUCAUUAAGAAUUAACUUUCAAGGAAAUGUAGUUAAGGAUAUCAAAUGGAGGUAUUCUACAUCAAUUUUGAUCUAAAAAUUUAAGGUUCUAGUCAGGCUGAGCUUUUACCUAAAAUUAUUUAAAAACGUUUUAGGAUCAUGAAAUUAUCAAAAAGUUUAAGCUUUACUUUGAUUAUGACCAUCAUUACAAGUAAUUAUAUAGUACAUGUCUUUCAAAAUUUGUGAUAAAUCAAUAUUUCUUGAAUAUGUUUAUUAUAUUUGCUUCUUAUUAAAAUGCAUUAUAUAUAUAUAUAUAUAUAUAUUAUUUGAAUGUUUUGCUCAAAACUAGAUUUUUCUUUGGAUAUUGGUACUUAGGUAGUUAAUUAACUUCUUGUUAAAUCUUGUAAAUGGCAUGAUUAUGAAUGAUGAAUGUAUUUACUUUUAACGUUAUAAUACACCCUAGACCAAAUUUUUAUGAGACGAGGUACAAUUGGCAUCCAAAUAACCUAGUUAAUGUGCCAUGUGAAAAAAGGGUUGCAACACUAGCAAGUAGCUAAUAUAUAAUGUGAAUGUGCUUAGUAUCAUGUGAGGAAGGACACUCUUAUUGAAUUGCCAUGUGAUCAAUUAUGUUGAUGGCUAUGAUGAUGGGCACAUAUCAUUAUGUGUAUGAUAAUUUUUUUUAAUGUAACUAUGAUUUUUGAAGAUUUGAUUAGGCUAAUUAAUUUGAGAAGUUAAGGACACAAGUCCAUGAAAACCAAAAACUCACUAUUCACCUUAGCACUAUUUAUCAAGCUUAGAUUUACAAUUACAAGAGAAUUAUACAUUAUUAAUACGAUAAUGAUAUUUAAUGUCAUCAAUCUUCACUUAAUUAGAAUGAUUAAAGGUUGUUUACAUAGACUUCUUGUUUUUUAUUUUAAAAUUUGAGAUGGUACACUUUUUCUAUAUCUUAAUUUUUAAAAAUUCAUUAUCCUUUUAAGCUAAAUUUUUAAAAAUUCUUUGAUUUUAUAUUUCAUUUGUUUUAUGAAAGUAAAAAACAAGAAAUGCAUCCAAAUAACAUAUUUAUUAUUCACUCAUAACUGUUCUUUCCCAAAGUAUUAAAAAAAUUUGGAUUCACUAGAAUCAAUAAAUAUGGUAUUUUAAUCGUAAAUUUCAUAGGUCUUGAAUCAAUUUUUAAAGUAAUCAAUGAAUUAAAAUAACAAUGAAUUCAUUGCAAACUCAAGUCAAUGCUUAAUUAACCUCAAUUUGAAUAAUUAUUUUGAAUAUAUUUAAAUGAGUCACAAAAUUCUAAUAGCAAGUACAAACAGACCAUCAUCAAGUUGAAUGUAUUCAAGCCAAACAACCUCCAAACUUCCUUUCUCUUCUUAAUCUAUUUUAGAAUCUAAGGAAGAUAACAUUUCAUUAAUCUAUUUCAGGAACCCCAAAAUAUUGAAGAGUGAAAAUAUGCUUGCUUUCUUAGCAAAUACUGAAUCCUAAAUCUAUGCAUAUCUUAACUACAAAAGAUUUUAUUAGUGCUUUAAAUAAUCUUAAUUGCCAUAUAUUUAGAUUGUGAUGUUAUAUCAUUCAUCUUUUGUUUAUUAUCUUCCUCUCUGAUUUAAAUUACUUAUUAUUUUUAGCAAUUUUUUUUACAAUUAAUUUUCAUUUUUAUUAUCGAAAAAAUAAAGUAUUUUUAUUUUAAUACAAUGAGAGUAAAGUUCCCAUACUAAAAAAGUCUACAUAAACUUUAGGUAUACUGGACUCUUAGAAAGGCCUCUAUAUAAAUGCUUAGCCCAUCACUCUUAUUUUCUUGCCUCUAAAUUGCCAUGGAUGUAGGGCAUAGGAAGCCACAAGAAGCUAUUGGAGAUGGAGAAAACAAGACUUCUUCCUAGAAGAGUCUUUUUAGGACAUGACUUCAUACAUAAAUAUAGUAUCCUAGGCAUUUUUAGACUUAAGGACUGCCUUUUGGAUUGAUCAAUCGAGACAAGUGAGAUUCACCUUCUCCAAGAGAAGAGCGAGACCACCAUGAAAAGGCAUCUCACUUGGUGGGACUUGGUGUGGAUAAGGUUUAGAUCAGUCGUAGGGUUUUGCAUAUUCAUCAUCACUUGUUAGGAAGCUUGUAAUAGUGUAAGACUCGCCAUAUAUAGUAUUAUCUUAUGUCGCUUUGGGUCUCUCAUAUCGCUUUCCCUACUUUAUUACACAUAAUUCACAGUUGAAAUACCAGUCGUAAGAGAUCCUUUCUUUUAUCUUGAGUAGAAUUAAGUGAUUUUGUUACUGUAGAGAACCUUAAAUUACUUCAUUCCCUGUCCUAGUAUUAGGUUAGGUGCAUAUUCCUAAUACUCUAGAUCUAAGCACAAUGGAAACAUGGCAUUAAAAAACAAUAAUAAAUAUAGAUCUAAAGAUAGUGAAUCUUUACCUAAGAUUUAGAUAUUCCCAGACUGAUUCCUGUUGAUGUGAAAAACUCUAAAUCCAUAGAAGAUCCUGUAAACCCCCAAUCUCCCACCCUACUACUCUUCCUUGAAGCUUGAUACUCAGAUGGUAGAAGUCUCUAGAAAGAAGAAUGGUGGUAGAAGAUUGAAGCCUUAACCUAUAAGGGGUAUUUACAUGGUUCAUAUUGGGUUUAAGUAAUUUGAACCCAUUUUAAGCUUGAGUCACUUAAUCUAACCCAAAAAGGUCUUAAUUGAUUAAUUAAACCAUUAAAUAUUUAAUUAAUCAAUUAGCCCAUUUCAAAUAUGUCGUCUACUUAUUCCUAUGCAACCUUAUGUAAUUACCAAUAUGCCCUUAUGCACAUAGGUGAACUAAGAGCUGAUCCAACCCUCAUAAGUUGUGUUAUCAAGGUUAUGAACUUAAAUUAGGGACUAUUGGAACCCAUAGAAUAGUAUUUUCAUGGCUCUCUUAGAAUCAUACUUUAAAGUUGACUCAACAUCUCACUACAAUGAGUCAACUGCAAUCCUAUACCCCAUGUAUAGUAUAAUGAGAUACUAUAUGCUUGGGUUCGUGACCUACCAUCCACUAUAUAUGGUUUCCCCAUUAAUUGAUAUCUGUAAUCUAACAAGGUGAAAGUUAUUAACUUCUCAAAAUUACCUCUACUAUCCUUCAUUUAGAAGUCCUCAUAUUAUGUGAUCAACUAACAUGUCUUAACUCAUAAAGAGCUCAAGUUCCAAUUAAAGAACUACUAUGGUCAUAGUUGAUCUAAACGCAUGUCCUUAGGAUAACCCAAGGCAACACACUAUCUCAAUCCUAUGAGAUAUCAUGGUGCCUUAUUGAGAAUAUUGGUCGCUAUUGACUUAUAUCAAUUGUGACCUAAUCCCUAAGGAAUGUAUGAUUAUUUUAGGAUCUCAUCUAUAGGUUCAAGCAUAUGCUAACAGUGAUACCGACUCAAUAUUCUUUUCAAGUUGAGAUAAAUACAAUACAAUACAACAACUUAAUGAAAUUAUAACUACUAGAUAGCCUUAUGUUAUAACUCAUCGUAGGCUCUGUCCAAUAUAUAAUCUAUACACACUAAUGCACUCGUCAUAGGAACCACAUCCCGUUGACUAAGACUAAUCAUCCCUUUAAUUAGGAGGUAGUACACUACAACUUCAAAUAGAUUGCCUAAGUUCACAAAUUGAUUGUGAACAAAUCAUUUACUUGCAACAAGCUCAUGACUUGGAUCUUCUGUACAACUUUUAAUGCACCUAAGUCAUGUACAAUAUAUGAGAUGCAAGUCAAAACACUUAUAAAGAAUAAUGAAUGGAAUAAGGAUAGAUGAAAGUGCAACUGAAAUAUAAUAUAAAUAAAUAGUCAAUUCUAAAGUUUGUUACAUCAUGUAAUGCUUUGAAGGGCUCUAUCUUAAUAGUUGGGUUCAUUAUAGCUAGGAACAUUCUCUUAGACGCCAUUCUUGGGGCAACUAGGUGGGUGAUUAUUAAUCAUUUGUUGCUCACAUGCAGUAACCUUUAUAUUAUCAUGUAUUGCUUUAUUUUUUACUAUUGAUAAUGAUGUUAGUUGAUUGAGGUUUGUAAACCUCAAGUCAGUUGUGUGAGGCUUUACCUUUUAUUUGGAUCAUGAUCUUAUAUUGAGCAUGCUUAUUUUUUAAUACAAGGUUAUAAUAGUUUUAGGUUAUGUUUGGAAACUGUCUUUGGUUAGUGCAUUGAUAUUGAUGGGAGUGUUGAAAGUGGAAGUAGGCUAGAAGGUUGAACCACAAUAAAUCUUAGUGUUAUGUAAUUAAUUUUGUUGAAAUUGUUUUAAUUGCAUUUGGGAGCUUUCUUCAUAUUAUACUUUAGAUUAGCCCUAGGCUCUGGCUUCAAGAGAAAAAGACCUCUUCUUUUGUACUCUAUCUACCAAUGUGGCUUAUUGCACAUCUACUUCAAAAAACUCUAACCAUAGUUCAAAUUCAUAAUCAUAUAUAGAACAUAAUAGAUGAAUAUUAUUUAUUGGUAUUGCUAUUAUUAUUCCUUCCACAUUAUUAUUAUUAUUAUUAUUAAGCAUUUACAAUAUCAAUUCAUAAGCAUGUCCAUGGUUUUGCAUUUUCAUUCCAUGCAUUGGAAAUGAUAAAUCAACUUUCCUUAAUCUUUCAUUUUGUUUCACAUUUUAUUGGAUUGAAAAAUAUGUUAAUUUGAGCAUGGACUUAUUUAUUUAUUUAUUUAUUUUUUUUGCAUUUCUUAUUAAAAAUCUUGUAAAGAUAAAUAGCUAUCUGAAGUAAUAUUUAAGAAAAAAAAAAGAGAAAAAAAAAAAGCAUUCUUCCUUAUGAAUAUUAUAUACCUCUUUAACUUCUUCUCAAGAUUAUAUUCAUAUCUUUUUUAACUCAAUCAUAAAGGAAAAGUUGACUCCACUCUAAAUAUCUAUCAAUCAUAUGAGGAAAAAUUGACUAUGAUGAUGAAAAUCAUAGCUAAAUAUCCAAAAAUUACAUUAUUAACUUGCAAAAUUUAUCGUGCACUCACUAAAUUUUUUAAACAUUGAAAAUGUUAAUUUCAUGGUGUUAUCCUAUUUAAUUAAUUAACUAUUUCAUCAUAUAAACUUCUUAAAUAUAGAAAGAAGAUCAUUUCCUACCAUUAUCCUACUUAAGUACCAUAAUUUUUUAUCCUAUAAUCUUUUUUAAACAUAAUAAUCGCAUGGCGCUGUCCUAUUUAAUUAGACCACCAUUAAGCUGCCCAACAUCUCAUUCCUUUCAUUUCUAUCUUCUGAAAUAUUUUUUGUUCAUAAAGAUUUUUGGCCAUGUAGAAGAAGCGAGCCAAAAGCCAUGAAAAGGUUGAGAUGAGAAAGAUGAAUAAUGAAGAAGAUCGCCUUGUUUCCUUCUUGAAGCAUAGAUCUGGGAUCUACAGAAAGGCAAGUGAGCUUUUUACCCUUUGUGGUACAGAAGUUGGUAUUUUAGCUUUCUCCCCAAAUGGGGAGCCAUUCUCAUUUGGUCAUUGAUGCGACUCAUGGUAGCUUAGCUUUAAAGGCGUAUCAACAAAAUUUAUACCUUGAAUACUAUUACUAAAGUAGCCAAGCUACUAUAGCAUAGUGGUUCUAGGAUCAUUCACUGGGAAGGGUUUUCGCAAACACAAGUGAUAUUCAAAUUAGGAAAAUAGGUGAUUUUCUUAUGGAUGUUAGCUUAAAAAGAAGAUGUAAAUGUUUUAGAAAGAUUUAAACUAAUCUAAGCUAACAUUAAAGACUAAAAUGAAAGGGUGUAAAAACAAGUUUCUCAAAGAUAGGAUAGCUAUGCUCUGGCUCUUAUGCAAAUUGGAAAUCUCAGGAUAGGCUCCUCGCGUUGGGGUUGCAACUAUGGUGAUGCUUGCUUCCCGAACCGGUAUGGAUUUAGCAAAUCAAGUUUUAAUCCUUUAAAAUGACAAAACAGAUGGUAGUGAAUUUCAUCCAUGGUUAUUCACCUUAGACUUCCUUUGAAUGGCUCGUAAGAGAUAACUAAUGGUCUAAAGCCAAAAGCUUAUCAAAUAUUGGCAACUCAAAGUCAUUCCAGGUGAUAAACUCACCUUUCAAUGGCCAUUGAAAUUGGUUCUAACGGAUUAAUACAAAACUUGGAAUUGAAAACCUCACCUUCCAAUAGCUCGUAGGAGAUAACUAAUGGAUAGAAAUCCAAAAGCUUAUCAAGUAUUGGCCGUUGGAAGUUGUCCAAAGGAAAUAAAAACCAAACUUUGCAUUAAUGAACCUUUAAUGAAAAAGGACUACCUUACCUUCCGGGUGCGAGAAAUUUCCAUGGGAUUGCAUUCAAGUCAUCACAUAACAUCCAUACUUUGAGAAACUAAAAGUUUUAGCCAAUCAUCCUCUGAGGAAAAGCCCUCAGAGGCUGUUUGGCUUCCAAGAAAAUAGAAAUGGGGAAGAGAAAAGAGAAAUGAGAGAGCUCUGUAUAUAUUCUCUAAGUGUUAAACGUAAUAUCUAUUCUAUAUGAUCCAAGAGGUGAUUUCCACCCCUUAUAUAGUCUUUACAAAAGCAAAAGCUUGUGAUUGGUUAGUUACAAGGAUAAGAAAGGAAAUUACAUCACAAAAUACAAAGGAAAAUAUCUAAAGUGGAGUCGGCAAAAGCAGAGGAAAAUUCGCAACACGCAUGGGUUAUGCGAAUUUUGAAGGUGUUAUGCGAAAUUUUCGCAUAACCUGGAGCAGUUGGCUUCCGAAGGCCAUAUCUUCCUCAUUUCAGCUCCAAAUCGUACACGGUUAGAAGUGUUGGAUUCUUUACUUCCAGAGCUUUGAAAUGGUAUAUAGCAUAUAAAAAAUGGACUUCGGAAAGUGCUCCAAAAGUGUGAAAGAAGACUGCAGCUGCUGUCCUCUGUUUUCCUCUUCUCCAUUGUUCUUUCCUUGCAUACUUUGAACGACUUUGGCAAAGGGAUAUGGAGCUCCAAAGCUUGGUUCUUCAUGAAUUUGAGCUUCCAAAAGCUUUGCCAUAACUUGUCCAAGUAUCUCCUCCAUCAUUUGGCAUGCUUGAAUUGAUUCAUAAGCUGAUAAAAACAUGUAAACUUGCCACAAAAUGGUUAAAACCAAUUACUAAGGACCUUAAUGAAUUAAUUGGGUUAAAUGAAUAUGAUUACUACUCAAAGGUGCUUAAAACCAUUAUAAUUAGGUCUACAAAAUAGCACUUUUUGGUAGUAAUCAGUCAUCCAUGUAUCAAGUCAGUUACUAAUAAGCUUUUAAGUGAAAUACCAUACACCAUGUGAUGGAACCCAAAAUCUUCUUGAGCCUUACCAUCGUGUUAGGCUUAAUGAGCUUCACCAUAACUAUAAAGAAGCUUGCAAGCAAAAGAAAGCAGCCAAGGAGCAAGAAAAAAAAAAUCAAGAAAAAAAGCCUGAUCAAAGGCUGGUGGGAAGAACCUAUUAUUGAGCUUGAUAUGGAUGGUCUCAGGCGAAGGUCAGAUCUAAUUCAAAAGCUUCAUAAGCAUGUGCAACUCCAAAUCAAGGAGCUAUAGACCAUGGAAUCAUGUUCAACUUUACCAUCUAAUACCCAAACAGUUGGCCAUGGCCAUGCUAAAUAAAUGUGCUUUGUAUUAUUGAGAGUCUUGAACAUUUCAGUAUCAAACGAUAAUGGUUCAAUGCUUUUAUUUUUGAGUAAUGGGUUUUGUGUUGGAGUAGCCAAAAAUGUGAUAUUGAUUGAUUAAGCUUCCUUUUUCCCCACCGAAAAGAAGUCUUUUAAUAGUUGAUGUGGGUGACAUAUCAUGUGAUUCUUGUGUAGAUUCCUUAUCUUCAUAAUAGUAGGGUCGUUUUAUAUUUGUCUGGUUUUUGACCCUUGACUCUUGUGUGAUUUCCAUCUUAAUGAUCCUAGUAGAAACAGAUGAGCAUGAUGCUCUUGAGGGUUCAUAUUUUGAAAUUUUAGGAAUUCGAGAAUGACUGAAUGAAUUUGUUAAGCCCCAAAUUCUAAAAUUAAAGUUUAAUUAAAUUAACAUAGGCCAACUCAGACUUUUUGCACUUGAGAUGUGAAUUAAGGAAGAAUUUGGUGAAGUUUAAAGUUUGAGGGCAAACCUAAUUCACCUGUGUUAUUUAAGUUUUUGAACAAAGAAGUUCCCUAUAUUUGGAAGAAUUCAUGUUUUUCCUAUUCAUGGACUUUGUGUAUCGGAAAACUUACACAUUUUAACUCCAUGGCCAACCUUUGUAAAAAGAGUAUGCUUGUAUGGGUAUUUUUUUAAAUCUCUCAGAAAAAUAAGCAUCCAUAUGACUAUACUAAGCUCUCAGAGCUUGUUUUAGUCUAUAUAGUGCCUUUUUAUUUUUAUUUUUAUAAUUUAUGAACUUUAUGCUCACUUUUAGGCUUCGCAUACUCAAGAGGUUUAUCGAUAAAAACCUGUUCUUAUAGAUCACCAAGCAAAAAUACUGAUUUUACAUCUAGUUGGAAGAUAGACCAUGAGUUUUAAGAAGUCAAUGUAAUAAAUAGCUCGAUUGCAUCAUGUCUUGCAAUAGGAGUAAAAACUUCUUUAUAAUCCACACUAAACUCUUGUUUAUAGCCUUUAGCUACUAAGUGCACCUUAUUCUUGCCAUCUUUGUCAUUCUCCUUCAAUGUUGUCUUGUAUACCCAUUUGACACCAAUUUUUUGUGGUCUCUUGGAAGAUCAAUUUACUCCCAAGUGCUAUUUUGGUUAAUAAUUUCAGUUUGUCUUUCAUAGCCUUCCUCCACUUUGAAAGUUGUAGGAUUGAAAUAUGAAAAUAGAGCAAAAUGUGUAAGCAGGUUCUCAAUGGGUCAAUUUCUAUUUCCUUGUAAUCAAUCAUCCACAUAGGUCUUCUUCAACCAUGUUUUGUCCUUUGUUUAUCACCUCUUUAGCUGCAAUUGGGCUUUGAGCAUCAACAAGGACAUUUUUGGGUAACUUCGAGUUAUUGAACAUUUCCCAUAGGUUGUUGCCUUAUGCCAUCAUCAUCAAAAUCUAUUGGAAUACGUUUUUCAACACCAUUCUUGUUCCAAAACCAAGUUCAUUCUUAAUAAAAAAAAUAUCGUGACUAAUAAUGAUUUUCUUUAUGCUAAGAUUAUAUAGCUUAUAAGCCUUUGACUGAUCAUUAAUACCAAGACAAAUGCAUAUUUCUCCCUUGUCAUCUAGCUUUUUCCUCUUCUCAUCUAGAACAUGGACAUGGGUAUAGGCUAUGCAACUAAAAAUUCUAAAGUGUUAGGGUCUUCAUCUGUUCCAUGUUUCCUAUAGUGUUAUAUUUUGAACAAUAAAUGUUGUACUUCUCUUCAAAAUAUGAAUGCUCCAGUUGAUAAUGUUAGGCUAGAAACUCUUCAAAACUCUAAUCCUUGCCAAAAGACUUCACACCUCGUUAAGAAUCGUGCAAUUAUUCCUCUCGCAUACAUCAUUUUAUUGAGGCUAAUAGGCCUCUAUAAGUUGUCUUUUGAUGCCAUGAGUCUCAUAAAAAUUUGCAAAUUCAUAUGAGUUAUAAUCUCCCCCAUAAUUAGUGUACAAUAUUUUUAUUAAGCUAUUGACUUCUUUCUCAACAAGUGCUUUAUAAAGUUUAGAUGCUGCAGACACCUCAAAUUUUUCCUACAAAAAAUACACCUAAAAUUUUCGAUUAAAAUUAUCAAUGAAGGUAAUUAUGUAUCUUUUACCUCCAUUAUUUGGAAGAUGGAUUUAUUUGUCCAUAAAAGUUAGAAUAAGCCAACUCUAACGUCUUCUUUGUUCUCCAUGACUUUCCUUAUGGAGAUUGAUUGUGGUGUUGUUGGCUAACAACACAUAUUCAACAAAAACUUGUUGAGAGCAUUCAAUUUGAGAAAGCUUAAUCACCAUAUUUUUUUGCUGCAAUGUCUUGAGACCAACAAAGUUUAGACGCCCAUAACAAAAAUGCCAAAGCCAUGCUACAUCCUUCAAUUGAGUAGACACUACAAGAAAUUUCACCCUCUACCACAAAAUUUUUGGCCAUCAAUAUAAUUUCAUCUCUAAAGAUGAUAUUGGGAGACAAAAUUCAAGUUUGUUAUGAAAAUUUGUGUCUAAAGUUUUAAUUGAAUGUGACAUGAGGCCAAAUUAUUUGUGACGACAUCAUAAAUUUUAACAACAAAAUAUUUCAUGGUGAAAAAUAUAUUGGGAGACAAAAACCUAGUGUUGUCCCAAAAGGUAAAUAAUGGGUAACAAAAUUAUGUUGUUGUAAAAUAGUUUUGGAGAGAAAAAUCUUAACAAUGGGAGACAAAAAUAUUGUCCUAAUAUCACUAGAUGAAGGAACAAAGAAAAUUAUUGGGGAGGAAAUUGUUUUAUUGUAAAAACUCAAUAUUGGAGACAAAACUAUUUCAUCCCCAUUAAAAUGCAUUUUCCUUUUUCAAAAUGAAUUUAUCAUUUUUAAAUUUAUUUAUACUAUUGAAUACUUAACAUGAUUUAUUUGUUUUUUGAGAAAGUUUCAUAAUACUUUAAUAUUUAUGAAACAACACAAUUAUUAUUAAAGAAAGUAAAUAUUAUUUAGAAAUAAUGUGAUAUUGUCAUAUUAUAAUAUUAAUAUAAAUAUAAAUAUAAAUAUAUAUAUAGUAUUAAAAUUUAAAUAUAAUGACAAUUUUUAUUAUAUUUAAAUUUUAAUAUAUAUAUAUAUAUAUAUAUAUAUAUAUAUAUCAAUAUGUAAUAAUAUUUAAAUUUUAAUACUAUGUGUAAUAAAGUAAGAAUUUAAAAUUUUUUUAGCUAAUGUUGAAUCUUCAAUUCUGGAUAUCAUACUCAUGAUAUGUGAAAUGUAAUAUUUGUUUAAUAAAAAUAUUAUUUUAUUUAGUAUAUAACUUGAAAUUAUAUAUAAAAGAAUUUAAUAUGGAUUAAAUUAAUUACCUAAAAAAAAAAAGGGUUACAAUGUUUGGACCAUAAUAUUAUUAGUCUUCUUCUUGUUCUUGAGUACAAAAACACAAAGAUUAAUCUAGAAUGUAUAAUAUGGUAAAAUUCUAAUCAUAAUAUAUUUUAUUUUUAUAAUAUUUUAUUUUAUUAAUGAAUUUAUAAGAUAAUAACAUUUUUUUUGUAAAUUCUAUUAUAAUAUAACCAUCUAUUAUUCUUCUAAUCUUAUACUUCCUAUAAAAUAACUUUUUUUCUUUUUCUCUAAAUAAUAAUUUCAUUUUCAUGUAAAUACUUUGAACAAUCCUUAAUAAUAUAUAAUAAAAUAAAACAAAAAUAGAUUGAGAUUCAUUUCCAUGUUUAUAACUUGAUAUUUUAUAUAUCUAAAAAUGUUCAAUUAGGAAUUAGGAUUAAAUUGAUUAUAUUAUGCAAAAAUAAAAAAAUUAGUUACCAUGUGAGAACCCUAAUUUUAUUAAUCUUCCUUAUGUUAUUUACAGAUAAAAAUCAAUCCAAAUUGCGAAUGUACAAAUAAAAUAAUUUUAGUUAAUAGUAUAAACAUUUAUUACUUACCUACUUUUGUUGUUCCCAUAAAAUCAUCUCAUGUCUUUAUUUGUAAGUAAUUGAUUUCAAUGUCAAUAUUCUAAAUUAAAGUAUAAAAUAAAUUAAAAAAUAUUACAUUAAAAUAACUUAUUUUGUAUAUAAAUUUUUAUUUUAUAUAUCUAUAAAAGUCAAAUUUGGAUUAAAUUGAUUAUACAAAAAUAUAAAAAGGGGUUUGACAACCAUAACACUAUUAGUCUUCUUCGUAUUAAAGUAGAAAAAUGAAUCCAAACUCUAAAUGUAAAAGAUAAUGAAAUUUUAAUAGUAAGUUACAUUGGCUUUUUCAUAAUAUUAUAUUUUAUUAUAAUUCAUAUAUGAAUUUAUAAGAUAAUGACAUUUUAAUAAUGAUUUAUUUCAAUUCUUCUUUUUUUUUUCUUCUUAAUUUUCUAAUUGAUUUUUUUUUAAAAGAAAUAUAAAAAUUUAUAUAUGACUUAAAGUUGAUAAAAAAAAUUCAUUUCUCUUUUAAUAAUUUAACAAUAUAAUGUUUUACCAAUCUCAUCUUUUCUAUAAAAUCAUCUCAUUUCCUUAAUUUUUUUAUAGAUAUUUCUUAUGGUUAUUCUUUAGAAAAAAAAAUUCUAAUGUUAACUAUAUAAGACAAUAAACUUAUAUUUUUAAAAAUUAAUCCUUUAUAAAAAAAGACUUUUAUAAAAGUUUUAGUUAAUUCUAUAAUAGUAUAAGUAUCUAUUAUUUACGCAAUCUUGUUGUAGACCCCCUUUGGUGGUAAAAGGCUCGGGGGGAGGUGAUUUCGAAAGACUUCUCAUUAUAUUUAGAAGGGGUAGGGGACCCCUAGCGGCUGAAGGAUGGACCCCUUCUCUAGGCACGGACGUGCAGCUGCAGGGGGGCGGUUGCAAGCCCAUGCUUGCUGAUGCAUGAACAGGGGAGGUGGGUGAUGGUUGGCUGAAGAGAGAAAACAGAGAAGAAGACGUCUACGAGGGGGGUGGUUUUUGCAGGAGAGACGACUAGUGAAGGAGGAGGAAGGAUCUUUCUGCUGAUAGCUUGUAAGUAUUGCUCUGUUUCAACUCCCUUUCACAUUUCCUUAUUCUUUUGUUGCAAAAUGAUUCAUGUUUGGUCCCAAGGUGGUGAUUGAUAGUCAUGCAUUAGUUUAUUUUCCGUUCGUUCUAUUGGUUUUUCAAUCUGUUGAUGAUGCAUGAAGUGAGGUUACAACAAUUAAAUCCUCAGACCUCUCAUCCUUGCUCGGUUUCUUAGCGAUCUCUUUCUCCAUACUUCUUAUGCUACCAACCCCCUGCUCAUGCACACGUGGACUGCACACCCACUCCUACCCUCCAUUUUCCCUUCUCAUUUUCCUCUCGUUCUUCUCACUCCUCAAAACACCAGAAGUAGACGUCUACCAGGAUAGCAGCCGAAGAUGCUCAAAACUUCAAUCCCCAUUUCGAGCCUACCGCCAAAGCUCCAAAAAUCCUAGCAAAUGGAGAGCCUCCGAUGCAGUUCUGAGAGCACGAGGCUCUCUUGCGGCGCUCCGGCGAGUCCCAUGCAUCUCGCGUUCCACGUGAAGGCGUCGCCAUCAACUCUCCCCUCACCGUCGCCGCCCUUUGAAAACACUCUACCCAGCCCGCCCGCUACACACUACAAGGAAAAUGUCAAAAGAUGACGCUUUUUAAGUGUCAAGAUAGAUAUAAGAUGACGCUUUUUAAAAGCGUCAUAUAUUAGACUGUCAUCUUUUUAAAUCGCAUACGUUGACACUUUUUAGAAGCGUCAUCUUCUUUGCACGUCAACCAUGACGCUCAUAGUAAGUGUCAUUAUUUGAAAUAUUGACGCUUUAUAAGUGUCAUCAUAUGUUAAUAAUUUCAUUCAUGUCAAUAUUGACACUCAAUGAAGUGUCAUUGUAUAGGUAGAAGCAACAUUGACACUCAAUAUAAGUGUCAUCUUAUAACUUUUUAUUUGUAGGAGCAACGUUGACACUUAAUAAAGCGUCAUUGUAUAAGUAGAAGCAACAUUGACACUCAAUAUAAGUGUCAUCUUAUAGCUUUUUUAUUUGUAGGAGCAACAUUGACACUCAUAAUAAGUGUCAUCGUAUAGCAUUUUAUACCUUGACACUAAAAAAAAUGCCAUGUUUUUUUAACAUCAACCUUGACGCUUUUGAGAGGUGUCAUCUUCUGUUUAUUCAAGUAAAGCAUGAUGCUUUAAAAAAGCGUCAUCUUAUCUCAUAUAAAAUUUUAAUAGCCCAGAAAUUAAAAUGUCCUAAUUAUGCCCUGUUUUAUAAUUUUCUAUCAACAAUUAAAUUAAUAAUAAAAACUUAAUUUAAGAAUCUCCAUUGACAAAAAGGAUCAAAUAUGGUCUUCCUUUUUCACUAUUACAAUUUAUCCAUAAACAUCAUAUAUAAUCAACAACUAAAACCAACAAUUUUACAACUUCUUCUUCUCAACUUUGAAUUGUUCAUAACCUUCACUACAUCUAGUUUUACAUCAUUUUUCUUCCAAGUGCAAAAGGAUGGUUGUAACUCACUUUCUAGAUGCUCAAUCUGCAAAAUAAUUGAGAGGGUUACAUAUUUAUUAGUAUUAACAAAUAGUUAAGAAGCAACUUUGUAAAUGAAAUGUGUAUAUGCCAAUUUUUAAAUUUCCAAAAUAUCUUUCUUCCAUUGCAAUAAAUUUCAAAAUAUCAAAAGAACUCAACAAACUCCAAUAAUUUUAUUACACCAAAUUUCUAAAUAUUUUAGAACUCUCAUUCUAUUUUUUUUUUUUAAAAAAAAGUUUUUAUCUCAUUGACUAUUUUGGUAUGAUUUUUAUCUUAUUUAUGAAACUUCAACCAUUAACAUCUUCUCAUUCUUCUUAUAGGUUGUACAAGACAUUAGAUGUUUUGCAUGAGAAGAAACUAAGGAAUGAAAAAAAAAAACAAAAAAAACUAGAAGUCCGAAAAAUUGUAAAAUUGUAAAUUAACAUAUUUAUGUAAAAUUAUAAAAUUGUGUUAAAAUAUCUAUGUUCUUCUUAUUGUAUUAGUAUAUCAACAUUUAAUAACAUGAGGAUAUCUAUUAUCUAAAUAUGGAACUUGCAUGAAAUGAUCUCUAAACAUGGAAUUGAUUCAUAAAACUUACAAUAACCACAUGUUACCUCAAAAUUCUUUUGAUGAUAUAUUUUGAAUUGUUUGUGGGUGUCCUUCAUCAAGAGUAGAAGUGAUGUUGUUAAUAGAAUGACCUAUGCCUUUUUGUACAACCUGAAGAAUAUAUAAUAAACAAUUUAACAACCAAUUAGUAAGAGGUGCUAUUUCCUUCCAUAGGCUUAUUUGUAAGAAGUCUUAAACUAACUUCCUAUUUUUUAAGUAAAAGAAAAUGGAAGUACAAGAUAUUAUAGACUUUAAGCCCAUUAGUAUAGUAGGAGACCUUUAUAAAUUUAGAUUAAAGAAGUUUAUAAAGCUAGUAAUCUUAAAGACCAAAAAUGCUUUUGUAGAGAAUAGACAAAUUCCUAAUUCAUGCACAUGUAAUGAAACUAAAGGCUCUACGAAAAUGAGCUUGGACAUGUAGGAAUUUUUGUAGCUAUGCUAUUGUAGGAUUUCUCCAAAUCUAACUGAUAAUAAUUUGUAGAGGAAAUAUACAAAAGUUGUUACACCUACCAUGUCUACUUGGCUUCACCUCUCAAUAUGCCAACUAUACAUCAAUCAUAAUAGAGCAACCCCCAAAAUGAUCCAUAUUGAAAACACUGCCAACUAGAAGUACAAAGAUAUACAUUAACAAAUUAUCAUUGUGAAUAAAUCCAUUAUAAAAUUAACAUUAACAAAAUAUUGACUACAUCUUUAAAAGAAUAUGAAGUUGUAUUAGACUAUAAGUUAUAAGAGGUACCUUCAAACAUGAGUAAUGAUUAACUGAGUCACUAACAUAACCCAAUCUGAUUGAACUUCAUUAAUUUCCAUUUCACUAUAUGAUUUCUUCCCGCAAAACUGAAUUGGAGUGACAUAUACAAUUCACUAAGUUCAAUUGACCAAAAAAAAAAAAAAAAUGCUAUAGUAAAAUGACCAACCAUAUGAAUUGAAUUGAGUGCAAACCUUUGAUGUUAGUUGGUUUGGAUUAGCAAUGAUUUCCUUCAUAUAUCUCAUCACGUAAUACCCACAUUCCACACUACCUGGUUGUCUUGGGCACUAUGGGAAAAGUAUCAACAAUUGCAAUAAACACUAGAAUGAUGUUCUUACUUCUUUAGCAUCUUAUUGAUGAUCAUAUUAAUAACCAUCCAUUUUCUAAUUUUGUCAUAAAUUAAGUGGUGAAGCAAUAUAUUUUAAUCUAAACAAAUAAGUACUUACAACCACUUUCACCCAAGUUGGCUCCCUCUUUGAUGUUUUCUGUUUUUCCGGUGGGUUGAUUCUCAUUGCCCUACAAAAAGAAUUAAAAAGAUGUUAUAUAGACACUAUCAAUUGUAUUAAAAUAGGAGAAAAUAUAUACUUACAUGUUAACUAUGUCCUUAAGAUCAUCACAUGGUUGACAGGCCAUUGGAUUAAGGUAAUAUGCAAUCAUUUUCUUCAUCUCCAAUGCCACUAACACCCAAUGGAAACUAAAGAAAAGAAAUGAAAAUUGUAAUAUAGUAUCCACAAAUUCAAACAUCACAAACUAACUUACAAACACCAUAUUGAUAUUUAGGAUAAAAGGUUACUCUGGGUUGUAUGGAAUAAGCAUAUAUUCAGCAUGCUUUGUAUUCUUUAGUCGAUCUGCAAUAACCCUUGACCUGUUUUCCUUGCUUCCCUCUCCCAUUCCAGCUUUUGAGACCAAUACUGGAUUGACAAAAACAUAUCGUUCGGCCUGCUAUGCAUCAAUCAACUUUCUAUGCAAAUGCUUGAUUAUAACCCACAUGACAAGUUAUCAACAAUCAUUAUAGGUCAUUAGAAAAUAACCUUCUAUCUCAUAAUCUUGUGAAAAGUCAUUCAAAAAUUAUAAAAUCCCUUACCAAAUGUAGUAUAAAAUACAAUUGGAUGACACUUCUUUUGAUGAUAUUAUCAUUUCCAUAUCUUCUUUCAUCAUGAAGGUCUUGAAACUCUCACCAAAAACAUCAUCUGGGAAGUUUAUAGGGUAUGUUCUUGAUGUACUCAGAAUGAGGCCAACCAAUGUCUCAAAAUUUUUCAUAUCUUGUGGUUUUUCACCCUUGGAUUUGACUUCAACUUCAUUUACUUUUUGUUUCUUUGCUUUCUUAGAUGCUUGUACAAUUAAGAACCAUGGUACAAAUCAAAUUAACUAGUUUAUAUAUAUAUAAAGUCACUAUAAACUUUGGUAAUUAAAUUUACUUACUAAGAUGGGAGUACGGAUGAUGACCAAAUUAGUUGGCCACAAAACUUGGUAACCAAUUGCAGCCCCAACAGUAGUAGUUUGUCCAGGAAUAGGAAUGGGAAGGGGUGCACUUGAAUCAUAAGGAGCAUCAACAACUACUAAAUAGUUGGGACCACAUUCAAGUAUAAUUGUUCCACCUGCCACUAUAUUUUCCUUGGUGCCUAUGGCUGUAGACCCCCAUUUUGGGAACCUCACUUUUGUGCAUAUUUUGCAGCUCUUUUUGCCAGGUGUCGCAGCUGUGAGCAGCCACGUGUCGACUCCCGUCUGGUUGCUAUGGCAUCAGAUGGUGGAAUCAAGGAGCAAAUAAGAGGUUGACACGUGUAAAGGAGAUUUUGCAGGCGGUUAGGAGGAGCGUAUGAGAGAGGGGAUAUUCUGCAGAAAGUGAGGUUGCUUUUGGGAGGUUGGUUAGGAGAUAUAUUCUAGGAGGGCAUAUCCGGGAGAGAACAAAAAUAAGAGAAAAGGGGAUUGGUUGGUGGAAAGGGGCUGCAGAGUGUAGUGGUGCUGGUGGCUGUUGCUGCAAAGAUGGUUGGAGGGGCAAAUCCGGGAGAGAAAAGAGAUAUCGCCUAGAAGAGGAAGGCAGCUAGGAAGGGAUGCAGGGGGGUGGAGAGUCUGUUAGAGGGGGAGCGUCUCUUGCAAGUGGGCAGGAUUUUCAUGCUGGUCUGAGAGAUUUUUCAGGCAGGGUGAGUGGAGAUAUUGAUUUUUGAGGGGAAGAGGAGAAGAUCUUUUGAGCUGAGGAAGGUAGCAGGCUGCUAAGGAUUUGGAGAGGGGAGAGCUUUUGUUUGGGUGUUUUUUUUGGGAGAAAGGAUUCUGGAGAGGAAGCAGUAAAGCUUCUUUUGUGAGAGAGAACGAGGGAGAGAGAACAGAGAAGGUGGGGGCAAAGAGCGAGAGGGGGAGCUUGGGAGAGUAUUCGUUUGGUGUGGAGCAGCAAACUGUGAGGGAGAAGUUGGAAGCUGCAAGAAAUGUGAGUUUUUGGAGAGCUUAGAGAGUGAUAUUUCUUUAGGGCAUUGCUUGACAAGCAAGCCGGACAGGAGAAGAAGUUUUCUUAGAGCUUGAGGAGAGCUCAGAGAGAAAACCAGAGGGAACUUGCUGGUGAGAAUAGGAGGGGAUAUCUUUUUCUUUUCUAGAGGUAGCAGAGUGGAGAGGAAACAAGUUUGAAGGUAAGCAUCUCGGGAGUAAAAGGACUUCCUCAGGUAUGAUUGCUAUAGGCUUAUUGAUUGUUUUUGGCUGUUUAUCACUCUCAUAUGUCUCUUGUUGAUAUUUGAAUAUUUGUUGAUUUGCUUGGGGUGGAUAAUGGAGGCCACUUAUUGCUUGUUGAAAUAUAAUCCUGCCUACAUGUUUACCACUGUUAACCUUAGUGUGUUUUGCUCCUAUUAUGAAAAUGCCCAUAGUUGCCUUUGAAAUGUUGUUUCUCACCUAAUCAGAGGGUUCACGGAUGACUCAUGAAGUGAAACCUCUGAAAAUCACCUUUACUCAUUUUCUUUUGCGUUCUUUUCAAUGGCCUUUUUCUUUGUUGUGACCAAUACUUUGCUUCUGGGCCUCGUUCAAUGUAAUGGUUGUAAAAAAAAGUAGAUCUGGGUCUGGCUGUGUACUCAUUCAGAGAUCAAAUAUGUUGGGAAGAGACUAUGAUUGGGUGAUGAGAUUCUACUAUGAGGUUCAAGGGAGGUUCAAUCGGUUCAAUGAUGCCACUCUGAAUUUGUUGAUAUCCUAUGUGUGUAGAAGAGAUGCUCAGUGGGACUCCUUUGGGUAUCAAAACUCUGUUUCUCCCAGAUAUCAGUGGCAUGCUUAAAGGUAUAUUAUCAAGUCCUGGCCUGGUUGUAAGUAUAUCUAUUUCAUCUGCUGGAUUCUUGCGAAGAAAUCUCCCUCUAGUAGUUCUGGGAAAUGGGAAGACGUCAAUGGGAAUGUGUCUGUGGUUUCUGCUCAUGAGAAUAUAUUGAGUGAUCAGCCUGAGUUGCUGCAGCGACUUGGAAAGGACCUUUCUUUUGUUCCAAUACUGAUCUAUGACCCAUUGAUAGAAGUCUACUUGGCAGAUUUUUGAAGAUGGAGAGGCUCGAAAACCAUCUAUGCAUACUGAUGUAGGUCCCGUGUCUGAGACAAGAGGUGCAGAAAAUACCGAUUAUGCUGAUUUUAAUAAUAAAAACGGUGGGAUUUCUUGGGUCUUUAUUGUGAUGGUUGCCCUAUGUCACUCCCUCAUGAGGAAGAAGACACCAAAACAGAAUAUCUCGGUGAAAUGAAUUAUGGUAUCAGCAGGGAAUGUCUCAAUGUCGUUACUGAUGAGUAAACUGACAUGGUUGCUGAGAAAGGCGUUUGUUUCGACAAGUCAACAACAGUUGAAAUCCUGGAAGCUGUUCAUAAUCCCUGUCCCGUGGCAUUUGAAUACCCAAGGCACCUGUCACUAAGCCAACCUCAUGACUCCCCAUCCGUAGUCCUACAGCCGCAAGUGUUGUUCCAUUCUUGCAUGGUCACUCACCAAAGUUUCCCUCUCCAUUGAAUCCAAAUAUCCUCACACCAAUCAAGCCCACCCACUAAUCCAAUCCAUCUUUCAUCCAUCCCACUCUCUACCCUACACGCAUGGCAAACCCAUUUUUUUCUUAAUAUCCAUCUAAACCCAUCUCUCACUCAUGUUCGUGUCUUACCCACGUUCCAGCUCACUACAUUUCUUCAUACCCAUUGCCUAUAGCCAUACCCAUAUUUCAUAAUCUCCCAUGCAUGUUCAUUUCUUGAAAACCCAUUAAACCCUCUGAACCCAUAUUUGUUUGGCCAUGUAUGGCCAUACAAGACGUUUCCACCAAGCUCAUUAUCCCUGGAUAUUCAUAUCCGUUUCCUGUAGUUGGGCACUUGUCCCAAUUCACGUGACUUCAAUGGAGGCUGUGUUGAUGGAAGAUGUCAUUGCUUUCUUGGAUUUCAUGGUCAUGAUUGCAGUGUAUACGAAUGGAUGCUUGGGCAUGAUAACUGCCUAUAGAAGGUCUAAGCCAUAUGCAGAUCCUGAUGCAAAGAAGAUUGAUGAUCAGGGUGAUGAGGAAGUGCCCAACAAGAUGCCGAGGAAUCCAAGAAGCUGCUACCAUACCCAUGUCACCAUGCCUUACAAAUCCACUCCGUUUCUCCACCACCUUUAUGGAUUCUACACCAUCACCUAUCUAUACUCAAACCGUUGCCCCAUUUCUCUCACUAAAUCCCGCCACCCAGUCCACUCAUUGAUUGAGGAGACCAUACCCAUAUGCAUGAUCGUUUUAACGCAUGCAUGACCUUCUUGAAAGACACGAAGAUGUUUGGCGCGCCUAGAGCUUGACUGGCCACAUGUGAUGAGAUUCUUCUUUGCUGCCUUCGUCACGAUGAAGCUGUGAGCAUGAUGAGAAACCUCUUUGAUCAGCGCGAAUUAGUUAGAUAUGAUGACGAGUGUAGUCUAUCACACAGAGCAACUUGUUAUUCUAGUUUGUACAAAUCGUAACAUCAAUAUGGGAAGGUAUUUAUGUGAAAGGAAGCUGCAGGUUGUGAAAUAUUAACAUUGGUCCAAAUGUAAGUGAUCCUGGCUAUUUAGAUUUGGUAAGAAUCCGCUUGCUUCAAAAGAUACAGGUGAGGGAAUGUGCUGAGUUACUUGGGAUAAGUCUAUCAUUUAGAGUCCCAUUUGAGAUUGUGGGUGAUGUCAUGCUUAUGCAACUCUCCUGCAUUCAGCAAAGAGACAAAUCAAUUGUGGAAACUCCAAGGUAGACGUCACGUGGCGCAUUGAUAGAUAUUUGUGGAGUUUUUCAACUAGUUCAAAGGUGUCAUUGCAUGAAGAAUAACUGUAGCCAAGGAAAGGGCUGAUCUGGACGUUCUCUAUAUCAGAGCAUCAAAAUGGGAAUAUCAAGGUGCCGCUAACACACUCAUCACUAUCAUGUUUGCACAAUCAAAAGAGGAUGGAGUCGACCUAAUCGAACACGGACAGACCCAGACUGAAGACUUGCUGAGAACAGAGGCUCAGGCUUUGGGGUUAAGGUAAUUUCAAUAUGCCUAGGGAUUCUCAUUUGUGCCACUCAGACUCAAAAUAACCUCUGUAAGAAAGGAAGAGGGAUGAGAAAGCUGGCUACAGAGAUUCAAAGGAGAGUCACUACGAUUCAAGCUUCUUGGAUAACAUGCUGUUCAGAGAGUUUGCCAUAGAGUUUUGAGUUUUUGUUGUGAAAAGAUGGAUGAGAAUAUGUCGGUUGGUUGUGAGUAAGAAUUUCUAUGCUCGGCAUGCCAAGUCAGUAAUAGUUGAAGAUGGGAUCUAAAGGGCAAGCAAGGCUCAUAGCAUCGUGGCCUGAUUCAGUGACUAUUCUGGCAUCCAGUCAAACCUUCAGGGCAUGUAUCGCAUGGUCACCUUCAGGCAUACUACUUUGCCCAUGUGUCCUUCUCACUUCCUCCUUUCAUCUAUUUUAAAAAAAUAAUUUCCCACACUCUCAUUCCUCAAAAAUAAUUUUUCAAUUUCCAUUUUGUAAAUAACUCUUCAAAUUUUGAUUUUCAGAUAAAUUUCAACUCUCCUCCUUCAUCCUUAGAACCCCUUUGGUUCCAAAGUCUCUUUUUCCAAUAAAUCUUUGUUGCCAUAUUUCCUUUCGGCAUACAAUUUUCACAAUUCUUUUGUUUUUUAAAAUGUUUUAAAAUAAGCUAAAAUCAAAUUCCAUAAUUCUAAGUGAUAGAGUUUGCGGAAUUGAUUUAUGCAAAAAUGAAUCGGGCUUUGAUGGAGGCCCCACAUAUUUGACUUCAUGAUUGAUUGACUGAUUGAUAGAUUUAUUUGCCAUGCUUGAUUGGUUUACUCUAUUCCUUGAUAUGCGCUUAAUUAUAUCUGUUCAUUGUUCACUAAUCAUGUUUCAUGAUAGCGCGUUCGUGAUUGCCGCCCAGGUGCGCAUCUAUUCAUAUUUCGCCUAUUCUUUAUACAUGCUUUACUUCUCAUAUUGUGCAUGAUCAAUUUGAGUAUUCAUCAAUUUUCUCAUUGAUUGCCAUGUUAGCUUCAUUCUAUUAGUAGAGACCCGACUUUAGGGACUUAGAGGGGUGCUACGGUUUUUACCGUACCUUCCCGAUAAGUAACCUGACCCCCGAACCCGAUCCGGUUUUUCACAGACCGCCUUUUCCAAAAUAAGGAGUCACACUUAGGGUUUUUCUUUCUUAUUUUGUUUACCCUUUAAAAAUAAAACAAAAAUAAGUGGCGACUCCAAGUCAUUUUUCUUAAUCAAAUAAAAUCAAUUUUUCAAAUAAAAAUCGAGCUCGCCAUCGAGUGGGAAACGCAUUGAGCCGAAAAUGCGGGGUCCACAAUGGCCAGCUCACAUUUUCUAACCUACAAAACUCAAUUCACAAUAAUCACUUCAAUAUUAGUGGGUUUAUACAAAACUAACAUAAAUGCAUUAUCAUCAUCAAUCACCUUAUAGCUCCUAUUACAAUGAUAAAUGCAAUUUCAUUUACAUUCAAUUGCAACAAACUUGCAUGAUAACAUUUCAGUCCAUUGCAUAUAACUCAACCCAUAAUUUAGACAUAUCCUAUUAUAUGUUGCCACAUCAAAGAAGACCAUAUAUGUUGCCACCAACAUUUGAAGUCAAUUCAAACAACAAAAUUAAAUUAAAUUAUUUCUCGUAUUAGAGGAAACUUUGUCAUCAAAUUAGCUUAAUUGAAUAAAUACCUUCUUCUGUGGUUCUAUUGCUUCUGGUGGGGUCACAUCUUCAACUUUACGGAUUGCCUUAUCCACUGCUUCUGGUAGGAGAAGUUGUUUUUGCUUCAUGUUUGAACUACUAACAUCAGAUUGGGGAGUAACAACUCCUACUUGAGUCAGUUUUGCUAGCACUUCUGCCUGAAAUAUUCUUUGUUCUUCUUUAGAUGCUGCUAUGAAAUCCCUGACAGCACGAUCUACAGCACUAUUGAAAUAUUGGCGAGGUGUGUAGUGCUUCCCUUUGGCCCUAACUCGACCACUAUACUCAGGAGUACCCAAUGCUUCCACAAGUAUAUCAUUACUUCCACUAACACUUCUACCAUUCUCUUGAGACACUUUCAAUAGCUUGUCCUUAAAAAAUAUUAAUUAUAAAGUUAAAUUGCAAAUUUGUUAUUGUAAAUAACUUAUUAUAAAUAUAUGUAAUUAAAAUUGAAAAAUAUUCACUUACUAUUUUCUCAAUUACUGGUAUGGCCACUUCAUCAAAGGUGUCGUCCUUUUUUUCCCUUGCUUUCUUCCAUAAUAUGCUUCGAUCAAUAGUUUCAGUUGAUCCACUUGCAACCAUCUUUCAAAAUAGGACAAUGUAUAAUAUAAUUAUCAUAUAACCCUAUUAUGUAUUAUGCAUAAAAUAAAUAAAAAACAAUUAAUAGGCUUAUACUUACCAUCUCUUCCUCAAGACCGGCAUAUCCUUUCCUACUUAGAUGGUGAUUAUAAAUGUUUCUCUUUCUUCUUUCUUUUUGAAUUUCUCGAUAUUCCUAUAAAUUAAAAUUUUAUAAUUAAUGAAUGUGAAUAAGAGGUAUGUAAAGAGUCUUAAUUAUACCUUAAAGUUGUCAGACAAUCUAUCUUUGACAAAUAUUGUCCAAUCUUCAUCCUCAAUAAAAGUAUAUUGAAUUGGUGGUCUUUUGAGGAGCUCCGGUUGGUCUUCGAAAGGAAGAAUGUACUUCACUGUUAGCAAGUUCUUAAAGGACCAAAAGCAUUUUCCCAUUGUUACCAUACAAUUCCUCCUGCUUUUAUGAUUUAAUGAAAAAGCAGUUUGCACAUUAAUACCAAACUUUAGUAAUUUCAAGAGGUUAAGAAUGAUAGACAUUUUGCAUCAAAGUGAUUUAAAUAAGAAAUGGUUACCUCAAUGUUGUCCCAUAACUUAUCCUUCAACUGUUUAGGUACAACAUGCCAAUUUUUAUAUCUUAUUGGCACCAUAGUGCGUGCUAACACGCCUAAGUAGCUUGUUAGAUGAACUGCUGAUUCUCCUAUGAAAAUGCCAUCAAGAUUGUACUUAACCGGCAACUUAACCCCCUUGCUUCUGUUUUUUAUAAUCAUAUGCUUCUGUGUCAUCCCUCUGUACUUCCUUUUUAUGGGUUUUUCUCCUUUCUUUGUCUCCAUUCUUGUAACAAAAAAAAAAUAAAAAAUGAUAAAGAUUAGUUAAAAUUAUAUUGCAUAUAACCUAGUCAAAGAAUAAUUGUAAAACAUAACUUUUCAAAGAAACAAAUCCAUAAUCAUUGUACAAUGAAAUGCAAUAGAUCAUGAAUUCAAUAGAUCUUUUUAGAAUUGUUCAUCAUAUAACAAGGAUAACACUUCAUUUAAACUUUUUUUUGUCCCGUUUUGUUUAACAUUUCAUUUAUUUUAAGCAACCCAAGGGCCUUUGUAUAAGAAAGCUAAAUUUGCAGUAGGAAUUUCCUAUAAGAAUCAACAUGGAAGGAGCACGUGGUUUCAACAAGUUCAUCAAGUCCAUAAGAACUUAUGAAAGCUUUUGGACUAUCGGUUUGCGUUACAUUAAGUUUGGAAAACACAACAUGCAUAUUGAUAAUAAAAAAUUUCAUAAUUUUUUUACUCACAAACAUAACUAAUUUAGUAUCUUCCAUGCACAAUUUAGGGAAAAGGUUUUAGUAAAUAUGUUAUUGGGAGAUGUUAAAGAAUGGUCAAUAUUUUGUGCAAAAAAAUAAAGAAAGGAUAAAAAUUACCUAUUUUGUGGCUGUUGCAACCCAUUCCAUGGCCUUUAUUCAUACAUUAGCAUUAAAAUACAGCUACAUAGAGGAUUUGUUCUCAAUCCAAAUCCCCUCACAAUCGCCUCGCAUACAUGUUGCAUCUGAGUCAUCCAUUACAUCAAGCGCUUCAAUUUGUGGCAAUGCCCCUAUAAAGGGAUGGUGUUUAAUCGAAUUGUCAACAAAGUCUUCACCUCCUUCCAUAUCCAAGAAAUCUUUUUGAGGAGUUGACAAAACAACUGACCAUCUUGGAUCAAGUUGGUCUUGCACAUAAAAUACUUGCUUAGCUUGGGAUGCCAAAAUGAAAGGAUCUGAUUUAUGAGCAAUUUUGCUAAAGUCAACUAAUGUAAAGCCAAGAUCAUCAACUUUUAUGCCAUUUUUAUUAUCAACCCUAUCACACUUGAAAACUGGUAUCCUAAACAUGGUAUAAUCAAGGUCCCAGAUCUCGGUAAUAAUGCCAUAGAAACAAAGCUCACCAAACACUGGAUUUUGAUCAUUUGCACUUGCGAUUUGCAUUGUUGAAGCUACAAUACUAACUCCACUAUUUUGGGUAGUUCGUAAGUCAUCUCGUUCCUUGGUAUGGUAUCGACACCCAUUAAUGACAUAUCCAUGAUAUUUAGAGACAUAAUAGCUAGGACCAUGAGCUAUCCACUUAAGGGUUUCAGAUAUAGGUUCAUUAUUACCAAUUGCAGCUUCAAUAUGUAAUUAUAAAUAAUAGUUAUUAUGUAUGUUAAACAUUAGUAAAAAGAAUACUUCACAUUUUAACACCAUUCCAAUACCUUUUUUCUCAACCAAUAAGUAAAAGUCCGCAGGUGUUCAUCCUGGAGCCACUUUUGUCUUUUUGAUUGACGAGGAUUUUUCAAUUUCAACCAUUCCAUGUGCUCUCUAUGUAAUUAUUUAUAAGAAAUUCAAAGUUAAUGUCUUAAAGUUAUUUUAAGUAUCAGACACAAAUAUUAAGUGUUAGUGGUUCUUACUCAAUAUAAGGUUGAACAAUAGUUGUAUUCUUUAAAACAUAAUGAUGUGCAUGUAACCACAAAUUGGAAUCAAUUGUCACAACUUGACCUCCAAGUAUUGGUGCCCCAACUUUUUGGUCAAUGUUUGCACUAAUAGGAAUCCCAAUCGCAUCCACAUUUGACAAAUACUCUAUACAAAAUUCAACAGCUUUCUCUGCAAUAUAGCAUUUAGCGAUACAACCUUCGGGCCGAUUACGGUUUCGUACAUACCCUUUCAAAACUUUCAUGAAUCUUUCAAAUGGGUACAUCCACCUUAGGUAAACUGGUCCACAAAGUCUCACCUCCCUUACAAGAUGUACAGUAAAAUGAAGCAUGAUAUCAAAGAAGGAAGGUGGAAAGUACUUCUCAAGCAAGCAUAAUGUCACCACCAAAUCAUUUUGUAACUUAUCCAGUGCAGACACAUCAACCACUUUGCUACAUAGAGCAUUGAAAAAAAACUCAAUCUACAAAUAGCAUGCCUUACAUGCUUUGGAAAAAGGGAUCGUAAUGACAUUGGCAAUAACUGUUGCAUUAAUGUAUGAUAGUCAUGCGAUUUAAGACCAUAAAGCUUCAAGUCUUCCAUUGACACAAGGUUUCUCAUGUUAGAGCAAUAACCUUCAGGAACCUUUAAUUGUGAUAAAGUUUGGCAAAAAACCUUUUUCUCCACUUUAGAUAACGUAUAACAUGCAGGUGGGAGAUAAGUUCGAUUUGAUUCAAACCUUGGCCCUAAUUCACACCUUAAGCCCAUCUCUAGCAAGUCUAGGCGAGAAUUAAGUCCAUCUUUCGUCUUACCUGGAAUGUUGAGUAAGGUACCAAUGAUGCUUUCACAAACAUUCUUCUCUAUGUGCAUUACAUCCAAGCUAUGACGAACAUGUAGGUAUUUCCAAUACUCAAGAUCAAAGAAUAUGGACUUUUUUUUCCAACAAUUUGUAGUAUUGACAUUCAACUUGCCUCGGGAGUUUUUAUUUUUUCCCCAUGAAUUAGAAAUGACAUCAAUUUUCCUUAGGAUUUCCUUUCCACUCAAUGGUUGCGGAGGUGAGCUAAACUCUUGUUUACCAUUAAAUGCCUUCUUUUGUUUCCUAAAAGAAUGGUUGCAAGGAAGAAAUCUUCUGUGACCUGUAUAUGAGUUCUUUUUCCCAUGCUUCAAUAUGUGAGAGAAUGUAUCUUGCCCACAUAUGGGACAUGCAAAAUAUCCUUUAACUACACAACCAGAUAAGUUUCCAUAUGCAGGAAAAUCAUUGAUUGUCCAUAGUAGAACAACUCUUAAUGUAAAGACCUUUUGCUGAUGCACAUCAUAACAUUCAACCCCUACAUUCCACAACAUUUUUAAGUCAUCCAAUAAUGGUGCUAAAUAAACAUCAAUGUCAUUUCCAGGUUGUCGUGGACCUGAUAUUAAUAAAGAUAGCAUCAUAAACUUCCUUUUCAUGCACAACCAAGGAGGAAGGUUGUAAAUGACCAUUAUAAUAGGCCAACAACUAUGUCUACUGCUCAUUGAACUAUGAGGAUUUAUACCAUCUGCUGAAAUGGCAAGUCUAAGGUUUCUAGGUUCUGAAGCAAAAUCAGGCCAUCUGUGAUCAACUAGCUUCCAUGAUGGGGAGUCAGAUGGAUGACGUAUUUUACCAUCAAAUUCUCUUUCUUGAGCAUGCCAUAUGAGGUCUUUUGCAAUUUUUGGGGACUGAAACAAUCUUCUAAAUCUUGGAAUAGGAGGAAAAUACCACAUUACUUUUGCAGGGACUCCCUUCCUCUUUUUAGUACCUGUUCCAUCUAACUUCCACCUUGAAGUUCCACAAGUAGGACAAGAAGUUGCAUCAUUCAACUCAUUUCUAUACAAUAUGCAAUCAUUGGGACAUGCAUGUAUUUUCUCAUAUUCCAUUCCCAAUGUAUUCAAUGUUUUUUUUGCUUCAUACAUAGAUAGAGGCAACUCAUUAUUUAGAGGCAACAUAUCUCCAAGAAUACUUAAAAGCUCUGAAAAGCUUUUAUCAGACCAUCCAUAUCGUGCUUUUAGGUUGUAUAAUUUGACCAAUGCAGAUAACUUUGUAAAGUUUCUACAACCAGGAUAUAAAGGUUUUUGAGCAUCUUCAAGUAAUGUUUCAAACAAUUUUGGGUCAUUCUUACGAUCAUCAUAUGCAACUUGAACUGUUUCUAUUGUACUAUCCACAUCGUUAAAUUCAACUGUAUGAUGCCAUUCUGCCCUACUAGUUGGUGGUCCACUUGGAGCAGCGUCUCCAUGCCAAUACCAUGUAUGGUAACUCUAAUCAAUUCCAUAGAAGAAUAAAUGUUCUCUAAUUUUUUGAGGAGUGUGGAAUAUCGUAUUACCACACUGAAGGCAUGGACAUUUCAUGGAGUUUUUAUAUGUGGAAUAUUGUAAUGCAAAUGCGAUAAAGCUUUCUACCCCAUCUGCAUAAUCCUUUGAUCUCCUAUCCUUUGACAUCCAAGAACGAUCCAUUUGAUGUACAAGAGAUAAACACAACUCCUAGAUACCACCAACAACUAAAGUUAUUAAUAAAAUCCUAUUAACAGGCUUAAAAUAUAUAAUCUACCAAAUUAAAAUUUCCCACAUUGUCACAAAACUUAGACCAAUCCAAAAAACGACAAUGUGCAAGUCAUCUAACAAUAAGCAAUAUGACAAGAAACAUAAUUAGUAUAUUAGGUUAUUCAAUAUUAGCAUAAAAAAUGGAUCUUAGUUCAUUCAUGAUGUUUGCUUUAUUCAUGAAUAGGAAUGAAAAGCAAGAUCUAACUUUUAGUCUUCUCUUAUAUUAUUGAAUACACUAAGUUUGAAAAUUUUAAAAACACAUAACCACAUGAGACAAUGAUACCAUGAACUAAAACAAUUAACGAAUGGAACUAAGAUUCGAAUGAAUAGAAGCAAGUGAUUUAUACAUGAUUUAGGCAUUCUAACAUCUCCAACAUCCUUAAUUAGGUGGUGGUUCCUAUCCCAUAUAGGAAUACAUAAUCCCUGUGUCAAUUGCCAAUAUACUUAAAUUCAUUUUAAAGAAAUUUCGGCAACAUUUCCCUAUAGUUCUCCAAGUACACAAAAUGGAUAAGGCACAAUAUGUGACCUUGUCCAAAUAUGCACCCAAAGAACAAGAAGAAAGACUACCAAAUUUUCUAAAAAUUGAAUUAAGAACAAGCAAUUAACUUCAUAGAUAUCAUGUUUUCCUAUACUGUCCAACUGGACAAUUCAAACAUCAUUUGCAGAGAAAAGAUCUUUAUCACAUGGAAGACAAAUUUAGUAGUUGUCAACUUGAAACUGGCUUAAAUAUACCCACAUUUCACAUUUUGACAACUUAUUGUCUUAGUAUGUAAUAAGAGAAACUUCUGUCUCACAAUGAUACUUGAAUGGGAAUUCUAAGGUUUCAUGCAUGCAUAGUUGAUUAAAACUAAAACAUAAAUACUUAUUAAAAUAUUACAUCUAGUUAUGUAUUAUAAAUUAUUCAUAUCAAUUGCAAUGGUGAGAAUAGGAAAAUAUUGUUUGUAAGCAUCACAUUUUAGGCCUAAGUUCACAAACUUUGCUAAAUCCAUUAAAGACCCACUACAUAAAGUUCAUGUUAAAAUUGGUUCAUCUCCAACCCCCAAAAUGAUUUAUCAAAGUUACUCAUUUUUUAGAGUCUUGAUUAAUUAGAUAAUCAAUAUAGAUACAUAUAAUUUGUAUUAAUAUAAUAUCAUGAUAUUUUUUUCAUUUUGUUAUUAGGCUUAGACUUGGGUAGAUUUCCCAAGUAAGGCUAAAGUAGAGCUAAGCUGCACCUUGACAUGUGUUCUACUUAUGUUGGGGGUGACCAUUCUAGUUUGGUGGAACAUCCAUGAAUGUUAUCGGUGGAACAUCCAUGAAUGUUAUCUUCUUGAUUUGGAGUAAGAACUUCAUUUUCUCAAUCGAAAUUGGCUGGAGCUUGCUGGUUCAGUUAGAGACAGAUUUGGUAAUGAAACUUGAGUGUGGGCAUCGGGUGAGGAAAAGGCUUUAUUACAUUUAUCUCUUUUUUUUAAUUGAAAAAUGUGAGUAAUUAUAAAAUGAACAGAAAAUGUCGCUUUUAAAAGCACCAAGGUUGAGGUUCUCCUACAAUGGCACUUAAAAAAGCGUCAUUAUUUGAAAUGCAUUGUACAAUGACGCUUUUAAAAGCGCCAAGGUUGAGGUUCUCCUACAAUGACACUUAAAAAAGCGUCAUUAUUUGAAAUUCAUUGUACAAUGACGCUUAAAAAAGUGCCAUUAUUUAAAAACGUCAUUAUUUCUCCCAUUAAAGCGCCAAGAUAAUGCAAGCGUCAUUAAUACCCAUUUUUGAGAAUAAAUAAUAGCACUUUAUAUAAGCGUCAAGAAAAAAAGCGUCAUAAAUUACAUUUUUUGUAGUAGUGACAAGAACUUGAUGGUCGCGGCAUUGUCGGCGACGCACGUGGCGGAAAGUCGACAGCCUGGACUAACUUUGAGAACCUUCGGCGAUGCCUCUCUCACCUCCGCUUUCUCCGUCAUAGUCUUCCUGAGGUGAAGAAGAAGAGCACAUGGCUGAAAGGCCCAAAGAGAAUGAGAAUGGAUUUGGGUUUUAGUAAGUUGGACCCAAAAGAGAAGCCCAAGUUUGUGAAGGCUUUAAUUGCCUUGGGCUUGCCCAUUGAUAUCUUUGGACCUGAGCUUGAAUUGGGGCACUAGGCCCAACUUGGUGAUGGAUUAUUGUAUUAGGUUUGCCCAAUGAAGACAUUGGACUUGGGCUUGAGUUGGAGCCCAAGCCCAGUUCGUGUGGAUGAUAGGCUCCAUGCCAAUCCUUCAAAUCAUUAUCCCAUAUUUAUUAUUUAUUCAAAGUCCAAUCUAUAAAAAAAGGUCACAUGUUUUAAUUUAAUUCUUCGAAUACUCUUUUAAAUCUCAUAUUUAUCAAUUAGAACUACUACCCUAUAUUCUCCUAUCUAUCUAUGUCAAUCCUUCAAAAAUCCUAAGAUUUAAUUUAAUUCUUGUUUAAAUCAUAUUUUCAUAAAUCAAAUCAUUAUCCCGUAUUUAUUAUUUAUUCAAAGUCCAAUCUAUAAAAAGGGUCACAUGUUUUAAUUUAAUUCUUUGAAUACUCUUUUAAAUCUCAUAUUUAUCAAUUAGAACUACUACCCUAUAUUCUCCUAUCCAUCUAUGUCAAUCCUUCAAAAAUCCAAAGUUUUAAUUUAAUUCUUGUUUAAAUCAUAUUCUCAUAAGUCAAAUCAUUAUCCUGUAUUUAUUAUUUAUUCAAAGUCCAAUCUAUAGAAAAAAGGUCACAUGUUUUAAUCUAAUUCUUCGAAUACUCUUUUAAAUCUCAUAUUUAUCAACUAGAAUUAUUAUCCUAUAUUCUCCUAUCUAUCUAUGCCUAUUCUUCAAAAACCUCACACUUUAAUUUAAUUCUUCAAGUACUUGUUUAAAUCUUAAUCUCAUAAAUCGAAUCAUCAUCCCGUAUUAUUAGUUGUUCAAAGUCUAAUCCAUUAAGAAAAUCCCAUGCCAUAAUUUAAUUCUUCAAAUACUCGUUUAAAUCUUAUGUCCAUCAAUGGGAAUUAUUAUCUUAUACAUUCAUUUAUUAUCUAGCCUAACCCUUCAAAAAUCCCAUGUUUUUUAAUUUACUUCUUCAAAUACUUGUUUAAAUCAUAUUUUCAUAAAUCGAAUUAUUAUCCCAUGUUUAUUUAGUUAUUCAAAGUCUAAUCCCUCAAAAAUCCCCUGUCUUAAUUUAGUUUCUCAGUAAUUCGUUGGAAUCUUGUUUUCAUCAAUUAUGAUUAUUAUCUCAUAUUCGUCUAUUUAUUUAAAAACUAGUUCUUCAAAAAUCUCAUGUCUUAAUUUAAUUUUUCAAUCCUAAAAAUUCUGCAAUUCAUCUAAAUUUUAUCCUCACUCAUUAGAAUCGUUAUUCCAUAUCUAUUCAAAGUCCAAUCUUUUGAAAACCCCCUGUCUUAAUUCAACUUUUGAUCCCAGAAAUGCCAUUAUUCGUCAAAAUUUUAUUCUUGUUAAUUAGGAUUCUUGUUCCGCAUCUAUUUAUUUAUAUAAGGUCCAAUUCUUGAAAAAUCUAAUUUCUGAAUUAAAACUUCAAUCCCAAAAAUUCUACUACCCAUCUUUAUUCGCCUAAAUAUUAUUCUCGUUAAUUAGUAUUAUAAUCUCAUACCUACCCAUUUAUUCAAAGCCUAAUCCUUUAAAAAUCCAAUGCCUUAAUUCAAAUUUUCAAUUAGAAAACUUCCACUAUUUUAUUCGUUCAAACAUUAUUUUUGUUAAUAAAUAUCAUUAUUCCAUAUUUGUUUAUUUAUUUAUUUCAAUCAUUAAAAUUCAACUCUUCAAAACCGGAUUUCCAAAUUUAACCUUUAGACUAAAAAACAAAAAAAUUCCACCAUUCACUUUUAUUAAUUUAAAUAUCAUCUUUGUUAUCGUUAUCAUAAAUUCCACGUUUACUUAUUUCUUUCUUCUAAAAAUUCCAAUAAUUAGAGUUUAAUUAUUCAGAGGUCCGACUUUCAAACUUAAUUCUCAAAAUCCCACUAUUCACUAUUCAUCCGUCCAAAUAUCGUUUUGAUUAAUUAGUAACAUUACUCCAUACUUACCCAUUUGUUUCUCUUAAAAAUCUCAAUCAUUAAAGUCUAAUUCUUCAAAUUCCGAUUUUUAAAUUUAGCUAUUUGAAAUUCCAAUUGUCCUAUCUCCGAACUUAAUUUUCAGUUUCCCAUGCUCCAAUUCCCGUAUUUAUCCCGCUACUUAUUAUUAUCAUUAUCACUAUCAUCUUAUUCAUUAUUUCUAUAAAUCCUACCUUCGAAUGAUUUCCAAGACCUCUAAUUUUUAUACAUCAACUUUCAUAAUUUCUACUUCUCAAAUAACUUACGAUUCUGAUCCCUUUCAAAAUUUAACUCCCAUAAUCCCAAUUUUUGUAACUUAGUUUUUCUUAAAAAUCCCGAACUUUCAAAUAAUUCUUCAAAAUCCCAAUUUUAUUUCAAAUUUAAUUUCUAAAAGUUCUCAUUCUUACAUCUAAUUCCUAAGAAUCCAAUUUUCAAAUAAUCUCUAAGAUUCCGAUUCUCAAAUGAAUUUCAAAAACCCAGUUUUCCUUCGAACAAUUUUAAUCCCUGUUUAGUGAUGCAUGUGAUAUGUUUUGUGCUCUAUAUGGUGUACUAACCCUCUCUAUUGAUAGCGCAUGGUGACUCGUUGCCCAGGUAUGUACCCAUUUUCCCUCUAAUCGUUGUCUAUGCAUGUCUCGAUUUUUAUGUGUGCAUGAUCAUUCAGAAUAUUCAUUGAUUUACUUAUCAAUUGCCACGUUAGCUUCAUUUUAUUAGUAGAGCCCCACUUUAGGGACUUAGAGGGGUGCUAUGGUCUUCACCGUACCUUCCCGAUAAGUAACCUGACCCCUAGCCCGAUCCGGUUUUUUAUAGAUCACCUUUUCCAAAAUAAGGAGUCGCACUUAGGGUUUUCUUUCUUAUUUUGUUUACCCUUUUUUUAAAAAUAAAACAAAAAUAAGUGGUGACUCCAAGUCAUUUUCUUAAUCAAUUAAAUUCUUUUGUUCAAAUUAAAAUCGAGCUCGCCAUCGAGUGGGAAACGCAUGAGCCGAAAUGUGGGGUCCACACUUGUACAUCCCAUAAAAUGACAUUAUGCUUUUAUCUAGAAGUAUUUGAUUUUAAUGUCAAUAAUUUAAAACCAUCCUUAAUAAUUAAUAAUAAAAUAAUAUAUAAUUAUAAAAAAAAUAAAUUUUUUAAAUUAAAAUCAUUUAUUUUGUUUUUAACUUUUACUUUAUAUAUAAAAGAAAUAAAAAAAAUUGAAUUUGGUUUGUAUUGAUUAUACAAAAUAUAAAAAUAGAUUUAUCAUGUACAACCAUAACAUUGUUAGUCUUCUUAUGAAAGCCUAAAAAUAAAUCCAAAUUCUAAAUGCAUAAGAUUAAAAGAAAAAAAACAAAAAAACAAAAAAAAAGCAUGAAAACAUUUGAGAACCAUAGUAUAAGUCUUCAUCAUACAAAAACAUAAAAUUUAAUCCUAAUUGUAAAUGUAUAAGAUAAAAAAAAUAAAAAUCAUACUUUUUUAAUAAUAUUAUAUUUUACUUUUAAUAUGUAUAUGAAUUUAUAAUAUAAUAAUUAACAUUUUAAUAAUAAUUUUCUUCGAUUCUUCUUCUUUUUUCUUUUUGUUAAUUUUCUUCUUAAUAUUUUUUAGAGAUAUACAAAGGCUAUGGAUCACUUCAAAGAAAAUAUAUAUUUUCAUAAAUUAUAUUAGUAAUUAUUAUAAUUCUAAAUAUAAUCUAUUAUAACAUUUUUUUCUUUUUAAAACACCAUAUAUUUAUAAGACCAAAAGAGAUUGGUUUCUUUAUAUUUAUCUUAUUUAAAAUAUAAAAUAUUUAAUCAAGUAUUUUUUAAGUAAUCUUGAAAUUUUUUUAAAAGAAUAAAAUCUCAAAAUAAAAACUUGUCCUAAAACUUGUUGUUUUAUACUUGGAAACUUUAAACCAAUUAUCAAAGUUUUAAAUAAUUAAUCUUUUAUAACAUUUUUACUUCUUAUAUAAAACACUAGAUAUCUAUAAAACUAGAAGAAAUUGAUUUCUUUAUAUUUAUCUUAUUUAAAAUUAAAUAAUAUUUAAUUAAGCAUUUAUGAAGUAAUCUUCAAAAUUUUGAAAAUAAUAAAAAUUAAAAAUAAAAAACUAUCCCAAAAUUUUUUACUUCAGAAUUGGAAAAUAUUUAAAGAAUUGGUAAGUAAUAUUGUAAAAUAUUAAAUGGAAACAAAAAUAAAAAAAGAAAUCAAAAUAAAAAGUUUUCCUAAACUCUCCACAAAAAUCCUCUAUUCUGUUUCUCCUUAAAUAGCAUCUCCAUUAUUUCAAGCCCAUCACCAUAUUCAUUGUCCAUCACCACAGACUGCCAUCAACUACUGUUGUUGAGCAUGGACUACUGUUGUUGCUGACCAUGGACUGUUAUGGAAUACUACUAUUGCUGAUUGUGGACUGUUGUUGUUGCUGACCUUGGACUGCUUCUAUUGAUCGCUUGUUAUCGUGGUCCCAUGGUGCUUUACAACAUUGCAAAAAAAGCAAAUCAGGUAUGUUAUCACCACUUUAUAUUUUUAUUUUAUUUAUUUUUAGAAUUUCUUGCUUAUUAAUUAAUUAGAUACAGAAAAAUAUUCUAUGAGCUUUUGAUUUUUACCUUUUCUUGAAUAAAUACUUUGUUGUGUUUUGAGUUAUGUAAUAGGAGUUGUUUGUGGCCUAUUAUUAAUGAAUUCAUCAAUGCUGUUAUCAACUUACCACCAAUUAUUCAGCCCUAACCAAUAUUUAAGAGAGUGAGAUCUUGAUUAUACAUCAUAAUAUCUAUCAUUAAAGUUGUUACAUACACACAAAUUUAUAUAUUAUUCUUUUAAGGGAAUUCAAUUAGCGAAAAUGAAAUAAAGAAAAUUAAAUUAAUAUCAUGUGUGAAAUAUUUUUUUUUUAUAUGGUUAUAGAUGAAAUGAAAAAUAUAAAGUUUUGUUAUUUUAUUAUUGUAGUUAUAGUUCAAUAUAUAAGCUCAUAGAAAAAUAUUCUAUGAGCUUUUGAUUUUACCUUUUCUUGAACGAAUACUUUGUUGUGUUUUGAGUUAUGUAAUAAAAGUUGUUUGUGGCCUAUUAUAAAAGAAUUCAUAAAUGCUGUUAUCAACUUACCACCAAUUAUUCAACCCUAACCAAUAUUUAAGAGAGUGAGAUCUUGAUUAUACAUCAUAAUAUCUAUCAUUAAAGUUGUUACAUACACACAAAUUUAUAUAUUAUUCUUUUAAGGGAAUUCAAUUAGCGAAAAUGAAAUAAAGAAAAUUAAAUUAAUAUCAUUUGUGUGAUAUAUUUUUUUUAUAUGGUUAUAGAUGAAAUGAAAAAUAUAAAGUUUUGUUAUUUUAUUAUUGUAGUUACAGUUCAAUAUAUAAGUAUAUUUAGAAACCCACUUUAUAAGUUAUUUAAAACAUUAAACCAAUUUUCCAUUAGAAUUGGUAAUAAGCGUAAAGAAUGAAUAAAGUAAAAAGUGUAAAUAAGGAAUAGGGUUGUUCGAAAUAUGCAUAUAAAAACAUUAGUAGGUCAAAAUAUAUGACCAACCAUGACUAGCUAUCCUUUUAUGUAAGUUAAUUUAUUUAUCUUGGAUAUUGAGCCAAUUGUCAAGGAAAAUAUAAAAUAUUUAUAUUUAGUUAUAAAGUAGUAAAUAAUGAAAUUCAUAUUUUAAGAUUGGAGUAAAAUGAAAUUUGUAUCAUUUUUACCUCAACUAUAUUGUUUUGAUAUUUAUAUUAAAUAUUGACACUAAUUUUGAAAAUUGUGGAUUUGAGAAAAAAAACUUCACUUUUUCAAAGAGGUUAUUUGUAUCAAAUUACAAUAAAAAACUAUUUAAUUAUUAUUUAUAGGCAUAAAAAAAAAUAUUUAUUGAAUAAAAAUUAAUUUAUCACCAGCUUGUUUGGCAUUUUAAUGCUCCUAUAAUUUGGGCUUGACAAAAAUUUACCUUUUAUUCCUUGUUUUAUAUAUACGUUUUUUUAUUUAUGUAUUGAUUUUUAUGAGAAAAUAAUUCAUAGACAUAUUUCCUACUUAUAAAUUCAAGAUAUAUAACAUAGAUUCAUAGUAUAGUUUAGACAUUUCAAAAGUUAAGAUUGGGGUAAAAUAAAGUUUUGUAUCAUUUGUACCUCAACUAUAUUAUUUUGACAUUUAUAUUAAAUAUUGACACUAAUUUUGAAAAUUAUAGAUUUGAGGAAAAAACUUCACUUUUUCAAAUAGGUUAUUUGUAUCAAAUUACAAUAAGAAACUAUUUAAUUAUUAUUUAUUGGCAUAAAAAAAAUAUAUUUAUUGAAUAAAAAUUAAUUUAUCACUAGCUUGUUUGGCAUUUUAACACUCCUUUAAUUUGGGCUUGACAAAAAUUUACGUUUUACUCCUUAUUAUAUAUAUAUAUUUAUGUAUAUAUAUUUAUUUAUGUAUUGAUUUCUAUGAGAAAAUAAUUCAUAAAUAUAUUUAUUUAUUUAUGAUUUUAAUUUAAAAUUUUUAUUUCUUUUAUAAUUAUAUAUUAUUUUAUUAUUAAUUAUUAAGGAUAGUUUAAAAUAUUGACAUUAAAAUCAAAUACUUCUAGAUAAAAGCAUAAUGUCAUUUUAUGGGAUGUACAAGAUUACGUAAAUAAUAGAUGCUUAUACUAUUAUAGAAUUAACUAAAACUUUUAUAAAAAUCUUUAUAAAGGAUUAAUUUUAAAAAAUAUAAAUUUAUUGUCUUAUAUAGUUAACAUUAGAAUUUUCUCUCUCUAAAGAAUAACCAUAAGAAAUAUCUAUAAAAAAUUAAGUAAAUGAGAUGAUUUUAUAGAAAAGAUGAGAUUGGUAAAACAUUAUAUUGUUAAAUUAUUAAAAGAGAAAUGAGUUUUUUUUUUUAUUUUUAUUUUUAUCAACUUUAAGUCAUAUAUAAAUUUUUAUAUUUCUUUUAAAAAAAUCAAUUAGAAAAUUAAGAAAAAAGAAGAAGAAUUGAAAUAAAUUAUUAUUAAAAUGUCACUAUCUUAUAAAUUCAUAUAUGAAUUAUAAUAAAAAUAUAAUAUUAUGAAAAAAUCAAUGUAAGUUACUAUUAAAAUUUUAUUAUCUUUUACAUUUAGAGUUUGGAUUCAUUUUUUCACUUUAAUACGAAGAAGACUAAUAGAGUUAUGGUUGUCAAACCCCUUUUUAUAUUUUUGUAUAAUCAAUUUAAUCCAAAUUUGACUUUUAUAGAUAUAUAAAAUAAAAAUUUAUAUACAAAAUAAGUUAUUUUAAUGUAAUAUUUUUUUAAUUUUUUUUAUACUUUAAUUUAGAAUAUUGACAUUGAAAUAAAUUACUUACAAAUAAAGACAUGAGAUGAUUUUAUGGGAACAACAAAAGUAGGUAAGUAAUAAAUGUUUAUACUAUUAACUAAAAUUAUUUUAUUUGUACAUUCGCAAUUUGGAUUGAUUUUUAUCCUUAAAUAACAUAAGGAGGAAGACUAAUAAAACUAGGGUUAUCACGGUAACUAAAUUUUUUAUUUUUGCAUCAUAUAAUCAAUUUAACAUCGAUGGUAAGAGUGGUAGGAAUGAUGGCUUCAGCAUCAGCAUCAAUCCAGAAGUCUAAAUCUCAGUAAGAGUGACAGCGAUGAUGGCUUCAACAUCAAUAGUGGCAAUCUACCCUCCUACUAAAACUCCACCAUGACUCGAUUAGUAACACCAUCAAGAGUAGUAACAUGAUCUUCAGUAGCUAGCUACACAAGCAAUUUCCAUUGAUUGAGCCUUUUCACCCUUCAUCACUUCUGUCUUAUCAACUACCUGAUGAUCUUUAGGUCCAAGCAUUGACUCCCAAUGAGAAGAAUCUGAGUCUACCUCAAUAAUAAUAACUGAGUCAACUUCCUUUGCAUGCUGCUCUUGCUCUCUAGUCUAAUUAGUACCUUCUUGAUGCUCUUCCUCUUCUCAUCUUCUUCUUCAGCUUCUUCCUUAGCUUGCACCUCAUUAACAUCAGCAGUAACAACAUCUGGAAUUCCCCCCACCUGAAGGUCUAUAUCAAAUGAAGGAACCUCAUGUCCUUUCCUUUAGCGAUAAGAGCUUCACACAGUCAGUUAACAGCUCUAUGGCCUGUCCAUCCUUUGCAUAAAUUGGAGCUUUACUUACAUAAAAUAUGGAAUAUCUCCUGAAGAUAAAGUGGGGACAGUAGAAAUAGUCGAAGGACCUUGUGUAGAACUUGUGACUAAAGGUACAUGAGCAACUGCCUCUUCAACUAUUCUGACCAUCUGCCUCAUCCUUUUCUUUGUACUUCUUUCCAUGAAAAUUCUGUAAAAUUUCCAAGCUUCCACUUUGUAAAAUUUUGUAGCGUCAUAUUUUUCCUCAUUCCCACUGAAUUUAAAACUCUUUCUAAUUGAAUAGCCAGUGAAAAACUUGGACAAUGCCAAUGCAUACUUCUUGCUGUGAGAAGUCUUGUUUUCAUUCACUUUUUCCACAAUAUAUAAAAACGUAUCCACCAUCAAUACAUGAGAUCACCAUCCCCCCUUACAUAAACAAUACAAUUCCUCUAAAGGAAAACCUCUCCUUUCUGUGACAUGUCUAUAAGGAGAGAAAUUGGUUCUAUACACCUGAUCCACAAACCAUAGCUCCUGUGAUGCCUCUAGUCUUCUGGCAGUUGUGGGAGAGCUAAAACCACAAGGCACUGAAGUGGCCACCAUCCUCUGGGAAGUAGGGUUAGUGUAAGGUAGAAAAUUUCCUCCUUAAGAUGGCAUUGUAGGCAACCCAAAAGCCUAUGCCAAAGAUUUUUCAGUGAUCAUCCCCUCUCUUUCAUUAAUGGAAAAAUGUAACACAGAUUUUCCAGGGGCUCUCCUCUCAAAGAUAGCAUAAAAAUCUCUCACCACAAUAGGAUAAACAUAAUCUAUGGAAUACACCAUAGGCUCUAUCCCAUAUCUCCUCAUUAGCUCCAUUGAACUCAUUGUCUCUGGAAAAGUAAUGUAUUCAUCAGGCACCAAAUAAUCACUGUCUGCCAAUAAGAAUGCAUUCCGGUUUCCUUUAGACUGGUAACUACAGCUUUUCCCUUCUUUUUUUCUGUCAAUUUCUUUGGCUAAACUUUUUCUAUUUCUUUAUCCUUCUUCUCAUCUCUUUUAGCUUUCUUUAUAGCUUCCUCUGGAGUCAUUUCAGUUCCAGGCUCUUUCUUCUGUCUGUUCAUAGUCUCUUUAUUUGGCUUCUUACUUGGUGUGGUUACUGCCACAUUCUUCUCCAUAGGAGACUUCCCUUUCAAAGGAGAUUUAUCCUCAGAUUGCACCUCUUUUUCUUUCCACUUUUUAUUCUUCACAGCUUGUAGUGAUUGUUCACUAGCUAUCAUCAGUCUAGGUGAUCCAUCAAUAAUGAUUCUUCCUAUCUGCUCAAUGACAGGUUGUACAUCAAUCCUUUUCAUAGUUGGGGCAUCUAAAUCUGAAUCAGUGGAUUCAGAUUCGUAGACCAUUAGUGCCUAACCCUUAUCUUUAUCCUUUUUUUCAUUCUGCAUUUUCAGAGUGCAAACAAAAAUCCGAAAACAUAUUACAAACAAGCUUGACAUUUCCAAAAACAGUAUAUAUUCAUUCAGAGUCAACAGAUAUUCAUAGAAAAUAAUUAAGGCAUAUUAAUGAAGAAAGGAUACAAAUGGCAGAGUUCAUCCAAACAUUCAUUCAAAGACGCAAAAUCUAUCCAGAAGGAUCAUUGCACAUGCAUAUGUUAACUUUGAUAUAUCCAUGUACAGAUUCUCAAACAAACAUCUGUUAUAGUAAAUAUAAGGGGUGCAAGUUAAAAACACUCCAAAAUUCAAUUUUAAGCACUGCAAGAUGACAAGUAGGAAAAAGCGCGACUAUAAUAUUUAGGUACAAAUCAAGUAGACAGCAGCACAUAGUAACUAUAAGGGGUGCAAAUAAAUCCUAUAGUUGCAGCCACGUGUAAACAUGGGACUAGAGGGUGUGAAACUGUAGCUGCGACCAUGUAUUUUCUUCUACUAAAGGUUCUAUUAGCUGCAGCUUCUCGUGGCCAUGACUACAAGGGUGUGAUGAAUAGGAAACUUAAAAAUAUAUUGUUUAUACACACGUGAUUUGAAAUUCAUUUCUAUGGUGAAAAAAUUUAUUAAAAUAUAAUUAUGUGAAGAAAAGAAACAAUAGUAAUUGUGAACCCAUUUUUAUUUAUAAAUUUCUGUUAUUAAUUAGUUCACUAUUUGAGUUUCAAACUAUUAUUUAAAGAAUACUAGACUCGUUAAUAAAUUCAAUGCAUGAAGUUUUGUUUUAUUUAAAGUUUAUUUAUCUAGUGAAAAAAAAAAAUUUUAAAUUGGUUUUAUGUAUAAGAAAAAAAAUAGUCAUUUUUGACAAUUUUUUGUCAAAAAAUUUCUAAUAUUAAUUUGAUCACUAUUUGAGUUUCAAGUUAUUUAUAAAAAUUAUUAGUUAUUAGCAAAUCUAAGCAUCAAGUCUUGCUUGAUUUGGACUUUAUUUGGGUAGUGAAUUUUUUUUUUUUUGCAAAAAUAUGAUUAUAUGUAAAGAAGAAACUAGUCCAAGUCAUUCAAAAUAAAUCCUAAUUUAUGACUUUAUAAUGUUAUUGGGUUCCAUGAUUAGUAAUUAAAUUGGGUUUUAACUUUCAAAUUAUUUUUACAAAUUAAUAAAUUUUAUAUAUAAAGUGUAAUUUGAUUUUGAAUUUAUUUAUUUAAUGGAAAGUUUUUAUUAAGGUAAAGGAAAUGUUGAAGGAGUCAAUGUUUUUGUUAUGGAUCUGUUGGGUUGUCCUAGUCUCAAGGUUAUCUAUUUUUUUGUUCUUUUGAUUUGUUGCAAAACAUGGUUGAAUUUACGUAGUUUAUAGGAGUUAGUCUUUACAUGGUUCAUGGUCUUAGCUAGUGGUUAAAAGUAGUGGAUUAGAGGUCUUUAUUUUCUUAGCAAUUUCCCAUUGGUGUACUGCCUCUUUAAAAGGCUAUUUGGUUGAUGAGAGAAGAUCAUCAAAAGUAAUUUUCUCUUCCAACUUUUCUAUACAUUUUUUAGCUUAAUCAAUUUUUUGUACUCUUCCAAGAUUUUUCCUCUACUUGUAAUAGUGGUAUCAGAGCUGGUUGAAAAUUGAGAAAGUGAGAAAAGUUAAGAGCCAAAAUAAAAAGAAAGGACGUGAGAUAAAGAGAAUUUUAGUAGCAGUUCUUAUUUCACUUUAUUUUGUUUUUGCAACAGCAACAGUAAGGGAUAGCCUCUAAAAACUUUGUCUAACUUAUAAUCCCAUACUUUGAUGGUCACUAUAUAUGACCAUUGGAGCAUGUUGAUGGAGAAAUCCUUUAAGGUCUAAGGAGUAUUGGCAGGUUGUCUUUGACAGAGUAGCAGAAUCGACAAAUAAUUUGUAGAUAGAGUACACGGACUUUUCAAGGCUUGAGCACUUGUCCUAAGGGGGUCAUGGUAUGUUUGUCUUCAAACCCUAGUGCCCAUGACCAACUAAUUGGUACUCAUAUAUUGACAUUGUGCUUGUUAUAAAAGCUAAGAACCAGUUAGCACUCUGAGGAAAUAAAAAUCUAAGAAAUUGUACCUUGUUCUAAAGAGAUUGGGGAGAAACCUUAAAGGGUAAGUGGCCUUUCAUCAUCCUCAAUACCUAGUGUCUUGGGAAGAAUCUUAGGAGUUGUCAAUUGAUCUUUACUAAGCUACAUAGAAGGAGCUUUCCUAGGAUGGACAUGUGAAAUAAAAAAAGAAAAAAGAAAAUAGAUAUGAAAAACAAUGGAAUGAAAAAGCAGAAAAUGAGAUAAAAUGGCGCUCUUCCAAAACUAGUCAUGAACAGUUUAUCUUAGGUAGAGGAAGGAAAUUCUUAAAAUAGGUGCUCCAUGAGGAUGCUCUUAAGCUAACAUUUGAGUUUUGUUAGGAAAUCACUUGUGAAGUUGAUGUCGAAGAGACUAAUGGAUUCUAAACAUUGAGGCAUGCUUUUGUAUACAUUUAUAUGGUGAGUGAAUCUUUUUGGAGUUAUGCUAUUUGACUAUGAGCUUAUUCUUGAAGGGAUAAUAUGUUUUCAGUAACUGAAUUUAUUGAAGCUAAUUCAUGCUAUUUAGUAGUUGUUGUCUUAAUUGCUUAGGAGUUUUACUCUUUAUUUAUUUCUAGAGACCAACAAAAUUUAGGUUGGGGAGGAAAUGAUUUGUGCUUUAAGUCAUGGGUUUUUUCUAUUCCCUAAAUGGUAGAUUCUAUAAUGAAAAAGAACGUAAACUACUCUCUUCAGUUUAUAUAUAUGCUAGUACCUAACUGGUCUGAGUUCUUCAAUUUCAUGUCCAAUGGAGAAAUUAAAGUUAAGGUCAAUCUCAGGAGAUUAAUAAUUGGCUCUGGUUUCAGAGAUAUGAAUAUGCUCUAGCUUGACAUUCUUGAAGUGGAUUAGCAGAGUGGGAUUCUCUACUCAGCUGAUUGCCUUUUCACUGAGUUCCAAGGAUCAAUAGGAGAUCGUGGAUUUGUUGACAUUCUCAUUCUGAGAGCAACUGCAUCAGUAUCAUACAUGUUUGCCAGUUGGCAAUAUAAAAUUGGUAUUUUGGUUCAUAUUUUCUACAACCUGAAAGCCACUAUCACUACCACCAACUAUAUGAAUAGGCAUCAAUUCUUCAGGACGAUGAAGAAGGUAGAGCAUAUCACUAGCUCAAAUGGAGGAAUGUGGUCCCAUAAUUCUUUAGGAAAUAAGUAUCUAGAAACAGGUAAAAAGAACCAAGAAUCUUGAAAGACUUCUUUCAUCUUGUUCAUGUUGCCUAAAGGACAACCUGUGGGCCUUUGAAUUAUGUAUUGAAACUAUCAAGUCAACUGGAAUAGAUUCAUUUCUGAAGCUGCAGGGUUUAUGGUCAACCAUAUACCAAACCCAAAGUUCUUCAGUAGUCUAUUGAGAAAAUCCCAUUUGGAACCUAACCAUGAGAAAGUCCCAGGUUUGUUUAAGGCUGGGCUGAACCUAUGUGCAACCUUCUGUCUUCUGGGACCUUCUCUAACUAUAGUUUCAUCAACACAACACAGCUAGCCUUGUCCCAGCUACUAAGGCUGGGUAAAACUAUUCUGAAUUAUUGUUCCAUGCAUAUCUUGUUUGUGAAUGAUCUCCACUAGGAUCGACUCUUAAGUAUGUACCGAUCAAGAAUCAAAUCUUGUUUGUGAAUUAUUGCUCCAUACAUUCGCCUGACCGUUGGAUGGGUGAAGAGGCAAUGCAGAUACUUGUCCUAUAUUCCCAUAGGUAUCAAACUUCAGUGCAGUAGUUGACACAUUGACUACCUUUCUGAGGUUAGGACAAGAUAAACUCAUUAGUGGAUGGAGAAUAGAAGACCAUAUACUAAUUUAUGUGGUUCAGAAUUUGAAUAAAGAUCAUGAUAAUAAGUGCGAGAUUCGCGCAUCUUUGGAGUGUUUCAAGUUGCAGCUAGAUUGCCUAUAUAAAGAGCAUGGAGGUUUAUAAUUUCCAGUAUCAGCAACAAAGAGCAGGUGUGAAUUAUAGAGAGUAAAUAGGGAAGUUGUCAACCUCCCUCAAAGGCUUCCAAUUUUCCUGGCUAAUUAUCAAGGUAAGAAAGUUGGAAGCCGGUGGGGGACCUUGAAAGCUUACCCCAGAAUCAAUAUUACUCAUCUGGUUAUUUGGUAUCAGUUUCCCUGAUCAUUAGGAAGACAGUAAGAUUGAUUUCAGGUGAGAUGUUUCCCCUUCUUCUCAAAAAAACUGCAAACUUUUUAGAGAUUUAUGCUUAUGGUAUUUUAAGAUCCCGUUUGAUAGUAAUUUUAAGAAGUGUUUAUAAUAUUUUUAACACUUAAAAAUUAGUAUCAUUCAAGUGUGAGAAAGGUUAAAAACGUUUUCUAAAAUCACUAUCAAACGCAAUUAAUCUAAAUCAUUUAUUAGAAAAUAGAUUUGGGAUAAGGUGGAAAACUCUUAGUACCACAUUAUUACCAAUCUUAUUUCAUUGCUCCUUUCACCCACACCCUCAAGAGUGUCAUCACUAGUUAUAGGGCAUUUUUAUCCUAUCAACUAAUGAUCAGGGUUUAUGAAGCAUUUUAAACACUGCCUUAUUAUGCAAUUAUUUAGAACCAUACCUUCUAUGGAUGAUCCCACAAUUUUGAUAGGGUGUUGUUUGGUUUUUGGGGUAAGUGAGGAGAGAAAAAAAUAAAUUAAAUUUUGGAGUUUAUGUUCUUACAUUUGGCAUUAUGUUUUAAUUGGUAUUAUUAAUAGAAAAAUAUUUAAGGACAUAUAGUGGAAUUUGAUUAGUUGUUUGUUUGAUCUAUGGGAGAAACGAGGAGAUAAGAAAAUAAAAUUAGAUUUUGGGGUAUAUUCUUAUUCUUACAUUUCGCAUGAAAGUAUAAUUUUUUUUCUUCUCUAGUUUCUCCAUGUUUGAAAUUGGUGUUUUAUUAGAAAAAAUGAAUUUAAGUUGAGUUUUGACCAAUUGUUGUUUGAUUUCUAGGAAAGGGAGGGAGACUAGAAGAAAGAAGGAUUUUGAAGCUUUCAUUUUAAGUAAUGCUAAUUUUACAUUUUUUAGGCAAACAAAGAAUUUCUAUAGGUGAUAUAAAUUCCUUAUUUGGUUGCUGAGAAAACAGAGGGAAGGAAGAAACAACAUAUAUACAUUUUGGAGCUUAUUUUCUUGUCCUAUUCUUGUUCUUACAUUUUCCAAGCAAGCAAAAAGGGUGUAUUUUUAUCUGGGCAAUAGAAGUUCAUCCUUUUUGUUUUUUUUUUAAUGUUUAUUUUGUUGUAACAAGUUCAACUGGAGUUAAAAAGGAGGUGUUUUGUGUGCAAUCCUGCACAUGUUUUGAGCUCUCUAAGAAUUUUGUGGCCUCUUUGUGCGAUUAGUAUUGGAAAUGAGUUAAUUAUAUUAUGCUUUGUUUGGAUGGGGAAAACUACAAGAGAAACAAAGCAAAUAUUUUCCUGAGUUCUAGGGCUUGUUUGUUGUCUUAGUUUUCAAAAGAUGAGAAGUUUUUCCUUCCUUGACUAAGGUGUUUGUUUUGAUAAUCAUAAGUGUUGAACUUUUUUUCUUUUGUUUUUUUAUCAGGUUUUGCAAGUUGAGGGAUUUCUCAUUCUUUUCUUGUAAUCUCUUAUUUUUAAAGAAUAUGUUUUUGUUUUUGAUAAAAAGUUCAUAAUUGUUGAAAAAAAAUGUGAAAAUCCCUACAAUCCAUUUAGUGCAUUUGAUCUAUGUAAAUAGAUUUAAUAGCUCCUUUUUCCUUUGAAAGCUCAAACUCUAGUGUCUCUUCUUAAGAUUUUUCCUUUUUAUUAUUUAAACUUCUCUUUUUUAAAUUAUUUAUACAUUUACAAUAUCAAGUUAGUUGAACAAAACAUUCAAUUUUUCUAUAACUCAACCAAACAUGUUUUUGUUGUUUUCGAGAACAAAAACUAUUUUCCAUAAUUUAGUUCCUAAACACAACUUUUUUUUUUUUUUUUUUUCUGAAAACACAAAAAACUGUUCUUAAAAACUAUUUUUCAUAAUAGUUUUCAAAGACACCAAUCAAACAAACCCUAAUAUUUUGACUUUAAGCAAGAAGAGUACCAAUCUCCACAUUUUGUAAUUUAAUAUCUAGGAGUUGCUAGAAACUUUUGCUCUGAUAUUUACAAUCAACCCUUGAGAAAUUGAGAUCUAUUUGGUUACCACAUGACUCAGGAGGUUUAUUAGGAUUUGGAUUAAGGUUGUUAUGGUUGAUAGCAUUGACUUAUCCUCAUGCAUAAUUGGCUUUGCUUGCAUCUAUUGACUUAUUGUCAUACAUAAUUGCCUUUGUUUGCUAGAAAAUUUUGCUGUAAUAUUUAUAAUCAACCAGUGAGAAAUUGAGAUCUAUUUGGUUACAUGUCUCUGGAAGUUUAUUAGGAAUGGGAUUAAAGUUGCUAUAGUUAAUAACAUUGACUUAUCCUCAUGCAUAAUUGGCUUUGCUUGCUAAACACUUUUGCUCUGAUAUUUAUAAUUAAUCCUUGAGAAAUUGAGAUCUAUUUGGUUACCACAUGGCUCAGGAGGUUUAUUUGGAAUUGGAUUAAAGUUGCUAUAACUGAUAACAUUGACUUAUCCUCAUGCAUAAUUAGCUUUGCUUGCAUCUAAUUUUUGUAAGUUAAAUAUUUUUUCAUGUUGAAAAGUUGGGUGCAUAGUUGCCUUUCAAAUAUAUUUGAAUAAAUAAAAAAUUUGAUAAAGCUAGAAAGGGUAGGCAAAAGGAAAUAAGAGGUUAUAUAAUACACCAUGGAAUAAUUAAAAUAUUCAAUAAAAUAUUUUUUUAAAUCCCCAAAUUUAGGUUUCAUAUCCACAUGGAAAGUUGUCAGAAACAACUUUAAUGUAAAAAAAAUUUAAGAAAAAUUACAAAAAAUUAUGUAAAUGUGAAAUGGAAUAGUUAUUUUAAAAAUAUGUUUACUACAAAUGGAGUUAGAAAGAAAAAUUAUUGUAGUUACAACAAUAAAUUGCUAUCAGGUUUUUAAAAAACUCAAAUUAUUAGGAUAUAAAUCAAACAAAAACAUAGUGAAUGAGGACAAAAAUUACAUAUUUAGUUAUAUUCAUUAUACUCAAAUAUAUCAAUAAAUUGUUUAAUAUUAAAAAUUUCUAUUUAUUAUUUAAGAAUACAAAAUAAUAUUUGAGUUGAAAGAAGAUUUUUGUAUUUCUUUUCUUUUUAUCUCAUUUAUGUAGAAUAAAAAUGGUAAACCUUACAGUGGGGGCUACUUGUGGCAUGUCUCAUAAAGUUGUUAUCUAUAUUUUUUUUCUCUCUUGGUUUGUUGAGGAGAAAGGACUAUAUCUAGUAUUGCAUCCCUAUCUAAUAGGAAUAAUAAACUUCCUUUACCCAUAUUGAAAAUCAAUCAAAUUUGAUGACUGUUUGAGAAUCAUAUAUAUAUUAAACAAUAUGAAAAACCAUAAAUGUAGGUGAAAGUAGGCCAAGAAGGUGAUGACCUAUAUAUGACCACAAAGACAAUAUAAUUAUUUUGCAAUUUUUAAUAAUAACACAAUUCCACCACAACUUGAAAUUAUUAUACAAGAGAGACCAACUUUACUAUAAAAUUAUAGAGAAGCAAAUUGGAAAAUGUGUACACAGCCACAUCUAAUCAACAUGAAGCAUUUUUUUUAUUGGAAACUAAUAGUCAAUUAUGAGUAGAAAUUUUAAUUUAUUAACUUACUAGUUGUAACUACUUUUCUUGUUAAAAUUUAAGUUUGGGAUUAUGAGUGCUUGUGGGUUGUUAUAAUGUUGGCAUAUAAAUGCUAGAUUCUUGUUUGAAACUUAAUAUUAUUUGUUGUGUUGUGACAAAUUUGCAGAUGAAAGUUUCCUUACACUAAAACUAAAUUUGGUUAAAUUUGAAAUUCAAAAUUUAAAUUACUUAUAUAUUACAUUUAUAAUUUGAAAAAUGUCUUAAAAAUGUAAGAUAUCUUACGAAAAUGUUGAUAGAAAUUUUGAUUUACUAACUUAUUAGGUUUUAUUUAUUUUUUUUAAAAAAUGGUUUUGUUUUAUUGUUCUUUUUCAUUCAUAUAUAGAAGAAGAUACUAGAGCACCAACACAAACCAAUAGAAAAGGAAGUUGUGAUCAUGACUGAGUUAGAAAUUUGUGAGAAAAGUGACCAAUUGGAGACCGUCCGUACUACAACAGUAAGAUCUACAACAUCAACAACCUUGCAUCAUCUAUGAUUAGACUAAGGGCCUUGAUUAUGCAUAUAAUGGAUCUUCCUUACCUUUUCUGUCUAUGUUGAUAUGGUUAUUUUGGGAUGGCAUUUUAUUAACCUAAUAUUUUAUUUUAUUAACAUACACAUUCUAAUCUUAUAAUCAUUUAAUAUUGUUACAUAUAUUAUCAACGAAGGUAUACAAUACAUAUUUUGAUUUUUGUAAGCAUAUUUUUUAAUGAAAAUUUUCAUUACAAUGUAUUAAUUGGGUACAAAUAGUACUAAAAAUAUAUAUAAUUACACUAUUGAAAUGAAGUAAUCCAAGUAUUCCAACAACUCCCCACUAACUUGCAAGGGCAUGAUAUGAGAUUUUAUUGAAUCCUAUUUAAACCUAUUACUUGUGGCCUUAAAGUUUUCUCAUUAAUUGUUCUUCUAAUUUUUUUAAUUUCCUUUUAUCACAAGGAUAUUGUUUGAAUGCUGCCAAAGCGGGAUAUGAUGUCUUGUUUCCUUUUGUAUGGUGUUGACCUAAUGUGAUCUCUAUUUCACAAGAUUAGAAGAAUGAUUAAAAUGUAUGCUGUUUUUCUCUUGCUUCACUUUUAAUGUGUAGCCUAUAUUGUACUCAAUCUUAGGUGGUGUUUGUUUUUUUACUUAAUUCUAAAUAGAACCUUAAUGCUUAAUAGUGUUAAAUAUUAGGUUGUUUGUUUUUAUAGUAUUUUAUUUCUAUUAAGUAUUAAAAAGUAAAAAAAAAACCAAUAUGUUAUUUUUUCUAUUUAGAAAAAACUACAUAUUUUGGCUUUUUCUAUUUAGUAAAAAGUUUAUAUUAAGUCAUGAAAAAGUAGAAAAACAAAUAAUCUAAAUUCUGAAAACAAAUUGCUUUCAGCAAAAAGCCAAAAAAACAAACACCACCUUAAUGUAAAUCUCAACCAUCAAUACAUCAUUUUAAUUUGUUAGAUAGGUUCAUGAAAAUUUCAUACGAGUUGCUAAUACUAUCGAUAUCUCUUGUACUCAUUUCAAUAUUCUUCAAUUUCUUUAUAAUUGGAUUCCAUUAAUAUACUCAGUAAGUCAUCAUUGACAGUUUCACCCACCUUCAUAGCUUUCUCUCUUUGGUCAAUAAUACCCCUUAACAAUUCUUGUAUCUCUUCGUCAGCUUUCUUUAUUCUUUUGUUUCCUUUCUUUUCGUAAAAAUCUACAUGUAAACAGUCUUGGUUGUAAAUGUCAUGACAUUAAAUAAUAAGAAAAGAUAACUGGAAAGAAAAUUUAUGGUAGUUGUUUAUCCAUUGCUUUAAUUUCUUCUUUUUUUUUCCUCAAUUUUCUUGGAAAUUUCAGGAAGCUUUAAAUUUGUUGAAACAUUUUAUGCUCACCACAACCCUGGGAUGUAAACUAUCAAAAAAAUCUUGAUGGUAAGCUAUGCUAGUUCUUCUUGGAGUAGUAAUAUCCUUCUUCCUUCUUCAUAGCUACUACCAAAUGUUGUUCAAGAAAUGAUAUGACCUUCCAAAUUUUGAAUAUGGAGCCAUACAUUCAAUUAACUUACCUGAACCUUUUGUGGAGACAAUCUCCCAUUUUCUUAUCGUAUUGCUAAAGCUUAAAAGAAAUGUAGGUAAAUAACAGUAAAAAAAAUAUUUAGCACCCAUAUUUUCAUGGUUGGAGGACCAGUCACUGCACAUUUGAAAUAAACAUCUUUAUCUAUGCAAUAUAACUUCCAAACAAUUUUCUUUUUAAAUAGCAUAAAAUAUAAUGUAUAUGAUUAAAAUUAAGAUGGAUAAGAAAACUAAAGAUGAAACUAAAAAGAUUAUAUAAUUUGAACUCUAUCUAUUAGGAUCUCCUUACAAGUAGGCUAAAAGGAAAAAAAAAAAGAAAGAAUACUUCAGUGAUCUUAGGAUGAUUCACAAGCUAAGGUUAGCUAGACGAUCAUUGCAAAGAAAGGAGCAUAAAAAAGAAAAUCCCUAAAACACAUUUUGAAUACAAUUUCAAACACUAUAGAGAACAAAGGCAAAAAAAAAAAAAGUUAGGAUUUCAGAUCCAAAGCAAGGAAAGGAAGAAAAGAAGUUAUUUUUUUCUUUUUUCAGGGAAAACUUCAAGUUGAGAGUUUUAUUUCAACUUAUUUUCCUUUUCCUUAGAGUAUAAUCGUUAGUUUCAUUUCCCAAAGAAUAAAAAAGAAAUAAUUAAUAGAAAAGUAUAUAGAUAGAUAAAUCGGCGUUUUAAUAAAUAUAGAAUUCAUAAAUCUUAAACCUGGAGUUUUUUUGAGGUUUUGAUAAUAAGAAAUUAACACUAUGGUGAAAAUAUCCUAUGGAUUUGUAUUUUUUAUUUUAGAGUGUUUUAAAAAAAGUGUUAGCAAUAAAAGCAAAUCCCACAUUCAUUGAUGUUUUGUUAUUGUGAUUAAAGCCAUAAGGCACUACAAGUGGAGACUAAGAUCAAAUCUCAUACUCAUUGAUGUUUUGUCAUUGUAAAGAAAUCCAUAGGAACUGUAUAUGAAGAUUAUAGGGUUAUUGUGGGGAAACUUUGAGAAUAGUACAAUAUGGUUACGAAAAUUUUUGAAAGUAUAUUUUUGAGGUUGGAAAAUAAUAAGAUGUUUCUUGGGAAUAAUAUGUAUUUGUAAGCCUAGUAGGUUGCACAAGUGUUUUUGGUGUGGUUUUAAGGUAUAGAAGAAUUAAUCUUAAUAAAACGUUAAAUAAAUGAUUUGGAUAGUUGGAUGCAAAAAAAAUUAGGAAAGCAAGUUAAGUCAACCUAAGUACAUGAAAUUGGAUAUUUCCCUAGAUGAAUUAGGGUUAAUUAAUAAAUAAAUAUACACUUAGAGCAGUAUUUAUCAAAACUUUAAUUUGAAUUAUUCCUUUAAAUCUCUCAAUUGAUUCAUAAGAAUUUUCCACAACUCUAUUCCUUUGGAUUUAUCUAUCUUGAGUAUAGGGAUUUUUUGUAAAUAUGUUUUUUUUUGUUAUAAAUAUUCAAAUGUAUUUUUUUUUGUAAAUUCUGAAACUGUUUAAAUACGCUUGAAAUACUAAACUUGAGAAUUAUUUUUAUUUGACUAUAUUUUUUUUCCUUAUAUGUGCAUUCUAGUUAUCUAGCCUAGUUAACAAGGGAAAAAAUGUUGACCUUUGUUACCCUUGGUGGGGCUAAAGAUGAUGUUAAAACCAAGUCAAUAGGGUGUUUAUCAACUUAUGAUAUACCAUUAGAUUGGUUCUGGUUCCAUUCACCAACAUGUAAGGAAUGUCUGAGGUUAGCCACUUCUAUAAGUCCCACUAUGAUGGGCUUUGUUAGGAAAUCGAGUCUUGUUUAUAUGUUGACAAUUUUGUUCCUUUUUAAUUUUGACCAUAGAAGUCUCUUUAGAUAGUGACUUGCUCUCCAUUGAAGAUCAAGAGUUGUUGUUUGUCCAACUGGGAAGUCACAGAUACAUUUAAAAAGGUUUGACUUGUGACAAUUUAGGCUCCUUCGAGGUAGCUACUUGGAGUGAAACGGACUUUGAUGAUAGUGCUUCCAUAGCUUUUGAAGAUGCAAGGUACGAUCUUAAUGACUUCUUAGCUUUUAUUGCAUCUGUGGAAUCUGUGCAUGAUAGUGAUUAUAAUAGUGAUAGUGAUGAUGAGUUUAAUGAUGAACAAAAGGCUGAAUUCUUGAGCAAUCUUGUUAUUGAGCAUGAAAAACUAAUUAAGAAUUAUUUAAAAGAUCAUGAUAUUCUUGAAGCUCAUAAAAACAAGACUGACAUUCUUAAUCUAGAAAAAAUUAAUUUACUUGAGAAAAUUAGAUUUCUUAAGUCUAAGGAUCAUUCUCUUCUUAUGAAGAACAAUACUCUCACUCUAAAGAUCAAGAGUAAUAAGCCUUCUUCAUUUGUAAAUGAAAUAUUUCACCCUAGAACUAAAGUGCUUAAUGAAAUUCUUGAUAAAUGUAAAACCCAUGGUGAUAAAAGAGGUUUUGGGGUAUAUUAACAAAGAUGAAACUCCCUCUAGUGGAGAAACUAUGUUUGUCAAAGGUAAAGAUGAAACCCUUAACCAAACAACAUCUCCUAAAAAGCCAUCACUAUGCAUACACUGUAACAAAACUAGACACUCUCAGUUUAGAUGCUACACUAGGUUCCUAGAAAGGUUUGAAUCUCAAAUGAGUAUGCUAAUGAAUGAUUUUAACUCCCUUAAAAAUAAUAUAUUGAAUAAUGGGAAAGGGAAUAAAACUAAUCAAAAGCUUAGAAGUCAACCUAAUUCCUUUAAGCCACCACCUAGGACUAAACAAGUUUGAUCGAGAAAUGAUAGGGUUAAAUGUCAAGUUGUGUUCAAUGCUCUUAAAGCUAAAUCUUCUUAUGACUGGUACUUUAAUAGCGGCUACUCAAGACACAUGAUUAGAGAUAAAACCUUUUCACAUCUCUUGAGGAUUAUAAUGGUGGGACAGUUACUUUUGGAGAUGGGCACUUAUCAUGUGUGAAAGGCAAGGGAAGUUUAUCUAUCCUUGGUUGUCCUAAGUUAGAUGAAGUUCUCUAUGUUAAUGGACUUAAGGCAAAACUACUAAGCAUUAGUCAAAUUUGUGACAAGGAGCAUAAGGUGAAUUUUUUCCAAGACUUAUGCAAGAUAGUUAGCAAAGAGGGAAAGGUCAUUGUCACAAGACAUAGGAUAGUUGACAACUACUAUGCAAUAAAUCCUAUAUUUAGAACACCUCUUAUGUGCAGUAGGACAAAGGUAGAUCCUAUUGAACUUUGGCAUAGAAGGUUAGGUUGCAUAAACAAUAGGGACCUUGUGCACUUAGUGAACAGUGAAAAAGUUAGAGGCAUCCUUAGACUUAGUGAUGAACGUAAACCCAUUUGUGGUGAGUGUAUGAAAGGUAAACAAACUAAGAGUUCACAUAAAAAGGUUAACCAAAUUAGGAUCGGUAGGCCUUUAUACCUUCUAUAUAUGGAUCUUAUGGGUUUAAUGCGGACUAAGUAGAGGUGGUAAGAAAUAUGUCCUGGUUGUUGUGGAUGAUUUUUCAAGAUACUCCUUUGUGAGUUUUCCUAGGGAAAAGUCAGAGACCGUUGAACAUUUGAAGUCACUAUUCAAUAGAAUACAACGAAAAAUAGGUCAUCCAAUUAUAAGGAUUAGGAGUGAUAGGGGGAAGGAGUUUGACAAUGUGGAUGGCCUCUUUUGCGAGUCUAAAGGAAUUAAACAUGAGUUUUCAACCCCUAAAACUCCUCAAUAGAAUGGAGUGGUUAAAAGAAAGAAUAGAUUGUUACAAGAAAUGGCUAGGGUGAUGAUUCAUAUGCAUAACACCCCUAUGCAAUUUUGGGUAAAGGCAAUUAAUGAAUCCUGUUAUACUACUUAUAUGGUUUUUCUUAUAAUUAUGGACUAGGAGAAAACAUAACCUUAAGUAUUUUAGGACUUUUGGCAGUGAGUGUUAUAUACUCAUGGAUGGGAGAACCUUGGAAAGUUUGAUGCUAAAUCUGAUGUAGGUAUCUUCUUAGGCUAUUCUAUUACUAGUAAAGCCUAAAAGUUUAUAAUCAAAAUUCAUAGAUUAUCUAUGAAUCCUCUAAUGUGGUUAUAAAUAAUGCUAGGUAUGAUCAGGAUAUAAUUGAGAGUCAAAUUUUAACCUAGGAUUUAAUUGAGUAACCCUAAAUAUGUGAAGAUCACGAAAGACAACCCUAAUGAUAUCCCUAAAAGAGACAUUGAUCCUAAUAAGGAUGAAUAUGUACCUCUAAAUGACACGUCUAAUGAAAUGAGGAAUAAGCAUAGAUCUAAAGUACUCAAGAACCACCUAAUUUAAAAUGUUAUAAGUAAUGUAAAUGAACGUGUGACAAUUGAUUAGGUACACAUUUGAUGAACGUGUACCUCUAAAUGAACAUGUACCCAAGAGCUACAUAGGUCUAGCUCGUAUACCUACGGUCUCUACUAAGCGAAUGGAGGAAAUCAUGACAAUUGAUUAAUUAAUCAAGGAUACCAAUAAUAGGACAACAAGACACAUAUAAGUCUUGAGGUGAAAAAAGUGUACAUAAGAAUGUACACAAUUAAUGAAUGUGAAAUGCACAAAAUAGAAUUUAAUUAUUUGUUAAAGUUGCAACAUUUCAAAGGAAGUUCAAAAGAAAUUUAUUUAUAUUGGGAACAAUUUUGAAUUAAAUUUUUCAAACUUAUUUAUUCACAAAGUUUCAAUUUAUUUACAAAAGAUUAUAUUUUUAUUCACAUCCAAAAUUAAUUAAAAAAAAACUUUUCUUGAUUUUAUUAAAAGAAUUUUGAUUGAAUUUGAAUUUAUUAAAGGGAAAAGCUCAAUUUGACCUUCUAUUUAUAAAGAAAUGAUUUUGGCUUACACUUUAUUUAAAAAAAAAAGAAAAAGAUGCCAUAAUUAUAACGAAACAUCAAUUCUAUUUUUGGAAAAGUGAUUUUUACAAGGAAAAGGGGGUUUACUUAUUUUAAUUAUAAGAACCAAAUUUCAAUUUACUAAGAAAAUAAAUUUUUAUAACUUUUAUUUACGAAAAAUAUUUCCAAAUUAAAUUUAUUCAAAAAGAGAUAUUUUUACAACUUUUAUUUUCUUUAGAUUUUUAUUAAAACAAUUUUCAGGAUUUUUUAUUAAAUCAAAAUUUGGAACUUUAUUAAAACUAUUUUGGAAUUCUUUAUUAAAAGAAAAUUUUGAAACUCUUAUUAAGCAAACUUUUGGAAAAUUUUAUCAGACACAAACUUAGAGAACUUUAACUUAAAAUUUUAAGAACUUCAAUUUAAAACACAUUUUAGGGAUUUUGAUUAAAAAACCAACUUUUAGAAAAUUUAUUAAAACACUGAGGAUUUUGGAAACUAACUUUGGGGGUUUUUAUUAAACAACUUUUAGAAGUUAAUAAGACAAACUUUGGGAGUUUAUUAAAAACAAAUUUUGUGAAUUUUUAAGAUUUAUUUUGAGAGUUUAUUAAGACAUGUAUUAAAACUUUUAAGACUUUUAUGGAAACAAACUUUAAGUAAAUUUAAAAGACAUACUUUGAGAACAACUAUUAAAAUAUUUAUUUUGAAAUCUUUAAUUAAGCCGAAUUUGAGAACUUUUAUGAUUUUUACGACUUUUAUGAAAACAAACUUUAAGAAUAUUUGUUUAAACACUUAUUUUGAGAAUUUGCAUUAAACAAACUUAUGAAAAAAAAUGACUUCCUAAAGAACAUUUAUCAACAAAUAAUUUUCAAUUAACAAACUUAUUAAAAUAAAAUGACUUUCUAAAGAAAAUUUAUUAAAACACACUUUUCAAAUAACAAACUUAUUCAAAAAAAAAAAAAAAAAACAACUUUCUAAAGAACAUUUAUAAAAACACAAUUUUCAAUUAACAAACUUAUUAAAAAAAAUGAUUUUUUAAAGAACAUUUAUUAAAACACAAUUUUUAGAAUUUUCAUUAAACAAACUUUUUAAGGGAAUUUCUCAAAUUUUAUGCCUCUUUGUCUUUCAAAGAAGAAUGUUUGAAAUUUUAUGCUUCAUUGGCUUUCAAAGAAUACUUUCACAGUGAGAAAAAUUGUAGAUAUCUAACUUUAAAUUUUGAAAGAUUUGAAAAACAAAUUUAAAAGUUAAAAAAAGAAAAGAAUUUCCCAAAUUUUAUGCCUCUAUCGCUUUCAAAAAAUAGUUUCAGACUUUGUUACAUAAGAAAAUUAGAGUGUGUUCGGCAAUAUUUUCAUUUUUUUUAGUGAAAAUAUUUUAUCUAAAAGUGUUUUCAAGGGAAUUAUUUAUAAAAUACUACAAGUGACUUUUCAAUACUAUAAGUAAUUUGUCAAUGCUACAAAACUGUUUCUUAACUUUUGUCAAACACCUUAAUUUUUUAUUUUUUUAUAAACACUUCUUAGGUUAGAAGUGUUUUUCAAAAACACUGUUAAACAAACUAUCUAACUUUAAAUUUUCAAAUAUUUGAAAAGAAAAAAGUUCAAAGAAUAAAAUUUAAAAGUUUGGCAAACAAGUUAGAAAUGUAAUCAAUUUGAGAUCAAGUAUUAAAGUGCUUCUUGCUCAAGCAAAGGACUAAGUCCUAGAUCAAGGCUUAGGUCCAAAGGUAAGCUAAUGUCACAGACUUAGUCUUUUCCUAAGCCCAUGUGGCACUUAGACAAGUCAAGACACUUUAUCUUGCUAAGUCAGCCUUACUCCCAAUGCUUAGCUUGCUAGGCUAAGAUGCUCACGACUCAGAAGCGUUAGAAGGUGUAGUAGGCAACUCUUAAAGAAUGGAGCUUUUAUUGCUCAAAUGAAGCUUUACAAGUGCUUUUGGGAACUCACUUGCUUGGUUGGUUAAAUUCUUGGGUGGUGCCUUGGCCAAAUGAGGGUCUCACCCAUUUAUAAGCACCAAUGGUACUCUCUAGAACCUUGUAGGGUUCUUUACAACUCAAGAAUAAUCUAGAACUUCCUACACUAGUCUUAUGUAAGGGUAUGUACAAGAUGACUUUGGAAUAUUCUAGAACACCCUACACAAUUCCAAUUCUCUCUUAGCCAAGUGUAGAGAUGUGUGGACAUCUCUAGCCCUCUCCAGAAGCUUCCAUACUCUUCCACUUUGUAGCUAAGUGUAGAUGUCUCCAAGGGUCUCUAGAAGCUUCCCACCUCCUAUAUAAGACCAUGGGAAGGGUCAUUUGAAGCAUCUUGUGACACUCUCCCCCACCUAUUAUUGUGCGAGCAAAAGCUUUGAUGCCAACAAUCACACAUAUGGUACACAAGGUUUUAACGUGGUUCGGCCAACCAUGCCUACGUCCAUGGAUGAGAGAGAAUGAUUCCACUAUACAAUAGAGAAUAUUAUAGAGGACAGAAUCAGAUACAACUUUUGGGUUCCCGCAACAUCCCAUGUUUCCCCACUCCUUGUAUCCAUACCCUACUACGAGCUCUCUCGCUCUACCGAGUACCUCCCGUUCUUUCUCACAUCUCUAUCCAACUCGUAUAGUCUCUACAUGUCCAUCUCCAUCUCAUGACUUUUUCCCCUUAUGACCUAGAAUAUUUAUAAAGAUAUUUUCAACAACCUUCCUUAUUCUAUAUGGAAGUCUAAUAUUACAAUAAUAUAUCAACCUAGAAAUAUUCUAUAUAAUAUUCUUUACAAAAAAAGGAAUCUAUACUAAUUAGGAAUUUGGGACACUUCCUAACAAUCUCCACCUUGGACCAAAUUCCAUGAAGUUAAUCUUCAAUCUCUCCAUGAUACAAACCUUUUUGUAUCAUAUCACCACAAAAGAGCAAUUGACUCCACCUUCAGUGAAAAUUCCUUUUGUUUUCAUUUUGUGUGCUUUGUGAUCUUUUACUCUUCUAGAAAUCUUCAACCCAAGACCAUACUAAAAAACCCUAAUUACAAAAAGCGGUUCCACAAUGGGUUAAACGAGUCUAUCGGCCCAAGCCUUUGCUCCAUGGACUAAGCCUCAAUAAAUCUCCCAUUAAAAAACCAUGCAAUAUUAUUCGGGUCAGGUCGUCAAACCAGAUCAAACAAAACUAAGCUCCACAAAGCCUAACAAAUCUCCCACUUGGAGACUAGUUCAAUCACCAACAUCAAACCGCUAUCCUCCAAGAGACAAUCCCUCAUCCCUGCAACUCAUCCUCCUAUCCUCAAGCUAGAAGACCAAUUGAAGUUGUGCACAACUUCAACUUCUCAAUAGUGACACCCUUAGUCAACAUGUCUGUCGGGUUCUUAAAUCCACAAAUCUUCUCAAGUAUUACUAGUUUAUCUUCAACAAGGUAACGGAUAAAGUGGUAUUUUUUUGUAUAUGCUUCAACUUUGAAUGAAAAGUCGAAUUUUUGGCAAGAAAAAUUGCACUAUGACAGUCACUAUGUAGAAUGUCCAUCUUCUACUUCUUACCCAAUUCAUCUAAGAAACCAUGUAGUCAAAUCAUCUCCUUUCCAGCUUCAGUUGUUGCAACAUACUCAACUUCUGUAGUAGACAAAGUAACAAUCUUCUGUAGAUUUGAAGCUCAUAAUAUAGUUGUACCACUUAGAGUAAAAACAAAACCAGUAGUACUCUUUCUACUAUUAAUAUCACCAGCAAAAUCAACAUCUACAUAACCCUGCAGUUUCAAACUUGCACCUGUGAAGCGAAGACAUGUAUCCAAUGAACCCUUCAGAUAUCUUAAUAUCCACUUGACUGCCUCCCAAUGCUGCUUUCCAGGCUUACUUAUGAAUUUGCUCACAACUCCUACUGCAUGUGCAAUGUCUGGCCUUGUACACACCAUAACAUACAUCAAGCUGCCAAUAGCUGAGGCAUAGGGCACCUUGCUCAUAUGACCCCUUUCUUCUUCCGUCUUCGGUGACUAUUCUUUGCUUAGUUUGAAAUGACUCCUCAAGGGUGUGCUCACUGGUUUAGCUUCAUUCAUGUUGAACAUGCUGAGAACUUUCUUCACAUACUCUGACUGUGAAAGCUUCAAUGUACCAUUAGCCUUGUCUCUAAUGAUUCUCAUACCAAGGAUUUGCUUUGCAACUCCCAAAUCCUUCAUUGCAAACUGUUUGGACAAUUGCUUCUUCAGAUUAUUAAUCUUCUCAAUGCCAGACCCUGCAAUAAGCAUAUCAUCCACAUACAAUAGUAAUAUGAUGUAAGAGUUAUCAAAAAACUUAACAUAGCAACAGUGAUCAGCUUCACAUCUCUUGAACCCAAUUCUAUGCAUAAAACUGUCAAACUUCUUGUACCACUAUCUAGGAGCUUGUUUAAGGCCAUACAAGCUCUUUCUCAGUUUGCAAACUAGAUUCUCUUGUCCUUGAACAAUGAACCCUUCUGGUUGAAUCAUGUAAAGGCCUUCCUCCAAGUCACCAUGAAGGAAUGUUGUCUUCACAUCUAAUUGCUCAAGAUGUAAGUUUUCUGCAACCACCAUUCCCAGUACAAGUCUGAUUGUUGACAUCUUCACAACUGGAGAAAAUAUCUCUGUGUAAUCAAUGCCCUCAUUCUGCUGAAACCCUUUAACAACUAAUCUGGCCUUAUAACGUUUGCUACCAUCAUGCUCAUUCUUUAUUCUGUAUACCCACUUGUUAUGCAAAGCCUUCUUUCCUACUGACAAUUCAGUCAGUUCCCAUGUCUGAUUCCCCAACAAGGAAUCCAUCUCAUCCUUCAUGGCUAACUCCCACUUGCUUGAAUUCUCAUCUUGUAAAUCUUCAUCAUAACACUUUGGCUCACUACCAUCACUCAACAGGAGAUAAUUUAAAACAGGUGAAUAACGCUGUGGAGGUCUAAUGUUCCUGGAAAAUCUGCGAACUUCAGCUACAGGUGUACUCAAAUCUACCUGAGAAUUUACAUUCUCCUUAUCUUCUUCACCCCCUUUUUGGACAGUACUUUCAGUCAAUUCAUCUAAGUUGAUAAACUCAGAUUUCUUUUGAUCUAUCUCUGUAACAUCUGACACUACAAUUGACAUGUCCUUGUACAUAACCUGUUCAUUAAAUAUCACAUUUCUACUUCUGAUGAUUUUCCUGUUUUGUUCAUCCCAAAACCUAUAGCCAAAUUUCUCAUCACCAUAACCAAUGAAAAAGCAUAUUUUAGACUUUGCAUCAAGUUUACUACGAGCAUCAGAAUCAAUAUGAACAUAAGAAACACAACCAAAAACUUUUAAAUGUGAAAACUUUACCUCUUUAUCGCUCUAAACCUCCUUAAGAAGUCUGAACUCCAUGGGAACUGAUGGUCCUUGGUUUAUCAGGUAGGCUACAGUGCUAACAGCAUCAGCCCAAAAAGUUUUUGGUAGUCCAACAUGCAACCUCAUACUUCUAGCAAGCUCAUUGAGAGUUCUGUUCAUGCGCUCAGCCACACCAUUUUGCUGUGGUGUCCCAAGAAUGGUCUUCUCCAUCCUAAUUCCCUGUGCAACACAAUACUCACCGAACCCUCCAUCUAUGUACUCUCCUCCAUUAUUUGACCUCAAACAUUUUACUUUCAAACCUAUUUCUGUCUCAACCAUGGCCUUCCAUUUCUUAAAAUUUUCAAAUACAUUAGAUUUAUUUUUCAGAAAAUAAACUCAUACCUUUCUGCUUGAGUCAUCAAUAAAACUGAUGUAGUACCUUGAACCUCCAAGGGAUGCAACCGGAGAAGGCCCCCACAAAUCAAUGUGUACUAGUUCUAAUUUUUUAGCCUUCAGUGUCCUGCCAGUUUUCAAGAAGCUCACAUUUUUUUUGCUUUCCUAAGAUGCAACUUUCACACAUGUCAAAAUCAAUGGACUUUAAUUCUGGUAGUUUUCCUUUUGACAACAACAUCUUCAUCCAUUUCUCACUCAUGUGACCAAGUUUGCGGUGCCAUAGGCUUAUAUCAGUACUUGCAUUAGCAACUGCAAUUGUGUCUCUUGGACAUGAGGUCAUAUACAGAGUACAAGUCUUCUUUCCACAAGCCAAUACCCUAGCUUCCUUUGUAACCUUCUAAGUACCACCAACAAAUAGUAUUGCAUGUCCUUCAUCAUCAAGUUGUCCAACAGAAAUCGGAUUCCUCUUCAGGUUAGGAAUAUCUCAAACCUUCUCCAGUAACCAAAUAAACCUAUUGGGCAACAAUAUUCGGACGUUUCCCAGACCCACAACAUCCAAGGCUGAACCAUCAGCCAAAUACACCUUACCAAAAUCACCCGCAACAUAAUUCUGUAUGAUUUCUCGAUGUGGAGUGGUAUGAAAUGAAGCUUCUGAAUCCAAAACCCAAUAAUCAAGUAGACUGUCUACUGCAAGAAGUAAUGCAUCUUGUACCUCUUCUGUUACAGCAUUAGUAGAAUCAUCUUCAUUCUUCUUCUUAAGACUUUUGUAUUGCCUUCUAAAGUGACAUGUUUUCCCACAGUUCUAUCAUAGUACUUGUUGGCCUGAUCUAGAUUUGCUUUUAUUUCGAUUAGAAUUUUUGGAUUUUGAUCUACCCCGGUUUGAAUUUUUUUCAUUACCUCUGUCUCUUGUCUCAAGGUUUAGGACAUAACUAGAUCCUGAGGUUUCGCUUGCAUCUCUUCGACGAAUCUCCUCAACUAGAAUUAAAUCUCAUAUAUCAUUGUACUUGAGUUUUUCCUUUCCCGUAGAAUUGCUUACUGCCAUCCUCAUUGCCUCCCAACUGUUUGGCAAAGAAGCCAAGAUGAUCAGAGCACGAAUCUCAUCAUCAAAAUCAAUUUCUACAGACGACAAUUGAUUUGUGAUUGUAUUAAAUUCAUUUAGAUGUUGUGCUACUGAGAUAUUUUCUACCAUCUUCAAAUUGAAUAAUUUCUUCAUCAGAUGCACCUUAUUGUUUGUGGACAGCUUUUCAUACAUACCAGACAAAGCCUUCAUCAGAUCUACUGUGGUCUUCUCUUUUACAACGUUGUGUGCAAUAGACCUAGACAGAGUUAACCUAAUAACUCUUGGAACCUGUCUGUCAAGAAACGCCCAUUCCUCAACCUUCAUACUCUCAGGUUUUGUCCCCAAAAGAGGCAGAUGCAAUUUCCUCCCAUAGAGAUAAUCUUCAAUCUACAUCCUCCAAUAUGCAAAAUCUGUGCCAUCAAAAUUUCUAUUAUAGACGCCUUUCCUGCUUCCUCUGCCAUUGCUCCCACUCAAACCUAACCCUAGGCUCUGAUACCAGUUGUUGUGCCAGUGAAAGCUUUGAUGCCAACAAUGUUAGUUCAAGAACACAAAGAUAAAACAAUCACACAUAUGGUACACGAGGUUUUAACAUGGUUCGGCCAACCAUGUCUUGAUUCAUGCCCAGUCGAUGUAUCAGUUGACUUAUGUCCAGCUGGUGCUCCUUGAUUGACGUAGUAAUCAACAAAAUUUAUAACCUAUUACACCAUGAACUAGGGUAGCAGAGACAAAGCUACUAUAGUAUAGUGGCUCUAGGAUCGUUCACUGGGAAGGGUUUUCAACUCAUAACUGAUACCAAUUCAAAGCUGAGUUGGUGCUUUUUCAUUUCAAGGUUAGCUUUAAAAGAAAACAUAAAGUUGUUUGAGUGAAAAGGGUUUGGUUUUAAACUAACCAAAAAGAAAGUAAUGGAAAUUACUUAUGAAGAAAAACAUUCCUUGAAGGUUUAGGUUCACAGGGGAGAUUCCUUAUACAAAACAGAGCUCCGGUCAUUUGGUUUGUUUCCUCGCAUUAGAGAAUUAACAUAUAGUCAAUUCUCUAACCGGUGUUGUACAGAUGUAACCUUUAAAUAGAUUCCAGCUCUAAUUCCCUCUCACUGAUGCAACUUGCAAUAACUCGUGCCUCUCAUCUAGCAUUUGCCAUCAAGGUGAUCUUUAACUUUGGAUUUCCCUUCUCAAGCUCGCAAGAGAUAACUAAUGGAAGUCUCCUCGGAGUCCAAAAGCUUACUAAAUGUUGGCAAUUCUAGAAAAUCCUACCUCCAAGUCACUUCCCAAAAGCUUGCAAGAGAUAAACAAGUGCAUCUCCAUGGACGAAGAUCACGUGUCUUACCAAGUACUGGCUCAAGUGAUUUGAAGGUGUUUUAAGUUAACUAAAAACAUAGAAAUCAUUAAAGGAUCAUACUUUCUCUUCAUUAAUCACUGAAACCACAAAGCUACUAAUUCUUGCACUUAGAACCUUUCCCUACAACCUUAACUCCAAGGAAUUAAAAGUCUAGCCACUCAUUCUUUGAGGAAAUUUCCUCAGAGCUUGUUUGGCUAGUAAGAAAACUAACAAGAAAACAAAUAUAUGAUAGAAAACCAGAGCAAGUGCUCUGGAAAUAUAUUUCUUGCUUUUCUUGAUUACAAUAUAGAUCGAUACUCUUUCGAUUCGAUAUCCUCUGUAAAGGAAAUUACAAACUAUUUAUAUGGGUUUAUUCACCCUUUUUAUUUACUUAAAAACUAAGGAAUCCCAUGAUAGGUGGAUUACAAGGAGAGUUUGGGAAUUUAGACAACAAAUAUCUAAAGCAAAAUAUCCCAAAAUAUCGCUCGAAAAUGUCAGGAAGGUUCAGGAGAACACCAUUGCACUAUACUGAGAGAAAAACUUUGCAGGUAAGCGUUAUCAGAAGGUCCGGAUAUGUAUAUCCGGAGAAGUCGAAGCGUCCUCCUCUCCCAUCCGGCUAUAGGAUAUUCGGAUGUAAAAUGUUGGCGCACGGAACGUCCUCCUUUCCCAUCCGGAUGUGAGAUAUCCGGAUGAAAAAUGUCGGCGCACAGAACUCGUGAAAAUCACACCCGGCUGAUAGCAUAUCUUAUUUGAAUAUGUUGUCCGGAUGCCCUUCGAUGGUAUAUCCGGACGCCCUGUCCGGGUAUACUCCUUGUAUGGAUUCCAAAGAACUCUCCUCAAUCUCAGAUUUGCUUUGGUGAUAAAAAAGCUAUCAAAACACCAAAACUUAACACAAUUUGAUUAGAAUUGAUUGCAAGGGUCCUUACUAUGUUAAUUGGGUUAAAAGGUGAUAACUACUACUCAAAAGUAUUUAAAAGAGUUAAUUACUGGUUAUCAAAUAGCACUUUUUGAGUAGUAAUCACUCCCCCCAACCGACAUAUUGCUAGUCCCUUAGCAAUGAAGGAGAGAAAAAAAAACAGUACUAUAAUUUACAACAUCAUGCUGAACAAAAAACAAUUUCCUAGCGGCAUGAUGAUCUAACUCUCACAUGGAACAUUAAAGAAAUAAAACUCAAACUUCAACAAGAGUUAUCAAAUAACUUGUCUAAUCACAAUUCUUAAAGAGAAGGCUUUAUGCAAAUUUAAGCUUUAAAAGAGUUUCCACUCCCAAAGGGUCAAACCUUACUCUUCCACAAAAAUCUAAGUGUUAUUUAUUAGCUUCCGAAUAUAGUAUGUAGAACUAAUCUCUCCUCCCAAUCUAGUUUUUUUUUUUCAAAGCUUAGCAAACUGGUCAACCUCCAAUAUGCUAAGAACGCACCUCAUUUUUUUCACAACAAUUUUUUUUUCAUUGUAGGAGUACAAGGCUUAAAGGUAUUAUUUUCUAACUUGUCCAUGUAACGGGGGUCCAUCGAUGACUCCCAACCAAUUAAGGUUUAGGGCAUCAAGCUUUAAGGAUAUUUCAACCACUAGCUCCUCGGAUUUUACCCCGGACUUUUGAGAAUGAAUUUUAAUACCCCAGCACCUACAGUAUGUUAGACUCCACCUAUCCACCCUUGUUACGAGCAUUGAGGUCGGUGACUCCCAACCAAUGAAGGCUUAGGGCACCUGGUUUUAAAGAUUUUCACCAUAUAUCCCUCAGACCUUGCUCGGGUUUCAAGGCAAGCAAACAUUUUUUCUUUCUUUUUCCAAAGGCUCAUUGGCCUUUUACAAGGUGUCCCAACACUAUUAAAUGAGGUCAAAGGUACCAAGUCUAAAAUUUUCCUAAGUCAAGAGGGAAAUAGUUUUUCAUCUUAUACUCGGAACCUAUUGUGCACAGUGUGUGAAUAGCUUAAAGUGGAAGACAUAAGCUUGACUUCAAUAGAAGUUUCAACAAUUCAUCAACUUUAAUAAGCAUAAUACAAACUCUAAGUCAAGUGAAAAGAUAAAAAUUCAAUUUCUCCCAUUCCAUUUUGAAAAUUUUUCCUUAAUAACCAUGGAGAGUAGAAUAAAAACUUUUAAAAAUUUUAAAAUUUAAGCAAAAAGCAACUAAAUUACCAAAAUAACUUAGCAUUAUUAAUAAAAACUUCCUUCCUCAACUCUCCCCCCAACCAAGCUCAACAUUGUCCUUAAUGUGACAACAGCGAUUGAAAAAUAGGGAGGAAGUGGUACCUCCUAAGUGACGUGGAAUGAUGGCUCAGCGGCUUCUCCUGUACUCCCAUUCCAUUUUGAAAAUUUUUCCUUAAUAAUCAUGGAGAGUAGAAUAAAAACUUUUUAAAAUUUUAAAAUUUAAGCAAAAAGCAACUAAAUUACCAAAAUAACUUAGCAUUAUUAAUAAAAACUUCCUUCCUUAACUCUCCCCCCAACCAAGCUCAACAUUGUCCUCAAUGUGACAACAGUGAUUGAAAAAUAGGGAGGAAGUGGUACCUCUUGAGUGACGUGGAAUGAUGGCUCAGCGGCUUCUCCUGUAGGAGGCUCCGGAUGAGGUGGGAAUGGUAUGCUCAGGAGCUGAUGUACUGUCAAGAUGAUGCUGAAUCUGCCUCAGGACGGCAGUGUGCUGGGCCUGAGUGGCAAGAAUCUGCUCCUGCUGAUUCUAAUCAUUCAAAAAGCUAGUUACAAUUAACAUAAUUUAAAACCAAAAUUACAAUCCAAUAAUUUACAAAACUUAAAAAUUAACAUAUUUAACAAAAUUAUGGACUUUGGUGAAACCAAGUCCAUCUAACCCUUCUCUGUUCAGGAUUUCUAUGGCUCAAGGAGGUUGAUUUCCUCCUUUUCUGGCUUGAACGGCUCAAUGUAUGGCUUGAGACGAUGCCCAUUCACUUUGAAAGUUUGAGUGCUCUUGAAGUUGAGUAGUUCCACUACUCCAUUUGAUUGCACGUCAUGAAUUAUGAAAGGACCCGUCCAUCUUGAUUUCAAUUUUCCCGGAAAAAGAUGGAGUUUAGAGUCAUAAAGCAAGACUCUUUGUCUCUUGAUAAAAUUCUUCUGAUUUACCAACUGAUCAUGCCAUUUCUUCAACCUCUCUUUUGCAAUUUUUGAAUUGAGGUAAGCAUCAUUCCUCAUUUCCUCCAAUUCGUUCAAAUGCAAAUAUCUCUUUAACCCGGCACUUGUCAAAUCCAUGUUGAGCUUCUUGAUCGCCCACCAUGCUUUAUAUUCAACCUCCACUGGGAGAUGGCACGCUUUGCCAUAAACAAGGCGGUAAGGAGACAUUCCAAGAAUGGUCUUAUAAGCAGUCUAUAAGCCCAUAAUGAAUCCAGGAGCUUAGUAGACCAAUCCUUCCUAUUCACAUUCACCACCUUCAUCAGGAUAUUCUUGAUUUCCCGGUUGGCUAACUCAACUUGGCCACUUGUUUGAGGGUGAUAAGGUGUAGCUACCUUGUGCUUGACCCCAUAUUUGGCUAGAAGAGUCUCAAACGACUUAUUGCAAAAGUGGGUUCCUCCAUCACUGAUAAUGGCCUUAGGCACUCCAAACCUUGAAAAUAUGUUCUCCUUGAGAAAUUUGAGAACCACCUUAUGAUCAUUGCUCCUACAUGGGAUUGCAUCUACCCACUUAGAGACAUAAUCCACUCCCACCAAAAUGUAGGAGUGUCCAAAUGACAUUGGAAAUGGUCCCAUGAAGUCUAUCCCCCAAACAUCAAAGACAUCCACUAUCAAGAUGGGGUUCAAGGGCAUCAUAUUCCAGCGUGUUAGCUUCCCAAGCCUUUGACACCAAUCACAUCCCUUGCACAUAGAGUGGGCAUCCUUGAAAAGAAAGGGCCACCAAAAACCUGAUUAGACCACUCUCAUGGCUGUUUUCUGGGAGGCAAAAUGACCUCCACAUGCACUAUCAUGACAAUGGGAUAGAAUUCCUGAUUGCUCUUGUUCAGGAACACAUUUCCUUAUGAUUUGAUCCGCACAAUAUUUGAAGAGAAAAGGCUCCUCCCAAUAAUAGGCAUGGAUCUUAGCAAAGAAAUGCUUCUUGUCUUGGGCACUCCACUCACUUGGAACUUCUCCAGUAACCAAGUAAUUUACAAUGUGAGAAUACCAUGGAGUUACCUCUAUUGACAUGAGAGACUCCUCAGGGAAGUCAUCAUUAAUAGGUAGACCAUGUGAGUCAUGUGCUAUCACAAGUCUGGACAAGUGGUCAGCUACCACAUUUUCUACUCUCUUCUUAUCCCGGAUUUGGAUAUUGAAUUCUUGAAGCAGAAGGAUCCAUCUUUUCAAUCUUGCCUUGGCAUCUUGCUUGGUUAGCAAGUACUUUAGAGCAGAAUGGUCAGUGAACACCACUAUAAAGGACCCUACCAAAUAGGCACGAAACUUAUCCAAGGUAAAAACUACUGCCAACAACUCCUUCUCAGUAGUUGUGUAGUUCCUUUGAGCCUCAUUCAAAGUUUUGCUUGCAUAAUAAAUCACAUAGGGCUUUCCAUCUUCUCUUUGCCCCAAAACAGCCCCCAUAGCAAAAUCACUUGCAUCACACAUUACCUCAAAAGGUAAUUUCCAAUUUGGGGCUCUCACUAUUGGUGCAGUUGUAAGGAAUUGCUUCAGUUCCUCAAAACUCUUCUGGUAUUUCUCAUCCUACACAAACUUGACAUCCUUUACCAAUAGUUCACAAAGAGGUUUUAAGAUUUUUGAGAAAUCCUUAAUGAACCUCCUAUAGAACCCGACAUGUCCUAGGAAUUGCCUAAUUCCUUUAACAUUUGUGGGAGGUGGCAACUUAACAAUUAGCUCCACCUUUGCCUUAUCUACCUUAAUGUCAUUCUUGGAGAUUAUAUGUCCUAAGACAAUUCCUUUUUGUACCAUAAAAUGGCACUUCUCCCAAAUUAGCACUAGGUCUUUCUCAAUACAUCUUUGGAGAACAGCUUCUAAAUGCAACAAACACUCCUUAUAAGAACAUCCAUAAACAGUGAUGUCAUCCAUAAAGACUUCCAUGAUGCGUUCUACCAUAUCACUGAAGAUGCUUAGCAUACAUCUUUGGAAAGUUGCAGGUGCAUUACAUAGACCAAAGGGCAUCCUCCUAUAGGCAAAAGUACCAAAGGGGCAAGUGAAGGUUGUCUUUUCCUGAUCUUCCAAAUCAAUUUCUAUUUGGAAGUACCCCGAGUAACCAUCUAGAAAACAGUAGAAAGGAUGCCCUGAGAUUCUCUCAAGGACUUGGUCCAUGAAAGGCAAUGGGAAAUGGUCCUUCCUAGUCGCUGAAUUUAACCUCCUGUAGUCUAUACACACCCUCCAUCCGGAGGUAAGACGUGUAGAGACUUCCUCCCCUUUUUCAUUCUGGAUCACAGUAAUUCCAGAUUUCUUUGGAACUACUUGGGUUGGGCUCACCCACAAGCUGUCUGUAAUGGGAUAUAUGAUCCCUGCUUGAAGUAGCUUCAAAACUUCACCUCUUACUACCCCUUGCAUGUGAGGAUUCAACCUCCUCUGGGGCUGCCUCACUGGUUUUGCAUCUUCCUCCAUGUAGAUAUGGUGGGUGCAUACCAAAGGGCUAAUCCCUUUCAGAUCAGAAAUUUGCUAUCCAAUGGCCUUUUUGCAUUUUAUGAGGACUCCCAAAAGGCUAUCCUCUUGAUCAGUGGUGAGCUUUGAAGAAACCACCACUGCACAUUUCUCAUCUUUCUCCAGAUAUGCAUACUUCAAAUCAACAGGAAGUGGCUUCAAAACUGGUUUUGGAGGGUCCUCCGUAGCUGCUCCUUGUGAGUCCUCCUUAUUGAACAAGGGCAAGAUCUCUUCCCUUCUCCUCCAAGGAGACAUGAUGGCUAAUGGUUCAAAGGGUUCAGGUAACCCUGCUUCAAGCACUCCAAUGCUUUCAUUCAAGCUUUCUUCUAAAUUCUUGUCACAAUGCUCUUCAACCAACGUGUUGAUCAAGCACACCUUCUCCAAUCCUUCCUCCUCUUCGGGUUGAAGAUGCCUCUUGCAUAGGUGGAAUAUGUUUAGUUCCAAGGUCAUGUUCCCAAAUGUGAGCUGCAUAACCCCAUUCCUAUAAUUGAUGAUGGCAUUGGAGGUAGCUAGGAAAGGUCUCCCAAGGAUGAUUGGCACAUAAUUUGGUUCCUUAAUAGUGAGAUCAGUAUCAAGCACCAAAAAAUCCACGAGAUAGUAGAAUUUGUCCACUUGAACUAGAACAUUCUCAAUCACCCCCCUUGGGAUUUUGACCGACCUAUCAGCUAAGGAGAGAGUGAUGGCUGUGGGCUUCAAUUCUCCAAGUCCCAGUUGCUUAUACACAGAGUAUGGGAGCAAAUUCACACUUGCCCCCAAGUCUAAUAGAGCCUUCUCCACAUGUGUCCCUCCAAUGUUGGUUGAAAUGGUGGGACAUCCCGGAUCUUUACACUUAACUGGAGACUUACUCUGAAUGAUGGCACUUACUUGCUCAGUGAGGAAUGCCUUCUUUGUCACAUUUAACCCUCUCUUAACCGUGCACAAGUCCUUUAAAAUUUUUACAUAUGUGGGGACUUGCUUGAUCAUAUCAAGUAAGGGUAUAUUCACCUUCACUUGUCUCAAAACUUCAAGAAUUUCUGAUGAAUUCUUGAUUCCCUUCUUUCCAUGUAAAGCUUGAGGAAAAGGGGGAGGCAUAUGUUUCUUCAUCAUAUCCUCUUUAAUCACUAUCCUUGGCUCUUCUUCAAUGCUUGAUUUAGAUGCAUUUUUCUUCCCACUCUCCUCUUCUUGGUUAUUGCUCUCUUUAACCAAGGUUUUCCUUGACAUGAAUUCUUCGUCUUGUCUCACCUUAGGCAAGGGUUGAUCAACCUCCUUCCCACUUCUCAAGGUGAUCACAACUUUGACCUUCCUCAACUUUGAAGACUCUCCAUCUUGGGUUUCAACUUCAUGAACACCCUUAGGAUUUUGGCUUGGUUGAGAGGGGAACUUUCCCUUCUCAUUCACUGUGUUGAGGUUGGUAAGCCUAGAGAUGGAGUAUUGACUAUUAUCUAUCUUCUGAGAUAGAUCAUUCUGCAUCCCAUCCAUUCUCUUAAUUUGAGAACUCUCAACAUUUUCAAUCUUUUGGUGCAAUUGGGAGUUGAUUGCCUUUUGUUCACCCACAAAGUCACCCAUGACUUUACUUAGGUUUACAAUGGCUUGCUCCACUGAAGAGGUUUGUUGAGGUGCUUGGGUUUGGGCUUGUGGUUGGUAUGGAGGUGGCCUUGGUUUCCAAGAAAAAUUUGGAUGGUUUCUCCAGCUUGAAUUAUAGGUGUUUCCAUAAGGUGCAUUGUUGUUGGGCUUAAAUUGCCCCACAACAUUGGCUUGAUCACCUAAGAUCUCCCUCACAGCUGGGAUGGUUGGGUACUCAUCUACCACAUGAUCACAUGAUUGGCAAAUGGUGUAUGGCAUGACAUGGACUUGUGUCUUUGAAAUGGCUUGGACUUCAUGCAUUUUUUUCAACUCAAGUUCUUCCAACCUCCUUGCCAUUGUUGCCACCUUAGUUUUCAUGUCCACGUCUUCACUUAACAUGUACAUUCCACCCUUUGGAUUUACAGGAGCUUUCAUCCUUCCCACUUCUCCUCUAUGCGGUUCAUCCCAUCCCCUUGAGACUUCAGCUACAUAACUCAAGAAAUCCAUAGCUUCCUCAGGAUUCUUACUCAUGAAAUCCCCUCCACACAUUGUUUCGAGGAGCUGCUUCAUUGAGGAAGACAUCCCAUCAUAGAAAUAACUUACCAACAGCCAUGUAUCAAAGCCAUGGUGAGGACAAGCAUUAAUGGCUUCUAUGUAUCUUUCCCAACACUCAUAGAAUUUCUCAUUCUCUUUAGCUAAGAAGUUUGAAAUUUGUCUUUUCAAGCUGUUUGUUCUGUGAGUAGGAAAAAAUUUCUUGAGGAAUUCUACUUGUAAAUCAGUCCAAGUACGGAUACUCCUUGGCCUUAAAGAAUUAAGCCAAAUCUUGGCCUUAUCCUUUAAAGUAAAAGGAAAUAGUUUAAGCCUCAUCAGGUCAAUAGAAGCUCCUCCCUCUCGGAAUAUAUUACAAACAUCUUCAAAUUCCUUGAUAUGGGAAUAAGGAUUCUCACUUUCCAUUCCGUGGAAAGUUGGCAGAAGUGGCACAAUAUAGGGUCUGAUUACUAGCUGUUCUGUAGGAGGCACUAUACAUGACGGUGCACUCAUACGAGGUGGAUGCAUAUGGUCCCUCAUUGAUCUGAAUUCAUUGGGAUUGUCCUGAUGAUCAUGGUGACUAUGCUGAUCCUCAGGUGUAGUUUCCAUGAUGUUCAAGAUUACUUCCAACUCCUUGUUAUGAGGUGUUUCAAUUUUAACAAGCCUUCCUCCACAAUCUCGUAUCCACUUGGGCAUACACAACUAGUAUCAACUGUAACAAAGAAAGAAAAAGAAAAACAGAGGAAAACAAAAAAACAAAACUACCAAAAAGAGUUCAAUUAACUAAAACUAAAUUCAAAACUAUGCUAGAAUAUAUAAACUAGUAAAAGAGAAAAAAAAAAAACUAAAAGAGUUAGUAAAAUGAGAGAAAACUCACCAAACUUGUGAUGAAAACCACAAGUUCCAUGAAAUAAUAUCAAUAUGAAGUUGGCACCUUCCCCGACAACGAAGCCAUUUGAUUUGUGCCCAGUCGGUGUAUCAGCUGACUUAUGUCCAGCUGGUGCUCCUUGAUUGAGGUAGUAAUCAACAAAAUUUAUAACCUAUUACACCAUGAACUAGGGUAGCAGAGACAAAGCUACUAUAGUAUAGUGGCUCUAGGAUCAUUCACUGGGAAGGGUUUUCAACUCAUAAUUGAUACCAAUUCAAAGCUGAGUUGGUGCUUUUUCAUUUCAAGGUUAGCUUUAAAAGAAAACAUAAAGUUGUUUGAGUGAAAAGGGUUUGGUUUUAAACUAACCAAAAAGAAAGUAAUGGAAAUUACUUAUGAAGAAAAACAUUCCUUGAAGGUUUAGGUUCACAGGGGAGAUUCCUUAUACAAAAACAGAGCUCCGGUCAUUUGGUUUGUUUCCUCGCAUUAGAGAAUUAACAUAUAGUCAAUUCUCUAACCGGUGUUGUAUAGAUGUAACCUUUAAAUAGAUUCCAGCUCUAAUUCCCUCUCACUGAUGCAACUUGCAAUAACUCGUGCCUCUCAUCUAGCAUUUGCCAUUCAAGGUGAUCUUUAACUUUGGAUUUCCCUUCUCAAGCUCGCAAGAGAUAACUAAUGGAAGUCUCCUCGGAGUCCAAAAGCUUACUAAAUGUUGGUAAUUCUAGAAAAUCCUACCUCCAAGUCACUUCCCAAAAGCUUGCAAGAGAUAAACAAGUGCAUCUCCAUGGACGAAGAUCACGUGUCUUACCAAGUACUGGCUCAAGUGACUUGAAGGUGUUUUAAGUUAACUAAAAACAUAGAAAUCAUUAAAGGAUCAUACUUUCUCUUCAUUAAUCACUGAAACCACAAAGCUACUAAUUCUUGCACUUAGAACCUUUCCCUGCAACCUUAACUCCAAGGAAUUAAAAGUCUAGCCACUCAUUCUCUGAGGAAAUUUCCUCAGAGCUUGUUUGGCUAGUAAGAAAACUAACAAGAAAACAAAUAUAUGACAGAAAACCAAAGCAAGUGCUCUGGAAAUAUAUUUCUUGCUUUUCUUGAUUACAAUAUAGAUCGAUACUCUUUCGAUUCGAUAUCCUCUGUAAAGGAAAUUACAAACUAUUUAUAUGGGUUUAUUCACCCUUUUUACUUACUUAAAAACUAAGGAAUCCCAUGAUAGGUGGAUUACAAGGAGAGUUUGGGAAUUUAGACAACAAAUAUAUAAAGCAAAAUAUCCCAAAAUAUCUCAAAAAUAUCGGUCGAAAAUAUCAGGAAGGUUCAGGAGAACACCGCUGCACUGUACUGAGAUAAAAACUCUACAGGUAAGUGUUAUUAGAAGGUCCGAAUAUGUAUAUCCGGAGAAGUCGAAGCGUCCUCCUCUCCCAUCCGGCUAUAGGAUAUCCGGAUGUAAAAUUUCGGCGCACGGAACGUCCUCCUUUCCCAUCCGGAUGUGAGAUAUCCGGAUGAAAAAUGUCGGCGCACAGAACUCGUGAAAAUCACACUCGGCUGAUAGCAUGUCUUAUCCGAAUAUGUUGUCCGGAUGCCCUUCGAUGGUAUAUCCGGAUGCCCUUCGAUGGUAUAUCCGGACGCCCUGUCCGGGUAUACUCCUUGUAUGGAUUCCAAAGAACUCUCCUCAAUCUCAGAUUUGCUUUGGUGAUCAAAAAGCUAUCAAAACACCAAAACUUAACACAAUUUGAUUAGAAUUGAUUGCAAUGGUCCUUACUAUGUUAAUUGGGUUAAAAGGUGAUAACUACUACUCAAAAUUAUUUAAAAGAGUUAAUUACUGGCUAUCAAAUAACACUUUUUGAGUAGUAAUCAUGUCUACAUCCACGACUGAGAGAGAACGAUUCCACUAUACAAUAGAGAAUAUUAUAGAGGACAGAACUAGAUACAACUAUUGGGUUCCCGAAACAUCCCAUGUUUCCCCACUCCUUGUAUCCAUACCCUACUACGAGGUCUCUCGCUCCACCGAGUACCUCCCGUUCUUCCUCACAUCUCUAUCCACCUCGUAUAGUCUCUACAGGUCCAUCUCCAUCUCAUGACUUUUUCCUUUUCAUGACCUAGAAUACUUAUAGAGAUAUUUCCAACAACCUUCCUUAUUCUAUAAGGAAGUCUAAUAUUACAAUAAUAUAUCAACCUAGAAUUAUUCUAUAUAAUAUUCUUUAUAAAAAAAAGAAUCUAUACUAAUUAGGAAUUUGGGAUGCUUCCUAAUACCUAUGCCAUCGACGUCCCCAUUGUGGCCUCUUCUUGAAACUUCUUGAUGUGUUUCCAAAACCUUCUCAAGGCAUCUGCAUGUUCCCAGCUUACUUGCCUCUUAGGUAGUCUUUUCCAUCGAACUAGAUACUCUAUCACAGGAAGGACCCCUUAUCUCUUGGUAACUUGUUCAAAUAGGAUAUUCUUCACCUCUUUCUCUUGUGAGGCCUGAGAUGAAUGCAAACACUUGCAUUUUCGAUGCUUGGAGUGCUGCUUCCUAUUGCUUAUUGAGUUCACCUUUUCCUUAGUGACCUUGUCCAUGUGUGUGUGGGCUACCACAACUCGCUCCUCUUUUGCCUCUUUUACUUGCACCCUUGAUAGUAAGAAGGUCUUAGGAAUACUAGGCUUUGGGUUGGAGGGUACCUAGUAGCUGCAUCAAGCCCAUAUGUGCUUCGCCUUCCUAUUUCCUCUCUUCGAUCAUGGCCUGAGCGCCUUCCUCUUUGGGCAAUCCUAUGCCCAAUGUGGAUCGUCACACAGGAAGCAUUUGAUUCUAGGCGUAAACUCCUUCCUUUUCGCCUUACGUCUUCCUUCCCGGAUGCUAGGCAUCUUGCCUGAUCCCAUUUUAGGAGCAUUAUAGUCUCUUGAAACCCCGUCUCCCCCACCCGUGGCGUGGCUAUUCUCUAAAGACUCAACCUUGGAGGAGUCUUCCCUCUUGUAAUGCGUUAAAGACUCUGCUACUACCAUAGCAGUGGCUAAGUCUUGAACACCUUGGCACCUUAAUUCUUACUCGGCCCACCCUUGUAGGUUAUCCAUGAAGUUGAAUAGUAGAUCCUCUUUAGUCAUGUUAGGAAUCUCAAGCAUAAGCGAAGAGAAUUCCUUGGCAUAGUCGCGUAUCGAACCUGUGUGCUUGAGACACCUCAUGUUUUUCCUAGUCAAGUAAGCCACGACCUUGGGGUAGAAUUGCCUCUUGAUCUCCCUCUUAAAGUCCUCCCACGUCUCUAUGGUGCAAAUGUCUUUUUCCAUAUCGGCGAACCUCCGACUCUACCAUAGAGUAGCUGUGUUAGUAAGGUAGGGGGGUUACAGUCCUUACCUUAGUCGCCUCAUCAGAUAGUGCGAUGGCCUCGAAGUAUCGCUCCAUAUGCCAUAAGAAGUUGUCCAACUCCUUGACAUCCCGCUUGCCACUAAACCCUUGUGGCUUCGGCACCUCCACCCUAGAUGCCUCUUGGGUGGGCAUGACCCAUGCCGACACAACAGUCUUGUAGAUGGCCAACUCCUACCUAACCUCCUGGUCUUGGGACUCCAUUCGAGUGGCCAAAGCCUCCAUCCUUGACUCUAUACUAGCAAGCAUGCUCAAGACAUUUUCUUGGAAGGACACAAACUCCUCGUGCGACACUGUCUAAACCUAUGAGACUAGCAUCUCCUCACGAAGGUCUUGGAUCUGUUCCCUAAGAUCUUUCAUACCCUUCUCCAUGCCUUGCUCAAUCAAGUCCAACCCCUCCCGAGUGUCUGCCAUGGCUAGCUCCACCUUAGCUAACCUUGCCUCCAUGUUAGCAACGACAUCAUGAGAUUUAUCCUUCCUACCCCUGCCCCGUGCAGUAGGCUCGGUCUCCCUCCCACGGGUUUGUUCACUAGUCUCAUCCACGUUGGAGCCCGACAUGCUUCCUUUACUAUGCCCACUUCAUAGCUACGCUUUGAUACCACUUGUCACGGACUUAAUCUUUUCCUAAGCUCGUGUGGCACUUAGACAAGUCAAGACACUUUAUCUUGCUAAGUCAGCCUUACUCCCAAUGCUUAGCUUGCUAGGCUAAGAUGCUCACGACUCGGAACCUAUUUAUAGGCACCAAUGGAACUCUCUGGAACCUUGCAAGGUUCCUUAAAACUAAAGAAUAAUCUAGAAAUUCCUACACUAGUCUUAUGUACAAGGGUAUGUACAAGAUGACUUUGAAGUAUUCUAGAACACCCUACACAAUCCCAAUUCUCUCUUAGCCAAGUGUAGAGAUGUGUGGGCAUCUCUAGCCCUCUCCAAAAGCUUCCAUACUCUUCCACUUUGUAGCCAAGUGUAGUGUCUCCAAGGGUCUUUAGAAGCUUCCCACCUCCUAUAUAAGCCUAUGGGAAGGGUCAUUUGAAACAUCUUGUGACACUAAGCUCAACUUAUGUUGGGCCUAAGUCCAAGCCUAAUAGCAUGUUUUAUAAAACUUAAUAUUUAAUACUUAUUACUUAAUGACUUAUGUUGACUUUAAGUUAAAUUGUUUGAUAAAAUUAUUUUAAGUUAUUAAAUUAACAUAUUUACCCCAUUGGUUGUAAUUAAUAUUUAUUAUUAAAAUUUUAACUAAUAUUUAUUUUUAUUAAUUUUAAGUAAUAAAUUUUUUUAUUAAACAUCCAUACUUGAAAGUAUUGUAGAUUUAUGUAAUAACUUUAAAAUAUUUAUUAGAAAAAAUGUGUCAUGGAUUUGGUUGUUAAAUAUAUUUUCAUUAGAUAUGAGCAAAUAAGACAAUAAAAAUUUAGGAUUAAGAAUAAGUUAACUAUUUUAACUUAAUAUUUAAAUUUAUUUUUAAUUUUAGGUUGUGAUAUGAAGUUGUAUUUAAAAGACAUGUUUAAUCUACUUAAUAACUUAAAUUAAAUUAUUAUGUCACUUUAAGGCAUUAAGUUAAAUUACCAAUUAAACAUCCUAUAAGACCAAAAUAAGACUCUAAUCAAAUAUAUAUAUAUAUAUAUAUAUAUAUAUAUAUAGAGAGAGAGAGAGAGAGAGAGAGAGAGAUUAUCAUUUAUAUUUGAUUACUAUAUAUACAAUAAAAAAUCAAUUUAGUUAUAAUUUUGAGAAAUUCAUGCAUAGAUUAAGGUGAUGUUUGGUAAAACUUAAUACCUAUUACUUAAUCAUUUAAGUUGACUUUAACUUAAAUUAUACUUAAAUUGUUAACUUAAAACUUAUUAUUUAAGUUUUACUUUAAGUAUUAAGGUUAUUUGAUCAAAUUAACUUAAAACUUAUUCUAAAUUAUAAAAUUGACAUAUUUGUACUCAUAAAUUAAAACUAGGGCAAAAAAGAUCGAAUAAUAGCGGAUGUUGUAGAGUAGCAAAAGAGAUGGUCUAGUUAAUUAGGAUAAAUAAGAGUAAAAAAGCAAAAUAAAUAUACGAACUUAAUUAUUUUUACUUAUUACUUAAAGUUAUUUUUAACUUUAUAUCACACCAUUAAAUUAUUUUACUAAUAAAUAAGAGCAAAAAAGCAAAAUAAAGAUAUGAACUUAAGAAUAAGUUAAUUAUUUUUACUUAUUAUCUAAAACUGUUUUUUACUUUAUGUCACAUUAUUAAAUUAUUUUUCCAAAUAUAAUUAAUGUAGUUAAUGAAUUAAAUUAAGUUAUCAAGUUAUUUUAAGUUAUUAAAUUGAUUUAUGAAACACACACUAAAUAAAAAACUUAAAUUUAUUUAUUUAUUUUUUUGUUGUCUCUCAUGAAUAAUUAAAAGAAAAGAAAAAGUAAAAUAUCACAUUUCCCAAAAUAAAGAAAUAAACAUACACUCCAAUAUUUUUCUUUUCACUUCAAUAGGCCCUCAAUAUAUCUUAAUCAUAUUGUCCAUUGUCUACUCUCUUCAACCCUUUUGGGAUAAUAUGUGAUGUCGGACAAUUACAUGAGUUGGGUUUUCACCGGGCAAUCAACUAUUUUAUAAUGGCAAUAGACCUCUGUCUUAAUUGAGGACAAAGCCUUGCACUUGGGAUCUUUUCCAAGGGAUCCUUCUAAGAAUCCAAUGAUUUCUAAACCAUUAACUUUUAUUAUAAGGAUAACCCAGUUCAUGACAAUGGGAUAUGGGCUACUUGGAUGUCUAUUUUUUUUCCUAAUUUCCACAUGCAAACUGACAAAUAGAAUGUGAACAAAAUAAGGAUAACCCAGUCCACGACAAUGGGAUAUGGACCACAUGGAUGUCUAUUUUUUCCUAAUUUCCACAUGCAAACUGACAAAUAGAAUGUGAACAAAAUAAGGACAGCAUGGUAAUAAUGAUUGAAGAAUAACAAAUUUAGUAUUCGAUGGAAUAUAUUUUCUUUUUUUUUAAAAAAAUACAAUAAUUUCUAUGUAAAAUAUAAUAAUUUUUUUAUUUAUAAAAAGGUUUAAAUUGAAAAUGUAAUGAUUUUUAAAAAUUAAUUUAAAAAAGUGAAGUGUUAAAAGCUUUUUACUACUUUAAAUUUUGAAAAAAAUCAAGGAUAUAAAAGUUAAUAUUUUUUUAUUAGAGUUUUUAUUUUUUAAAAUAAAAAAUAAAAAAUUAUAUUUAAAGAAAGCUUUGCUUUAUAAAUUAUUAUAAAAAGCCUCAUUUUUUAAAUAAUAAGAUCAUCUGGUCAUUCCAAAGUGUAUAUGGAUUGUACGUUCUUGAUGGUUAUUCUUCUUGGAAGAUAUCAUCCAUACAAACCACUGCCAAUUUUUACAAUGGCUUCGAGUGAUAAAUGACAAAUACAAGAAUGACGAAUAAAACUAUGUUAUAUAUAUAUAUAUUAUUAUCAAAAUUUUGUUUUGUCAUUGCCAGCAUUUAUCUGCUGGUGGUAGAAACUAAGUAUACAAGUGCCUCUUUUCUUUGUCACGGCUUAAAAAUUUUUAAAAAUAUUUAAUUUUUUUUCGAAAACAUUUUUUUAAGUUAAAAACCUUUUCUAGAAUUACUAUUAAAUGACUCUUAAAGUCCAUUUAGUAAUGAUUUAAACAUUUGUAAUUAAAAAAUAAAAAUUUUCAAAUGUUAAAGGUAAUAAAAAUACUUUUUAAAAUUACUACUAAACGUAUUUUUGGAGUCUGUUUAACAGUAAUUUUAAAAAGUUUUUUUAUUUUAAAAAACAUUUUUGAAAAGAAAUUAAGUAUUUGAGAAAAUUUAGGAAACAAUUUUAAAAAUCUAAAAAAUUACUUAUAUUUCUAAUUUUAUAUUUACGGUUUCAAGAGAGCCUUAGGCAUCGUUUGUAGUAACCAAUGACAUAAGCAAAGAUGGUGGUGAUACUACGAAAUUUUUGGAAUACUGAGAAGUUGAAAAGCUAAUAUUGAUAGAGACCAUUUAAGACAUAGUGUACAGGCUUUGAAAUGAUAACACGUGUUCCUAUCGUGAGGCAAUAAAAAAGUGGUGUAUAUUUGCCGGCCAUUCCUCGCCAGUGCAUAGGAUAAGAAGUGAUGGGGCUACUCGUAUAAAUUGGUUCUCUCAACUAUGAAGUAAUUCAGAGGUCGCUCCUUGAAGUCUCUUCCAAAGCGGAAAUGAAGCUUAGCUCAGUUGCAAUCUCCUUUGUUUUUAUUACUCUCUUGAUAUAUGCAUGGAGGUUAUUGAAUUGGGUGUGGUUGAGACCAAAGAAGCUAGAGAGAUGCCUCAGGCAGCAAGGUCUGACUGGGAAUUCCUACAGCUGCUUGUAUGGGGACUUUAAAGAGAUGUCGAGAAUGAUUAACGAAGCAAAUUCCAGACCCAUCAGCUUCUCUGAUGAUAUUGUGCAGCGAGUUCUACCAUUUCACGAUCAUUCCAUCCAGAAAUAUGGUAUGAAAAUGAGCUACUCUUUAUCAUUGCACUAAAAUAUAUUUAUUUGUGGAAUUUUCCCCAAGGGAUUGUUGGUCUUUGGUUUUUUUUUUAUUAGUUAUUUUUCCUAUCCAUUUUUUUUCUUCUCUAAGAAGUUAUAGCCCAAUGGAAUUUCAAUGGUAUUUCAAAUUUCUUUUUUCUACGUCGGAGUGUAAUUUUUAAGGUUUAUUUGAUUAAAAAGAAUAAAAUAAUCCCAAGUUUAGAAAAAUAUCGUUAUGAUAAAAAAAAAAACUCAUUUUCUAAAAAUAAAAAUAAAAAUACUUAUUGUUUUUCUUUUCAACCUAAAAAAUGACCUUUUUUUUUUAAUAAAAUCAUACCCCAAAAAAAUGUGUUUUCAUAUGGUAAAAAAAAAAAAUUACAAAAUAGGAACUCAAAUUUAUAAAAUACAAAUUUCAAACAACUAUCUAAAAAUAAUUACCAUUUUAUGAACUUUUUUAUCUAAUGUGCUACCUUUGAUCAUCCUUAGUACUAUCUUUGAUAGGUAUAGAGGAUUCCUAUUUUAUAAUCAUUUUUGCCUGAGUGUGUAAAAACUCAUUUGUUCGAAUAUACUUAUUGUUUUUCUUAUAAAAAUAACAAUUUUUUUUUUAAAAAAAUGUACAAAUAAAUUAUCAAAAUAUUAAGAGAUGUUUAUAUAAAAAAUGAACUAAUUUUUAAGUUGAAAUAUGAGAGGUGUUAGAUUUACAAAUUUAGGAUUAUUUUAUCCCUUUUAAUUGUGUAAUUCAAUUUUUUUAUAAGCUAUAUGUAGGUAUAUAUAGAUGUCAACUUUGAUAAAUUGUUUAAUCAUUGGGAAAUGUGAAUAGUCUUUAAAUUUUUAUGCUAAUUGUUUCUCAUCUUUUCAAAUUUUGCAUGAACUUCUGACUUUUGAUAAUUAAUCACAUCAGUAUACUUUUCUUUAGAUAUUUGAGCUUCUUCAAUCAGAGAGCCUUGCAUUUGACUCCUUGAGUAUUCAGGUCCUUUAGAUCCUUUCUGACAUUUAUCCAACAAUGGGCAUUAAAAAUGCAGGUAAAAAUAGUUUUACAUGGUUGGGCCCAAAACCAGUGGUAAACAUUAUGGAGCCUGAGCUGAUAAGGGAUGUUUUCUUAAAGCACAAUGCCUUCCAAAAAGUACCGCCACACCCUCUCGGCAAGCUGCUGGCCACUGGUGUUGUUGCAUUGGAAGGUGAACAAUGGACUAAACGUAGAAAGAUCAUAAACCCAGCUUUCCAUCUAGAGAAGUUGAAGGUAGUUUUAAACUUUUGAGGCACUAUUUUUUUGGUUAUGCAGCCAGACCCCAACUUGUUGCCUGGUUUCUCUGCAUAGCCCUCUUCUUAUAGGAAAGAAAAUAAAUUUCUGAAUGUUCCAUAAUUUAGUAGACAUAUUCACAAUUUUACUGCCUCUUGUAAUCUUUUUUCUUAUGCAUGAUAAAUUUUUUCUAAAUUUAUUAUUUGUGUUUGAAUUUGUAUAGCACAUGGUAUCGGCAUUCCAAUUGAGUUGUAGUGAUAUGGUCAAUAAAUGGGAGAAGAAGCUCUCCCUGGACGGCUCAUGUGAAUUGGACGUUUGGCCCUAUCUUGAAAAUUUGGCGGGAGAUGUGAUUUCUAGAACUGCAUUUGGUAGUAGCUAUGAGGAAGGAAGAAGGAUAUUCCAACUUCAGAGAGAGCAAGCACAUCUUGCAAUCCAGGUUACUCGGUCAAUCUAUGUUCCCGGAUGGAGGUAGGCAUAAAAUAUUUCAAGGGAUUAAUCUGAACCUCAGUACUAAUACCCAAAUGCUAUAACUUUCACAGUAUCAUCAACAACAACAGUAAUAAUAAAAAUAAAAAUAAAAAAGAAGAAGAAGGAGGGUUUGAUCCAGCAUGGGACAAAAGCAAGAAUAAAAUUAAUAACUGUUAUAGCAUUUAAGAACUGUAUGAUGUUUCAUUUAUUUUGUUAAUAUGGCUCUCGACUAAUUUUUGUUUUCCUUUAAGAGCUUUCUUUUUGUACAAAUUAAAGAAUAUAGCUGUGUCUUCAAAACAAAAAUCAAGUUCAAGUAUCCCCUUUUCUUUUAUUGGCAGAACAUCUUAGCAAGAUGCAUGGUGAAAUACUACUAUAAAAUAUAUGUAGACUCAAUGAAGUCAUGGAUGAAAAUGCAUUAGUUGUUUCCUGUAUUUCAUUGAUCUUCAUUUACUUGGAUUACUUCCAAGCAGGUUUUUCCCAACAAAGACAAACAGGAGAAUGAGGCAAAUUAGCAAUGAAGUCAAUGCAUUGUUGAAGGGUAUCAUUGAGAAAAGAGAGAAGGCAAUGAAAGUUGGCGAAACUGCUAAUCAUGAUUUAUUAGGUCUACUAAUGGAAUCCAACUACAGAGAUAUGCAAGAAAAUGAUGAGAGGAAGAAUGUUGGAAUGAGCAUCAAAGAUGUCAUUGAGGAGUGUAAGCUAUUCUACCUUGCUGGCCAAGAGACUACCUCGGUUUUACUUCUGUGGACGAUGGUUCUAUUAAGCAAGCAUUCAAACUGGCAAACUCGCGCAAGGGAAGAGGUUUUACGGGUUUUUGGUAAUAAAAAACCAGAUGGUGAUGGCUUAAAUCACCUCAAAAUUGUGAGUAUCAAUCCAAAAUAUAUUCAAUUUAGUAACUCUUCUUGAAAAUAAUAUAUUACUCUUUUCUUUUUUUUUUCUUUUUUUUUCAAUCUUGAGGCAAAAUAUGUUUUGUUUCUGUAUCCUUUUUACUUUAAUUGAAAACUAUAUGCAGAUACUUGGUAUCCCCAAUGGAAUUUUUCUUUCCUUAUCUACGCGCACAAUGCAUCAGCACUGGCCAAUUGACUUUACUGAAGAAGGGGCGGACUAUUCUUUUCUUUGCGUGAAUUUUUUAUUUGCUUGUUAGGUUGUUUUGAGUGUGGUGAAAACUUUAUGCAAAUACUUAGUAUCAAUCAUUUACAAUACUUUAUGAUAAUCUUGAUAUUUCCUCUUGCCAAGCGUGUUUUCUUGAAAUUGGAACUCUGGGCUAUAAUAAAUUUUCCGGGGGUUCUUAGUUUGUAUUCACCAGUUACUGUAUGGCCCUAUAUGUACAUGAAAGUAUGUCAUGCAAAAAUUUAAACAAUCUCUCUCAUUACUAUAUUCGAAAAGUUCUUUCAUGGUUUGAUGUAUGCUUCUUAGUAAUCAUUUAGUGUAUUUCAGUAAUGAAUUUUCAUGAUAAAAAUAUUUUCUAUAUUGCAGGUUACUAUGAUUUUUCAUGAGGUCCUUAGGUUAUAUCCACCAGUGUCCAUGCUUCUUCGAACUGUUUUUGCCGACAGCCAAGUGGGAGGAUUGUAUUUACCAGAUGGAGUGCAGAUUGCUUUGCCAAUCCUCCUACUUCACCACGAUCAUGAAAUUUGGGGAGAGGAUGCAAAGGAAUUCAACCCGGGGAGAUUUUCAGAAGGAGUUUCUAAGGCAGCAAAGACCCAAGUUUCAUUUUUUCCAUUUGGUUAUGGUCCUCGGAUAUGCGUUGGACAAAAUUUUGCAAUGAUGGAAGCAAAAAUGGCUUUGGCAAUGAUCUUACAACGUUUCUCAUUUGAACUUUCCCCAUCCUAUGCUCAUGCACCUAUUAGUCUUAUAACUAUGCAACCCCAGUAUGGUGCACACCUGAUUUUACAUGGACUUUAGCAUCAGAGUUCUUGUUAUCAGUGAGAGUUAGCAAGACCUUUAAACCUAGAUAGUGUUGAAUUUAAAAUGCCCACACUUCCUUUCACUUGAAAUGAGUGCUCUUUAAAGCCAUUAUAUUAAUAAAAUUCUCUUUUGUAUGUUUGUAAGAGAUCAUAUAUAAAAAUGAUCACUUUACAAGGAGAUGCAUUUUUCUCUAUUCUUGUCCCCCCAAAAUGAAAAGAAAAGAAGAACUGCUGACAAUCUAUAUUUGGAGAAUGGACAUACAUUGAAAUUAUUUCUGAUGGGUGACCAUGCAUGUUGUGAUAUCUACAAGGAAACUACCAUUCCAAUAAUAGGAGAAAUAUUCUCAUUUGUUCUUAUCGUUAUAGAGUGGUGUCUCAUUCACUAUAAUUGGGUAGUAGACUCUUACGGAAUUUUAUGGCUAGGUAUCUGUAAAGAAGUUCGUACUAAAUUGGGUAGCAAGAUAAUACAAUUUUGGAGUUACUACCUCUAAGAAGUUGUCUGCGUACACUUGAUUCCAAUCCAUGUAAUGACAAAUUAUAAACCUCAGGGGCCCGGUCCACCCCCUAUUUUUAUUGGAUCUACAAUUUUGCCAUUCUCCAAGAGUUUUAGACAACUUCACAAUGUUCCACAACCUUAACGAACCUUUUGGAUGAGCUUGAUGUGGUUGCAGUAGCUUUACAUGAUUGCUAUAAUCCCAUAUUGGAAGCUUAAGAAAGAGGAACCUCUCCUAGUACCUAUAAAAAGAGGACCUUGUAAUUUAUUGUUGAUAAGAGAUCGUAUAGAGAAGUUUCUUAUUGUUAUUUCACUUGAUUUCUUCAAGUGUAGUAUUCUUAUUUUCUUCUAGUUUCACUUCUGCAGCAAGCCAAACUCACUGGGAUGCUCAGAGUUUUUAGGUGCUCAAACACUACAUGGAUUUUUAGGAGAGAUCUUGGUCUACCAAAAGUGGUGGACUUGUUAGAAAGCACUAGCAAAAUAAAAAUAAAAAUAGAAAGAAAGAAAGAAAAGCGAAGAAAUCAUUGAUAAUAAAAUAUUCACAACUGAUCUUGACAUGUGGAUAAAUGAUUUCAUAAUCAAGAAGUAUUCACAAUUGCAAAACCAUCCACAAGCUUACAUGCAUGCCCUUUUAGCUUUGUGCUAUAUAUUUAGAAUUUUGGGAGAAGCAAAGAAAGAAAAAUGAAGAAUAUUUUUUAACAAUUGAAUUUAAAAUCAUGAUGCACUUUCAUCUAUUUAUAGCUAGGCAUAACAAUAAAUUAUAACAUUUUAUAUAUUUUAACUUUACAAAGUCUACCAAUGACUUUACACCUAUUCUAACAUUACAAUUUAUUUGUGAAUUUAUAAUGUAACUUCACAAUUAAUUUGUAACUUUAGAACUUUUGUUUCUAACUUCAUAAUCGAUUAUAAAUUUACAACUUUUGCAACUUCACAAGUUAUUGGUGUCUAUCUACUACCUUUUGUAACUUUAUAAUUCAUUGUACAUUACAAUAUUUUAAUUUAUAAAGUAAAUGUCUAUGAUUAAUUAACUUAUUUGUAUGUUAUGAACCCUUUAUAUUUCAAAGUUAAUUGUCUCUUAUCAAUAAGUUAAGGUGAGGACAUAUGGUAUGGGACCUUUGUGGGAUCUUUAAUUACAUCCUUAGUAAGUUUGUUAUGUUUGUUCCAAAUAAAUUUAUUAAUUAUAAUUAUAUUUAAAACAUAUUAUAAUUUCACCCCAAGAAUAGGAGAUAUAUAAGUCAACUUCCCACUUAUAUAUAUACAUAUUAAUCCUUCCAUUAAUUAAUAUUCAUAACAAGUUUAUUAGGUUGAACCAAGAUGACUGUCAUUACCCAAAUUACAAGUGCAUCACCUCUUAUAAUUGGAUCUUUAAGAAAAACAAUUUAAAAAUUCCUAAUAAACAAUAUACUAUAUUAUAGAUAUGUACACUUGAUAGAAUACUUAUUCUAAAUUGACCAACUGAUAUUUUAAUAUAUUUUGUAAGUGACACAAUAUUGAAUAUUCUCUCAUAAUAUAGUCUAUUAUUAGACAUCAACAACUAACAACAUCAAAGCUAUAUUUACAUAACUUGAUGACAUCCUUAAGCCAAAGGACUUUAUGCAACACUAAACAAAACAAGUUUUUGUUGGAAUAUCUAGAUUACUCCAUUCCAAGCAUCGUCUCAUGGAGUGCAUACUACUACAAUCCUAAGGAUACUAGAUUUAAUGCAAUGGAAGCAACAAAAACAAAAAUGUUAGAUUUAGGUGCUCCAGAAAACAAUACUUAUGAUUUGAACAGUCCUAAAUCAACUCUAGUUGGUCAAUAGUAUGAUUUAGAUCUUGAAAACAUUGCAAUUUUUUUUCUAAUGGCUCUCUCCUAAACCUUACAUGUGAGAAUGGUGGAAUCCUUUCUAUGGAGAUGAAGGCUAAGGCUCUAUCUUGUUUAAAGGUUGAAUAAUUGAAGUUAUAAGCCUUAAACCCUCAAUAGGAUUUAUAUAGUCUUUGUCUAUGGGCUUAAGUGGCUUGUGCCCAUCUUGGGUUUAGGUCGGUUAAUCUAGCCUAUUGGUUCCUAAUUAAUUAAUUAGUCAUAUUGGGAUACAAUUAUGCAACCUUGUGUAUUUAUCAAAAUACCCUUAUACACACAUAUGAACAAAAAACACCCUAAUAUCCUUCAAAUAAUUAAUGUGCCACCAAGGAAUAUGAACUUGAGUAGGGACUAUAAGGACCUAUAGGAAAAUAAUGGCCUUUUCAUAAUCUAAUUAUGAAGUUAACUCAACACUGUCAUGCUUCCUUGCACCCUUCUAUACACAUAAGGUUCAUUCUUGUUUUGACCAAAAUCAAGGGUCUUAAUUUCAUGUUCUAAACAUUUGUUCCAUGAGCAAGAAGCUUGAAUUAAUCCAAAAAUAGACUUAUGCAAUUUGCAUACUAGAUGCUCUCUGCCCUUUGCUAUGAAAACAUCUGGUUGUAUCAUAUAAAUGCUCUCAUCAAGGUAGUCAUUUAAGAAUAUUGUCUUGACAUCCAUAUGACAUAUCUCAUAAUUGAGAUAAACUGCAAUGUAUAUGAGUACUUCGAUGGAUUUGAGUAUGGCUACCAUAGAAAAAGUUUCCCAUAGUCAAAACUAGGUUUCAAACUAUAAACCUUUAGCUAUAAGCUUAGCCACAAAAGUCUCAAUUGUUAGGAUAAAGCCUCAAAAGCAUGAGAAGAUGUCAUAAAAAAAGUUUCCAUUUCUAUCAUUGAUUGCAUUAAUUUUUACCCGAGCAUUCAAAGCUCGUAUGAUUACUAGUCAAAAAGUGUUAUUUCAUAGCUUGUAAUUAACUCUUUUAAACACUUUUGAGUAGUAGUUAUCACCUUUUAACCCAAUUAACAUAUUAAGGACCCUUGCAAUCAAUUCUAAUCAAAUUGUGUUAAGUUUUGGUGUUUUGAUAGCCUUUUGAUCACCAAAGCAAUCCAAGAUUGAGGAGAGUUCUUUAGGAAUCCAUGGCAAAAGAUGUCCGGACAGGGUGUCCGGACACACCAUUAGAGAGCGGCAGAACAUGGGCUGUAGCAAGGCUUGCUCACUUUAGUCAAUGUUUUCCAUCCGGACAACAUAUCCGGAUAGGAUAUGCUGUCAUCCGGGAGAGGGGUCCCUAUACCUUGCACACGCAGACGGUCCCCCUUGCGCAGCAUAGCUCAGUCCACCCGGGGAGGAAUUCCGUCCGUCGACAUUUCACAUUCGGAAUUCCAUGCGCCAACAUUUUACAUCCGGAUAUCUCACAGCCGGAUGGGAGAGGAGGACGUUUCAACUUCUCCGGUCAGACAUAUCCAGAUCCUCUGAUAGCGUUCACCCGGAGAGCAUCUGCGGUCGACAUUUCAGAUUACCCGGAUUUUGCACAAUGUUGCAGUGUUCUCCUGAAGCUUCCCGAUAUUUGCCACCGACUAAGAUUUUUUCUCUUAAGAUAUUUUGUGUAAAUUUCUAUUUUCUCCUUGUAAUCAGUCAAAGAUAUUAUUGGGAUAUUUCUUAGAAAAUAACUUCUCUAUAUAUAUCUUUGAACCAUUGUAAAGAGGAGAGAUAUUAUAUAUAUAUAUAUGAAACCGAUGAACAGAGCACUUGCUCUGUUUUUGUUCUUCAUAUUUUUGUUUUCUUGUUAGUUUUCUUUCUAGCCAAUCAAACUCUGAGGAUUUUUCCUUAGAGGAUGAGAGGCUAGGCUCUUUGUCUCUUGGAGUGAAGAAAGCCGGGUAAGUUUCCUCAUGCAUAAAUUGGAAGUUUUGUUGUUUUAGUUUUUAAUGAAGAGAAAGUGUGAUCCGUUAAUGGUUUUUAUCUUUUUAGUUAACUUAAAACGCCUUUAACUCACCUAGGCCAACACUUGAUAAGGCAAGUGAUCUCCAUCCAUUGAGAUGCACUUGUUUAUCUCUUGCGAGCCUUUGGGAGGUGGUUUAGAGGUAGGAUUUUCUAGAAUUGCCAACACUUGGUAAGCUUUUGGACUCUAAGGAGACAUCCAUUAGUUAUCUCUUGCGAGCUUGAGAAGGGAAGUCCAAAGUUAAAGAUCACCUUGAAUGGCAAAUGCUAGGUGAGAGGCAUGAGCCAUUGAAAGUUGCAUCAGUGAGAGGGAUUUAGUGUUUGAACCCAUUAAAGGGAAGCAUCUGUACCACACCGGUUAGAGAAUUAACUAUAUGUUAAUUCUCUAAUGCGAGGAAAAGAAACAAGUGACCGGAACUCUCCUUUUUGUAUGAGGAACCUGAGCCUAGUGAUCUAAACUCCAAGAAACACUUUUCUUUGUAGUUAAAAUUAGUUACUAUUUUUUGUUAGCUUAAAACCAAACCUUUUUCAUUCAAACAUCUUUAUGUUUUCUUUUAAAGCUGACUUUGAAAGGAAAAUGCACCAAUUCAUCUUUGAAAUAAUAUCAAUUGUGGAGUGAAAACCCAUCCCAGUGAACGACCCUAGAGCCACUAUGCUAUGCUAGCUAAGGCUAUCCUAGUAUGAUUCAUUCUCAAUUGGUGUCUCAGCUGAUUCAUGUCCAACUAGUGCUCCUUGACUGAGGAAGUGAUCAAUAAAAUUUAUAACCUAUAUCACCAUGCAUUAGGAUAGCUUUAGCUAAUAUAGCAUAGUGACUCUAGGAUCGUUCACUGGGAAGGGUUUUCAACUCACAACUGAUACCAAUUCAAAGCUGAGUUGGUGCUUUUUCAUUUCAAGGUUAGCUUUAAAAGAAAACAUAAAGAUGUUUGAGUGAAAAGGGUUUGGUCUUAAACUAACCAAAAAGAAAGUAAUGGAAAUUACUUAUGAAGAAAAACAUUCCUUGGAGGUUUAGGUUCACAGGGGAGGUUCCUUAUGCAAAAACAAAGCCCCGGUCAUUUGGUUCAUUUCCUCGCAUUAGAGAAUUAACAUAUAGUCAAUUCUCUAACCGGUGCUAUACAGAUAUAUCCUUUAAAUGGAUUUUAGCUCUAAUUCCCUCUCAUUGAUGCAACUUGCAAUGGCUCGUGCCUCUCACCUAGCAUUUGCCAUUCAAGGUGAUCAUUAACUUUGGACUUCCCUUCUUAAGCUCGCAAGAGAGAACUAAUGGAUGUCUCCUUGGAGUCCAAAAGCUUACCAAGUGUUGGCAAUUCUAGAAAAUCCUACCUUCAAGUCACUUCCCAAAAGCUCGCAAGAGAUAAACAAGUGCAUCUCCAUGAACGGAGAUCACUUGCUUUACCAAGUGUUGGCUCAAGUGAAUUGAAAGUGUUUUAAGCUAACUAAAAACAUAGAAAUCAUUAAAGGAUCACACUUUCUCUUCAUUAAUGAUUGAAACCACAAAGCUACUAAUUCUUGCACUUGGAACCUUUCCCGGCAACCUUAACUCCAAGGAACUAAAAGUCUAGCCACUCAUUCUCUAAGGAAACUUCCUCAGAGCUUGUUUGGCUAGUAAGAAAACUAACGAGAAAACAAUUAUAUGAAGGAAAAACAGAGCAAGUGCUCUGUGAAAUAUAUUUCUUUCUUCCGUCGAUUACAUAAUAGAUUGUAAAGAAAAUUACAAACUAUAUAUCAGGUUAUUCACCCUUUGUUCUUACUUAAAGACUAAGGAAUCCUAUGAUAGGUGGGUUACAAGGAGACUUUGGGGAUUUAGAAAACAAAUAUCUAAAGCAAAAUAUCUCAAGAUGUCGGUCGGAAAUAUCAAGAAGCUUCAAGAGAACACCGCGGCACUGUAUACUGAGAGAAAAACUCUCUUAGUAAGCGCUAUCAGAGGAUCCGGAUAAGUCUGACCGGAGAAGUUGAAACGUCCUCCUUUCUCAUCCGGCUGUGAGAUAUCCGGAUGUAAAAUGUCGGCGCACGGAAUUCCGGAUGUGAAAUGUCNNNNNNNNNNNNNNNNNNNNNNNNNNNNNNNNNNNNNNNNNNNNNNNNNNNNNNNNNNNNNNNNNNNNNNNNNNNNNNNNNNNNNNNNNNNNNNNNNNNNAAAGCUGAGUUGGUGCUUUUUCAUUUCAAGGUUAGCUUUAAAAGAAAACAUAAAGAUGUUUGAGUGAAAAGGGUUUGGUCUUAAACUAACCAAAAAGAAAGUAAUGGAAAUUACUUAUGAAGAAAAACAUUCCUUGGAGGUUUAGGUUCACAGGGGAGGUUCCUUAUGCAAAAACAAAGCCCCGGUCAUUUGGUUCAUUUCCUCGCAUUAGAGAAUUAACAUAUAGUCAAUUCUCUAACCGGUGCUAUACAGAUAUAUCCUUUAAAUGGAUUUUAGCUCUAAUUCCCUCUCAUUGAUGCAACUUGCAAUGGCUCGUGCCUCUCACCUAGCAUUUGCCAUUCAAGGUGAUCUUUAACUUUGGACUUCCCUUCUUAAGCUCGCAAGAGAUAACUAAUGGAUGUCUCCUUGGAGUCCAAAAGCUUACCAAGUGUUGGCAAUUCUAGAAAAUCCUACCUUCAAGUCACUUCCCAAAAGCUCGCAAGAGAUAAACAAGUGCAUCUCCAUGAACGGAGAUCACUUGCUUUACCAAGUGUUGGCUCAAGUGAAUUGAAAGUGUUUUAAGCUAACUAAAAACAUAGAAAUCAUUAAAGGAUCACACUUUCUCUUCAUUAAUGAUUGAAACCACAAAGCUACUAAUUCUUGCACUUGGAACCUUUCCCGGCAACCUUAACUCCAAGGAACUAAAAGUCUAGCCACUCAUUCUCUAAGGAAACUUCCUCAGAGCUUGUUUGGCUAGUAAGAAAACUAACGAGAAAACAAUUAUAUGAAGGAAAAACAGAGCAAGUGCUCUGUGAAAUAUAUUUCUUUCUUCCGUCGAUUACAUAAUAGAUUGUAAAGAAAAUUACAAACUAUAUAUCAGGUUAUUCACCCUUUGUUCUUACUUAAAGACUAAGGAAUCCUAUGAUAGGUGGGUUACAAGGAGACUUUGGGGAUUUAGAAAACAAAUAUCUAAAGCAAAAUAUCUCAAGAUGUCGGUCGGAAAUAUCAAGAAGCUUCAAGAGAACACCGCGGCACUGUAUACUGAGAGAAAAACUCUCUUAGUAAGCGCUAUCAGAGGAUCCGGAUAAGUCUGACCGGAGAAGUUGAAACGUCCUCCUUUCUCAUCCGGCUGUGAGAUAUCCGGAUGUAAAAUGUCGGCGCACGGAAUUCCGGAUGUGAAAUGUCGGAGCACGGAUUUCCAGAUGUGAAAUGUCGGCGCACGAAAUUCCUCCCGUGUUGGACUGAGCUAUGUUGCGCAAGGGGGACCGUCUGCGUGUGCAAGGUGUAGGGACUCCUUUCCCGGAUGACACAGAGUGCGCAAGGCUAUCCGGAUCAACUCCAUCUGGAUUCCCCAAGAAGACAUGUGGUGCGCUCCCCUAUCCGGACUCCCUCAGGGAGAAGCACACGACACUCAUGAAUAUCACACCCAGACGAUAGCAUAUCCUAUCCGGAUAUGUUGUCCGGAUGGAAAACAUUGACUAAAGUGAGCAUGCCUUGCUACAGCCCAUGUUCCGCCGCCCUCCGAUGGUGUGUCCGAACGCCCUAUCUGGACAUCUUUGCCAUGGAUUCCAAAGAACUCUCCUCAAUCUCUGAUUGCUUUGGUGAUCAAAAAGCUAUCAAAACACCAAAACUUAACACAAUUUGAUUAGAAUUGAUUGCAAGGGUCCUUAAUAUGUUAAUUGGGUUAAAAGGUGAUAACUACUACUCAAAAGUGUUUAAAAGAGUUUAUUUCAAGCUAUCAAAUAGCACUUUUUGAGUAGUAAUCAUAGUACAUGGUGUAAUAGGUUAUAAAUUUUGUUGAUUGCUCCCAUCUGAGGACUGAAAUCAAGACACCAGUUGGACACGAAUCAAAUGGCACCACUGUCAGGGACCAUUGAGAGGACACGAAUCAGCUGAGACACUAAUUGGGAAUGAAUCAAAUGGCGCCAUUGCCGGGGAUGGUGCCACUUUACAGUGAUAUCACCUUUCCAUAGUACUUGUGAUCUUCAUCACAAGUGUGGUGACUUUUCUUUUCUUUUUACUAACUCUUUUUAUUUGUUUUUGUUUUUUUUCUUUGUUCAUAUUUUAGUAUAUCUUUUAUUUAGUUUUUGGUUAAUAUUAAUAAUUUUCUUUUUUCUUUAGAUUUUUUUUUCUUUUAUUUUCUUUUGUUUUCUCUAUUUUUAAUUCACAAAUUGCUAGUUGUGCAUGUCAUAUUGAAUAUGAGAUAGCAGAGGAAGCCAUGAACUUCAUGAGUUAUGUGGCUGAAGUUUCAAGAGGAUGGGAUGAACCAAAUGCUCGAGAUAUGGGGAGAAUGACGUCUCAACCUAAUGCUAAGGGUGAGAUGUAUAUUUUGAAUGACGACAUACACAUGAAAGCAAAGAUUGCAGCUAUGGCAAGGAGAUUGGAAGAGCUAGAAAUGAAGAAGAUGCAAAAAGUGCAAGCCAUCUCUCAGACACCAUUGCAAGCUAUGCCUUGUGCCAUUUGUCUAUCUUAUGAGAACUUGGUGGAAGAGUGUCCUACCAUUCCAACGGUGAGAGAAAUGUUUGGUGAUUGCAACACCUAUAAUUCCAAUUGGAGGAAUCAUCCAAAUUUUUCAUGGAAGCCAAGAGCACCUCAGUACCAACAGCCGACUCAACCAUCUCAACCAUCCCAACAAGCUUCAAGUCUUGAACAAGAAAUAGUGAAUCUCAGCAAGGUUGUGGGAGAUUUUAUUAAAGAACAAAAAUCCAUCAACUCUCAACUCAGUCAAAGAAUUGACAGUGUAGAGAAUAGGAUGGAUGGGAUUCAAAAUGAUUUAUCUCAGAAGAUAGAUAAUCUCCAAUAUUCAAUCUCAAGGUUUGCCAACCUCAACAAAGUGCAAGAAAAAGGAAACUCUCCUUCUCAACCUCAUCAAAAUUCAAAGGGUAUCCAUGAAAUAGAGGCUAAGGAGAGAGAUAAAAAGGUUGAUCUGCCCACAUCCAAGCUAGAGCAUGAGGUAGAGAGUGAAACAGAGAAAGAAAAGAGGGAGGAAAUCAAAGGAAAGAGAGAGGGGAAAAGCAUAGAGAAAGAUGACUAUAUAGAUGAAGAACCACAGAGGAUAGUCAUCAAGGAAGAAAUAAAGAAACACAUGCCUCCACCUUUCCCCCAAGCUUUGUAUGGGAAAAACAUACAAACCAAGUCUCAAGUGAGAGACACAAACUUCAUAUGGGAUCCGGGCAAGCUAAAUCAGGAUCAAAUUUUUUGAUGGACUUAGUCUUUCUAAAGACUAGCUAGUCCAUACCUUUUUGUUUUACUUAUUACUUGUUUUAAUUUUGAUUUCAAUGCUUUAAUUCUAAUUUGUUUUGAUGUAAUAUAGGUUUUUGGAUGAUCAAAAUCAGAACGGAAAUGUUGCAUUUUGCUACUGUUGGACACAUUUUUGAAGGCCUUCAUGGAGCUCAAAUUAUGCAUACUAUAUCUCUUUUUUAAUCUUGGGAAGUCAGGAGUCCAUAGCUUCAAACGGUGCUCGAUUUGGAGUUGAAACGAAGAAGUUAUGGCCGUUUGAAGACGAUCGCGCAAAGCACCAACGGGAAUUUCGCAGCUGCAAAAUGGGCUACAAAAUUCCCAUUUUGUUGCAGGAAAGCCCUCUCACUGAGAUCACACACACAAAGCCUCUUAAUCCAUUUCUUACCUCCUUAAAACCAUCAGAGCCCAUAGCUCCAGUUGAGGAGACUACCAAAGCAGAGGCCAAAGUCCUGAUCCAACCCACUCAAGAGGCCACCACAGAUGCAUCAGCUCCACAAGACCUUACCAUUACUUGAUCAUCUCUUUACUUUUUGUCUUUACAUAUUAUAUUAAUAUAAAUAAUUCCAUAUUUUGAUGUCUUAUAUUCUGGGAUUGGAUGUAUUACUGAUGAUACAUCAUAUAUAGACAUCAUUUUUUGUUUAAACUUGGCAUUUGUCUAUUUCCUCUACUCACUAACUCUUUUGUUUUUUUUGAAACAUGUGGUUUCUCCUAUACGACUCAGACUCCAUGUCACUAAGGAGGUACCACUUCCUCCCUAUUUUUCAAUCGCUUUUGUCACAUUGAGGACAAUGUUCAACUUAGUUGGGGGGAGAGUUGAGGAAGGAAGUUUUUGUUAUUAAUGCUAAGUUAUUUUGGUAAUUUAGUUGCUUUUUGCUUAAUUUUAAAAUUUUUUAAGUUUUUAUUCUACUCUCCAUGGUUAUUAAGGAAAAAUUUUCAAAAUGAAAAGAGAGAAAUUGAAUUUUUGUCUUUUUCACUUGACUUAGAUUUUGUAUUAUGCUUACUAAAGUUGAUAAAUUGUUGAAACUUCUAUUGAAUUCAACCUUAGUUCUUCCACUUUAAACUAUUCACACAAUGUGCACAAUAGGUUCCGAUUAUAAGAUGAAAAACUAUUUCCCUCUUGACUUAGGAAAAUUUUAGACUUGGUACCUUUGACCUCAUUUUAAUAGUGUUGGGACACCUUAUAAAAGGCCAAUGAGCCUGUGAAAAAAAAAAAAGAAUAGAGAAAGAAAGAAAAAAAUGCUUGCUUGCCUUGAAACCCGAGCAAGGUCCGAGGGGUAUAUGGUGAAAAUCUUUAAAACCUGGUGCCCUAAGCCUUCAUUGGUUGGGAGUCACCGACCUCAAUGCUCGUUACAAGGGUGGAUAGGUGGAGUUUAACAUACUGUAGGUGCUUAGGUAUUAAAAUUCAUUCUCAAAAGUCCGGGUUAAAAUCCGAGGAGUUAGUGGUUGAAAGAUCCUUAAAACUUGAUGCCCUAAACCUUAAUUGGUUGGGAGUCAUCGAUGGACCCCCGUUACAUGGACAAUUUAGAAAAGAAUACCUUUAGCCUUGUACUCCUACAAGAAAAAAAUUGUGAAAUGAGAGGUGCGUUCUUAACCUAUUGGAGGUUGAUCAGUUUGCUAAGCUUUGAAAAAGAACUAGGUUUGGGGGAGAGAUUAGUUCAACAUACUUGUAAACUCCCAUUUGGGGCUCAUUCCUUUGCAUCUCUACAGGUUAUAAUUUUUUGCAAGUGGAGGGCUCUCAAGGAGCCACGUGCCCAUUCAUGGUUGGUUGCUGUGGAAUCAGCUUAGUGGAGUUGAUGGACGAAUGGGAAAGCAACACGUAUGAAAGGAUAUGCUGGGGAUUUUGCAAGCCGUUAGAGGGAGCAGGCCAGCGGUAGGAGAGGGGAGGCGUUUCUGUUGAGGGGCAGCAGGCCAGCUGCAGGUGGUGCGUUUUUCUGGAGGUGGAGUGCUUUUCAGGUGGGGCUUUUCCAUUAGAGGGAGGCUGCAGAGAUCUUUGAGAGGGAGCUUUUGGUUUGGUUGUUUCGGGGAAGAAAGCUGGUGGGAGAGAGGGGAGGCCUCCAUUGACGAUUGCGAGAGAUAUUUUUGGGGCCUCAGGGAAAUCUUGACAGGAGGGAGCUUUUUUUUAUUUGGUGGUUUUUGAGCUUAGGCUGCCGGAGAGAUAUUAGAGGGAGAGUGUUUUCCUUCUGCAGAAGGAGGAGUUUUUUUUUUAGAGAGGAGAACGAGAGAGAGAGAACAGGGAGGUUUAAGGUUGGAGCAGAGAGGUGAGUUUUGGAGAGCUUAGAGGAGAGUAGAGAGAAACCCAGAGCAAAAAGGAAAUGACAUUUUGGUGGUUGUUGUAGUACAAGGAUGUUUUUGAGGGUGUUCAUUGGGCUUGAGGGGCAAGUUUGAGGGGAAGAGAUGAAAGAAGAUGCUGGAGGCAAGUCUUGCUGAGGGUUAUUUUUGUGAGAGGAAAAAGUUUUGAGGUUAAGGAAGGAGCCAUAGUCUGGAGCAGAGAUCUUGAGGAAAGUAAAUGAGCAGAGGAAGGAUAUCUUCAGCUGUUUAGAGAGAGUUCAUGAAAGCUGUUUGAAGAAAGACACAUAGGAAUAGCCUUGGAAGAGGGUGAUACAGGUAUUGUUCUUGUAAUAUGAGGAUUCUUUUGUGUUCAUGGCAUUUUAUUAUGUUUACUGGUUAUCAUGAGAUUCUAUCUUGACAUAUGAAUGCAAGCAGGUGAAACUCCUACCUAUGUUCUCUCAAUAUUUGUGUUCGCUCACCCUCAUCCUGCGUUUGGUUUCUAACUUGUCAUCUGGACUCUGUUUUAUGAGUUGUCGGUCAUUUUGAUUUAAUUUCUCUUUGCAAACUAUUUGAAACCUAUUUUUUUUCUUUAUCCACCUCUGCGUCGUGAGCUCGUUAAUUGAAAUAUGAAACGCAGCUUUCAUGAGCCCCUUUUUGUUCCUGCUCUGUGCUCUGUUUUUGCCACCCUCCUCUGUUCUUGGUAUUUGAUCAUGGGAGGUUGCCCCUUAUGUGUGAAGAAGAGAGUAUUGGCUUGAUAGGUCUGGAUUCUCAAGUCGUCCAUAGUGGUAGAGGACGUAUUCUGGGGAUCAGAUCCAUGACUUUGUUGCGUUUUUGUUGAUUGGAGGAGUGACAAUUUCCCAAGGGCAUGUAACGCAUGUGCUGGUGACUAUGGCAGAUGACAAUGAUGACAUUAACGGACUAUGACCACUAUUUUGGAGCCAUGGCUUGACACAUGGCAUCGCGUAGUGGAUUGGUUGAUACUAUUGAGUGGCCCAUUAAUAUCGAUUAUCCUGAUCAAUAACAAAGGGAAACUGAGCAUAUCAACCAGCUUAUCUCUUCUCUGUCUGAUGAGAUACCUCAUAUACAGACCUUCAAAGGGAAAUGGGCAGUUAUCAGAGGCAAGCUGAGUGAUCUCAGGACCCAAGUGGCUGAUUUUGGUGACUUUCCUGGGUUCAAGUCCAAUCCUCUUUCUAUGGAACUCAUGCAGUCCAUUUCGCAGACCCUACAAGACGCCGUUUUGGUGGCUUCGAGGUGUAGAGAGUCUGAGUUGUCUCAGGGGAAGCUCAAGACCCAAAGCGAUAUAGACUCGAUUUCCGCGAAGCUGGACCGUUUGAUCAAAGAUGGUGAGAUCUUGAUAGGGAGUGGAGUGCUUCAAGAUGGGGUAUUAGUGGGUUCGAAGAAAGAAGUAGUGCGUCACUUACAUGAAGACAUGCCUCAAAUUGUUGACAUCUAGCUCAUUGGGGAGACUAUCCGAGUUUUUGAGACUUACCUAGCUGAGUAUUGAUGUUGAAACGGAGAUGCGGUUUAGUAGGAGCGGCAGUCAUGAUUAGCAAGAAGGUGUGGUAUUGUCAUGCAAGUUCCCUGGGUUUGAGUUUAUGCUUUCUGAAAGGUGGUUGUUUAAUUAUGAUACUGUUCCACCAUGGACUCUUAGAUCUGGUGCAGUGAUAUCUGCUGCUUUUCUUUGGUUGAGCUUUUAGCUCAAUUAUUCAAGGAGUGAGAUGGGAUUGGACUUUAAAUUCUGAUUUGACCUUCUAUCCAUCCCAAUCAUGCAUGCAUAUAGGGCCAUCCUCCAUAAUACCCGCAUUCCCAUUCUUCAAAUAUCCAUUAUUCCACCCUUCCCACUACCUAUUCCACCCAUGACGCCCAUUUCCUCCAUUCAUUACACCCAUCUGCUAUAACCCAUUCCACAUAGCCAUAUCCUUUAUGCCCACCUUCUCACUACCCGUAUAUAUGCUUCAUAGCCUUCAUCCCUAUUCCCAUGCAAAUGCCUCACUAACUCUCUAAUGCCCAUCUCACUCAUUCUUUUCAUCACCACCCCACCUUCAUUAUUUCAUACCCAUUUCUAUUAUCACCAUUCUCUCUCUACACCACCAUGCACCAUGUCAUUCCUCAUCUGCUCAUCAUAUCCAUGUACCAUAGCUAACCCUACAACCAUAUUCACGUCAAAUUUUCUUCCAUGCAAACCCAUUUUCUAUAAAUCCCAUGCGUGUUGCUACCCUUACUCACCUACAUCAAUCUCUCCCCCUCAUUGUCAACACUGGUCAUCUGGAGUCUGUUGGUCCAUGUUCUUAGGCAGCCUUUCAUCACCGGAGUGUCACGGGUCUGGAAGUUGUUUCCCUUAUCACUCACAUUUGGAAAGGUAUAUGUAUUGGGCUACUUCCAUCUUUGUUGCAUUGGGCCUGUGUUGCUUCUUCUAUAUUUUGGGCGCAUGGCAACGAUGUGGUUUCGGGAAGGGAGACAGCAUGGACAUUGAAGUCACCAAACAAGCGGACUGCCGUUUCUCUCCAAUUUGAAUUUUGAGACUCGUCAUGAAGAUGAAGCAGGAGAAUGAUUGCUGUCGUACAGGGUGAAGUAAGCUCCUAAAAUGAAUCCAGUGUUUUAGGAUAGAUAUUGUUGUUGACGGGGUGGCAAUUAGAUGUAGUUGCGGAACUAGCUGCUCCCAAAGAAGAUAUGAAUCUGACUUGUUUGUUGAAUCAGCAGCUUGUGUAGCAACAGAACAACCCCUUGCUUGCUCUAUUAGGUCCAACUGGAAACAAAUUGAAGAGUAAGGGUGCUACUUUAAUCCUCAAAGCAUUGGAAGGAUACCAAGCACAGUUCGGCAAGAUCAGUUGCAAGCAAUCAUGGAUUUGACCUACUAAACAUCAAUGGUGAUUCCGCCAAAGUGUCAUUGUGUGAAAUAUAGGGGGAUGACUUGAGUCAAUACCUGGGCAACCUAUUGUUAAUCCACCCUCACCCCAUGCAAGUCUGGGCUCGUCUUUUAAUCCUGAAUAUAUUUGGGUCAAUGGACGCCUCCAGGGUAUUUUGAUGUACCCAUUAAUGCGAGCUGAUCAUCCACUCAAAGUCUCGAGAUGGCGGGUCAAUUUCUGGAAAGGGUAAUUGAAGAGGAAACUUGUGCAUAUAUAGACAGAAUGGGACUCUGUUGCAAGGAAAUUUAAUGAGGACGUGAACGUUAAGUUCCUAGGCUUCAAAGGAUUUGGAAACUUAAGUUGUGCAGAGAUGACACCCCCUAUUUGCCAGCAUUUUGAGACCAGAGGCACAAAAUCAAGGCGGAAUUGGAAAGUCUUUUAUUAGUGCCCAAGUCAAGGACAGUUGACAGUUAUUUGAUAUUCCGAGAAGCUUGGGAUAGGAUUCUUCCCUCAUGAUCUUGAAUGGGUACAUGACAAUAGUACCAGUCUUCAACCCCAGGGUAUUCUUACCCUGGACCCACUCUUUAAGCUUCUUAGUUGCAUGGCCACCUUUGGCAUGCAAUUUUGGACCACUUGUCCUUGCUCCAUUUUUUCUCUUUUUGAUUUUAAAAAUAAUCUUCCUGGAAUCAAAUACCAUCUUGUAAAUAUUUUUUUCAAAUUCUGAUUUUCAAAUGAUCCAAAAUUUCCCAUUUUCCAUCCUUAGAAUUUUUGGAUACCGAAACCUCAUUUUCAAUAAAAAUUCGGUUGCCAUUUUUUCUUCCGGCAAGCCACUUUUGCAUUUUCUUUAUUUUUAAAAUAAGUAAGAAUUAAAUUCCGUAAUUCCAAGUGAUGGAAGUUAUGGAAUUGAUUCAUGCAAAAUAGAUCGGGCUUUGGUGGGGGCCCAACAUCAAAUAAUUUUUCUUUAAAAUAAAAAUGAAUUUUGAGUGAAGUGUUAUGCGUGCCUUUGAUGAUUUUGUGCUUGAUUUUGUGACAUGUGAGUUAUGUUUAUACUCUUUGUUUUGCACUAACCCUUUCUCUUGAUAGCGCAUAGUGGCUCGCUGCACAAGUACACACUCAUUCCCACUCUGAUUAGUUUAUAUGCAUUUUCUGACUCUCGUAUGUGCAUGUUUCGCUCUGAGUAUUCAUUGAUUUCCUCAUCAUCGCCAUGUUAGCUUCAUUCUAUUAGUAGAGACCCGACUUUAGGGACUUAGAGGGGUGCUACGGUCUUUACCGUACCUUCCCGAUAAGUAACCUGACCCCCGAACCCGAUCCGGUUUUCACAGACCCCCUUUUCCAAAAUAAGGAGUCGCACUUAGGGUUUUUCUUUCUUAUUUUGUUUACCCUUUAAAAAUAAAACAAAAAUAAGUGGCGACUCCAAGUCAUUUUUGAAUAAAUAAAAUCAAUUUUUUCAAAUAAAAAUCGAGCUCGCCAUUCGAGUGGGAAACGCAUUCGAGCGAUCUAAAUGCGGGGUCCACAAUACUAUAUUUGGAAACUAAUAAAUAACACUUAGAUUUUUGUGGAAGAGUAAGGUUUGACCCUUUGGGAGUGGAAACUCUUUUAAAGCUUAAAUUUGCAUAAUGCCUUCUCUUUAAGAAUUGUGAUUAGACAAGUUAUUUGAUAACUCUUGUUGAAGUUUGAGUUUUAUUUCUUUAAUGUUCCAUGUGAGAGUUAGAUCAUCAUGGCACUUGAAAAUUAUUUUUUGAUCAACAUGAUGUUGUAAAUUAUAGUACUGUUUAUUUUUAUUUUUCUAUCCUUCAUUGCUAAGGGAAUAGCAAUAUGUCGGUUGGGGGGAGUGACUACUACUCAAAAAGUGCUAUUUCAUAGCUUGUAAUUAACUUUUUUAAAUACUUUUGAGUAGUAGUUAUCACCUUUUAACCCAAUUAACAUAUUAAGGACCCUUGCAAUCAAUUCUAAUCAAAUUGUGUUAAGUUUUGGUGUUUUGAUAGCCUUUUGAUCACCAAAGCAAUCCGAGAUUGAGGAGAGUUUUUUAGGAAUCCAUGGCAAAAGAUGUCCGGACAGGGCGUCCGGACACACCAUUGGAGAGCGGCGGAACGUGGGCUGUAGCAAGGCUUGCUCACUUUAGUCAAUGUUUUCCAUCCGGACAACAUAUCCGGAUAGGAUAUGCUAUCAUCCGGGAGAGGGGUCCUUACACCUUGCACACGCAGACGGUCCCCCUUGCGUAGCAUAGCUCAGUCCAUCCGGGGAGGAAUUCCGUGCGCCGACAUUUUACAUCCGGAUAUCUCACAGCCGGAUAGGAGAGGAGGACGUUUCAACUUCUCCGGUCAGACAUAUCUAGAUCCUGUGAUAGCGUUCACCCAGAGAGCAUCCACGACCGACAUUUCAGAUUACCCGGAUUUUGCAUAGUGCCGCGGUGUUCUCUUGAAGCUUCCCAAUAUUUGCCACCAACUAAGUUAGAUUUUUUCUCUUAAGAUAUUUUGUGUAAAUUUCUAUUUUCUCCUUGUAAUCAGUCAAAGAUAUUAUUGGGAUAUUUCUUAGAAAAUAUCUUCUCUAUAUAUAUCUUUGAACCAUUGUAAAGAGGAGAGAUAUAUUAUAUAUAUAUGAAACCAACGAGCAGAGCACUUGCUCUAUUUUUGUUCUUCAUAUUUUUGUUUUCUCGUUAGUUUUCUUUCUAGCCAAUCAAACUCUGAGGAUUUUUCCUUAGAGGAUGAGAGGCUAGGCUCUUUGUCUCUUGGAGUGAAGAAAGCCGGGUAAGUUUCUUCAUGCAUAAAAUGAAAGUUUUGUUGUUUUAGUUUUUAAUGAAGAGAAAGUGUGACCCGUUAAUGGUUUUUAUCUUUUUAGUUAACUUAAAACGCCUUUAACUCACCUAGGCCAACACUUGAUAAGGCAAGUGAUCUCCAUCCAUUGAGAUGCACUUGUUUAUCUCUCGCGAGCCUUGGGGAGGUGGUUUAGAGGUAGGAUUUUCUAGAAUUGCCAACACUUGGUAAGCUUUUGGACUCUAAGGAGACAUCCAUUAGUUAUCUCUUGCGAGCUUGAGAAGGGAAGUCCAAAGUUAAAGAUCACCUUGAAUGGCAAAUGUUAGGUGAGAGACACGAGCCAUUGCAAGUUGCAUCAGUGAGAGGGAUUUAAUGUUUGAACCCAUUAAAGGGAAGCAUCUGUACCACACCGGUUAGAGAAUUAACUAUAUGUUAAUUCUCUAAUGCGAGGAAAAGAAACAAGUGACCAGAACUCUCCUUUUUGUAUGAGGAACCUGAGCCUAGUGAUCUAAAUUCUAAGAAACACUUUUGUUUGUAGUUAAAAUUAGUUACUAUUUUUGGUUAGCUUAAAACCAAACCUUUUUCAUUCAAACAUCUUUAUGUUUUCUUUUAAAGCUAACUUUGAAAUGAAAAGGCACCAAUUCAUCUUUGAAAUAAUAUCAAUUGUGGAGUGAAAACCCAUCCCAGUGAACGACCCUAGAGCCACUACGCUAUGCUAGCUAAGUGUCACAAGAUGCUUCAAAUGACCCUCCCCAUGGCUUAUAUAGGAGGUGAGAAGCUUCUAGAGACCCUUGGAGACAUCCACACGUAGCCACUAGUGGGAAGAGUGUGGAAGGUUCUAGAAAUGCCUAGAGAAGUCCACACAACUCUACACUAUGGUAGAAGGCAUGAGAAGGGUCCAAAGCUUUCUAGAGAAAUCUAGAAGUCUCUUGAAUAUUCUAGAAUAGUGUAGGACAUUCUAGAAGUCUCUUGAAUAUUCUAGAAUAGUGUAGGACAUUCUAGAAUAUUCAUGAAUUGUAAGGAACCCUCCAAGGUUCUAGAGAGUUCCAUUGGUGCCUAUAAAUAGGUGAGGGCCUCAUUUGGCCAAGGCACCAAGCAAGUGAGCAUCCAAGCACUUGUAAAGGCUUUCUUGAGAUAAUAAAGCUUCCAUUCUUUAAGGAGUUGCCUACUAAGCUCUUAAGCUUUCGAGUCGCUAGUGUCUUAGCCGAGCAAGCUAAGCAUUGGGGAUCAAGGCUGACUUAGCAAGAUCAAGCGUCUUGACUUGCCUAAGUGCCGCACGAGCUUAGUGAACGACUAAGUCCGUGACAAGUGGUAUCAGAGCACGGUUACAAGGUGGGCAUAGCAAAGGAAGCAUGUCGGGUUCCAACGUGGAGGAGACUAGCGAGCAAACCCGUUGGAGGGAGACCGAGCCUACUGCACGGGGCAGGGGCAGAGGUAAGAAGGAUACAUCUCGUGAUGUUGUUGCCAACAUGGAGGCAAGGUUAGCCAAGGUGGAGCUAGCCAUGGCAGACACCCGGGAAGGGGUGGACUUGAUCGAGCAAGGCAUGGAGAAGGGCUUAGAGGAUCUAAGGGAGCAGAUCCAAGACCUUCGCGAGGGGGUGCUGGUCUCGCAAGUUCAGUCGGUGUCACACAAGGAGUUCAUGUCCUUCCAAGACAAGGUCAUGAGCAUGUUCGCUAGUGUGGAGUCAAGGAUGGAGGCCUUGACUGCACGAGUGGAGGCCCGAGACCAAGAGAUUCGACAAGAGUUGGCCAUCUAUAAGACCGUUGUAUCAGCUCGGGUCAUGGCCACACAGGAGGCAUCUAGGGUGGAGGUGCCGAAGCCACAUAGGUUUAGUGGCAAGCGGGAUGCCAAGGAGUUGGAUAACUUCUUAUGGCAUAUGGAGCGAUACUUCGAAGCUAUCGCAUUGACGGAUGAGGCGGCUAAGGUGAGAACUGCGACCCUCUACCUUACUGACACAGCUACUCUAUGGUGGCGUCGAAGGUUUGCCGAUAUGGAGAAAGGCAUUUGCACCAUAGAGACGUGGGAGGACUUCAGGAGGGAGAUCAAGAGGUAGUUCUACCCGGAGGACGUGGCUUACCUGGCUAGGAAAAACAUGCGGCGUCUUAAGCACACAGGCUCAAUACGCGACUAUGUCAAGGAAUUCUCUUCGCUCAUGCUUGAGAUUCCUAACAUGACUCAGGAGGAGUUGCUAUUCAACUUCAUGGACAACCUGCAAGGGUGGGUCGAGCAGGAAUUAAGGCGCCGAGGCGUUCAAGACUUAGCCACUGCUAUGGCAAUAGCAGAAUCUUUAACGGAUUAUAAGAGGGGAGACUCCUCCAAGGAUGAGUCUUUAGAGGAUAGCCACGCCAUGGGUGGGGGAGACGAGGUUCCAAGGGACCACAAUGCUCCUAAAAAGGGAUCAAGCAAGACGUCUAACGUCUGAGAAGGAAGGGAUAAGGCGGAAAGGAGGGAGUUUACGCCUAAAAUCAAAUGCUUCCUGUGUGACGGUCCACAUUGGGCACGGGAUUAUCCAAAGCGGAAGGCGCUCAGUGCCAUGAUCGAGGAGAGGGAGCAGGAGGACGAAGCACAUAUGGGCUCAAUGCAGCUACUAGGUGCCCUCCAAUUCAACUCGAAGCCUAGUACGCCUGAGACCUCCUUAUUAGCAGGGGUGCAAGUAAAGGAGAGCGAGCUGAGGUAGCCCUUACACACAUGGAAGAGGUCACUAAGGGAAAGGUGAACUCAAUGGGUAAGAGGAAGCAACACUCUAAGCAUCGGAAACGCACGGGUCUGCAUCCAUCUGAAGCCUCACUGGAGAAGGAGGUGAAGAAUAUCCUGGCUGAACGGGUCACCAGGAGACAAGGGGUCCCUCUUGUGAUAGAGUAUCUAGUCCGAUGGAAAGAACUACCUAAGAGGCAGGUAAGCUGGGAACAUGCGGAUGCCUUGAGAAAAUUCUGGAAACACAUCGAGAAGUUUCAGAAUGAGGCAACGACGAGGAUGUCGACGGCUUAGGUGGGGGAGAGUGUCACAAGAUGCUUCAAAUGACCCUCCCCAUGGCUUAUAUAGGAGGUGAGAAGCUUCUAGAGACCCUUGGAGACAUCCACACGUAGCCACUAGUGGGAAGAGUGUGGAAGGUUCUAGAAAUGCCUAGAGAAGUCCACACAACUCUACACUAUGGUAGAAGGCAUGAGAAGGGUCCAAAGCUUUCUAGAGAAAUCUAGAAGUCUCUUGAAUAUUCUAGAAUAGUGUAGGACAUUCUAGAAUAUUCAUGAAUUGUAAGGAACCCUUCAAGGUUAAUAACCUAAACAUCUUACCUCAAUAUUCUUUUAUGAAAAUUUUCAACUAUUGCAGGGUGUCCUUCAUGUCAUUGGUCAUGUUCAGGUCUGAAUAAGUAUGAGUAGUGGUGACAUACUUAAGAUAAUGACCUAUGUAUUUCAAUACAACUUGAAGAAUAUACAAUAAACAAUUUAGCAACAAAUUAGAUUCUUACAAGUUUUAACACAUUAAAUUCAAUAAGCAUAUUAAUUUCAAAGAAGGUUGGUAGCCAAAGGUAGUAAAAUAAUUGAGAUAAAGAAACGAAGAAUGAAGAGAAAUUAAUUUCAACUAAAACAUUAUAAUUAAAUUGAUCUUUUAACUUGACAUGUUAUGAAUCCAUGAAAAAUAAUACAUUGGUAAUACUUUAUUGAUUAAAAGAGUAAAAUAACACCAAAGAUAGAAAAAACUACGUGAUAUGGACAAAGGGUUUAUUUUUGUAACAAUGACCAACAGACUAAAAGUAAAAGGGCCUUGGUGGAGGAAAAAACUAUUAUGUCAAAAUGACUAGUUUCUUUCCUUACAAUUGUAUUUAGAUUAAGGAGCUAGCAUUCAAGUUGAUACCCUGUUUUAGAAAAGGAGGCUUUAGAGGCCUAUAUUAGGGAGAAUGAGGUGCUAUUUUUUUUUCCGUAGGCUUAUUUGUAAGAAGUCUUAAUCUAACUUCCUAUUUUUUAAUGUCAAAGAAAAUACAAGUAUAAGAUAUUUUAAACUUUAAGCCCAUUAGUUUAGGAGGAGGCCUCUACAAAUUUAGAUUGAAAAAAGUUAUAAAGCAAGUGAUCUUAAGGGUCCAAAAUGGUUUUUUUGAGGAUAAACAUAUUCCUAAUGCAUGCACAUGUAACAAGACUAAAGACUUUACAAAAAAGAGUUCGAAAAUGCAUGAAUUUUCAUACCAUUACAACACUAGGAUUUCUACCAAUCUAACUAAUAAGGAUGUGUACAGGAAAUACACAAAGGUUGUGACACCUACCAUGUCUAAUAGUCUUCACCUCUCAAUUUUCCAAUUACACAUCCAUCAAAAUAGAGCAACCAUUGCAUGAUCCAUAUUGAAAACACUACCAACUAGAAGUACCAAGAUAUACAUUAACAAAUCAUGACUAAGAAUAAAUUAUACAAUUAACAUUAACAAAAUAUUCACUAGAUAUUUAGAAUAAUAUGAAGUUAUAUUAGACUACAAGUCAUACAAGGUACCGUCAAGCAUGAGUAAUGAUUAAUUGACUGUUAAUUAAGAUGAGAUUGUCAAUUUGUAAUAAAUAAUAUUUAUGAUUCAAUAAUGUCACUCUUCCUAAAUUAUAGACUAAUAAAUUUUAUUCAUAAUUAAUUUAUUAUUUUCCAAAUAAAAACAAUAUGAAAUAGAAUAAAGACAAAAAGAAAAUUAGGAUUGUUGUUUAAUGUAUAAUCUAGGUUAUUUUGUCAUUUAUAAUCAUUUUAGGAAAUAAGAAAUUUUUAGAAAAAAUAAUAUUUUUUUCAAAUUCGAUAUGAUGGUGACUUCACAAAGAAAGUCAUUCUAUAAAUUAAGGGAUGACUUUAAUAGCUAUUAAUUAUCCUAUUGAUGGCUGUCAUUUCAUCACGUUUUACUAAUGAUGAUCCUUGUAGGUUUAUUUUGUCUAACAUUAAGUAUAUUUUGACAAGUUGAAAACAAAACAUAUAUAUAUAUAUAUAUAUAUAUAUAUUUAAGAAUGUAGGCAGCAUAUUAAUUACCAUGAAAAAUUAAAACCUCCAGCUCACAUCACACUAAUACCUUCACCCAUAUCUUUUCACAUUAGUAAAUACAGUUCAAAUACAAUACCAAAAAACAUGUACAUGCAUGUACUUAGCCAAUAUAAGUCAAUCCCAUUAUUUUAUAUUUUGAUCUCAUUACUUAUAUUUGAUCUUAAUUUCAUUUUGAUUAUUUUAAUCUUAUUACCUAUACCAUCAUCCAACUGUUUACAUUUUAUCCAAAAUUUUUAAUGGUUGGGAUGUAAAAUUCAAUAUGUAUUUCUUUAAGAUUUUCCUAAUAAACGCAUAAUUUCAUAAUAGUAUAGUGGAACUAUAUAGGGAUAUAAACAGGUGGCUCAUUUAGGCUCACUUAGGCCCACUUAGGCACACUCAGCCCAUUUGGACACCCCUAGGCCCUAUAGGCACAUUUGGCUCAUCUAGACUCACUUAGGUCCAUUUAGGUACACUUGGCCUAUCUAGGCUCACUUAGGCCCACUUAAGCCCACUUAGGCCCACUUAGGUUUACUUAGGCCCACUUAAGCUCACUUAGGCCCACUUCGGCCCACUUAGGCUCACUUAGGCCCACUUAGGCACACUAAGCUCAUUUGGACACUCCUAGGCCCUUUUAGGCACAUUUGGCCCAUCUAAACUCACUUAGGCCCACUUAGGCACACUAAGCCCAUUUGGGCACCCCUAGCUUUAGGCACAUUUUUUAAAUGGAGAAAUUAAGUUUUAAAUCAAAAAAUCAGGAUAUUUUUUAAACAAAGGAGUUGACACUUGAAUGUUUAAAAAUAAAAAUAAAAGAUUAAGUUUUUAGAUUGGAAAAUCAUUUUUUUUUAAUAAUGGAAAGGAUAAAUUUCAAAAUAUGAAAAUGAAAUUUUGGAAAUUUGGGAGACUUUUUUGUGGAGGGGAUAUGGAAUUCUAAGAGAGGAGGACUCCUCCAAAGAUACAGGGUUGCCAAUUGCCAUAGAAAAUGGGGGUUGGUGGUUUUGGAGAGUGGAGGAAUUUCUUUUAAAAGGGACUUUCAACACGCACGGGAGGGGGGAAUAGAAAAAAAAGGAAAGAAAAGGAGUGAGAAGACACAGCCGGGAAGAAGGACAUCUUUAAGGGUGGAGAAAACACACAGCCUACCUUGGGAACUUUCCACUACUAGCCGCCACAAGAAAAAUAAAAAAAAGAUCAGAACAUAAGACUCUACAAAAUAAAUCUAAAACAAAUAUCUAGAAGUUAAUUUUUAUCCUGAAAAUUUUCAAAGAACAUCUCCUAUAUAUCUAGUUUACCAUCUAAGUGACCAAAUCAAUUAACCAACCCUCAUUUAGUACCAGAUUUCAUAAUAAUGAUAAAUAGGUCCAGAACUGGGCAUCUUUUUAAGGUGUUCAACAAUUGAUUUUUCUAACUAAAUUCAAGAUGUCCUAAAAUCAUAAAAAAAUUUACAUAGCUAUCUUAAUAUAUAUAUAUUGUAUGAAAAAUAAUCACAGGGCAAUAUCACAUUCAUAACAUACUUAAAAAUAAAUAAACAUCUCUCCACUCCAGAAGAGCAUAUGUGUAGUGGGUGCAAGAAGAAAGAAAUUAUAUCUCUCAUUUUAGAAAUUAUUUAUUGAUAUUUUAGGCAUAAACAAUUAAAUUAAGAAGUCUAGAUUAAAAUAAAAAUAUUCAAAUAAAUCAAAUAAACCAUUUAUUAAUUUAAUUUUUCAGAACAAUACUAAGUGUAAAAAAUAGAGUGAAAAUUGAACCUUCCGAAAGAUUGAUUUAUAUCUUCUAAUUGGAAAACCAUAUUUGACCCAAGAAAUAUUCAAAAAUCAAGCUCAAGGAUUCUAGAAUGUCAUAGAAUAAUUAUACAAAUUUUAAAGGGUUUUUAAGUUACCAAAUUCCAAUUUACGAAUGCAAAAGUACAGUGAAUUAUCCAUAAUUUCAAUAAAUAAAUACAAACUUUGUUUUGAAAAAGACUUAGUAUGUAGGGAUCUAUUAAAUCCCAUUUUAAUUUCCAUGAAUUUAUCCAUGAAGACUCCAUUGAUUGGAGUUAUGAAAUUUAAUUCACGUAUAUUCAAAACCAAAAUUCAUUUUAAAUUUUCUUUUUCAAACUAUGCAUACCAAAUAAAAUUGGUUGCAUGAAUUUUUAGAAAAUUGAAUUUUCAUAACCUAAGAAUGUCCAAGACAAAUUUGGAAAAUUGAGAAUUAAUUUUUAGAAAGGUAGCUUGAUAAGAAUUUUGAAAUUACUAGCAAACACAAAUAAUCACAUAAAGUCCCACAACCAAAAGAAGAAAAUUCUUAAGGAGACAAAGUGGUGUGUGCCAAGGGUGAGUGAAGCAUGUUGACUUGUGUGUGAUGACAAUGAAAGUGUGGCUGUUGUGUGUGUGUUCAUAGUAACAACCUGGUGGUCUACUUUUCUAUGCAGCUAUGCAUGCCUUUCUUUAUCAAUUUAGCUAACGUUUGUUCUCCAAAAUUCAACUAGCGGUGUUGGUCUUCACAAGCUUAUGCAAAUUCUCAAAAUUCAGCAAUCUGAUGUGUGCUUGGGCUAGCAAUCUGGUGGUUUCAAAAUCUAAUAGUGUGAUCAUGUGUGAUACGUUCCCAAUUGGUGUCUCAGCUGAUUCAUGUCCUCUUAAUGGUCCCUAACAAUGGAACCAUUUGAUUCGUGUCCACCUGGUGCUCCUUGAUUGUGGUCCUCAGAAGGGAGUAAUCAACAAAAUUUAUAACCUAUUACACCAUGUACUAGGAUAGCCUUAGCUAGCAUAGCAUAGUGGCUCUAGGGUUGUUCACUGGGAUGGAUUUUCACUCCACAAUUGAUAUUACUUCAAAGAUGAAUUGGUGCUUUUUCAUUUCAAGGUUAGCUUUAAAAGAAAACAUAAAGAUGUUUGAAUGAAAAAGGUUUGGAUUUAAACUAACCAAAAAUAGUAACUGAUUUUACUUACAAAGAAAAGUGUUUCUUGGAGUUUAGAUCACUAGGCUCAGGUUCCUCAUACAAAAAGGAGAGUUCCGGUCACUUGUUUCUUUUCCUCGCAUUAGAGAAUUAACAUAUAGUUAAUUCUCUAACCGGUGUGGUACAAAUGUUUCCUCUUAAUGGGUUCAAACACUAAUUCCCUCUCAUUGAUGCACCUUGCAAUGACUCAUGCCUCUCACCUAGCAUUUGCCAUUCAAGGUGAUCUUUAACCUUGGAUUACCUGUCAAAAGCUCGCAAGAGAUAACUAAUGGAUGUCUCCUUGGAGUCCAAAAGCUUACCAAGUGUUGGCUAUUCUAGAAAAUCCUACCUUCAAACCACCUCCUAAAGGCUCGCAAGAGAUAAACUAGUGCAUCUCAAUGGAUGGAGAUCACUUGCCUUACUAAGUGUUGGCCCAGGUGAUUUAAAGGUGUUUUAAGUUAACUAAAAACAUAAAAACCAUUAAUGGGUCACACUUUCUAUUCAUUAAUAAUUGAAACAACAAAACUUCAAAUUCUUGCAUUUGGAAACUUACCCGGCUUUCUUCACUCCAAGAGAUGAAGAGCCUAGCCUCUCAUCCUCUGAGGAAAAAUCCUCAGAGUUUGAUUGGCUAGAAAGAAAACUAACGAGAAAGCAAAAAUAUGAAGGAAAAAUAGAGCAAGUGCUCUGUAAAAUAUAUUUCUUCCUUCUGCCGAUUACAUGAUUUUUGUCUCUGAGAAAAAACUCCUGAGAUUCGAUUAUAUAUAAGGGGUUAUUCACCCUUUGUUCUUACUUAAAGACUAAGGAAUCCUAUGAUAAGUGGGUUACAAGGAGAUUUUGGGGAUUUAGACAUCAAAUAUCUAAAGCAAAAUAUCUCAAAAUGUCGGUCGCAAAUAUCAGGAAGCUUCAGGAGAACACCGUAGUUGUGCGUGCAAGAGGGCUGUGAAAUUUCGCAGCAAAAGGACAACAUUUUCGCAGCCCAAGGCUGAUUUCACAGUCGUGCAAAAUCUGCCUUCAGCUUGGAGUGAUUGGCUUCCAAUGGCUGUAACUCCUUCAUUUCAACUCCGAAUCAUGUACCAUUUGAAGUAUUAGAUUUUUGACUUCCUGAGAUUCGAAACGACAUAUAGCAUGCAUAAAUUGAACUCCAAGAAGUGCUCCAAAAGUGGCUGACAUGACUGUCAUCUAGAAUGCUUCAUGUUAUAUUUCUCUUUGCUUCCCCUCCUUGCAUUCUGGAUUUGCUUAUGGCAAAGGACUUCAAAGCUUCGGUUCUUCAUGUUUCUGAGUUCUUCAUUGCUUUGCCAUGGAUUCUAAAGAACUCUCCUCAAUCUUGGAUUGCUUUGGUUAUCAAAUUACUAACAAAAACACCAAAACUUACACAAUUUGAUUAGAAAUGAUUGCAAAGGUGCUUAAUAUGUUAAUUGGGUUAAAAGGUAAUAACUGCUACUCAAAAUUGUUUAAAAGAGUUAAUUACAAGAUAUAAAAUAGCACUUUUUGAGUAGUAAUCAAUGUGCUUGUUGCUUUUCUCCUCACAACCAUGCACUAUCAACUUACCUUUCUACCAUUAACAAUUCGUACACAAUCAGUUUGCCUUCCCAAAGUUCUAAAGACUUCCCUUUAAAAUUUCUAAUAAUUAUUUUAUUCCCAUCAAAUUUCAAAUAUGCCACUAACUGCUACCUCUCUAAUACCUUCUCAUCUUCUUCGCUUCAAGCCAAAACCAUGCACUAAAUUUAUGUGACUCUCUAGAACCUUUUGUCAAUUUUUUUUUUUUUACAAACUGUGCACCAAACGAUCUUCAUUCUAGAAAAAACCGGUGCUAACACCAAUCCCCACCAUGUCCACAAUCAACUCGGGCGUUCCCUAUGGUGUGUGUUUGGAGCCCUUUUCAAAGGUACAAAAUUGUUUCUCUUUUAUGGCAGUAUGCUAGCGUGAAUAGAGAUGCCCUCUAACAAUCAACAAGAGAAUAGUUCCUAAGCCUUCCUAUCAAGAGUUUUCUCAAUCUACAUAAAUGGUAAUUGUCUACACUAAUUUCUAAAUACUUAGCCCCUCUGAUUAUGGGUUGAUGAACACCCAUUUGAACAUAACGACCACUUUCCCUACCUUACGUACAAUUUUGCAGUUUCCUUUCUCUAUAAAUACUAGAUUUGGACCAGAUGUGACAUUUGGCAUGCCCAAGGGCAUGGACUAGAAGCAAAGGAAAGCAACAAAAAAUAGGGCAUGAAUGGGUAAAACAAAAUGAACUAACAAAAGCCACAUUUCAUACCUAAUCAACAAAUCAAGAAUAGGUAAUAAAAACUGAGAGAAGUAAUAUGAUUAUCAAAUACUAAACCUAAAGGUAAAUUUAUCGAUUUACAAAGGGAAAUCAAAGAAUCCAAAAUGUGACCAAAACAGAGCAUGUAUGUAGACAAUUAGAUUCAGUCAAACCAACCAAAUAACUUUUGAUGUCCACACCAAAUCAACAAGACAACACUCAUAAAUCUGCAUAAAAUAAAAUAAAAUAGUAUUGAAAAUGAGGAAGAAAUGAAGAUCUUACUUGGAAGGCUCCCUCCUUGAAGUUGUUGCAUGUUGAAGAUCUUAGAGUGAGCAGUGUUUCUUCUCCACUAUAGCCCCUAUAAUUAGGGCAUGAUUUUCAAGGGGAAACUCAACCAACAUCAAAGCACUUGCAAUAAAUGAGGAAUAUGGAGUUGAAAGAGUGGAGAAUCACUUGAUUUUUUGCUCAAUGGUGGAAUUUGUAAGAGAAGAAAGGAGUUUUAGUGCUUAUUCUCUAUUAUGAGAGUCACAAAAUGGAGAUUCAAAAAUGAUUUCCAGAUUUUUAUACUCAAGAUCUCACACUAGGGCUUGGAAACGCACCGUGUGACAAGAUUUCCAGUGUCAAGAGCCUCAUCUAGAGUCAUUGAUCGAUAUUGAUUGUAGUUAACUAGGCUCCAAGGGUUUGUCGGGGUUUUGAAAAAAUGGAGGGAAUGUUUGGCGUACUAUGAAGUCGUGGGUGAGAAUGGGAAAUAUGUGAGCCAUAUAUAAAGGUGUUAUUUUGAUGUCACUUUUAUAGAGCACCAAGGUAAAAAUAAAUAAUAAAGACACUUAUAGAAAACCUCGUGCUAUAGGAAGCAUCAUUAUCCCUCAGCAUAAAGCGCCAUGGUCUAACAUUUUCCUUUUAAGCGUCAACUUCGACCACUUAUUUACUCAAUUGCCCCUCUAAAAGCCAAGUGACGACAUUUUUUUUGAAGCGCCACAAAUUGUGUUUUUUGUAGUAGUGUGGAGGUCUUCCUAUACCCUAUUUAACAUAAUAUAACCUUGCGUACAUGCUUUAGAAAAAUAAGUAAAAGUUUAGAAAAGUAUUUACAUUUGAUUUGAGUUGAAUCAUUCCCUUAUUCGACCUAUUUUGGGUCUAAACUUUAACUUAUGUAAGCCUCGUGAUGCUUUCCUAAACCUUAUUUAGCAUGGUAGAACCCUAGAUACAUCAUUUACAAAAAUAAGUACAUUCUUAAGAAAAAGUACAUCAUUUACAAUAAUAAGUAUAUUCUUAAAAUAUCUAUAUAUACAUACAUUCAUAAGGAAAAUACAUACAUUUGAUUUGAGGUUAAUCAUGACCUAAUUCAACCUAAUUUGGAUCUAAGAUUUGACUUAUGAUGCCUCAGAAUGUAUUUUAUGCCUUCCAAAACUCCGUUCAACAUGAUAGAAGUAUAGGUACAUUCUUUAGAAAAAUAUGUUCGAAAUCUGAAUUUUCCUAUUUGAGGUCUCUUAUAUAUAUUUAUGUAAUAUAUAGUUGUAAAUUAGAUUAGAAAAAUGUGUAUAACUGUAAAUUAUAUUAGGAAGAACAAUCUUUGAUUUAUAAGGAUUUACUUGAUUUAUAAGGAUUAUUAGUUUUCUUUUCCUUUAAUUUUUUUUGUAAAUAUAAGAUAUAAAUUAAGAUCGUAACAAGUAAUUGAAUAAGAAUCUUUUACCAUUUUCUCUCACAUGGUAUUAGAGCCACUUUGACAUCCUUCAUUAGCCUUCAUUGUUGAUUUUAGUUCAAGUUUUUUAGCCUUCACUGUUGAAGAUUUCAAGCCUAAUUCUUUCAACCUUCAUUGUGUGUUUUGUUUAUUUCUUUUUACAUAUUUCAUCCAUUCUACCUGCAAUUUCUGGGAUUUCACCAUGUCUAAGAUGUAUGAUAUUUCUUUUAAAACUAAUUUCAUAAUUUAAAUUAAUGAUUUAAAAAAAUAAAAAUGUUACGAAAAUAAUUUUUAUUUAUUUUUAAUUCCAUUUAAAUAUGAUUUUUUUAAUCUCUACUAUUAUGUUUAUAAGAGCAAAAUAGUAAAAAUAUAUAUUCCAUUUAGUUUACUUGUAAUGAACAAUUCAAACAUGAUUAAUUUUAAUUUUAUUUCCUAUGAGUUAAUUUAGGUAGGGAAGGUCUUAAUGGCAUAGUUUGGUUUUUUUUUUUUUUUUUUUUUUUAAAAAUGUCAAGUUCAAGUUGUUUAAAAAUUGUACAAAACCUAUUAGGAGCCUUGUACACCCUUGUACACUUAACACAUUUCCUUUAUAAAAUUAGUGUAAUACCCUUGUACAGUAAUGCAAAUUCCAUAUCCCUCCUAAGUUAUGUGUCCAUAUAGGUGUGUUAACCAUAUUUUCAAUGGUUUGGUUGAGAAAAUGAUGGAUGACUUAGGGUCAAACAUCAUUAUUGGGGAAAACAUUGGAAUUCCAUGUGGGAUUUAAAUAAAGUACAUGACAUGGGUAUACAAUCCUUCGGCGACAAGGAAAAUAAAGGAGUGGCUCAAAAUUGAUUGAAAUCUUUCAUAAAGGGUAAUCUUGUACACCUUGUACACUUAGUAUAUUUCCCUUGUAUAGUUAGUGUAACACCCUUGUACAAUGACACAAAUUCCAUAUCUCUCCUAAUUUAUCUGUCAAAGUAGGUGUGUUAACCAUGUUUCCAAUGGUUUGAUUGAGAAAAUGUUGGAUGACUUAGGAUCAAAUUUUUUUCCCUAAACAUCAUUACUAGGGAAAGUAUUGAAAUUUCCAUGUGAAAGUUAAAUAAAGUGUAUGAUAUGAGUGUACAAUUCGUGGGUGAUAAGGAAAAUAAAAUGAGUGGUUCAGAAUUGAUUGAAAUCUUUUACAAAGGGUAGCCUUGUACACCCUUGUACACUUAGUGUAAUACCCUUGUACAGUUCGUGUAAUACCCUUGUACAGUAGCACAAGUUUCACAUCCCUCCUCUUAAGUUACACAUAAGUGUGUUAGCCAUGUUUCCAAUGGUUUGGUUGACAAAAUGGUGGAUGGCUUAGGGUCAAAAUCUUUAUCCCAAACAUCAUUAUUGGGGAAAGUACUAGAAUUUCCAUGUGGGAGUUAAAUAAAGUGCAUGACAUGGGUGCACAAUCCGUAAGUGAUAAAGAAAAUAAAUAAGUGGUUCAUAAUCGAUUAAAAUCUUCCACAAAGAGUAGCCUUGUGCACCCCUUAUACAGUUAGUGAAUGCCCUUAUAUAGUGACACAAAUUCCAUAUCCUUAUAGUGAAUGUGUGCUUAUAGGUGAAUUAAACAUGACUCUAGUAGUUUGGUUAAGAAAAUGGCAGAAAACUUAAAUUCAACUUUUUGUGUGAAUAUAUUAUAUUUUUGUGAAAAAAAAAAAUACACAAUUGGCCAAUUCCUUUGUUUAAUUGUGAACAAAUUAUAUUUUUAUUUUAUUAUUAAAAUAACUAAUAAAAAAAUAAAAAAGAAUAAUUAAUAAAUGAAAUUUAAUUCUUUUUAUUGUUUUCAUAUAAAAAUAGUACUAUACAAGGUUUUCAAUUUUCAAAUUUAAAAAUAGUUUUUGUUUUUUUAAUUAAAUGUAUUUUCAAAAAGAGACAAUAUAGAAAAUAAAAAAUUGUUUUAAAAAUAAAAAUUAGAAAAAUAUUUUAAAACCAAACUCAAACAUAAUCUAUAUAAUUUUUAACUACUUGUUUUCAUCUAAAAUGAGUAAAUAUAUCAUUCAACCCUUUUAUAUAAGAAAAAAAAUCAAUCUCUACUAUACUAUAUAUUGAUAUAAUUCACUUCUAAAAUUAGGUCAUAUGAAAACAUUUUAAUUAGAUAUUUAAAAUAAAAACUCUCCAUCCAUCCUCUUUCUUUCUUUUUCUUUUUCUUAUUUUGAUAAAUUUUCAAUUAAUUCAAAUUAUUAAAAAAAAAAUCCUUAGUAAACAAAUUUGCAACAUUUCAUAUAACUUAUUACCAAAAGUCAUCUUCAAAAAGUUAUUAAAAUAAGGAAGGAAGAAGAUUAAAAGAAAAUUUAAACUUUUUAUUUUAUAAUAGUAAAAAAUAAAUUUUAAAAUACUUUUUAGUAUAAAGGGAAAGAAAAUAGUGAAUAUUUUUAUUUUAAAUAGUAUUUUAAUCAUUAAAUUAUUUACUUCUAAAAUGUAAAAGAUAUUUUUUAUUUAUUUAAAUUAACAUUUUUUGAGAAAGUAUUUUCCAAAAUAGUUUUUGAAUCAUUAAUAUAAUUUUGGUUUAUUUAUAAUUUUAAAAUAGAAAAUAAUGUUGAUUUUUCAAUUAUUUAUAAAAGAGUUUAAAAAAAUAAUGAAAAAUAAAAAAAAUGGUUAAAUAAAGAUGAAUUUGUUAAUAGUAGCAUAUGGAGAGUUGUGGAAUGAAGACAAAAAUGAGUUAAAAUGAUAUUUUUGUCAAUUACUAUUUCAUAUCCUUGUAAUCAAUUAUAGGUGAGAGGAAUACCUUACAUCAAUUAUCAAACACCAGCACAAUUCUCCCCUAGAUCUAUAUUGCCCAUAGAUUUGUAUGCUAAUACUAAAUAAAAUGAAAAUAUAUUUAUCACAUAAUUUUUAUGUUUAUGUUAUAUUCUGUUUUAAAUUUUUGUUAAAAGAAAUCAUAUUAUGACAAUAGUAAUAGAUGAGAAAAAAACCAAACAUAAUACAUAUGGUUCACUCUCAAAUGUGGGAGACUUGUCACUUUGUUGUUCCAAAAUUUCCACUAUCAUAAAAAAAAAUAAAAAAUAAAAAAUGUGUGAUCUCACCUCUUACAUGCCUCCUCUAUCAUAAAAUCAAAAUAAUUGAAUGUGGUUCUGGCUUCACCAUGGUUCUAGUUUUUUUGCUUGAUUAAAAUUUUAAGUUUUCUGUUUAUAUCAAAAUAAAAUAGAAAUAUAUUUUUUCAUAAAAAAUUGUAUUAAAUAUUUUAUAUUAAUUUUCUUUUAGUUUUAAAAUAUUAUUACAACUCUCUACUCUUAAAAAAAUAAAAGACAAAAGAUUUAGUUUCAAUUUGGUAACUAUUUUAAAAAAUAAUUGUUUUUUUAAAAGAAAAACCAAGAAAACAUGUUUGACAACUAAAAAAAAUAUGAAACAAUUUUUUUUUUUUUAUCUUAAAAACAAAAAUAUGGUAUUUUUUGAAAACGUCUUUUAGUCGUUUUCACUUGGGUUUUUAGGGCUAUUUUUUUUAAAAUAAGUAUACAAAUAUGGAGAAUGAUUAAAAAUAAAACACUACAUAUAAAAUUUAUUGUUAAAAUGUAUUUAAAAACAUAGAAAACAAGUUAAAAAUAUUUCAGGUUUCAAAACAAGCUUUUAGUCUACAAAAUAUCAAAGACCAAAUUUCAAUAACUGUUCUUAAAAACUAUUUUUUAAAUUUUUUAAAAAAAAACACUUCCUAAACAAAGCUAAUAUAACUCAAUUUUGCUUCACCAAAAUUUGAAAAAAUAAAAUAAAAAUUUUAUAUUUCAUUAAUUUUAGUUCAAAAAAUAAAUAAUUGAUUUAUUAUUAAGGAAAAAGGUUUACUAGUAAUAUUAAAUGUUUAUAAAAUGUCAACCAUUAUAAGAUAAUGAAAUUAAUUAAAAAAAAAUAUACAUCUAAUAUGUAAUUCUAAUUUGUAGAAAAUAUUUUUUAAUCAACCCCCUCUCUAUUAUUAAUUUAAAUUUUUUAAAAUUGUGUAAAAUUAUUUUUAUAAAUAAUUUUUUUCUUUAACGUAAGGGUAAGGCCACCAAGUGUUUGUUUUUUUUAUUUAUUUAAUAUUUUAUGAUUUUUUUUUUCCUUUUAAAUUAAUGGUAAAUCUUUUUUUUUUUUUUUUUUUUUGAGGUGUUAUACUUUUUUAGGGUGAGUAGUAUGAGAAAAGAAGGUUGAUCUUAAUUAGGAAAACAUUUAAGAUGGGGGGAGCAAGGUUGAAUUGAGUUUUUAAAAUAUCCUUAUUUAAACACAACAAAUUCAAGAAAAGGAAGCACAAAUAUAAAGAGAUAAAGUUAGAGGAAGCAAACAUAGAUUUUAUAGUGGUUCGACACUCCUUGCCUACGUCCACUCCCCUCAAGCUCCUAACUGAGUGAGGGUUCCACUAUCCUUGAAGCUUCAACCAAGCUUCCAACGUCUUUACACUUGAUUCCGAUUCCAAUGGCUCUUACACAAUCCUUCAAGUAUUCACUAACUUGAAGCUUUCUAUUCACACAAUCUCACUUUAAAAUAAUGAAGGAAACUCUUAACCUAGCUUAAUAAAGGCUCAAAUACAAUCGAAAUGCUAGGAAGAAUGACAAGAGUGCACUAAAGAGUAUAAAAGUAAGGAUUUAAUGCAUCAAGGAGAGAAUGAGAUCUUUUAAGAGAAGAACAUGUAGUUAAACAAUUGAAUGCAGGUGUUCUCAUGUUCAUAAAUGAAGUAAAACUCUCAAUUUAUAAGUUUCUAACCACGGGAGCCAAAACUGCCAAAAUGUUAACCUCGACUGGUCAAGUUAGGGGUCAACUGGUUGACUAGUCGUUGGGCAAUAAAUGUAUGGUAGGUGACCGACAGGCCUCGACCACACCUUAACCAGACCUCAACUAGGAAAACCUAUCAUCGAUCGGGAAUGCAUAGCUACUGGAAGAGAGAGAAUACUUUUUGCAUCCCUCAAUCAAUCCUUAACUAGGAAGGCUUAAUCGAUUGACUGGUACCCUAACCAAUUGAGCCGGUUGGAUAGUCCCUUGAUUGAUACACCUAUUUUGGUCCGAAAACCUAUUUUUUUCUAUUCCUUUCAUUUUUAACACUUAGGCAAAGUCUUUAGGAGUAUUAAUAGAUUAAAUUUAAAGCAAUUUGCAUAAGGUUUGUAUAAGAAAACUCAAGGUUUAAUGGAAAUUUAAUUUUAAUUAAUAAACCAAGUUUUUAAAGAUGCAUAAAAAGAUAUGAAAAUCCUAAGUGUACAAAUGCAUUCAUCUUACAUAUGUUUCUUAAGAUUAGAAGGCCUUCUAUAUGUUUCAAUGAUUACUACUCAAAAAGUGCUAUUUGAUAGCUUGUAAUUAACUCUUUUAAACACUUUUGAGUAGUAGUUAUUACCUUUUAACCCAAUUAGCAUAUUAAGUACCUUUGCAAUCGUUUCUAAUCAAAUUGUGUAAGUUUUGGUGCUUUUGAUAGUAAUUUGAUCACCAAAGCAAUCCAAGAUUAAGGAGAGCUCUAUGGAAUCCAUGGCAAAGUAAUUGGAAACUCAUUUACAUGAAGAACCUAACCUUUGAAGCUUUAUAGUCCUUUGCCAUAAACAAAUCAUGAAUGCAAGGAUGAAAGCAAAGAGAGAAAUCUAACAUGAAGAAUUCAAGAGGACAUCAACUGUUUAACACUUUUGGAGAACUUUUUGGAGUCCAUUUGAUGUAUACUAUAUGUCGUUUCGAAGCAUGGGAAGUUAGCAAUCCAAUGCUUCAAACGGUGUGCGAAUCGAAGUUGAAAUGAAGAAGUUAGAGCCAUUGGAAUCCGAUCACACCAAGUUGAAGGCCAAUUUCGCAGGCUACGAAAUAAUUUUGCAGCCAUCUUGUACGUCUGCCAAAUUUCGCAGCCAUUUUGUGCGCCUGCGAAAUUCUCCUGAGUGCUUCCAGAUAUUUGUGACCGAUAUUUUUUGAUAUUUUGCUUCAGAUAUUUGAUGUCUAAAUCCCCAUUUUCUCCUUGUAAUCCACCAAUUAUAGGAUUCCUUAGUUAUUAAGCAAGAAAAAAGGGUGAAUAACCUGAUAUAUAUUGUUUUUGUAAUUUUCAUUGCAGACAUCUCGGGAGCUUGUUCUCAGAGACAACUUUUUGUAUAGUUUUUGAAAGGAAGUAAAAUAUAGAGCUUUGCUCUGCCUUACCUACUCAAUUUGAUUGUAUUUUUCAUUACUAGCCAAACAAGCUCUGAGGAUGUUUCCUCAGAGAAUGGGUUGCUAGACUUUUUGUCUCUUGGAGCUAAGGUAGCCGAGGGAGGUGCCGAAUGCAAGAAUUGAGAGUUUUGUUGUUUCAGCUGUUAAUGAAGAGAAAGUGUAACCCGUUUAUGGUUUCUAUGUUUUUAGUUAACUUAAAACGCCUUCAAUUCACCUGGGCCAACACUUGGUAAUGCAAGUGAUCUCCGUCCAUUGAGAUGCACUAGUUUACCUCUUGCGAGCCUUUGGGAGGUGACUUGAAGGUAGGAUUUUCUAGAAUUGCCAACACUUAGUAAGCUUUUGGACUCUAAGGAGACAUCCAUUAGUUAUCUCUUGCGAGCUUGAGAAGGGAAGUCCAAGGUUAAUGAUCACCUUGAAUGGCAAAUGCUAAGUGAGAGGCACGAGCCAUUGCAAGAUGCAUCAGUGAGAGGGAAUUAGUGUUGAAAUCCAUAAAAGGGGAGCAUUUGUACCACACCGGUUGGAGAAUGAACUAUAUGUUAAUUCUCCAAUGCGAGGAAAAGAACCAAAGUGACCGGAACUCUGUUUUUGCAUGAGGAGCCUGACCCCAGUGAUCCAAAAACUCCAAGAAACGUUUUUCUUUAUAAGUAAUUCCCAUUACUUUCUUUUUAGUUAGCUUGAAACCAAACCUUUUUCAACUAAAGUUUAUGUUUUCUUUUGAAGCUAACCUUGAAAUGAAAAGGCACCAAUUCAACUUUGAAUUGGUAUCAGUUGUAAGUUGAAAACCCUUCCCAGUGAACAAUCCUAGAGCCACUAUGCUAUACUAGCUUAUGCUAUCCUAGUGCAUGGUGAUAUAGGUUAUAAAUUUUGUUGAUUACUCCCAUCAGGGGACCAAAAUCAAGGUACACCAGCUGGGCACGAAUCAAAUGGCGUCAUUGCCAGGGAAGGUGACAACUUCACAGUGAUAUUAUUUCAGAGUACUUGUGAUUUUCAUCACAAGUUUAGUGACUUUUCUUUCAUUUUACUAAUUUUUAAUUAUUUCUUUUACUUGUUCAUAUUCUAAAUAUCUUUUAAUUAAGUUUUAUUUCAUUUUAGUCUUUUUUGUAGUCUUUUUUUUCUUUUGUUUUCUUUUGUUUUUGUUUUAGUUACAAUUGAAACUGGUUGUGUAUGCCAAAUUGGAUACGAGAUAGUGGAGGAAGGCUUGUUAAACGUGAUACACCUCAUAACAAGGAAUUGGAAUUGAGCUUGAAAAUCAUGGAAGCUACGCCUGAAGAUCAGCAUAGUCACCAUGGUCACCAGGACAAUCCCAAUGCUUUCAGAUCAAUGAGGGACCGUAUGCAUCCACCUCAUAUGAGUGCACCAUCAUGCAUAGUGCCCCCUACAGAGUAGCUAGUGAUCAGACCGCAUAUUGUUCCACUUCUACCAACUUUCCAUGGGAUGGAAAGUGAGAAUCCCUAUGCACAUAGAAUUUGAAGAUGUUUGUAAUACAUUCCAAGAAGGAGGAGCUUCAAUCAACUUGAUGAGGCUUAAGUUAUUUCCUUUCACUUUAAAGGAUAAGGCCAAGAUUUGGCUUAAUUCUUUAAGGCCAAGAAGUAUCCGUACUUGGACUGAUUUACAAGCUGAAUUCCUCAAAAAGUUUUUUCCAACUCACAGAACAAAUGGCUUGAAAAGGCAAAUUUCAAACUUCUUAGCUAAAGAGAAUGAGAAAUUCUAUGAGUGUUGGGAAAGAUACAUGGAAGCCAUCAAUGCUUGUCUUCACCAUGGUUUUGAUACAUGGCUAUUGGUGAGUUAUUUCUAUGAUGGGAUGUCUUCCUCAAUGAAGCAACUCCUCGAGACAAUGUGUGGAGGAGAUUUCAUGAGUAAGAAUCCGGAGGAAGCUAUGAAUUUCUUGAGUUAUGUGGCUGAAGUUUCAAGAGGAUGGGAUGAACCAAACAAAGGAGAAGUGGGGAAGAUGAAGUCUCAACCGAGUGCUUUUAAUGCUAAGGUUAGGAUGUACAUCUUGAAUGAAGAUGUUGAUAUGAAAGCAAAGUUUGCAGCUAUGACAAGAACAUUGGAGGAGCUAGAAUUGAAAAAGAUGCAUGAAGUACAAGCUGUUGUUGAAACACCAGUGCAAAUACAGUCGUGUCCUAUUUGUCACUCUUAUGAACACUUGGUGGAGGAGUGCCCUACAAUUCCAGCUGUAAAGGAAAUGUUUAGAGAUCAAGCAAAUGUUGUUGGACAAUUCAAGCCCAAUAACAAUGCUCCAUAUGGAAAUACUUACAACUCAAGUUGGAGGAAUCAUCCAAAUUUCUCAUGGAAGCCAAGAGCACCUCAGUACCAACAGCCGGCUCAACCAUCUCAACAAGCUUCAAGCCUUGAACAAGCAAUAGUGAAUCUCAGCAAGGUUGUGGGAGAUUUUGUUGGAGACCAAAAAGCCAUCAAUGCUCAACUCAGUCCAAGAAUUGACAGUGUAGAAAAUACUUUGAAUAAAAGGAUGGAUGGGAUGAAAAAUGAUUUAUCUCAAAAGAUAGAUAAUCUCCAAUACUCAAUCUCAAGGCUCACUAACUUGAACAUAGUGCAAGAGAAGGGUAGAUUUUCUUCUCAACCUCACCAAAACCCCAAGGGUAUCCAUGAAGUGGAAACUCAUGAGGGAGAAUCUUCACAGGUGAGAGAUGUUAAAGCCUUAAUCACUCUAAGGAGUGGUAAAAAAGUUGAGUUGCCAACACCCAAGCCACAUGUUGAAGAGGAAGAAGAAAAAGAGACAAAGAAGAGGGAGGAAAUCAAAGGAAAGAAGAAAGAUAUCAGUGAAGGGAAAGAGGACCAUGAUUCAAUAGUGAAUGCAAAUCCGGAGAAAAUACUUAUUAAGGAAGAAAUUGAAGAAACACACCUCUCCACCUUUUUCUCAAGCUUUGCAUGGGAAAAAGAGGAUAAAAAAUGCAUAAAAAAUUCUUGAAGUAUUGAGACAAGUGAAAGUCAAUAUUCCAUUGCUGGAUAUGAUUAAACAAGUUCCAACACAUGCAAAAUUCCUAAAGGACUUGUGUACUAUCAAAAGAGGGUUGAAUGUAAACAACAAAGCCUUCUUGACUGAGCAAGUAAGUGCUAUCAUACAAUGCAAGUCUCAUUUGAAGUACAAAGGUCCGGGAUGUCCUACCAUUUCAGUCAUGAUUGGAGGAAAGGUAGUGGAGAAAGCUUUGUUAGACUUGGGAGCAAGUGUGAAUUUGCUACCAUACUCUGUCUACAAGCAAUUGGGACUUGGUGAAUUGAAGCCAACAUCAAUCACUCUAUUUCUAGUAAAUAGAUCAGUGAAAUUUCCAAGGGAGGUAAUUGAAGAUGUCUUAGUUCAAGUUGAUAAUUUCUACUAUCCAGUAGAUUUUGUUGUUCUUGAUAUGGACCCUACUGUCAAGGAAGCUAAUUAUGUUCCUAUAAUCCUUAGAAGGCCAUUCCUUGCUACCUCAAAUGCAAUCAUCAACUAUAGGAAUGGACUCAUGCAACUCACUUUUGGCAACAUGACACUUGAGCUCAAUAUCUUUUAUAUGUCUAAAAAGCAAAUCACUCCGGAAGAAGAAGAAGGUUCAGAGGAGGUAUGCAUUAUUGACACUCUAGUGGAGGAGCACUGUAAUCAGAAUAUGCAAGACAAGUUGAAUGAAAGUCAUGGGGAUCUUGAAGAAGGGUUGCCUAAACCCUCUAAUGUGCUUGCUACUCUACAAGGUUGGAGGAGGAGAGAAGAGAUUCUACCUUUGUUCAAUAAAGAGGAGGCACAAGAAGUUUCUAAAGAAGAGAUCCCAAAGCUCAAUUUGAAGCCUUUGCCCAUGGAGUUGAAAUAAACAUACCUGGAAGAGAAUAAAAAAUGCCCUAUUGUUAUAUCUUCAUCUCUUACUAGUCCUCAGGAAAAGUGUCUACUUGAAGUUCUCAAGAGGUGUAAGAAAGCAAUAGGAUGACAAAUAUCUGACUUGAAAGGCAUUAGUCCUUGAUUCGACUCAUGGUAGCUUAGCUUUAAAGGCGUAUCAACAAAAUUUAUACCUUAAAUACUAUUACUAAAGUAGCCAAGCUACUAUAGCAUAGUGGUUCUAGGAUCGUUCACUGGGAAGGGUUUUCGCAAACACAAGUGAUAUUCAAAUUAGGAAAAUAAGUGAUUUUCUUAUGGAUGUUAGCUUUAAAAGAAGAUGUAAAUGUUUUAGAAAGAUUUAAACUAAUCUAAGCUAACAUUAAAGACUAAAAUGAAAGGGUGUAAAAACAAGUUUCUCAAAGAUAGGAUAGCUAUGCUCUGGCUCUUAUGCAAAUUGGAAAUCUCAGGAUAGGCUCCUCGCGUUGGGGUUGCAACUAUGGUGAUGCUUGCUUCCCGAACCGGUAUGGAUUUAGCAAAUCAAGUUUUAAUCCUUUAAAAUGACAAAACAGAUGGUAGUGAAUUUCAUCAAUGGUUAUUCACCUUAGACUUCCUUUGAAUGGCUCGUAAGAGAUAACUAAUGGUCUAAAGCCAAAAGCUUACCAAAUAUUGGCAACUCAAAGUCAUUCCAGGUGAUAAACUCACCUUUCAAUGGCCAUUGAAAUUGGUUCUAACGGAUUAAUGCAAAACUUGGAAUUGAAAACCUCACCUUCCAAUAGCUCGUAGGAGAUAACUAAUGGAUAGAAAUCCAAAAGCUUAUCAAGUAUUGGCCGUUGGAAGUUGUCCAAAGGAAAUAAAAACCAAACUUUGCAUUAAUGAACCUUUAAUGAAAAACGUCUACCUUACCUUCCAGGUGCGAGAAAUUUCCAUGGGAUUGCAUCCAAGCCAUCACAUAACCUCCAUACUUUGAGAAACUAAAAGUUUUAGCCAAUCAUCCUUUGAGGAAAAGCCCUCAGAGGCUGUUUGGCUACUAAGAAAAUAGAAAUAGUAAAGAGAAAAGAGAGACGAGAGAGCUCUGUAUAUCCCUCAGUGUAAAACGUAACACGCAUGUUCUUUAUCUUCCAAGAGGUGAUUUCCACCCCUUAUAUAGUCUUUACAAAAGCAAAAGCUUGUGAUUGGUUAGUUACAAGGAUAAGAAAGGAAAUUACAUCACAAAAUACAAAGGAAAAUAUCUAAAGUGGAGUCGGCAAAAACAGAGGAAAAUUCGCACCACGCAUGGGUUAUGCGAAUUUUGAAGGUGUUAUGCGAAUUUCGCAUAACACCUUGUGUUGUGCGAAAUUUUCGCACAACCUGGAGCAGUUGGCUUCCGAAGGCCAUAUCUUCCUUAUUUCAGCUCCAAAUCAUACACGGUUUAAAGCGUUGGAUUCUUGACUUCCUGAGCUUUGAAAUGGUAUAUAGUAUGUAGAAAAUGGACUUCGGAAAGUGCUCCAAAAGUGCGAAAGAAGACUGAAGAUGCUGUCCUCUUUGCUUCUCUUCAAUUUGCUUCACUCCUUGCAUACUUUGAACGACUUUGGCAAAGGGCUAUGGAGCUCCAAAGCUUGGUUCUUCAUGAAUUUGAUCUUCCAAAAGCUUUUCCAUAACUUGUCCAAGUAACUCCUCCAUCAUUUGGCAUGCUUGAAUUGAUUCAUAAGCUGAUAAAAACAUGUAAACUUGCCACAAAAUGGUUAAAACCAAUUACUAAGGACCUUAAUAAAUUAAUUGGGUUAAAUGAAUAUGAUUACUACUCAAAGGUGCUUAAAACCAUUAUAAUUAAGUCUACAAAAUAGCACUUUUUGGUAGUAAUCAGUCCUUUGGUUUGUACACAUCAUAUAUACAUGGAGGAAGAAGCUAAACCAAUUCGUCAGCCUCAAAGAAGAUUGAAUCCUCAUUUGCAAGAGGUGGUGCGAGUUGAAGUGCUGAAGCUACUUCAAGUAGGUAUUAUCUACCCCAUAUCUGACAGCCCUUGGGUGAGUCCUACUCAAGUGGUACCAAAGAAUUCAGGGAUUACUAUGGUUCAAAAUGAAAAAAGAGAAGAAAUUACUACACGCCUCACUUCAGGUUGGAGGGUGUGUAUAGAUUAUAGAAAAUUGAAUGUUGUGACAAGGAAAGAUCAUUUUCCAUUGCCAUUUAUUGAUCAAGUCUUGGAGAGAGUCUCUGGCCAUCCUUUCUAUUGUUUCUUGGACGGAUACUCCGGAUAUUUCCAAAUUGAAAUUGAUGUUGAAGAUCAAGAGAAGACCAUUUUCACAUGUCCACUUGGAGCAUAUGCCUAUAGAAGAAUGCCUUUUGGUUUAUGCAAUGCACCUGCAACAUUCCAAAGAUGUAUGCUAAGUAUCUUUAGUGAUAUGGUGGAGCGAAUUAUGGAGGUUUUCAUGGAUGACAUCACCAUAUAUGGAGGUACAUUUGAAAAAUGCUUAGUCAACUUGGAAGCGGUUCUUAAUAGAUGCAUUGAGAAGGACUUGGUGCUUAAUUGGGAGAAAUGUCAUUUUAUGGUACAUCAAGGAAUUGUCCUUGGCCAUAUCAUCUUCGAGAAAGGCAUUGAAGUUGAUAAAGCAAAGGUGGAACUUAUUGUCAAAUUGCCAUCCCCAACAACUGUAAAAGGAGUAAGGCAAUUCCUUGGCCAUGCAGGGUUCUAUAGGAGAUUUAUAAAAGAUUUCUCUAAGCUUUCAAAGCCUCUUUGUGAACUUUUAGCUAAAGAUGUUGAGUUUAUAUGGGAUGAAAGAUGUCAAAAGAGUUUUGAUCAACUGAAGCAAUUCUUGACAACAACUCCAAUAGUGAGGGCUCCUAACUGGCAACUGCCCUUUGAAGUAAUGUGUGAUGCCAGUGACUUUUCUAUAGGAUUUGUGCUUGGCCAAAGAGAAGAUGGAAAGCCCUAUGUGAUCUACUAUGCAAGCAAGACAUUGAACGAAGCUCAAAGGAACUACACAACUACAGAGAAAGAAUUGUUAGUUGUAGUGUUUGCCUUAGACAAGUUUUGUGCUUAUCUAGUAGGGUCUUUCAUCAUUGUUUUCACUGACCAUUCAGCCUUGAAGUAUUUAUUGACAAAACAAGAUGCAAAAGCAAGGUUGAUUAGAUGGAUUCUCUUAUUACAAGAGUUCGAUCUCCAAAUCAGAGAUAAGAAAGGAGUGGAGAAUGUGGUAGCUGACCACCUUUCAAGGUUAGUUAUAGCACACAAUUCCCAUGUCCUACCUAUUAAUGAUGAUUUUCCUGAGGAAUCACUCAUGUUGCUAGAAAAAACUCCUUGGUAUGCUCAUAUUGCUAACUAUUUAGUUACUGGUGAAGUUCCAAGUGAGUAGAAAGUACAAGACAGGAAGCACUUCUUUGCAAAGAUUCAUGCUUAUUAUUGGGAAGAGUCUUUCCUUUUCAAGUAUUGUGCAGAUCAAAUAAUAAGGAAGUGUGUCCCUGAAGAAGAGCAACAAGGAAUCCUCAGCCAUUGCCAUGAAAGUGCAUGUGGAGGCCACUUUGCCUCUCAAAAAACAGCCAUGAAGGUGUUGCAAUUAGGGUUUACUUGGCCAUCACUCUUCAAAGAUGCCCACAUCAUGUGUAGGAGCUGUGAUAGAUACCAAAGGCUCAGGAAGCUAACAAAAAGAAAUCAAAUGCCUAUGAACCCCAUUCUAAUAGUUGAUUUCUUUGAUGUUUGGGGCAUUGACUUCAUGGGACCUUUCCCAAUGUCUUUUGGUAACUCUUAUAUCUUGGUGGGGGUGGACUAUGUUUCUAAAUGGGUUGAGGCAAUCCCCUGUAAACACAAUGAUCACAAGGUGGUUCUCAAGUUUCUCAAAGAGAACAUCUUCUCAAGAUUUGGGGUGCCCAAGGCCAUAAUCAGUGAUAGAGGUACUCAUUUUUGCAAUAGACCCUUUGAAACCCUAUUAGCCAAGUAUGGAGUGAAGCAUAAGGUAGCUACACCUUAUCACCCUCAGACUUCCGGGUAAGUUGAGCUAGCAAACAGGGAAAUCAAGAAUAUAUUGAUAAAGCUGGUGAUUACGAGCAAAAGAGAUUGGUCUAUUAAGCUUUAUGAUUCACUAUGGGCAUAUAAAACAGCUUACAAGACUAUUCUUGGCAUGUCUCCAUAUCGCCUAGUCUAUGGCAAAGCAUGACAUCUCCCUGUGGAAGUUGAAUAUAAGGCUUGGUGGGUAAUCAAGAAGUUAAACAUGGACUUGAUCAGAGCCAGGGCAAAGAGGUGCUUAGACCUUAAUGAGAUGGAGGAAUUAAGAAAUGAUGCUUACAUCAAUUCCAAAGUUGCAAAACAGAGGAUGAAGAGGUGGCAUGAUCAAUUAAUCUCCAAUAAAGAAUUCCGGAAAGGACAAAGAGUCUUACUCUAUGAUUCAAGGCUCCAUAUCUUUCCUGGGAAGCUUAAGUCAAGGUGGAUAGGCCCUUUCAUUAUUCACCUAGUGCAUCCCAAUGGAGUGGUGGAAUUACUGAAUUCCAAUAGCACUGACACUUUUAAAGUCAAUGGUCAUCGUCUCAAGCCAUUCAUUGAGCCAUACAAGCAAGAAAAUGAGGAAAUCAACCUCCUUGAGCCAUAGAAAGCCUAAUCAGAAAAGGGUUAGAUGGGCUUGGUUUCACCAAAGUCCAUAUUUUUGUUAAAUUUUGUUAAUUUAAAAGCUUUAUUAAUUCUUUUGAUUUUAAUUUUGGUCUUAAGUUUUGUUAUUUAUAUGUAACUUAAUUUUUUUGAAUGAUCUAAUGUAGGAGGAAUUGCAAAGAAAAUGAAGAAAGGUCUCUUGGAGCUAAAAAGGAGUUCAAAACCAAGGGAAAAUUCAUGGCCUGCGAGAUUUCGCAGAAAAAUGAGGCCUCUGUGAAAAUGGCCCUUGCUGCGAAAUCAUUUCGCAGCCCCAUGCCCCCUUCUGCGAAAAUUUUCGCAGUUGCGAAACCCCCUCUUGGCACACGAGUGCCAUUUCGCAACACAGUACCCCCAUUUCGUAGCUGUGAAAUGGCUGCUGAUUCGACUCAUGGUAGCUUAGCUUUAAAGGCGUAUCAACAAAAUUUAUACCUUGAAUACUAUUACUAAAGUAGCCAAGCUACUAUAGCAUAGUGGUUCUAGGAUCGUUCACUGGGAAGGGUUUUCGCAAACACAAGUGAUAUUCAAAUUAGGAAAAUAGGUGAUUUUCUUAUGGAUGUUAGCUUUAAAAGAAGAUGUAAAUAUUUCAGAAAGAUUUAAACUAAUCUAAGCUAACAUUAAAGACUAAAAUGAAAAGGUGUAAAAACAAGUUUCUCAAAGAUAGGAUAGCUAUGCUCUGGCUCUUAUGCAAAUUGGAAAUCUCAGGAUAGGCUCCUCGCGUUGGGGUUGCAACUAUGGUGAUGCUUGCUUCCCGAACCGGUAUGGAUUUAGCAAAUCAAGUUUUAAUCCUUUAAAAUGGCAAAACAGAUGGUAGUGAAUUUCAUCAAUGGUUAUUCACCUUAGACUUCCUUUGAAUGGCUCGUAAGAGAUAACUAAUGGUCUAAAGCCAAAAGCUUACCAAAUAUUGGCAACUCAAAGUCAUUCCAAGUGAUAAACUCACCUUUCAAUGGCCAUUGAAAUUGGUUCUAAUGGAUUAAUGCAAAACUUGGAAUUGAAAACCUCACCUUCCAAUAGCUCGUAGGAGAUAACUAAUGGAUAGAAAUCCAAAAGCUUAUCAAGUAUUGGCCAUUGGAAGUUGUCCAAAGGAAAUAAAAACCAAACUUUGCCUUAAUGAACCUUUAAUGAAAAACGUAUACCUUACCUUCCGGGUGCAAGAAAUUUCCAUGGGAUUGCAUCCAAGCCAUCACAUAACAUCCAUACUUUGAGAAACUAAAAGUUUUAGCCAAUCAUCCUCUAAGGAAAAGCCCUUAGAGGCUGUUUGGCUACUAAGAAAAUAGAAACGGGAGAACAGGAGAAGAGAGAAAAACAGAGCAAGGCUCCGUCUGUAUAUAUGCGUCUAUGUCUUCAAGAGGUGAUUUCCACCCCUAAUAUAGUCUUUACAAAAGCAAAAGCUUGUGAUUGGUUAGUUACAAGGAUAAGAAAGGAAAUUACAUCACAAAAUACAAAGGAAAAUAUCUAAAGUGGAGUCGGAAAAGGCAGAGCAAAAUUCGCAACACGCAUGGGUUAUGCGAAUGUUAUGCGAAUUUCGCAUAACACCUUGUGGAAUGCGAAAUUUUCGCAUAACCUGGAGCAGUUGGAUUCCGAAGGCCAUAUCUUCCUCAUUUCAGCUCCAAAUCGUGCAUGGUUUGAAGCGUUAGAUUCUUGACUUCCAGAGAUUUGAAAUGGUAUAUAGUAUGCAAAAAAUGGACUUCGGGAAGUGCUCCAAAAGUGCGAAAGAAGACUGAAGCUGCUGUCCUCUUUGCUUCUCUUCACUUUGCUUGCUUUUCCUCUUUGCUUCUCUUUGCUUGUGCUCGUGUUUCCACUUGAAAUUCAAGCCUGUAAAUGUCCAAAAUCCUUGCUUUAACUUGUCCAAGUAGCUCCUCCAUCAUUUGGCAUGCUUGAAUCAAUUCAUAAGCUGAUAAAAACAUGUAAACUUGCCACAAAAUGGUUAAAACCAAUUACUAAGGACCUUAAUGAAUUAAUUGGGUUGAAUGAAUAUGAUUGCUACUUAAAGGUGCUUAAAACCAUUAUAAUUAGGUCUACAAAAUAGCACUUUUUGGUAGUAAUCAGCUGCAAAAUCCCCAAAGCGUGAAAUCUCCAAUUUUCGUAGCCAAAGCCCCAUUUCGCAAGGUGUUUCGCAGUUGCGAAAGACCCCCUUGGCACACGAGUGCCAUUUCGUAGCACAGUAGCCUCAUUUUGCAGUUGCGAAAUGGGCUGCGAAAAGGGCCCUCCGCUGCGAAAUCCACCCUCCUCUGCAAAAAUUAAAACGACCCUUGGCAUCCAAUUUUUUAACGGUAUAAAUUCCACAUUUCUAAUAAACCGGUCAUUUGAACUUCAAACAGGUGCCAGAGAAGAGCCAAAACAGAGCAACCUUCCAUUUUCUCCCUCCUAUAUGAGCCUAAGCUACGCGUGCCUCCGCCCAUCUCCUUCGGUCAGCCAUGGCAAGAACCCGAGGAGCUAAGUCUUCGUCUCUGUCAAGCCGCAAGAGAGCCGCAAAUGAGACCCCUGUUCAAGGCUCCAUGUUCGAGCCUCCGCGACCACGAGUCGUCCCACCUCCAGUUGAGGACGCACCGAUGAGUCCUCCGGUAAGGCGCUAUCAAACCAGGUCAAGUAGCCAUCCCCCGAAGAAGAAAGCUAGGGUAUCCGAGCCAAAGCUAAUUGACUUAUCAAAGCCGUCUUCAGAGCCUCUACAAGAGCCUCACCGUUCUCAGCCACCAUCCAAAGAGCCUCAACUGUCUCAGCCACCAGCUACAAAUUCUCAGAUUCCCUCAGGCAUGACUCCUGAGAUGCUUAUUAGGCGUCCCAUGCUCACUCAGCCGCCCAUUGAGGGUAAUUUGGAUUGCAGGGCUAAGCCAUUCCACUCUGAGAUCUGCUUCGACACAGCCACUUUCAGACUUCAGCUCGAGCUCAGGGACUCCUUCCAUCUGCUACAGAGGUACCAUAUGGAGCAUUUGCUAACUCCCAAGGAUUUUUUCUGUCCCCGUGUAGCAAUGGACUUCUAUCAGUCCAUGACCACACACCAGGUCUGAGAUCUUACUGUUAUCCACUUCACCAUAGACGGACAUCAUGGCAUUCUGGGAGCUAGUACAUAGUAGAGGCAUUGCGUAUUCCCUACGAGCCAGCCCAUCCAGAGGAUUAUCGAGUCUGGACUCAUCCUGCCCAGAGCGACAUAGUUCAUAUUCUGUCCAGAGGAGCAUCCUCGCGCCAGUAUCUAUUGAGGAAGGAGCUCCCUCAUAGCAUGUUUUUCAUAGAUGCACUCCUGCGCCAUAACAUCUUUCCACUUCUGCAUUGGGUGCAGAGGAGAGGAGUUUUGCUAGAGGCAUUGUUCAAGAUAUCUAAGGGAUUCUUCUUUGGCCCUCAUCAUCUCAUUAUGGCCGCUCUUCUGUACUUCGAAGAGAAAGUCCAUAGGAAGAAGCUGCUCAGAGCGGAUGCUAUUCCACUUCUCUUCCACAGAUUGCUAUGUCAGAUUCUGGAGCACUUGGGGUAUCCAUCUGACCCUCAGCUUGAGUGCAAACGUAUUUGCCGAGAGAUAUUCACUCUCAAAAAAUGGAUGAAUAUGACAGCCUAUAGUGCAGACCAGGGAGCCCCAACUGGAGCAGAGCAUCCAGAGCAGCCAGAGGAGCCACAGCCGGUUGAGAUACCAGCUGACAUGAGAGCACCUACCCUUGCAGUGCCCUCUACAAAGCCUAUACCAGAGGUUGCACCCUCUGCUCCUCCUACCACACCACGGACUCCCCCUGUUAUUCCAGCUACAUCAGAGCCCUCUCCUUCAUCUGAGCCUAGGAUUGCUAUAUUCAUUUCCGAGUACAGAGGUCUAUGUCACACUUUACAGGCAUUGACCACUUCUCAGAGCAUCCUUACUUAGGAGAUGACAGCUCUUCGUGCUCACCAAGAGCACAUUAUCGCCACUCAGACUAAGCAUACUACCAUCUUGAGGCAGAUUCAGCACCACCUGGGUAUUCCAUCAGCUCCUGAGCACCCCAUUCCUAUCUUCUCAAAGCCCACAAAGCCAUCACAGGCCCCUCUUUUCGUAAAGCAGGCUUUUCCCUCUGAGGAGCCGACUACAGGAGAUGCAGAGACAUCCACCUGAGCCAUCAUCAUCUUCCCUCUAUCUGAUCAUUUCCAUACUUUUCUUUAUGUAUUUGCAUUUGUAAUCCCAUGCUUUUGAUAUUUUAUAUAUUGGGAUUGGUUGUAUUACUUGUUUACCUUUAUAUUGUACUUUCAUGAAGUAAUACAAAUCUAUCAAUUUUUUAGCACUCUUAGCAUUGUUUUAUUUUAAUUCCUCUACUCAUAUCUUUUGUUGUUUUUGAAACAUGUGGUUUCUCCUAAUCUAAUCGAACUUCAUAUCACUCAGGAGCUACCACUUCCUCCCUGUAAUUUCAAUCGCUCAUGUCACAUUGAGGACAAUGUUCAGCUUGGUUGGGGGGAGAGUUGAGGAAGGAAGUUUUUUGUUGUUAAUACUAAGUAUUUUCGUAAUUUAUUUUAUUUUUGUUUAAUUUAAAAAUUUUUUUGUAAGUUUUUAUUCCACUCUCCAUGGUUAUUAAGGACAAAUUCUCAAAUUAAAAUAAGAGAAAUCGAAUUUUUGUUUUUACUUGACUUAGACUUUGUAUUAUGCUUAUUAAAGUUGAUGAAUUGUUGAAACUUCUAUUGAAUUCAACUUUAGUUCUUCCACUUUAAGCUAUUCACACACUGUGCAAAAUAGGUUCCGAGUAUAAGAUGAAAAACUAUUUCCCUCUUGACUUAGGAAAAUUUAGACUUGGUACCUUUGACCUCAUUUAAUAGUGUUGGGACACCUUAUAAAAGGCCAAUGAGCCUUUGAAAAAAAAAGAGAAAGAAAGAAAAAUGUUUGCUUGCCUUGAAACCCGAGCAAGGUCUGAGGGGUAUAUGGUGAAAAUCUUUAAAACCUGGUGCCCUAAGCCUUCAUUGGUUGGGAGUCACCGACCUCAAUGCUCGUUACAAGGGUGAAUAGGUGGAGUUUAACAUACUGUAGGUGCUUGGGUAUUAAAAUUCAUUCUCAAAAGUCCGAGGUAAAAUCCGAGGAGUUAGUGGUUGAAAGAUCCUUAAAGCUUGAUGCCCUAAACCUUAAUUGGUUGGGAGUCAUCGAUGGACCCCCGUUUCAUGGACAAUUUAGAAAAGAAUACCUUUAAGCCUUGUACUCCUACAAUGAAAAAAAAAUGUGAAAUAAAAGGGUGCAUUCUUAGCCUAUUGAAUUUGGUCAGUUUGCUAAGUGUUGAAAAAUAACUAGGUUAGGGGGAGAGACUAGUUUAGCAUACUAUAUUCGGAAGCUAUCAAGUAACACUUAGAUUUUUGUGGAAGAGUAAGGUUUGGUCCUUUGGAAGUGGAAAUGAUUUUAAAGCUUCAAUUUGCAUAAUACCUUCUCUUUAUGAAUUGUGAUUAAGUAAAGUAUUUGAUAACUCUUGCUGAAAUUUGAGUUUUAUAUCUUUAAUGUCCCAUGUGAGAGUUUGAUCAUCAUGCCACUUAAAAAUUUUUGAAGUGAUCAGCAUGAUUUUGUAAAGUAUAUUACUGUUUAGUUUAUUUUUUUCUCUCCUUUAUUGCUAAGAGACUAGCAAUAUGUCGGUUGGGGGGAGUGAUUACUACUCAAAAAGUGCUAUUCAAUAGCUUGUAAUUAACUCUUUUAAACACUUUUGAGUAGUAGUUAUUACCUUUUAACCCAAUUAGCAUAUUAAGUACCUUUGCAAUCGUUUCUAAUCAAAUUGUGUAAGUUUUGGUGCUUUUGAUAGUAAUUUGAUCACCAAAGCAAUCCAAGAUUAAGGAGAGCUCUAUGGAAUCCAUGGCAAAGCAAUUGGAAUCUCAUUUACAUGAAGAACCUAAGCUUUGAAGCUUUAUAGUCCUUUGUCAUAAACAAAUCAUGAAUGCAAGGAUGAAAGCGAAGAGAGAAAUCUAACAUGAAGAAUUCAAGAGGACAUCAACUAUUUGACACUUUUGGAGCACUUUUUGAAGUCCAUUUGAUGCAUACUAUAUGUCGUUUCGAAUCUCGGGAAGUCAGAAAUCCAAUGCUUUAAACAGUGUACAAAUCGGAGUUGAAAUGAAGAAGUUAGAGCCAUUGGAAGCCGAUCACACCAAGUUGAAGGCCAAUUUCGCAGGCUGUGAAAUAAUUUCGCAGCCAUCUUAUACGUCUGCGAAAUUUCGUAGCCAUUUUGUGCGCCUGCAAAAUUCUCCUGAGUGCUUCUAGAUAUUUGCGACCGACAUUUUUUGAUAUUUUGCAUCAGACAUUUGAUGUCUAAAUCCCCAUUUUCUCCUUGUAAUCCACCAAUUAUAGGAUUCCUUAGUUAUUAAGCAAGAAAAAAAGGUGAAUAACCUGAUAUAUAUUGUUUUUGUAAUUUUCAUUACAGACAUCUCGGGAGCUUGUUCUCAGAGACAACUUUUUGUAUAGUUUUUGAAAGGAAUUAAAAUAUAGAGCUUUGCUCUGCCUUACCUACUCAAUUUGAUUGUAUUUUUCAUUACUAGCCAAACAAGCUCUGAGGAUGUUUUCUCAGAGAAUGGGUUGCUAGACUUUUUGUCUCUUGGAGCUAAGGUAGCCGAGGGAGGUGUCAAAUGCAAGAAUUGAGAGUUUUGUUGUUUCAGCUGUUAAUGAAGAGAAAGUGUAACCUGUUUAUGGUUUCUAUAUUUUUAGUUAACUUAAAACGCCUUCAAUUCACCUGGGCCAACACUUGGUAAUGCAAGUGAUCUCCGUCCACUGAGAUGCACUAGUUUACCUCUUGUGAGCCUUUGGGAGGUGACUUGAAGGUAGGAUUUUCUAGAAUUGCCAACACUUGGUAAGCUUUUGGACUCUAAGGAGACAUCCAUUAGUUAUCUCUUGCGAGCUUGAGAAGGGAAGUCCAAGGUUAAUGAUCACCUUGAAUGGGAAAUGCUAAGUGAGAGGCACGAGCCAUUGCAAGAUGCAUCAGUGAGAGGGAAUUAGUACUGAAAUCCAUAAAAGGGGAGCAUCUGUACCACACCGGUUGGAGAAUGAACUAUAUGUUAAUUCUCCAAUGCGAGGAAAAGAACCAAAGUGACCGGAACUCUGUUUUUGCAUGAGGAGCCUGACCCCAGUGAUCCUAAAACUCCAAGAAACGUUUUUCUUUAUAAGUAAUUCCCAUUACUUUCUUUUUAGUUAGCUUGAAACCAAACCUUUUUCAACUAAAGUUUAUGUUUUCUUUUGAAGCUAACCUUGAAAUGAAAAGGCACCAAUUCAACUUUGAAUUGGUAUCAGUUGUAACUUGAAAACCCUUCCCAGUGAACGAUCCUAGAGCCACUAUGCUAUACUAGCUUAUGCUAUCCUAGUGCAUGUUGAUAUAGGUUAUAAAUUUUGUUGAUUACUCCCAUCAGGGGACCAAAAUCAAGGUACACCAGCUGGGCACGAAUCAUUUAAUCUUGUAUCCAUUGGGUCCUUUGAUAAGUUUCUUGGAUAUCCUUUUGAAUUUCCAAACUAAAACUUGAAAUUCUUUUAAUUUAAAAUAAUUAGCAACUUAACCAUGGUUUGUUAUCAUUAAAACACGAUUAGGAGAACCUUUGGGCUAACAUAGUAUGUUAAUGAGCCUAUUUAUUUUUCAAAUUUUUUAUAUGAUUAUUUAAUAAGAUUAUUGUUAAAUUACUAUGGAUGCAAUUUAGGGAAGACAAAGACCCUAAUUGUUUUUUUUAUUUUUAUUGUUUGCAAACUUAAUGAAUUAUUUUGAGUUAUGUUAUUUAAAUUGUUGGAUUAAUUUUACAUAAUAUAUUAUUGUGACAUUAUAAUAUAAAAAUAAGUAAUAUCAUUUAGUUACCUUCAAUUCUAUUACUAUAGCUAUUUGAUAGACAGUAUUAAUUUAGUAAUGUUAUUUUAAUAGUUUAAACCAUAGGAAAUAUAAUCUAAGCUUAAAAUAUUAAUAUUUAUGUUUUUUAAAUGAUAUAUAAUGUACUUAUUUUUCUAAGGAAUGUAUUUAUUUUUAAGUUAAGAUGUACUUAUUUUCAAAUAGGAUGCACUUAUUUUUUCCAAUGACGUACCUAGUAUCAAAGCAUGAUAGAUGAGAUGUGCGAACAUCAUAAAUGCAUGCCUAGACCUAUAAAAAUGGAUGAUCUUGUCCAAUAUCUUGUUCAAUAUGCUUUGAUAAAAGGUACAUCAUUGGCAAAAAUAAAUGUAUCCUAUUUGAAAAUAAGUACAUCUUGUUUAAAAAUAGGUACACCAUAUGUAUAUCAUGCAUGUGACUCAUUUGCUCUAAUUUGGACAUGAUCUUCCAUUUUUGUAGGCCUAGGCAUGCAUUUAUUGACAUAAGCUAUAUUGGACAAGGGCUUUCACUUUUAUGGGCCUUGGAAUGCAUUUGAAGCUUUUAGCCAUCCCAUUUUGCAUCCUAGAACCCUAGGUACAUCAAUUGGAAAAAUAGAUACAUGGCAUUGAAAAAUAAGCACAUCUUCACAAAAAAUAAGUACAUCUCAUUUAAACUAUAUACCUAACGCAUUUGUCCUAUUUUGGACAUGAGCUUUUACUUUUAUAGGCCUCAAAAUGUAUUUAGGGUCUUCCCACAUCCCAUUUUGUAUCCUAGAACCUUAGGUACAUCCCUUGGAAAAAUAGGUACAUUGUGUUAAAAAAUAUGUACAUCUUUUGAAAAAUAAGUACUUUGCAUUUAAAUUGUAUAACUGACUUAUUUGGCCAAUUCUAAGUAUGAUUUUUCACUUUUAUAGGUCUUGAGAUGCAUUUGAGGCCUUCACACAUCCCAUUUCACAUCGUAGAACUUUGGGUAUAUCCUUAGGAAAAAUAAAUACAUCAUAUUGCAAAAUAGUACAUUCCCUUAAAAAAUAAGUACAUAUUAUUUUCAUUCUAUGGGUGACUUGUUUGGCUUAUUCCUAUCAUGCACUUUCACUUUUAUAGGUCUCAUAAUGCUUUUGAGGCCCUCACACAUCUCAUUUCUCAUUCUAAAACCUUGGGUACAUCCCUUGAAAAAGUAGGUUCAUCUUGUUGAAAAAUAAGUAUAUCAUCUUAAAGCAUAAGCACAUCGAAUUUACAUUGUAUAACUGAUUCAUUUCACUUCUUAUACACAUUCAUUAUUUAUUUGAGUUAUAGGUUCAAGUGACUAAUUCUGGAACAAGCAUAAAGCAUAAUCAAGUUGCUUAACUUUACUUAUGUACUACUAGUUAAGCAUGACACAUUAUGGUAUAUCAUUCAUGAAUAUGAAUAGGUAUAAGACUCAUCAUUCAUUCUAUAGGAAAAAGGGAACAUUUUAUGAACACUAUGUACACAAGUCAUUUGAUAGUAAUUAAGACAACAUGUAUGUUCUUUGUCCUAUCACGCAUUAAAAAAAAAUUAGUUUAGUUUUUAAGAUCAAUUUCAUUAUUAUUUGGUUUCGAUGUUAUGUAGCUAUUUUUUUCCUAUGGAUGCACAAAAGGUUCCAUGAUAUACUAAUUUUUCCUUGUCCAAAAUAGGCCAAAUGAGUAUUUUAAUUUAAUGUAAAUGCAAUGUACUUAUUUUUUAAGUGAAUGUACUUAUUUUUUAACAUGAUGUACCUAAUUUUCCAAUGGAUGUAACUAUGGGUUCUAGGAUGUGGAACAAGAUAUGGGAAGACCUCAAAUGUAUCUUGAGGCCUGUAAAAGUACAAGCUCAUGUCCAAAAUAGACAAAUGAGUCACCUAUACAAUUUAAAUAUUUAAGAGGGUGUAAUUAAUUUUCAACACAACGUACCUAUUUUUCCAAGGGAUGUACCUAGGUUCUAGGAUGCAUAAUGAGAUAUGGGAAGACCUUAAAUGCAUCUUAAGGCCUAUAAAAAUAAAAGCCCAUGUCCAAAAUAAGCAGAAUGUCACCUUUACAAUGUAAAUGCAAUGUACUUAUUUUUUAAGUGGAUUCACUCAUUUUUCAAUGGGAUUUUUUAACUUUUGUAGCAAUUUUUAAAAAUAAUUAUUAAAAAAUGGUAGUUGGGAAAAUAUUAAUAGAUCUACGGCGGUUUUGGCCACGUGGAAGGUGUCUUUUGAAGAGACACCUUCCACAAUUUUCAAAAUCAUGAUACUAAUUUAAAAGAAUUGAAUUUAAGCUAAAGGUGUCUCUUCAAGAGACACCUUCUACAAUCCCAGAAAAUUGGAUUUAUAUUAAAGGUGUCUCUUGAAAAGACACUUUCCACGUGGCAAAAAAUCCAAUAUGAAUUAAAGGUGUCUCUUCAAGAGACACCUUCUACAAUUCCAAAAAAUUUUAAUUUAUACAAAAUGUGUCACUUAAAGAGACACUUUCCACAAUUCCACAAUUCCAUAAAUUCCAAUAUAUAUUAAAGGUGUCUCUUCAAGAUACACCUUCUACAAUUCCAAAAAAUUGGAUUUAUACUAAAGGUGUCUCUUGAAAAGACACUUUCCAUAAUUCCAUAAAAUCCAAUAUGUAUUAAAAAUUGUGGAAAUGAUUUUAAAGCUAAAGAUGUCUCUCUUCAACAUAAAUUCGAAAUUUUCCACUGUGUAUGGAAAUUGUGGACAAUGUCUCUUCAAAAGACACCUUUAGUAUAAUUCCAUUUUUUGAGAAUUGUGAAAGGUGUCUCUUCCACAAAUUUAAAAAAAAUUGGGUUUAUACUGAAGAGACACUUUCCAUAAUUUCAAUUCAAACAAUGGAAAAUUUUGAAUUUAUGCUAAAGGUGUCUCUUCAAGAGAUACCUUCCACAAUUCCCAAAAAAAUGGAAUUAUACUCAGACGCCUUUCAUAAUUUUUAAAAAAUUGGGUUUAUACUGAAAGUGUCUCUUCAGAAGAGACACUUUCCACAAUUUUCAUACACAGUGGAAAAUUUCGAAUUUUGAAAAGACAUAUUUUACAAUUCCCAAAAAAUGGAAUUAUACUAAAGGUGUCUCUUGAAGAGACACCUUCCAUAAUUUUAAAAAAAUUGGGUUUAUACUGAAAGUGUCUCUUCAAGAGACACUUUCCACAAUUUCAUACACAAUAGAAUAUUUCAAAUUUAUGCUAAAGGUGUUUCUUCAAGAGACACCUUCCACAAAAGGAAAAAAAAAUUAUAUCUCUUAAUUAGUAUUACCUGCUAUACAACCAAAUGUUUAAAGUUUAUCCCCUGUAUACAUUAUAAUCAAUAUUUUGACAUUCAAUCCAAAACCAAUGAAAAUAAGUAAACCAAAUGUCAAUUAAGUCAACACAUUUCCAAAAUAGUAACAAUACUAUUUUGUGUAAAAUAAAUCCAAAAUAGAUAGAAUACUAGAGAACUUACGUUAAUAAAAAGUUAGUUUAUCCAAAAUAUAACAAGUAUAAAUAUACAUCUUGAGUAUUUGUCAAAAAUAAUGAUAUGCAAAAUACUAACAGUAUCCAAAAUACAAGUCAUAUGUAGUAACAUCCUCAAUGUGUACCGCAUGAAGGAGCCUUCCUCUUCCAUUGUGGACAUCCAUGAUAUGCAUGCUCCACUAUUGGCUCUAUGGGGCUAACAUGUACCCCUCUAUGAGCUCGACAACCACGUCUCCUACCACGUCCUCAACCAUGUCCUCGACCAUGAUCAUUCUUUUGUCCUUGUUGAUCAUCAUUUGCUAUAUGAACUAACUUCUCAUCAACCAAUGUAACCUCUAUCGAUUGUGGUGAUGAUGCAACAAGUAGUACUAUAGGUGGGUUAGAUGGCACCUCCAUAUGUGUAAUACGAGUCUCCUCAACAGGUGGCGGGCUAAUGUCAGUCGAUGGUGCAUUUCUAAGAACAAAUGUAUGCUUAGUCACUCUCGUAUAAGCCCCUCUCCCUCUAGUCCGUACACCUCAUGAUCAAGUAAUGGAUGAUAUCAGUUGCUGAUGAGGUGGUGGAUUACAAUAAAGUGGACGUACCAUUAUGGGAAAUAGCACAUCUCAUUUGAAGAAGAGAGUCCUUUUGAUAUAAUCUAGGCAUUAAAGUUUAUCAUCGAGAUCAACUCAAAUGAAUCGCUACAUGAUUUGUACGCUCCCUUAAUUUUAUUUUCCUUAUAUUUUUUUCCUUCAUAUUAAUUCCACCACCAAAUCUGAUAAAAUCAAAAUUAAGUUUUAUAAGCCUCUAAGUGAUAAAUAAAAAAAAAAAAAAAAGCCUUCUAUCGAGAAAGGGGGUUAUUUCUGAACAUGGAGAGUCGGCAUAGAAGACCUUUAUUGAAAAUGGUGUUGAUGCUUUGAAAAGUUUGAAUGGACGAGACUCUAAGUUGAGUUGAUGGGAAGAGCAAGAGACGCAGUUUAUUGGGACUUUAAGAGAAAUAUUUUUCUCUUCCACACCAUCCUUUGACAUCAGUCACUUGUAACUCAUCAAUUGACCAACUUCGUUUAUAUGAUUUAUUAUUAUUUUUUUCCAGUUUUCUAAUGAAAAUAUUUCUUUGGUUUGAAGAAAUAUUCAUGUUAAUGGUUCGGAUAGAGAAAGAUAAGAUUGAAUCAAAUCAAAUUUAUUUUAAUUAAUCAAAUUCAAUUUAAUGUAUUCAUUUUAUACAAGAUAAACUAUUUAAUUUUAACAAAUAAAAAGAUAGUAUAUCCAUUUUUAUAUAUGAUAACUUGAUUUGAAUAUAUAUAAUUUUUUUUUUUGUAACCCCUGUUUGAUUCCAAAGAAAAUCCAUCCCCCAUUCGAUUUCCAAAAAAAUUCAUCCUCAUUUGAUUUAUGAGAAAAUCCAUGCAAAACCCCCAAGGAAAACCAAAAAAAUUGCUUUUUUUAUUUAUUUUUUUGCUCUCUAUGCUUUAUGGAUUUAUUCUAGGGGUCUCUGUGGAUGUACUCAACGUCUUAUGCAAUCAUGAAAUAACAUGAAUUGAGUGGAUGUUAUUGCAUAAUAACAUUGAUAGACAAGACUAUUAGAAAAGAGAGCACCACUUUUAUAUAUAUAAAGUAACAGUUAAGUGUGCUAAAAGUACCACCAUGCUAAAAGUGUAUUACACUUUUUAUGUACUACUUUUUCAUAAAAUAAAAUAAAUGGUACCCUCUUUUCUAAGGAUUGUGUCAAUUGGUGUUAUUGUGCAAAACACCCACUCAAUUCACAUUAUUUUAUCAUCACAUAUGACGUCGAGUAUGUAACAAGCGAUAAUAGAUCUUACCCUAAACCAAAUAAGAGAAGUACAUUCUUCCCACCACAAUGAAACUAAAAAAAGAGUGACAUAUUCUUCCCACCACAGUACUACUUUUAACAUAGUACAUUUUUCAUUCAUGAGUGGUACCAUUUUUUUUCAAAGGUUGUGUUGACUGUUGUUAUUGCACAAUAACAUCCACCCAAUUCAUGUUAUUCAAUCAUUACAUAAUACAUUAAGCAUGUAACGGGUGGUAACAUACCUUAAACCAAAGAAGAGUGAUACACUAUUUCCACCAUAGUGGUACAUUUAUCACACUUCAGUGGUAUUUUCUUUUUAUAAAUAAAUGGUAUGCACUUUUCCAAAGGUUGUAUUGAUCAAUGUUAUUAUGAAAUAACACUCAUUGAAUUCAUGUUAUUUCACCAUUAAUAAGACAUCUAGCAUGCAACGAAUGGUAACAUACCUUUGCUUAAACUAAAAAAGAGAGAUACAUCCUUCUUACCACAAUAUUACUUUUAGCAUUUUUAGCAGUACUUUUUUUCAUAAAGGAGUGGUACUAGGGAAAUGCAACUUAAGUUGCGCAAUGGUUUGAGGUGCACCAACUUAGUGUUUUAGGAGGGUACACUAUUUUUUUCUUAACACAUUUAAAAGGUAUGCAACUUCAAUAUACAAAAAUUUUAAUUUUUAAUAAAAUUAAGAGAAAAUCAAUAUAAACAAUUGAAUACAAACUUUUUAUGAAAAUACAUAUUUUUAUUUUAUAUAACUAAAAAUUAAAAAUUUGAACAAAACAAAACUUUAGAAUCACAACCAUGUUUUUAUUUUAUAUAAAUUAAAAAUAUUAAACAUUUCAACCAAGAAGAAAAUUAAAACUAUGGUCAAGUUACAUCCAUAAGAAAAAAGCUAAAACCAUGAUCAUCAAUUUUGAUUUUCACAUGAAAAUUUAAAAAUUUUUAAAAAUAUAAAAAAAUUAAAUAAUAUGACAAUAUAAGAAGAUUUAUAAAAUAAAUAAAUAUUUUAUUUAGGAGGAAUAUAAAAAGUCUUAUAUCCUAAACUUCUAAAUUUGUUAUUAUGUAUUUAUUUUUAUAUUAAAUUUGUUCUUAUUAAUUAUUUAUUAUAUAUUAUUAAUUUUUAUUUAAAUAUCUAUAAAUAAUUAAAAUCAAUAAAUAUGAACAAAUGAAAUAGUGAAAAAAAAUUAAAUUAUAAAAUUUUCAUGAAGCCAAUACAUUAAAAAUAAAUAAAAAAUAAAAAUAAAAAUAAAAAUAAAAGCAAAAAUGUGGAGAUAUUAUGGAGGGAAAAAAAAUCAUGUGACAUAGUAGAUUGUUACAUAUCAAAGUUUUUUUUUUUUUUUUAAACCAACCACGAUUAGCACUUUGACUUAUCAUGUCAAAGUAUAAAAAUAAAAAUUGUGAUAAUUAAUGUCAUGAUGAGAAAAGGGUUAGUCGUUUUGAAAAUACAUGUUUUCAAGACAUAUAUAUAUAUAUAUAUAUAUAUAUAUAUAUUGUGAAAAUAAAAAACCAAUCUCCCUUUUGAAACAGCAGAAACCUUUUGGCAAAAAACCGUGUCUUUCAUUCAUAUUUGCACGAGUAUAAAUACACACAUAUAGACUAGAUUCAAGAAGGAAUUACGACUAUAAUUGUGGGUCUGACUUUUUAUAUAUAGUAGGUACAAAUAUUAUAUGGUAUAACUGCAACUAUUAUAGGAUUGAAUCAGAGGAUGAGUUGGUCAAAGGAUACGAUAUAACUGCAACAAUCACGGGCUUGUCUCAAAGUAUGAGUUGGUCAACUAUUUUCCACAAAGACCACAUGCCGAGAAAUGAACAUUUUUGAGGUGGAUGGGUCAUAACAUCUAUAGGAAUUAUGUGAGAGAAUAGCCAAGGAAAACACAGGGUCGAGACUUGGGAUCCAAUUUAUGGCAUGUGUAGGGUUUUAGCUAGGGGUAACAAAGGCAACCAAAGAUUUUAAGUUCGAGAUAGUAGGGGGAAGGGUGAAAGAGGGUCUCAAAAGGAGAUUUGUUAUCUAAAAGUGGGAUUGGCAUCUGAUUAAUGAGGUAAAUUAUCGUUUGACAGGCAACAGGCCAAAAUUGAAGACGAAUGGAGGCUUGAUGAAGAAGAGUCAAUGUCAUCUCAAGAUUAUGUCUAUGUUGUCUUUCAGCAAUCCCUACAAUUUGUGAAGUGUAUGGAGGAGAAUAGGGGUGUUAAAUUCCAUGUUUUGGAGAGUGUGGGAUGAAGACCUGCAUAUUCCCAGGAUUGGGGUUUUGAAAUAUUUUUCUACUAGUUGCUUGAAGUUUUCAAAAAUACAAGUGGUAUCUGAUUUGUUUUUUAGAGGAUAAAGCCAUAUGUAUUUGGUGAAAUGGCCAACAAAAAUCACAUAAUAUAAAAAAUUAUCAAGGAUGUGAUAGGAGCAAGUCCCCAAAUAUAAUUAUAAAUAAGUUUAAGGGGUUUAGAGCUUAUAAGAGAAGAUGCACCAAAGGAAAGUCAAUGACUUUUAUUACAUAAGCAUGAGUUACAAGAGUCUAGAGACGACUUGGACAUUGAAAGUGAAUGACUUGAGAUGACAUGUCAGAGAAUACGUCGAUUGGGAUGAUCAAGACAACGAUAACAUUUAUUUAAGGAUGUUGGACUGGUGGUGGUGUUGUAGGCCUGAGGUGUGGAGCUUGAGUAGGGAAAAGAAGUCGGACACUCAUACAGAUUUCCCUUAAACGAGUGUUGCCCCCGUGCUCAAAUCCUUCACCAAAAAGUAAGUAGGGAAAAAUUCAAUUGAUGUACAAUUAUGUUUGCAAAACUGAGAAACAAAAAUUAAGUUUUUAUGAAUAGCUGGAGCACACAAAACAUUACCAAACAUAAAAUUUGAAUUUUUAAUAAUUAAAUUAGUAGAAUCGGUAUGAGUGAUAGAAAUACCAUUACCAUCACCAAUAAUUACAUGUCUGUACCACCAUAUUCAGAAUGAAUGGAAAGAUUCUGAAGAUCUGAAGUAAUGUGGUGUGAGGCUCCGGAGUCUAUUACCUAAUUGGCAUUAUGAGUUGGUGGUUCUCGAGCCAUGAAAUUUGCUUGUGGUGUGGAAUAGGAGGAUGGGCGAGACCUGCAGACCCUGGCAGUAUGUCUAGCUUUGUCACAUAGUUGACAAACAACACAGAUUUGAGGGGGAUUGAAUGGAGGACGCCCUUGUGGACCAAGAAAUCUAUUCCCUUGGUUAGGGAACAUGUGUCCAUGAUGAUUCUUGUUGCCUUGAUAAUUAUUUCCAAAUUGAGAACUUUGUCCUUUCUUAUUGUUUGAGUUGUUCCCCUUUUUGCCAAAGUUGUUUGAGCCCUUUUGAUUAAACUGAGUUGUAACAGUAACACUAUCCUUCUUGAAUUCUUCACGUUUUAGGAACAUUUCAUGAUCUGCUAGUUUGUCAUGUAGUUCUUCAAAGGAUAUGGAAGAAUCUCAAGCUCUUAUUGUUGCACUCAAUUCCUUGAACUCAGAUCCUAAACCUUUGAGAACACUUAUCACCAUUUCUUCUGCACCAAGAGGGGAUCCAACAAUAGCCAAUUCAUCAUCGCUCAUAGUUUUGAUUACUGUCAUAUAUUCAACAACAGAUUUAUUUUCUUUGAUGAGUUGGCUCAGCAUCUCUCGGAGUCCUAAGAUCCUAGUCUUCAAUUUGCUGGCAUAUGUGGUGUAUAGACGAGCCCAAGCCUCUUGAGCAAAUGUAGUGGAUGCAACAAGAGGGGCAAUGGUGGAAUCAACUGAUUCCAUGAUAGCAUGCAGAAGUAGGCUCUCUUGGCGUUUCCAAAUUUUGUGCUCCGGAUUGGGUGUGAAAGUGUCACCCAUUUUUAUCAUUUCUAGUGGACUUGGAUAUGUUCCAUCAACAUACCCAAUCAGAUCAUAGCCAUAAAGUAGUGUUGAGAACAUUGUUCUCCAAGAGGGAUAAAUGCUGCUACCGAUGAGUUUCAAGGGGAAGUUGUGUUGCUGCAUUAAUAGACACCAGUGCGGUUGAAGGAGUGUUUCCACAUGACAUGAUGACUCUGUGAUAUGGGAAGGGCCCGGAGGAGUAGGAGUCUUCAGCCAUAGGGAUAGGAAUAAAAGGUGGUUUCAAUGAAGAGACUACAAGAUUUGGGUGGCUGCUGGAAUAGUGACUGUGGAGUUUAUGGCUUUGAUACCAUGAAACAGCAGAAAGAUUUUGGCAAGAAACAAUAUCUUUCAUUCAUAUUUGCAUGAGUUUAUAUACACACAUAUUGACUAGAUUCAAGAGGGAAUUACAGUUAUAAUUGUGGGUCUGCCUUUUUAUAUACAGUCGGUACAAAUAUUAUAUGGUAUAACUGCAACUAUUGUGGGAUUGAGUCAGAGGAUGAGCUGAUCAAUGGAUAUGAUAUAACUGCAACAAUCACGGGGUUUUCUCAAAGUAUGAGUUGGUCACGUGAGCUGUCUAUCACCUUCUUGUUAGAAUAACUAGGGACUCACAUAAAUUAAUAAUUGUUUAUGACUGACUCAUGCCCAAUUGGUGUCUCAGCUGAUUUGUGUUCAGCUGGUGCUCCUUGAUUGAGGAAGUGAUCAACAAAAUUUAUACCUAUAACACCAUACACUAGGGUAGCAAAUACAAAGCUACUAUAGUAUAGUGGCUCUAAGGAUCGUUCACUGGGAAUGAUUUGCAAGCAAUCAAGGAUACCAAUUCCAAGUGAAUUGGUUUUGUUUCAUUUCACGGUUAGCUUAAGGAAUAAAACACAAACUUUGAUUUGUAAAGGUUGAGACUUAAACUAACUAACUUAACAGAAGUUUGGAAUAAUUUAGGAAGAAAAGCAUUCCUUGGAGAUUUAGGUUCACUGGGGUGGUUCCUCAUGCAAAAGACAUAGCUCCGGUCAGAUGGUUCAUUUCCUCGCAUUAGAGAUUCAACUUAUAGUCAAUUCUCUAACCGGUGAUGUACAGAGACUCCUUCAAUUAGAUUUCACUUUAAUUCUCUCACUGAUGUAACUUACAAUGGUUCAUGCCUCUCACGAGCACUUACCAUUCAAGGUGAUCUUUAACCUUGGAUUCCCCUUCACAAACUCGCAAGAGAUAACUAAUGGAUGCCUCCUAAGAGUCCAAAAGCUUACCAAGUGUUGGUAAUUCCAGAAAAUCCUACCUUGAAGUCACCUACCAAAGGCUCGCAAGGGGUAAACUAGUGCAUUUCCACGGUUGGAAAUCACUUGCCUUACCAAGUGUUGGCCCAGGUGACUCCAAAGUGUUUUAAGUUAACUAAAAACAUUGAAAUCACUAAAGGAUUUCACUUCCUCUUCAUUACUAGCUAAAACCACAGAGCUUUGCAUUCUUGCACUUGGAACCUUCCCCGGCAACCUUAGCUCCAAGGAAUUGGAGGUUUAGUUACUCAUUCUCUGGGGAAAACUCCUCAGAGAAUUCAUAACUUAGAAAUAAAAUGAAAAUACAAAGUGAUAAGGUAAGGCAGUAGAAAGAAAAGACCUUUACUUCCUUACCAAAUGGUUACAGAAGGAACUCCUCUCUGAGGACAGGCUCCCGAGAGGUAUUUAUAGCAAACUAAUAUAAAACUAAUUCUUACAAAGAUAUUUGGUCUUUUUACUAACUUAAAAACUAAGGAAUCAUGUAAUUGGUGGUUUACAAGGAGUAUUUUGGAAUUUAGACAACAAAAAUCUAAUGGAAAAUAUCUCCCAAUGUCGGUAGCAAGCUUCGGGAGGCUUCCGGAGCCAUUUCGCAGGAGAAAAGUGAGGUCUGCGAAAUUUCGCAGACACCCAAGAGGGCUGCGAAAUUAUUUCGCAAGACCAAGCUGUCUUCAUAGGGCUACGAAGUUGGCUUCCAUCUUGAAGUUUCCAGCUCCCUUCUCGCGGCAUGGUUCGUGCAUCGUCAGAAGGAGAAACACCUUGCUGUACAAAAGUGCUGCGAAAUUCUCGCAACAAAAGGCCGAUUCCGCAACACUUUAGAGUGACUGGCUUGUAAUGGCUGCAACUUCUUCGUUUCAACUCCAAAUUGCACACCGUUUGAAGCAUUGGAUUGUUGACUUCCUGAGCUUUGAAAUGGUAUAUAGCUUGCAUCAUUUGGACUUCAGAAAGUGCUCCAAAAGUGGCUGCUACGACUGUCAUCAAGAAUAUGCUCCAUGACUGAUCCUCUUUGCUUUUUCUCCUUGCAAUCCGGAUUCACUCUUGGCAAUUGAAUUCUAAGCUUUGCCCAUGAUUCCUCAUAGUUCUCCUCAUUCUUGACUUGCUUUGGUGAUCAAAAUACUAACAAAAACACCAAAACUUGCACAAAGUGAUCAAAAUUGCUUUAAAGGAUCCUUAACAUGCCAAUUGAGUUAAAAGGCCUAAACUACUACUCAAAAGUGUUAAAAAGGAUUAAUUAAAGGCUAUCAAAUAGCACUUUUUGAGUAGUAAUCACUCCCCCCAACCGACAUAUUGCUAGUCCCUUAGCAAUAUAGGAGAGAAAAAUGAAAAUAAAUAGCUAAUUAUACUAAAAUUUACAACAUCAUGCUAAACAAAAUCAAUUCUCAAGUGGCAUGAUGAUCUAUUUCUCACAUGAAUCAUUAAAGAAAUACAAACCCAAAUCUCAACAAGAGUCAUAACACCUAUGCUAACCACUGUCAAUCAAGGGAGUGCAUUAUGCAAACUGAAGUUUUAAAAUCAUUUCACUUUCUGAGAACUAAACUUCGAUCUUCCACAAAAAUCUAUGUGUAUUGGUUCCUUAGGUUCCGAGAAUAAUAUGCUACUAAUCUCACCCCCCAACCUAUCUCUUUUCAACACUUUAGCAAACUGACCAAAAUCAAUAAGAAAAGAACACACUUUCAUCCUUUUUUUUUUUUUUUUUUUUUUUUUUUUUUUUUUUUUUUCAAGGUAGCUUUAUGGGGUACUCUUUCUGACUUGUCCAUGUAAUGGGGGUCCAUCGAUGACUCCCAACCAAUUAAGGUUUAGGGCACCAAGUUUUAAGGAUCUUUCAACCACUAACUCCUCGGAUUUUUCCCCGGACUUUUAAGAAUGAGUUUCUAAUACCCAAGCAUCUACCAUAUGCUAGCUCUACUAUUCACCCUUGUAACGAGCAUUGAGGUCGGUGUCUCCCAACCAAUUAAGGCUUAGGGCACCAGGCUUUAAAGGCUUUCACCAUAUGCCCCUCAGACCUUGCUCGGGUUUCAAGGCAAGCAAACAACUUUCUUUAUUUCAAAGGCUCAUUGGCCUUUUGCAGGGUGUUUCAAUUUUUAUCAAAUGAGGUCAAAUAUACCAAGUCUCAAAAUUAUUCUAAGUCAAGAGGGAAAUAGUUUUUCAUCUUAUAAUCGGAAACUAAUGUGCACAGUGUGUGGAUAGCUUAAAGUAGAAGAACUCAAUUCAAUUUCAGUAGAAGUUUCAACAAUUGAACCACUUUAGUAAGCAUAAUCCAUACUCUAAGUCAAGUGAAAAACAACAGUUCAAUUUCUCUUGGUUUAAUUUGAAAAUUUUUCCUCAAAAUUCAUGGAGAAUAGAGUAACACUAGUAAAAAGUAAAAACUACAACUAAUUAACCAAUAUAAUUGCAAUACCAAAAAGGUUUAGAAUACUUCCUUCCUCAUACCCCCCAACCGAACUGAACAUUGUCCUCAAUGUGAUUUGAGUGACUGUAAUAAAAGGGAGGAAGUGGUACCUCCAUGCUGAUAUCAAAUUCGAAUAUUGAUUGGGGAAAACCACAUGUUUCAAAAAGAAUAGAAUAUGUGAGAAAAGGAAAUAAUAAUAACUUAAUGUUAACUUUUAACAAGAAAUAGUCAACUUGUAUUACUUUGAGUUCAUUUGAUUACAAUACUAAAGACAAGUAACACAAGGAAUCCCAUAUAUAGUACCAAAAUAUUGGGAUUUCAUUGCAACUAAAACAAAAUAAACAUGCAUAAAAACAUAAACAGCAAAUAUAUAUAAUGUCUGAUAAGUGGGGUGAUAGUUGCUAGGCAGAAGGAUCUGCCUCCUCAGUAGGUGGAUCAGCUGGUGCUUCGGGUUCUGGAGGAUGAGACUCUGAAGGCUGAGAGUGUGGCUCUGGUGGAGUAGGAAUGAAGGGCUCUACAGCUUGUGGCAGAUCGAAAUGGACUUGAAGCUGCCUUAGGAUGGCAGCUUGUUGAGCCUGAGAGGCUAACAUCUGCUCCUGGCAUGCUUUGAUGGCUGCCAACUCCUGAGCAAGAUUGCUCUGGGAAGCUGUAAGAGUCUCCAAUGCAUGGCACAGCUCUCGAUAUUCAGAUAUAGGGAUGGCCAUCCUAGGCUCAGCUGAUGUGGAUGGUUGUGAUGGAGCAGGUGCAGCUGGUGGAGCUCGAGGGAUGGCAGGAGUAGCAAGUGUGAUAUCUUCAGGUGCAUGUCUUGGGGAGGCUCUCCUUGCUGCUGGCUGAGGCUGCCCAGGCUGAUCAAUUUUGUAGGCCGUCAUAUUAUUCCAUUUAUCAAGGGUAAAUGGCUCACGGCAUAUUCUCUUUCUUUCCUGCUGAGGCUCAGAGGGGUAUCCGAGAUGUUCCAAAACUUGGCAUAGCAGCCGUGGGAAGAGGAGUGGAAUGCAAUCUGCUCUUUGAAGCUUCUUCUUAUGAACCUUCUCCUCAAAGUAAAGAAGGGCUGCCAUGAUCAGAUGAUGAGGCCCAAAGAAGAAUCCUUCAGACAUCUUGUAUAGAGCUUCCAAGAGAACUCCCCUUCUUUGGGUCCAAUGCUGCAAGGGAUAGAUAUUAUGCCUCAAAAAGGCAUCAAUCAAAAACAUCACUGGAGGUAGCUCCCCCCUCAGCAGGUGUGAUCGAUUUGCAGCUCCUCCAGUUAGGGUGCUAACCAUCUCUAACUCAGUAGGAUUUACCCAAGCUUUAAAAUUGUCAAAUUGGGUUGGCUCAAACGGAAUUUGCAGGGCUUCAGCAAUAUGUCUUGCUCCCAAAAUACCAUGUCUUCCAUCAAUUAUGAAAUGGAUCAGAGUUGGAUUUCUUACCUCUUUGGUUGUCAUGGUCUGGUAGAAGUCUGUGACUACCCGGGGAUAGAAAAAAUCCCUUGGAGCUAGCAGAUGCUCCAUAUGAUAUCUCCUCAGCAGUUGGAAUGAUUGGGCAAGCUCUGGCCUCACUCUAAAUGCUGCUAAAUCGAAGCACAAUUCAGAAUGGAAUGCCCGAGUUCGGCAAUCCAGGUUUCCUUCGAUUGGGGGCUGGGGCAGCAUUGGCCUUCGGAUCACUUCUUCCAGAGGUGCUUCAGCUGCAAUUUGGGGCUCUGGAAUUGGCGCUUGAGGCUCCUGAGCUUUUUCUUGGGGGGCCGGAGAUGGUACCGGCGAUGGAAUUGGAGUUGCUUCUGGUGAGGGAAUUGGCGAGGGAACCGGUGACGGCACUGGAAUUUGUACCGGUGAAGGAUUUGGUGAUUUCUCAGGGGAUUGCUCAGUCAAAUCAAUUGGUUCAGAGCUCUCAACCCUGGCUUUCUUCUUCAAUGGCUGACCACCUGACCUGGUUAAAUAUCGCCUUGCCGGCGGCUUUGGUGGCGCCGGCUUCACUGGAGAAGGUUGUGGUCUCGACGGCGAAGGCUUUGGAGCAGGUUCUGGAACAGAGCCUGAACUUGGCUCCUUUCGCAGACUCCUUUUGCGGUUCGAAGGGGAUGAAGACUUUGCCCCUCGCGUUCGUGCCAUUUUGGAAUAUCGAUCUUUGGCCGGCGCUGCUAAACGGAGAAGACGACCGGAGGUUCGGACGGCGUGGCUUGGCGAAGAAGAUGAAGGGGCUGCGAGAAUGGUGCUCUGAUUUUUGAAACCCUUUUCGCAGCACUUUUGACCGGUAUAAAUAGGAAAAACGGAAGCCCAGGGGUCAGAUUACGUUUCGCAACAAAACGCCAAUUUCGCAGCAACUUGCCAUUUUCGCAGCAACUUCGCAGUGAGUUUCGCAGCUGCGAAAUUGAUGUCACUGUGCUGCGAAGUGGCACUCGUGUGCCAAAUCCACUUUCACAAUUGCGAAAUGCCCUGCGGAAUGGGACUUUUGGUGCGAAAUCACGCUUUUUCAUUUCGCAACGCGUUUCGCAGCUGCGAAAUGGAUGCUACUGUUCUGCGAAGUGGCACUCGUGUGCCAAAUCCACUUUCGCAAUUGCGAAAUACACUCGCAGAGGCUUCUACAGUGCUGCGGAGCGGUUUGGCAACAAAAAUCACAUUUCGCAGAAGUUUCCUUCACUCUGCGAAAUUUCGCAGAGCUCUGUUUUUCCCCUGUUUUUGCUCUGUUUCGGCUCCAAUUUCGACCCGAUUUUUUUUCUUUUCAAUCCCCUUGAAAUUUCUUCCACCUGGGAUCAUAUAACAUGAUUAAAACACACCUAAAAACAUGAUUUAAGAUCAAAAACUAAGAUCAAAAGUAUGAAAACAACUUGAAAAUUUACAAAAUUUACAAAAAUUUUGGACUGUGGUAAAACCACGCCCAGCAAACCCUUUUCACUUAAGCUUUUUGAGGUUCAAGGAGGUUGAUUGCCUCCUUUUCUGAUUUGAAUGACUCCAUGAACGGCUUAAGACGAUAUCCAUUGACUCUAAAGCUAUCCUUGCCAUUGGAAUUCAAUAAGUCCACCACUCCAUUGGAAUAUACUCGGUGAAUAACAAAUGGACCAAUCCACCUUGACUUGAGCUUCCCAGGAAAGAUAUGGAGUCUUGUGUCAUACAUCAAAACUUUUUGCCCUUCCUGAUUCAGUUUGCCUGGAUCCCAUUUGAAGCUUGCAUCCUUCACUUGAGACUUGGUUUGAGAUGAAGAUAUUACGACAGGACAUUGAUUAUUUUCUUCAAGAUAUGUAUAAUUCAGCUCCACAGGUAAAGGCUUCAGAUUGAGUUUUGGAAUUUCUUUUUCAACAGCUGCCUCCUCUUCCUUAUUGAACAAAGGUAAAAUUCCUUCUAUCUUUCUCCAACUUUGUAGAGUAGCAAGCCUAAUAGGAGAUUCAGAAAAACCUUCCUCAAUAUCCUCAAGACUUUCAUUCAACUUGUCUUGCAUAUGUUGAUUGCAGUGCUCCUCCACCAAAGUAUCAAUUAUACAUAGCUCUUCUGGACCUUCUUCUUCUUCCGGAGUGAUUUGCUUUUUAGACAUAUAGAAAAUAUUUAGAUCCAGUGUCAUAUUACCAAAAGUGAGUUGCAUCAGCCCAUUUCUACAAUUGAUGAUUGCAUUUGAAGUUGCAAGAAAUGGCCUUCCAAGGAUGAUAGGAACUAAAUUAGCUUCCUUUACAGUUGGAUCAGUAUCAAGAACAACAAAAUCUACAGGAUAGUAGAAAUUAUCUACUUGAACCAAUACAUCCUCAAUUACUCCUCUUGGAAUUUUCACUGAUCUAUCUGCCAAAGAUAAAGUGAUUGCUGUUGGCUUCAACUCUCCAAGGCCCAGUUGCUUGUAGACAGAGUAUGGAAGCAAAUUCACACUUGCUCCCAAGUCUAGCAAGGCUUUCUCCACUACCUUUCCUCCAAUCAUGACUGAAAUGGUAGGACUUCCAGGGUCUUUAUACUUCAAAGGAGACUUACACUGUAAGAUUGCACUUACUUGCUCAGUCAAGAAGGCUUUCUUGUUUACAGUCAACCCUCUUUUGAUAGUACACAAGUCCUUUAGGAAUUUUGCAUAUGUUGGAACUUGUUUGAUCAUAUCCAGUAGUGGAAUAUUAACUUUCACUUGCCUCAAUACUUCUAGGAUUUCAGCUGCAUUUCUAACCCCCUUUUUCCCCUGUAAUGCUUGAGGAAAAGGUGGAAAAGUUGAUUUAUUCAGCAUUUCUUCCUUCAGAAGCUCCUUCUCUGGAAUUACUUCCCUUGUUGCAUCAGAGUCCUUCUUCUCUUCACUGAUCUCACUGCCUUUAUCUUCCAUUUCCUUCCCUUUCUUCAUCUCUUCUUCUUUCUCAACAUGUGGCUUGGGUGUUGGAUGCUCAAUUUUUUUACCACUCCUUAGAGUGAUCAAAGCUUUCACAUCUUUCACCUGUGAUGAUUCUCCCUCAUGGCUUUCCACUUCAUGGACACCUUUGGGAUUUUGGUUAGGUUGAGAAGGAAAUCUUCCUUUUUCUUGCAGUGUAUUCAAAUUUGUAAGCCUGGAGAUUGAAUAUUGGAUGUUAUCAAACUUUUGAUUCAUGUCAUUUUGCAUUCCAUCCAUUCUUUUGUUCAACAUACUCUCCAUUCUGUCCAUUCUUUGAUCCACUCGAGCAUUGGUGGCUUCUUGCUUUCCCACAAAAUCUCCCACUACCUUGUUGAGAUUGGCUAUUAUUUGUUCAAUACUUGAAGAUUGCUGAGAUGGUGGAUCCGGCUGUUGGUAUUGAGUUGCUCUGGCCUUCCAUGAGAAAUUUGGAUGAUUCCUCCAACUAGAAUUGUAGGUAUUUCCAUAAGGAGCAUUGUUAUUGGGCCUGAAUUGUCCAACAACAUUUGCUUGAUCUCUAUACAUUUCCCUUUCAACUGAAAUUGCAGGGCACUCCUCCACCAAAUGUUCAAAUGAUUGACAAUUGGGACACAGCUUCACUUGCACUGGUGCUUCAGCAACAGCUUGCACUUCAUGCAUUCUUUUCAGCUCCAGCUCCUCCAAUCUUCUUGUCAUAGCUGCCAACUUUGCUUUCAUGUCAUCAUCUUCUUUCAAAUUAUACAUCCCAGCCUUUGCAUUGUAAGCAUUCAACUGAGACUUCAUCUUUCCCACUUCUCCUUUGGUUGGUUCAUCCCAUCCCCUUGAAACAUCAGCUACAUAGCUCAAGAAAUCCAUAGCUUCCUCUGGAUUUUUGCUCAUGAAAUCUCCUCCACACAUUGUCUCGAGGAGUUNNNNNNNNNNNNNNNNNNNNNNNNNNNNNNNNNNNNNNNNNNNNNNNNNNNNNNNNNNNNNNNNNNNNNNNNNNNNNNNNNNNNNNNNNNNNNNNNNNNNAACUUAUAGUCAAUUCUCUAACCGGUGAUGUACAGAGACUCCUUCAAUUAGAUUUCACUUUAAUUCUCUCACUGAUGCAACUUACAAUGGUUCAUGCCUCUCACGAGCACUUAUCAUUCAAGGUGAUCUUUAACCUUGGAUUCCCCUUCACAAACUCGCAAGAGAUAACUAAUGGAUGCCUCCUAAGAGUCCAAAAGCUUACCAAGUGUUGGUAAUUCCAGAAAAUCCUACCUUGAAGUCACCUACCAAAGGCUCGCAAGGGGUAAACUAGUGCAUUUCCACGGUUGGAAAUCACUUGCCUUACCAAGUGUUGGCCCAGGUGACUCCAAAGUGUUUUAAGUUAACUAAAAACAUUGAAAUCACUAAAGGAUUUCACUUCCUCUUCAUUACUAGCUAAAACCACAGAGCUUUGCAUUCUUGCACUUGGAACCUUCCCCGGCAACCUUAGCUCCAAGGAAUUGGAGGUUUAGUUACUCAUUCUCUGGGGAAAACUCCUCAGAGAAUUCAUAACUUAGAAAUAAAAUGAAAAUACAAAGUGAUAAGGUAAGGCAGUAGAAAGAAAAGACCUUUACUUCCUUACCAAAUGGUUACAGAAGGAACUCCUCUCUGAGGACAGGCUCCCGAGAGGUAUUUAUAGCAAACUAAUAUAAAACUAAUUCUUACAAAGAUAUUUGGUCUUUUUACUAACUUAAAAACUAAGGAAUCAUGUAAUUGGUGGUUUACAAGGAGUAUUUUGGAAUUUAGACAACAAAAAUCUAAUGGAAAAUAUCUCCCAAUGUCGGUAGCAAGCUUCGGGAGGCUUCCGGAGCCAUUUCGCAGGAGAAAAGUGAGGUCUGCGAAAUUUCGCAGACACCCAAGAGGGCUGCGAAAUUAUUUCGCAAGACCAAGCUGUCUUCAUAGGGCUACGAAGUUGGCUUCCAUCUUGAAGUUUCCAGCUCCCUUCUCGCGGCAUGGUUCGUGCAUCGUCAGAAGGAGAAACACCUUGCUGUACAAAAGUGCUGCGAAAUUCUCGCAACAAAAGGCCGAUUCCGCAACACUUUAGAGUGACUGGCUUGUAAUGGCUGCAACUUCUUCGUUUCAACUCCAAAUUGCACACCGUUUGAAGCAUUGGAUUGUUGACUUCCUGAGCUUUGAAAUGGUAUAUAGCUUGCAUCAUUUGGACUUCAGAAAGUGCUCCAAAAGUGGCUGCUACGACUGUCAUCAAGAAUAUGCUCCAUGACUGAUCCUCUUUGCUUUUUCUCCUUGCAAUCCGGAUUCACUCUUGGCAAUUGAAUUCUAAGCUUUGCCCAUGAUUCCUCAUAGUUCUCCUCAUUCUUGACUUGCUUUGGUGAUCAAAAUACUAACAAAAACACCAAAACUUGCACAAAGUGAUCAAAAUUGCUUUAAAGGAUCCUUAACAUGCCAAUUGAGUUAAAAGGCCUAAACUACUACUCAAAAGUGUUAAAAAGGAUUAAUUAAAGGCUAUCAAAUAGCACUUUUUGAGUAGUAAUCAAUGACUAGGCUAUCUAUACAUAUUUCAAUUUAUAUUUAUUAAGUACGAGUCACCUUGUGAGUAGAGCCCAAGUCACAUGUCUUACAUGAUGGGCCUAAAACACAUGAUGGGCCUAAGACACAUGUGGCCCAACAGCCCAAUGGGUAUGCUCUCCAACCUCCCAUCACAAGAGAGAAAACAGAAAAGUGGUUUCCUCCUCUAUUGCCUUAGAAGAACCAUAUUUCUUCAAAAUCAACAAUGGAUUCGCGUUUGUCUACAUUCUCUAAUCUAAUCGACAUGUUUUUUUUAUUAUUUAACAUGAGAUUUCUGGUUUUGGGUUGAUAAAGAAUUUGGUAAUCUUUAAAAAUGUUUUACAACACUUCUAUCUAUGGGGCAUGAUAUCUUUAUAGACUACGCAUCUGAUCAACUUUGUGGCAUGUCUCAUCCAACUUAUUUUAAUGCUUGUUUAUGUGACAUGAUACAAUGGAAUGGUAGUUAAAAACUCUUUUAUUUCUUUAAUACAAGAACACGUCUCUAGUCCAAAACAAAAGAAAACAAAUUGGAAACAUGUCUUUCCAGCCCUCAGGAAGGGAUUUAAACCGGAAAUAUUAACGAUACAUUUUCAAAGCAUACUUAAAGCAAACACUCCUCUCAUAUUACCAAUGCAACACGAUUCAAAAGCCCUUUUAUUCUACACGAAACUUCUUUCUGAUCCACAAGACAAAGCCAUGGACCUUCUGUGGGUCUUCGAUGGGAAGACCCCCACACAUGAUGUUCCCCUUUUACUCUAUACCAAGCUUCUUCCUCAUCUCCAUGACAAAGCCAUGGACCUUCUGUGGGUCUUUCAGAGAAGACGACACACUCUCCUUUUCCUUGCACCUCUUGGUCCAAGCGAUCAACUUGGGGCACUCCACCUCUAUGCUGAAGUUACCAAAGCUCUCAUACGCAUAAAACAAGGUUGAGAAAGUCACCAGAGCCACAUCCACAAACCCAAAUUUCUCACCACCAAAGUAAGGCUUCUCUCCAAGCUCUCCUUCCAAAAUCUUAAGGUACUCUAUGAAUUCAUUCUUGGCUGUUUCCUGCUCUUCUCCUUUGGUUGACCAUAUCCUCCUUCCAAGUUCAUAGAGCUGUGGAAAGUAAUGGAGUCAAAGAGAGAAAAGGCUUGUUUUUUUUGGAGCAUUUCAUCAAGUUUCAAACUUUCUGUAUAGUUGGACAAGUUUAUUAACGACCCUUCAGCAUAGAAAUCUCGUAUCCUAGGAAAAAUAUCAGAAUCAGCUGAAAGAAUGUAUCAUUUGCUAAAGUUUUUCCCCUCAAUUUGGGUUAAAGAAAUGAGAAGAAAGAGAUCAAAAAGACAGAACACAUAUUAAAACAACUGUUGUGCAAAAUGUUGAACAGAAGGAUAACAAAAAACCAAAAUCUGUUCUUUAAAAUCUGGUUUAUGUAUCCCCUUUCUUGGGGGAAAACGUAUUCUUGAGAUCUGCUUUUUUGGAUGGAACGAACAGACUUCGGAUUCAACAGAACAAAGAAAUAAAAACCCAUAUCAGAAAUGCAGAGUGGAGUCUUGUUGAAGAAACAGCAAAGAGAAUCAGUAAAGUUCUAGUUUGGGACACCAAAGCCAACAAAACUAAAUAUCAGAAGAGAAUAUGUGAAGAACCAGAAUUUUGGAUAAAUCCCUCACCAUAAUCAAAAUGUGAGUCAAUCGCCAUGAAUCAAUGGAAAAGAAUGCUUUAAAUCAACAGAAAAGGCAUACCUUCUUGUCUAUGUAGUCCGCCCAGAACCUGGCCUGAGCUCUCUGGUAUGGGUCACUAGGCAACAAGGGAGAUUUUUCGUUCCAAACCUCAUCAAUAUACUGAACUAUUAUCAUAGACUCACAAAUGGGCUUUCCAUUGUGGAUCAGAACUGGGAUUUUCUUAUGAAUCGGGUUCAUCUCAAGAAGCAGAGGACUCUUGUUGCUCGUGUCCUCCUCUCUAUAUUCAUACUUGAGACCCUUCUCUGCCAGGGCAACUCUGACCCUCAUACCAAACGAGCUAGGCCAGAAAUCCAACAAGAUAAUCUCGUCUGCCAUUGCUACUACUGUGAUUGAUAAGAUUCAAACUCAAGCAUUGAUGAACUCAAGGGAAAUUGUUAAGUAUUUAUAGCAAACUUCAGAGACGUGGGUUAGAUACUUCUAGGAGGUGAUGAUGCUCAUUCCCUAGCUUUCAUUUUCAUUUUCCUUAAUUAUAUUCUUAUCUCCGAUUCGUAGCUCUCCAGGAUUCCCAUAUUUUGAGUUUAUUUAUUUAUAAGCCAAGUGUUUUUAAUUAAAUAUAAUGCUUUCGAAAUUCUUUGAAAAUUAGAAAAAAUAGUCAUAUUUGAUCAUUUUAAUUUUACUACUUACUUUUAAAUCCAAAAUAGAAAGAAAUUUAGUGUUAUUUUGAAAAUUUAGUGUCAUUGUUACAUUUUUUAUUGCCAUUUUAUGAUUCAAAUUAUCCAUUUCUUUGAUGUUGCUUCUCCCUAUCCAUUUUCGACAUUGGGAUUAAAACUAUUCACUAAAAAAUUGAUUGAUAUAAAAUUACAUUAAAUUUAAAUUAAAUUCAGAUUGACGGAUUAUUUGUCACUAUGCAUGUCAUGUUGCUUGCAAAAACUAUCCAUUCGAUCUCCUUUGCGGUGGUGAUCGCGACAACAAAAACAUGGAAGGAAAGGAAAAACCUUAAUGUUGUUAGCAAGAAAUGAAAGAAUUGGGAGGUUGUGAAGUCUACUUAUGAUCUUAUGAUCUUGUCAAAUAUGAUCAUCAUACAAUACUUGGUAACAUUUAAUUAAAAUAUAUAGUAUUUUUGAGUGACAUUCCCUGCUUAUUACCAACAUAUGGUAGUCACUAAAACCAAUGUCUUUAGUAUAUUUCUUAAUUUAAAACAAUAAAAAGUUAUAAAAAAAUAAUAAAAUGAAAAAUAAAUUUAAAUUCAAUUAACAUUUCUUACAUGUUUCAACAAGACUAUCUCUUUUCUUUUCUUUUUUUUCUAUUCUACAUAAAGAUUGAAAUUUUUUUAUUAUAUUUGAUUUUAUUUUAUACCUUUGAACUAAAGAGAAUUUAGAUUUCUUUCCAUCUCUAUUUUUUUUCUUCAUUUAGUACUUUUUGUAAUCCAAUGGGCUAAAUAUAUUUGUUGCUAGAAAAUUUUACAUUCUCCGUAUUAAAAUUAUGAUCAUCACUACUAGCACUCAAGUAAAAUCUCUCACAAGAAAUAUGUGUAUUAUAAGAAACUAUCGGUUGUAGGAAUUACUCACUAAUUGGUUAAUAAGUAUGGCAAUCUUAUCUUAACACUCAUGGUAGGAUUUUACAUUCCAGUAUGGAAAAAAAACAAGUGACAAGAAAGGAUCACGUACGGAAGAUGCCCAAGCAAGUUCUUGUUGUUUGGUCUAUAUUUUUGGAAUUUUCUUUUUUCUUCUUUCAUGAUUGUGGGCUGUAGUAUAAAAACAUUACUUCUCAACCCCUUUUUCUUCUUUCAUGAUUGUAGCAUAGUUAGAAUCUUAAGAAUCCUUGCUUUGUUGCCUUCUCAUUUGUGAAAAUUUUCAAUAGUAUUAAAAACGAAAGUCAAUGGGUAUUAACGGUGUUACGAUAUUCUUUCCUUUUUUUAAUGGGUAUUGAUUUUGUCCUAAAUCAAACUUCCAAUUCAGACCAUUCAAAUGCAUAAUGAAAUCUAGGUCAUUGGGUCGGGCCGCCCAUUCCGUGGCUCGACACGCCACAAGGUCAGGCGGGGCCAUUACAGGCCAACACUGUAGCAAGCUGGGCUAGCAUGACCCAAAGGAGCAGGCCAUGCUAGGCCUAAAGAAAUAGCCCAUCGGCCCAUCGUGUUGGCCCACUUGGCCCUUUUAAAUUUCACUUUUUACUUUUAACUUUUUAUUACAUGUCAAAUGUCUAUAAUACCCAUCUCAACAACUAUAUUACGACUAGUUUGAGGGGUAAAAAAAGUAAAUCAAUAACUAUUUUUACUUUUUUUAUGUCAAACUUUAGAGGAUGAACUUAAAGAAGCCUUCAAGAAAUUGCAUCUCAAUGCAAACAAUGAUGUUCAAGAGAUUUAUGAUGAUUGAAGAUGAAAAAAUAAGAAUGAAGAUUGAAUAAGAAGACAAAAGUGAAUAUGAUAAUUGAAAAAUUAUAUGUUGUUCGUUUCUUUUAAAUCUAUUAAAUGUAGUUAAUUUUUAAAGGUUAAGUAAUGCAUAUGAUUGAUAGUUGGGUGGGUGUCAACCUGGAUGGGAUGUACUCAAACUAUAAUGACGCAAUUCUCACUUUUGUUUUUUUUUUCUCCUUAUUUUUUCAUGUAAUUUGUUGAAAUAUAGAAUAAAAGAAUUAUUUUUUUAUAUUUCAUUUCCUUUUAUAUUCCAUUAUUUUAAAUUUAUUGUUAUUUUGAUUUUAAAAAAAAUAAACAAAUUCAAAUAUAAUUUUUUUACUAUUUUUAAAAACAAAAAACUAACAUUUCUAUAAAUUUUACAAUUACAAACUCAAUAAAUAUAAAUGUAAAAAAUAAAAAGUAUAAUUAUUAGAAGUGUAUAAAAAAUAAUAUAUAUAAUUAUUAGAGGUGUUUCAAGUAACAAAAAGAAAUUUUAUUUAAUAUUAAGGAAAAAACUUAAGAAAAAAUGACUUAAAAAAUUAAAUUAAAAUUUUUAACAAAGUGAGUGGCCCAUGGGCCAUGGCCCACCGGCACAGCACGGCCUGACCCAGCACGACACGAUUAGCCCACGGACUUAUGGGUCAUGCCAAGCCACCUAUUUGGCUUGCAUGGGUCGGCCCAACCCAACACAUUGGCCCGUAAUGGCCCGAUCAAUAUUAGGCCAUGUCGGCCCAACACGACCCAUUGGGCAUCUCUAUAUACAAGAUUGAAAACCCUUCUUAUCAUGAGAUUUUUCAAAUCCGUUAUUUAUCUUUCAAAGUAAGACUUGUUUGCUAAAAAAAUUGCUCUCUUAGUCUUUAUUUUUGAACUAUCCAUAUCCAAAUAGGGGUUUCCUCCUUAUCUAAGGAGGAGAGAGCCUGAAGGACCAUCCUAGGUAUGGUGUAGUAGCUUGGAGAAGCAUCUAUACCAAAAUCAAAAUGAUAGUUCCAAAUGAAUAAGAUUCUCAUUAGCAACAACCAAUUCAAAUAUAUAAUCUUGGAAAAAUCUUUUCAUGAAAAUUUACUAAGAAUACCAAAACAUUUUUCUUUAGGUUUGAAUACUUAUUUUGGUAACCUUCUUAAUUAUAAAUUAUCUAUUAUGAAUUUUCAAAAUUAACUUAUUUUCUUUAAAUCCAAACCUUGUGCAAAAUAAGAAAAAUAUUAUUUUAUAAAGAUUUGGAAAAACAAGAGUUUUUUUAUUAAAAGAAAGAUUUUAUUCUUAGAGAUCUCGAAGAUCUAAGAAAAUUUUAAAUAAAAUUAAAAUCAUUAAGAAUUAAUUUUUAAAAGGAAUGGAAACUCUUAAUUCUUUUCUAACUUAUCUUUUCUUAAAAUAAAUUUCCUAACAAUACACAUUCCAAUUUAAAUAAGUUUUCCUAUUUUGAAAAACUCCAUCAAAAUUUAUAUCUAAUUAAGAAUACCAAAUUAUCCUAUUUUAGGUCACAUAUGCAAGUAAUAAAGAUAACAUAAAAUAAAAACAAGGAAAUAAUUAAAUAAAUAUUUCUCAUGAACUUUAGGGAUCCUAUUGCAUAUUUGGUAAUUAAAAAUUGGAUAAAAUUCAAAUUAUCAAAAUAUUCUUGCAACCAAAGAUUAGUUAGUAAAAAUUGAAAAAACUCUAAAAAGUUGAAUUUCCACAAAAAAAAAAAAAAAAAAAAAAACCUAAAAAAGAAGCCCAAAAUCAAGCCCAAAUAACCGAAAACAAUUUGGCCUGAACUCAAUUCAGAAAUAGCAUGCUCUUUGCACAACCUUACUACAAUUGACUAUAUAUUCCUCAUUUCAACUCCGAAUAGAAAAUUGUUUGAAGCAUUGGAUUCCUGACUUCCUAAGCUUCAAAAUCAUAUAUGAUUUGUUCCAAUUUUGAGUCAAAUUAGGAUCUAAAUCAAGAACUUCCAAGAAUCUUUCUUUUUUCUUAAGUCACCAUAGGAUCUCAAAAAUGAAAAUUUAAGAAUUUUUCCUUUCCUUUUGGGUCACCAUAGAUGGAUGAAAAAAAACAAAUUUUUUUACAACCAAAAAAAUAAAAAUAAAAAUCUUAUACCCCUCAUGGGGUGUACAACCCAACCUAGAGAAUAAAAUAGCAAAGAUCAUAUCCAUUCAUAUUCAUUCAUUCAAUUGAAUUAAUAAAAGCAUUUCAUUGAUUCAUCCUUAGGGUCUAUGAGAUGAAUAAAAAAACAACCCUGCAAAAUAGAUGUGAGCGCAACUUAGAAUAAAUCUAGCAUGCAAGUGUAGACCUUCCAUUUGUUCCAUUAGCACAUGCCCUAUUAAGUGCUCUUUUCAUACUUUGCAAUAGUCUCCUUUGGUGGCCCAUUUUCUACUCACACAACUUACCUUUUUUAGCCAUCUCAAAGACUCUAGUUGAGAGAUUUAUCUAGCCCCUCAUUGUGAGUGACCCUUGGCAACCCCAAGUUAGAUCUAGGAUUUUCUUUUUCUCUUUUUAUAAUAGCUCCUUUUUAAGUGCUCCUUUAGGACAACAUACUUAGACAUAUUCAAGUACACUUCUUAGGUCACUUAAACACACCCUAGGUCACCUAAGCACCUUCUACCUUAUAUAGACUCACUCUAGGUCACUUAGGCACUUUAUAAACUCACAUUAGGUCAAUUAGGCACUUUUAUGAUCACCUUAGGCCACUUAGGCACUUUUCUUAUCACUUUGGGUCACUUAGCACUUUUUUUUAUCACCUUAGGUCACUUAGGCAUUUUUUUUUAUUAUCUUAGGUCACUCAAGCGCAUUUUUGAUCACCCUAAUCCACUUAAACACAUCCUAGGUUACUUAAGCACUUUUCUUAUCAUCCUAGGUCACUUAAGCCCAUCUAGACACAUCUAGCCCAUUAAGACACACUCUGACUUAUUUAGACAUGCCUUAGUUAAUCUAGGCACAUCUAACCUAUUUAGACAUACCUUGAUCCAUAUAAGCCUAUUUGGUUCAUCUAGGCACACUUAGCCCAUCUAGGCACACCUGACCCACUUAGGUACAUACAUACUCGUCUAAGCACACACCGGUCCAUCUAGGCACACACCAGCCCAUCUAGGCACACCUUGACCCAUCUAGACACACCCUGGCCCACCUAGGGUUACUUGAGCCCACCUAGGUCACCUUUUAGGUAAUUUUUGCUUGCAAGACAUCUUUUUCUAUUUAGUAAUUUAUUUUAUUUAUUAUUUUGUGUAUUUUCUUUCUUUGUUUUUUAGUUUUUUUUUUUUUUUUAUAUUAACAUUGUAACACCUUUUUAUUCAUUUAUUAAAUCUAAUAUUUUUUGUGCUUUUGUAGGGAAAAGUUUGGAUAGGAAAGGAUCCUCUUUUGGAGAGAGAGAACUAGCCAUCUUUGAAGAUCACAAACAACCUCCUGAUAAGAUGAAAAGUUUUAGCUAUAUAUAGGGACUAGUUUUGAAAACUUGAAGAUAUACAAAUAAUGAAAGAGGUGCAUCACAUUAAGAGUCUAGAGAAGAAAGGUUUUUUUACAUAAGAAUGUAAAAAGAUAUGGAGGUAAGAGGGAUUUGGAAUAUAGUUGGUUGCUACCUUGGUUUUGGAAAGAGAUACUCAGCCAUAAUGGGCUCUUAGAAAGUCCUUGAAAGGUUAGAAUUCCGCAUAGGGAUUUUGAGGUUUUUUUUAUUUUUUAUUUUUAGGGGAUUAUGCUGGUUUUCUAGAGGGAAUAUCCAACAAUGUAAAAAAGAGGAAUCAUGUAGCGGUUUUUUUGGGAAGGAAGAUUUUAACAUGCAAAAGGGAGGUUCAGUUGCGGUCUUUGAAAUAAAAUCAUUCAGAGCGUGUGACGAACGAAAAAAGGAGAUUCGGUCCGUGGUGAGGAUGAGAGAUACAGUCCGCGUUUUGAAGACGUUUCGGGAGGGUUUUGAAAGAAUAUGGAGAUAGAGAGAUAUUCAACUCAUUUUGGGAGCACAUUCAGGCCGUGUUCUGGGGAUAUUCAGAGCGUGUUUUGGAGUCACAUUCAAGCCGUGUCUGAGAGUAAGAGGGAGCGUGUUUUCGAGGGUCACAUUCAGUCUGUGUUUUGGGAUCAUUGAGAACACGUUUUGGUUCCCAUUAGUAUGCAUCUAGUACAAAUUGAACCUACCAAUUCGCCAAUUAUGAGUUGGGCGCUUUAACCAUUCAGCCAUGGAUGCUUAGUGGGGAUCCUCGUACAUGGUGAAUAACCAAAUUCUAAUUGAAAUGAAAUCUUUAGGAUAAAUCAAUGUAAUUUAGGAGGAAUAAUGAAAGGACAUCAAUUCAAAUCUUGGAUUUUCAAAUUGAGAGAUAUUGAGAGAGAUCAAUAAUUCUCACUAUUUCUUAGAUUCAUGGACCCAAUUCACUUCAGUGGGAUAUUUCAUUCAUAUUUUUUUCCACCAAGAGAGCACAUUCAGGCUGUGGUCUGAGGGGAAGAUAAGAGAAGGUAAGAAAGGUAUCAUUUGGACAUUGUUUCAUUUUGAAAAUUUGUUUUGACUUUGUUAGUUUUUUGCGGAAUUUUGGAAUUAGGAUUAGAGAUAAGGGUGAUUUCUUUGAAAGUUUGAAUGAUUUUAAUAUCUGGACCUUUUGCUUUUAUUCAUGUUAUUUCAUUAAAAGCUUCAUCUUGAAAAUUUUGGUUAUGCUUUAAAUUUUUUUGGUUCUGAUUCAUGUUAUUAGAAUGUUAUUUCAUUAAAAGUUUCAUCUUGAAAAUUUUGGUCAUGCUUUAAAAUUUUCUGUUUAUGAUUUAUGUUAUUAGAAUGUUAUUUUAUUAAAAAGUCCCAUCUUGAAAAGUUGGUUAUAUAAAAAUUUGGUUAGGUUUUAAAUUUUUCGGAACAUAUUUCAUGAUAUUAGAAUGCUAUUUCAUUGAAAGUCUCAUCUUGAACAUUUUGAUUAGGUUUUAAUUUUUCUAGUUACUAUUCAUCUUAUCAAAAUGCUAUUUUCUUAAAAGUCUUAUCUUGAAAAUUUUGGUUUGGUUUUAAAUUUUCUAGCUAUCAUUCAUGGUGUUAGAAUGCUAUUUUAUUAAAAAUCUUACCUUGCAAAGUUUGAUAAUUUUAACGUUUAUAGGUUAUUCCCAUACUAUCAAAAUUUUCAUGUUUCAAUGAUUAGUUCUUAGGGUUUUUUUAUAUUCUCUAUUUAUUAUGCAUGUUAGUUGAUUGGGUUAUUGGAUUAAAUUGGCAAUGGUAGUUUUUAGGGGUUUUAGAUUCUCUUGUUACUAUGCAUGUUAUUUGAUGGGUUUAUUAGAUUAAAAGUUCUUAUCUUUGGAAACGGUAGUUCUUAGGUUUUUAGAUUUUUCUUGUUAUUAUGCAUGAUUAUUUGAUUGGGUUGUUGAAUUAAAAGUUGUCAUAUUUAGAAAUGGUAGUUCUCAAGUUUCUAGAUUUUGAUGUUAUUAUGCAUAUAAUUUGAUUGGGUCGUUGAGUUAAAAGUUCUCAUCUUUGGAAGAACCAAAUGAAUCAACCCAAGCUCUAAAGAAAAAUCUAAUAAAAAAUUCUUUUGAACUUUAAAAUGGGUUGGAGUUUCCUAGGAAACAAACACACCCACUCUUUGAAUGGAAGAGGAACUCAAUGGAGUUUGUCUGACUGUUGUAGGGGAGGUGUUCCCCUAACCCUAAAAAUCAAUUUUUGGUUCAAAUAGGUAAGAAAACCCUUAGGAAAUGUAAAUUUACAACCACAUGAAGUAUCAUUCUUAAUGCUACUUCAAUUUUGAGUCAAAUAAAUUUGAGUAAAAAUAAGACCAAAAUACCUACCAUGUCCUUGACUAAUUCAAAGGUCAACCUAUUCCAUAUAUUAAUGAACAACAAAUAAAGAAUGCUUGCGAUUUCUCAAAUAAUUCAAAGGCAAGACUUGACUCAAAGGAGUCAAAUGACACAUUAUUUUCUCAUAUGCAUCAUGACAAUAUUUGACACACAGAGUCAAUUGGCAUGUCUAUAUCAAUUUUUUUUUUAGUGCAAAAUGGAAUGGUGGUUAAGAACUUUUUUACCUCUUUAAUACAACUAAUACAAACAAAGCAUAUAUCAAAGUCUCACAAGAAAAAGCAAGGUAAAGCUCAUAAGCUUAUUGUGUGAACAAGUUGACAAAACAUGAAGGCCAAAAGUUUUGGCAUUACGAGGUCCAUUGGGAGGGCCCUACAAAUGCACAUUACAUUUGACCCAAAUUCUUCAAAUUUGCUUUUGAAAAGUUUAUCCAGUUAAAAUGACUACUAGCAUUGAAUAUAAAUUAAAUCAUUUAAGAUUAUCUUUUGCCAAACAUAUUAAUUAUAAAAUAAAAAAUCGUUAUAAAAGUGAUUUAAAAACCAUGCCCUAUCACAUUCUAUUCAUGGAGAAUGAUGUAAUCAUGCAACAACUAAAAAAUCCAAAAAAAAAUUUAAAGUUUUAAAUUUAAAAUUUUAAAGUACAUAGAAAAAUUAAUUCUAGAAACAUGUAUUUCAAUAGUGAAAUUAUCAAAAUUUUAAAAUUACACUGUAACCCUCGAUCUCAUUUCGCAAUUAAUUACUGCAAAAAAAUUUUAUUUUUUUCUUUUUACUUUAAUGUGACAAGUUAAAGAGCAAGUCAUUGUUGUCUUUUAAAAAACGAAAAGAAAAAAAAAUUGACUCAUGGUAACCAACCAUGUCAUAUGAUUUUUCUUUUUUCUUUUUCCUCUCCUUCGUAAUAUCUUUACCUUUCUGUUUCUUAAUUUCUAAUGUGUUGACUUCAUGAAAUCUUUUUAAUUUCAUUUUUCAUUAUUUCAUCUUCUACAUUUAUCGAUUUCAAUUAUUUAUGGAUAUUCUAGACACAAAAUAAAAAUAUAUAAUAAAUAAUUAAUGAAAACAAAUUUAAUAUACAAAUAAAUUCAUAAUGAACAAAUUUAGAAGCUUAGGACAUAAGAUUUUCUAUAUUCCUCCUAAAUAAAAUAUCUAUUUAUUUUAUAAUCUUAUUGCAUUGUCAUAUUAUUUUAUUGUUUAUAUUUUUAAAAAAAUUGUUAAAUUUUUAUGUGAAAGCACCUUUGAGUAGUAAUCAUAUUCAUUUAACCCAAUUAAUUCAUUAAGGUCCUUGGUAAUUGGUUUUAACCAUUUUGUGGCAAGUUUACAUGUUUUUAUCAGCUUAUGAAUCAAUUCAAGCAUGCCAAAUGAUGGAGGAGCUACUUGGACAAGUUAUGGCAAAGCCUUUGGAAGCUCAAAUUCAUGAAGAACCAAGCUUUGGAGCUCCAUAGCCCUUUGCCAAAGUCGUUCAAAGUAUGCAAGGAAAGAACAAUGGAAAAGAGGAAAAGCAAGCAAAGUGAAGAGAAGUAAAGAGGACAGCAGCUGCAAUCUUCUUUCGCACUUUUGGAGUACUUCCCGAAGUCCAUUUUUUACAUAAUAUAUACCAUUUCAAAGCUCUGGAAGUCAAGAAUCCAACGCUUCAAACCGUGUACGAUUUGGAGCUGAAAUGAGGAAGAUAUGGCCUUCGAAAGCCAACUGCUCCAGGUUAUGCGAAAAUUUCGCAUAACACCUUCAAAAUUCGCAUAACCCAUGCGUGUUACGUUUUACACUGAGAAUAUAUACAGAGCUCUCUCGUUUCUCUUUUCUCUUUGCUAUUUUAUUUUCUUGGAAGCCAAACAGCCUCUGAGGGCUUUUCCUCAGAGGAUGAUUGGCUAAAACUUUUAGUUUCUCAAAGUAUGGAUGUUAUGUGAUGACUUGGAUGCAAUCACAUGGAAAUUUCUCGCACCCGGAAGGUAAGGUAGUCGUUUUUCAUUAAAGGUUAAUUAAUGCAAAGUUUGGUUUUUAUUUCCUUUGGACAACUUCCAACGGCCAAUACUUGAUAAGCUUUUGGAUUUCUAUCCAUUAGUUAUCUCCUACGAGCUAUUGGAAGGUGAGGUUUUCAAUUCCAAGUUUUGCAUUAAUCCGUUAGAACCAAUUUCAAUGGCCAUUGAAAGGUGAGUUUAUCACUUGGAAUGACUUUGAGUUGCCAAUAUUUGGUAAGCUUUUGGCUUUAGACCAUUAGUUAUCUCUUACGAGCCAUUCAAAGGAAGUCUAAGGUGAAUAACAAUUGAUGAAAUUCACUACCAUCUGUUUUGCCAUUUUAAAGGAUUAAAACUUGAUUUGCUAAAUCCAUACCGGUUCGGGAAGCAAGCAUCACCAUAGUUGCAACCCCAACUCGAGGAGCCUAUCCUAAGAUUUCCAAUUUGCAUAAGAGCCAGAGCAUAGCUCUCCUAUCUUUGAGAAACUUGUUUUUACACCCUUUCAUUUUAGUCUUUAAUGUUAGCUUAGAUUAGUUUAAAUCUUUCUAAAACAUUUACAUCUUCUUUUAAAGCUAACAUCCAUAAGAAAAUCACCUAUUUUCCUAAUUUGAAUAUCACUAGUGUUUGCGAAAACCCUUCCCAGUGAACGAUCCUAGAACCACUAUGCUAUAGUAGCUUGGCUACUUUAGUAAUAGUAUUCAAGGUAUAAAUUUUGUUGAUACGCCUUUAAAGCUAAGCUACCAUGAGUCGCAUCACAAAGCCCACAAAACUCAAUAUCAGAAGGGAACGUGUGAAGAAACCCAGCAUUUUGGACAACUCCCUCGCCAUAAUCAAAAUCUGAGUCAAUCGCCAUGAAUAAAUGGAAAAGAAUGCUUUCAAUCAACAGCAAAGGCAUACCUUCUUGUCUAUGUAGUCCGCCCAGAACCUGGCCUGAGCUCUCUGGUAUGGGUCACUAGGCAAAAGCGGAGAUUUAUCGCACCAAACCUCAUCAAUAUACUGAACUAUUAUCAGAGACUCACAAAUGGGCUUUCCAUUGUGGAUCAGAACUGGGAUUUUCUUAUGAACUGGGUUCAUCUCAAGAAGCAAAGGGCUCUUCUUCCACAGGUCCUCCUCUCUAUAUUCAUACUUGAGACCCUUCUCUGCCAGGGCAAGUCUGACCCUCAUACCAAACAUGCUAGGCCAGAAAUCCAACAAGAUAAUCUCGUCUGCCAUUGCUACUAAUGUGAUUGAUAAGAUUCAAACUCUUUAAGUAUUGAUGAACAGCACGGGAAAUUGCUGAGUAUUUAUAGCAAAUUUCAGAGAGUGGGUUAAACCCUUGGAUACUUCUAGGAGGUGGUGAUGCUCAUUCCUUAUCUCAGCUUUCAUUUUCAUUUUCCAUUCUAUCUCGGUUUCGUAUCUCUCCAGAAUUUGUGAAUUAUGGAAACGUUUGUUAUGGCAUGGUAAAAUAUAGAAGCGUCCCGAUAGUUGGUUGCUUCCACGUCAUCUCAUUGCUUUGAUCAUUCCACAUCAUCGCUUUCGCCAGCCCUGUCAAUUAAGUACACUGGUCCUCUGCAUAAUUUCCACCACAAAAAUGAUGUUGCAAGGAAAAGAAAUGAUAUUGUAGGGAAAAGAAAAUAGAACUUGUAUAUUUUUAGAUCGACAAGUCACUAUUGGUCCCUUCCUUAGUUCUUAGAUUCCUGAAAUUAAAUAAAUAUUUAAACUUUAUGUGUAUUAUAAAUAUUUAAAAUUUCAGUGGUGAUUGUAUUUUUAUCUAAGAUCUAUUUUUUUUUAAUUUGAAUAAAUUAAGUAUUGUUAAAUAUUUAAAUUUUUUAUAUUUUAAUUAUUAGUAAAUGUUAAUAAAUAUUAAAUAACUGAUCUUUUACAUUACAAAAAUAUUUAUAAAAUAUAAUAUUUUAUUUCUUGUUAAAUUAGUUUGCAAUCCAACACAUUUUUGAAUAUUUAAAUAUCAUAAUUCAUUAACAUAUUAAAAUUUUAUAAUAAAUAAUUAUGUAAUUGAUAAGAAAUUGGUAGUUUGAUAAUAAGUAUAAUUAUGGGGUAUUUGGUAAAACUCAAUAAUUAUUACUUAAUGACUUAAGUUGAUUUUAAGUAAAAUUAUAUUUAAGUUAUUGACUUAAAACUUAUUACUUAAUUUUUAAUUUAAAUAUUAAGGUUGUUUAAUAAAAUUAAUUUAAAAUUUAUUCUAAAUCAUCAAAUUGAUAUACUUACCCCCAUAAAUUAUAAUGAGGAUAAAUGAGAUCGAGUAACAAUGGAAGUUGUAUAAUAACAAAAAAAAUCGUGGAACUAAGAUAAAUGAGGGUAAAAAGAUAAAAUGAAAACAUGGAUUUAAGAAUAAAUUAAUUAUUUUUACUUAUUAGUUAAAGUUGUUUUUUACUUUAAGUCAUACCAUUAAAUUAUUUUACCAAUUAUAUUUAAUUUAUUUAAUAACUUGAAUUAAGUUAUUAAGUUGAUUUACCAAUACCCACUUAGACUUGUUAGAAACUAUUAGAACUUUUCUAAGUUAGUAUAUGUUUAGAUUUGAAGAUUUGUGAUUGAAAUAUGUAUUCUUUUUAAAAUUAAUUCAUUGAUUUUUGGAAUUUUAUCUCCAAAGGAGUAUCAACUUUUAAUUUAUAUUUUUUAAAAUUAUUAAUUCUAAUAAAUAUUUAGAUGAAUGUGAAUUAUGCUUUAGAAUUUUGAUUAAAAAAAAUCUUAUUAGAAUUGCUAACUAUUUUUAUUUUUUAUAAAGCUGAAUUUUUAUUAAAUAUUUUUCGAAUUUAAAUUUUAUGAUUUUUAGUAUAAUUUAUUUUUAUUUUUGAAUGAGUAAUCAAUAAUAAUUUGUGGAAUUCAAUUUUAUUGAGAAUGGGAUAAAUUAUGGGGUAAAAAUAAUGGAAACAUGUGGGGAUUUGAAAUUUUGUAAAUUUAUCUUUUAGCUAUCAAUUUAUGAGAAAAUUUUAAAUCUGAUUUUUCUUUAAAAAAAUGAAAAAUGAAAAUGAAAAAAAAAAACAAACAAAAAAUCAAAUAUAUUUGAUGCUUUUUGUAAAUGACAACUUUGUUAAUUUAUAAUAAAUUUAUUUCUCACUCAAAUUAUAUAAAAUUAACAUAGUUUAACUAUUUUUUAAAACAAGUUAUCUAUUCUUUUUUAAAGGAAUUUAGUUUAAAUUUUUGUGAAAAUUUGUAUUUAAGCAAGUACUCUUAAUUAAUGAUUAAAAGCUUUUUUAUUUUUUACUUUUUCCCCAUAAAUAAUUAAAUAUUAUAAUUAAUCCUAGUUUUUUCAAACUCUUAUAAAUAGGAGACUUGGGUCAAUGAAAUGGAUACCUCAAAGUUAUUUUAGAACUCUAUCUCUUCUCUAAUUCUAGUCUCUCCAAAAGAAAACUCUUAUUAUAAGUUUUUGUAUAAGAUUCAAACACUAAAAGGACAAACUUAUUCUCAUAAAAUAUCUUUUUUAUCAUCUAAAAGGUAUGUGAUAAACUUCUACUUUUAUAUUAUUUUCUAUUUAAUUUAUCCUUUCGAUGAAGAAACUAGAAAAUAUUUUUUUUUAUAGACAAAAAUUAUGAAAAAAAAAUUGCAACUAGAAGUUAUAAAAAAAAAAUGUAAAAUAUGUACAAUUGUAUAGCCAAAGGUUAUAUGAGAAAUUAUAAAGUUAUAAAAAUAUAAAGAAUGACUUACAUGUAAUUUCUAAUUUCUUUUAAUCAUAAUGAUAUAACCAAAUGUUACACAAAACAAAAUUGUAUUGUCAAAAGUUAAAUAAUGAAUAUUUCAUAGCCUAAAGAUGUAUACAAAUUUGCACAUUUUUGUUAUGAUAAAAAUAAUCCAUAGCCAAAAACUAUGUAAGCAAUCAAUUCGUACUUUUUAUUUUGUUAAUGCUACAUGAUGUUCAUGCAUUUUUUUUUUACCAUAUUUAUAAUAAUCCUUUAGCAAUAAAAUAUAACAAAAUCUUAAAUCAUUAUGCUUUUAUUAAUGAAUAUUAACCUGAUAAAAUAUUGUUAGAUAAUUUUAUUCAUUUAUUUUGGUAAAUUGAAAUAUUAUUCUAAUUAAAUUAUUUCAAAUAUAGUUUUCAAAUAAUGUCAAAUCUUACCAAGUUUGAGUUUGUUACAUUCCCUAUUUCGGGCAAAACUAUUUAUCUAGAUUCUAAAUGCUAAAAUUCACCUAAACGAUAUGAAUCUUGAAUAGACCAUUAAAGAAUAAAAUGAGGCAUCCUCACAAGAUCGCACUAGAGCAUUAAUAUUCCUUCAUUAUCACAUUGAUGAAGGAAUAAAAGGUGAAUUCCUUACAAUCAAAGAAUUUUCAUUCUUUGAAAUAAUCUAACGGAAUGAUACUUUGAUCCUUUGGAAUAAUAUAACAAAAUGAUAUGGCCACCACGAGAUUAUAAUCCUUCCAAAAGAACAUCAUGAUUGGAUGCACUUGAGAUUACAAAAUUUCAAGUUUGUCAAUGACCACAACUCGACUUUAUUCAAAAGUUGUUCACAAUUUAUAUGGAGAAAAAAUCAUUAAAGAAUAUAUCCUUGAAAAGACAUUUACUAUUUUCCAUGCCUCGAAUGUACUCCUAUGGCAACAAUAUCAAGAGCAUAAUUUCACUAAAUAGUUUGAAUUAGUUUAAUGUCUUCUUAUGGCUAAACAAAAUAAUGAACUUCUACUAAAGAAUCAUCAAUCUCAUACUAUUAGGUCUAUGUCAUUGCUUGAAGAAAAUGUCACAUCCGUCCAAGCUCCUAGACAUUGAGUUGGACUUGGACAUGAACAAGGCUAAGGACACAGUCAUGGUCGUGGUAAACAUAAUUCUUGGUACCAUGGUAAUUAUAGUCAUUAGAAUAGAAAAAACAAUUCAAACCAUUAGAAGUGGAAUAAUUCAAAGGUACAACCUAAAAAGGAUAUAUAUAUAUAUAUAUAUAUAUAUAUAUAUAUAUAAUCACAAAACAAACAUGAUAGUAAGAAUGAAUGCUAUAGAUAUGGUAUGAAAAGACACUAGUCAUGUACCUAUCAUAUUUCCAUAUGUUAAAAAAAUUGUACAUAGGUUUUAGAAAUGCCCAAUCGGGUAAGGGAAAGCCUCAAACAUUCCAACACUUCCUUAUGUUAAUAUUUAAAUCCUAAUAAGGAUGUAUAUUGUCAUGGUUCACCUUAAAAAAAUUGCAUGUAUGUUUCUUAAGGAUGUAUGUAGGAUUUAGAAAUGACCUACGACGAACAGGAAGGCCUCAAAUUCAUUAUGAGGCUUCUAUAAUUUAAUAUUUAGACCCAAAUAAGAAUGACUGGAACUAUGGUCCACCUUAAAAGAAAAGGUUUUUUUUUUUUUUUUUUUUAAGAAUUUACAUACUUUUCUUAAGAAUGUAUGUAUUUUUCUUAAGGAUGUACGUAGACUUUGAAAAUAACCAACGAGGAAUGGGCAGCCUCAAAAUUAUUACAAGGCUUCCAUAAAUUAAUAUUAAAACCUAAAUAAGGUGAAAUAAGGUCACAAUCUGCUUUUAAAAAAACGCACAUAUUUUGUUUUUUUAAGAAUGUACAUGUUUUCCAUAAAAAUAUAUGUAUUUUUUCUUAAGAAUGUUCUUAAGGUUUAGAAAAACCUAACAAGGUAAGGAAAGACCUCUAAUUCAUUCUCAGGCUUCCAUAAGUGAAUACCUAGACCUAAAUAAGGUCAAAUAGGAUUAUAGUCUUAAGAUAGAGUUCUUAAAAGCAUAACAUGGUGUAUUAAAUUUGAAAUUCAUUAUUUAUUUAAUGAUGUUCCCAUUUCACUUUUAUCUAUCUUUAUUCCAUGUAUUAUAUUUUAUGAGAAGUCUUGUCAGCAUCUUUUGCAUUGUACAUGACUUAGGUGCAUUAAGAGUUGCACAGAAGAUCUUUAAGCCAUGGGUUCCUUGCAAAUAAUUGACUUGUUCACAACCAGUUUAUGGGUCUAGGCAACCCAUUAGAAGUUGUAGUGCACCACCUCUUAAUUAGAGGGAUGGUUGGUCUCCGUUAUCGGGAUGAGUUUCCCAUGGUGAGUACACUACUGUGUAUGAUUUACACAUUAGACAAGACCUACGAUGAGUCAUGACUUAAUACUAUCAAGUAGUCAUGACCUCACCAAGCUACUUCAUUGUGUUAUCUCUCAACCUUGAGAGAAUAUCGAGAAAAUUAGCAAUGAAUUUUACCUAUGAGUGAGAUUGUAAGUUGAUCAUAUAUUCCCUAUGGAUUGGGUCACUGUUGAUGGAAGUCAGUAACAAUAGGUAUUCUUAAUAGACACCAUGAUAUCUCAUGGGAUUGAGACAACAUGUCCCCUUGGGUGAUCCUAAGGGGAUGUGUUCAUGGAAACUAUGGCCAUAAUAGUUCCUUAAGUAGAACUUGACAUAGGCUCUUUGAGAGCUAAGACAUGUCAAUUGAAUAUACAAUAGGAGGAUUCGUAACUCAAGGAUAGUAGAGGUAGUCUUGAAAGGUUGAUAGCUUUCACCUUGUUAGGCUAGAACACCAGUUCAUGGGGAGACUGAACACAAUGGAUACUAGGUCACAGACCCGAGCACGUAGUGUCUCGUUGUUAUUUACAUAAGAUAUUGGAGUUUAGUUUAUUCUUUGUAAUAAGAUGUUGAAUCAACUUCAUAAUUGGAUCCUGAGGGAGUUAGUACUCUUAUAGAUCCUAAUGGUCCCUGCUCUGAGCUUAUAUAUCUUUUUGGCAUAGUUAUGAGUGUCGAAUUGACUCUAGGUUCACUUUUGUGCAUAAGGGCAUUUUGGUAAUUAUGCAAGAUUGCAUAAGGGUAAGUGAACAAAGUCUCUAGAUUGAGCUAAUUAAUUAAUUAGUAGGCCCUAUUGGGUUAAUUAAUCAAUUAGGAUCCAUUUUGGGCUAAAUUAAGUUACCCAAACCCAUGUGGGCUCAAGUCACUUAAGCCUAGUUAGGAACCCUAUAAAUACCCCCUAGGGGUUAGAGUCUUCAUCACUUUUGUCUUCCACCAUUUAGAGAGAAAGAGGGCAAUAGCCUCCACCUUUCUUUCUUCCCUAUCGAAAGUGUGCCAAGAAUAAAGUUGAGUCAUUAGGCAAAAGACCAUGGGUUUACAAGACUUCCAACAACUUCAAUGUCAUCUUCAACACUUGGAAUUUAAGGUUUGAAAUAUCCAAACCUAAAGGUUGCACUUUAACCCUAAAGAUCAAUUUUAAAAAAUAAAUAAAUAAAUUGGUAUUGUUUCCAUUCCUUAGAUCUACUAUGCCAAUACACAAUUCGCUUGAAAAAAAUGUAAGUAUUUUCUUCAAAAUAUAUAUAUUUGUUAAGAAUGUAUGUAUUUUUGUAAAAGAUGUACCUUAGGUAGGGUUCCACCAUGUUAAAUGAGGUUUGGGAAGCUCUCAAAUACAUUUCGUAGAGUACAUAAGCCAAAUCUUAGACCCAAAUGAGUGUGAAUCUAUCAUGUUAAGUUGAAAUCAAAUGUACAUAUUUUUCUUAAGGUGUUAUAUUUUUCUAAAAAAUGAACUUGUGAGUGUUUAGCUAGGUUGGAAAUUCCAAAAAAAAUUCCAAAGGGUCCCCUAACUUGGUUUACCAAUCCCUCUUUGGACUACUUGACCUUUGAAGAUUAAGACUUUGCUAAGAGGUCGAGGUAUGUAGCUGAAUCUAUGGUGAUUGAAUGUGAAUCAACCCUAUUUUUUCAUUUUUAAAUGAGUAAAGAAAGCUAAGAGAAAUAUUGUUGGUGCAAGGCUUUUGUUCCCUUGUUUCUGGAUCGAUCCAGGUAUAGGGGCAAAUCGAUCCAACUAACCUGUUUUUCAGAUCAAUUUUCAACAUUUGGAUUAAGGUUUCACUCUCAUUUAAAAUCAAAUCUCCCCCAUUUUUGGAAGUGGUGACUGUAGUAUCCGUGAGAGAGUUUUUUCUUUCCUCACUAUUUAGAGGGUGUUUACCUAUGAAGAAAAUCCAUCCAAGUUUUCCAAGAAUUUUUUUUUAAAAUGGAUUUUCUGAAAAUGAACAUGGGUUGAUUUCUAAAACAUUCAUAUCUCGUUCUCUUGGUUUUGUGCAAAAACCCAUUUUCUUCUUGUCUAAAUUCAAGAGGAAAUCGAGCUUGGUGCCAAACUCCAAGUGUGCCCCGAAAGAAGAAGCUAAGAAGCUGAAAAUGAAUGUACUAGUCAAGUGGUUUGGGAAAGAUUGGUUGGUUUGAGCAAGGUAAAACUUUGUAUUCAGAUUUUAUUUUUCAUAGUGGAUGUUUUCAAUCAGUAAUAGGCCCAUGGUUUUUUAUCUCUUCGGAGAUUUUUCAUGUAAAUUUAUGGUGUCUCAUUGUCUCUCUUUCUCUUCUUAGCAUCAGUUUUCAGUUUCAACAAUUUAUUAUAAUUUUGAUUGUCUACUAUUUGAUUGAAUGAUGAAGAGAAAUGACUAUGAAUCAUCUUUGAAGCUGUUUCUAAUUGUUAAUCAUUGAUAUUUUGAGGUAUAUUGAUCUUGCUUUUAUCAGAAUUUAGUUUAAGUUGAUUUGGGUUUGGGAGCGUUAGAUCAUGUGCAUGUGAAUUACAUUUGAAUAUUGUUGGGGAGUGUUGUUGCAUUCAUAUAUGCAUGUGAUUUAUAAUUUGUGUUUUUGAGAUUGUGUGAAGAGAAGAAAAAUAUUAAAAAAGUUUUAAGGUUUUCUAAUUUGAGUUGAGAUUUUGUUUAAUUAGUCAAAACACCUAUUCAACCUCCCUUAGGUGUAUUCUAUUGAGAUUCACCUUUUCAAUUGGUAUGAGAGAGGGUUUUUAAAGCAAAAAUCAUUUUCAAUCCUUAAAUCUCAAUCAUGGAAUCUCAUUAAGAGGGAGCUUCCAUUAGGAGACCACCAUUCUUAACCAGUGAAAAUUAUUCUCAUUGAAAAGUGAGAAUGCAAUAUUUUCUCAAAAUGCAAAGUGACAAAAUUUGGAAUGUCGUUGAAUUUGGUUAGUCUCCACCUAAGGUGUUAGAUAGAGAAGGUAAACUAACAAAUGUUAUCAAGCCAAAAUUGGAAUGUGAUAGAAGUGAAAAUGAAGCAAGUGAGAAUAAAGCUAGAGCCAUGUACUCCAUCUUCAAUGCCAUUAGUACGAAUGAAUUUUGUAGGAUUGCCACAUGCACUUUGGUUAAAGAAGGCUUAGGAUAUCCUCCAACUGACUCAUGAAGGAACUAAUGUUGUGAAAAUGUCCAAGCUUCAAAUGUUGACAUCUAGGUUUGAGACCAUUAGGAUGAAUGAUCAUGAAACUUUUGGAGAAUUUCAUGCAAAAUUGAUGGAUAUAGUGAAUUCUAACUUCAAUCUAGGUGAAUCCAUCUCUAACUGUAAGGUGGUUAGAAAAAUUUUAAGAUCUCUUCCAGAUAGAUUUAGAGCUAAGGUUACCGCCAUUGAAGAGUCUAAGGAUGUGGAUUCCUUGAAGAUAGAUGAACUUGUAGGUUCUCUCCAAACCUUUGAGAUGAUGCUUGUAUCACCUAGAAAAGCUAAGGGAAUUGCUUUAAAAGCUAUUAAAGAAGAGUCCCUAAGUUCCGAAAGUGAGGAUGAUGAGAAAAUGUCAAAGGGUGAGCUUACUAAGUUUACUAAAAAAAUUAAGAAGUACAUGAAAUUCAAAAAAUUCAAGAAAGAAUCAAAUGAUGGUAAAAAUGGAGGAACUCUAUUAGAAAAAAAAAAAAGAAUAUGGAGAAAUGUGUGAAAAAAGAGUUGGAGAUUGAGUGCUUUAAAUGUGGAGGAAAUGGGCAUUAUGCCGCCAAAUGUCCCUCAAAGAAAAAAAAAAUGAAAGAAGGUCAUGCAAGUCACUAGAAGCAACAUAGAAUCUUGGCAAUCAAGUGAAAAAGAAUCCAAUGGAAGUGAAGAAUACACUAACUUCAUAGCCUUUGCUGCAAGUGUCAAUGAGAAACCACUUAAGAAAGAGGUCUUAAGUGAGUCGUGAGUCAAGUGACUCCAAUGAUGAUGACAUGAAUUUUGACACAGCAUAUGAGACUUUGUAUAAGGAGUGCUUGAGCCUUAAACAAGACCAAGUCAAGUGGAAGGCUUCUAAGAAUAUUCUAAUCAAUGAGAUUGAUGUCUUGAAGGGAGAAAAGAAGGCUUUGCUUGACAAAAUUGGAUUUCUUGCAAAUGAACACUUGGAAGUGAAAAAAAAAAUAUUAUGUAUUGAAAAGUGAAUCAAAUGUUCAAGGAUGAGUUUAAGUCUUAAGAAGGAAGAAUCACAUCCUAGCUCUAAGAGACUUAAUGAGUUUAUCAAUUUAGGGCGUAAAUCUUUUGAUAAACAAGGCUUAGGAUUUGUUGAUGCAAAUACUACUCCAAGUAGUGGUAAAACAAUUUUUGUUAAGCCUUGUGAAAAAUAAUAUCCUAAGAAAACUCAUUCUCAAAUCAAGUUUCAUUGCAAUCAUUGUGGCAAAAUGGGGCACACUUUUGAUAGAUGUUGUGCAAGAUUGUUUGAUAAUUUUCAAAGGAAGUUGACCAACCUAAUGAAUGAAUGUUAUUCUUUGAAGAAUAGGUUAUUGAAUGAGAACAAGAGAGUGUCCAAGAAGUGCUCAAAGAUCCCUCAUAAUGGUGAGUUGAAAGGAAGCACUUUGAAUGAAAAGACAAGUCUCAAAUGUUAAACAAAUUUGGGUGUGAAUGAAUGAGUUGAAGUGUUUUGUUGUCCAUACCGCACUUAGAGCUAGUGAGUCACACUCAUGGCAUCUUGAUAGUAGAUGUUCACAUCAUAUGACUAGAAAUAAAUCUUUGUUCACUUCAUUCAUUGAAUUUCAUGGAGGAAAUGUGACAUUUAGAGAUGGUAAUGUGGCUAGGGUGAAAGACAAAGGUACCAUUUGUGCCCCUAACAUUCCUAAUCUUGAAGAGGUCUUAUAUGAAGGUUUAAAGGCUAACUUAAUUAGCACAAGCCAAAUGUGUGGGAAUGAGUUCAAUGUAAAAUUUUCACAAACUUUUUGCAAGGUGUUUGACUUGAAUGAUGUAUGUGUGAUAAUUGGCUUGAGAACUUGUGAUAAUUGCUAUGUUGUUAGUAAAAAAUCUCCUUCAUCCUCUUCUCUCGUGUGUAGAAGUUCUAAAAUUGCAUAUGUUAAUCACUUGUUGCAACAUAGAUUGUUGCAAAAUGAAAAAGAGCAUCCCAUUGUAAAAGUUAGGAUUGGUGGGGGGGAUUUGAUGAUGCCAAUGUUAUUGAUAGGCUAAAGAACCAUGUUCUUCAUUAUAGACAAAAAUAUGUGGACAUUAAGCAUCACUGCAUUCAAGACUUGGUAGAAGACAAGGUUGUUUACAAGAGGUUUACCCUAUAGAGAGUCAAAUUGCUAACAAUGUUACUAAACCUUUGGACAUUUCUAGGUUUGAAUCACUUAGGAACCCCAUAGGUUUAUAUACUCUCUGUUUAACUACCUCUAGAACUUGUCUAGGACUCCUCUUGCAUAUCCUUGAGUCCUAGUUGUCUUCCUAAGUUCCCAAAUAUCAUCAACUUGAUGUUCUUUUUGUUUUGGUUCAAUAUUUUCUCCAUUUUUCAUAAAUUUUCAACAAUUGUUGAGUUCAUGAGAGUGAUAUGCUUAUUCAUUUUGUUUAAAAGUUAAAUUAAAUCAUAAUGAUCUUAAAAGCUUCAAGAUGUAUUUAUCUUCAUGGCUUGUUUGAUAAACAUGAUAUUGAAUCCUUGCUAUUUUGAUUUGGUUAGAUAAACUACAAAUGAUUAGCUUCAUUUCUAUUAAGUGAGUAAGAGCUCAUUGUUGGACCUUGUGUUUGCAUAAUGGUGAAUAAUGCACUUUAAAGUCUAAAUGUAAACUUAUACCCAUUUAAUGAGCUUUAAAGAGUGAGUAAAGACACCUGGAAUAUCCUUGAGAGGUUGAGAUGAUCAAUCCUUGAUUGUUUGUCCUCUCUUUGAAAUUAAAUUUGUUUAAAAAUGAAAAAGAAAAGAAAAAGAAAAUAUGAAGUUUCCCGAAAUGGAUAUGGCUAUGUGGAAAUGUUUCAAGAAUUAAAAAGCCUCAAUUGCAAGAGUGGGACAUCCCUUAUGUUGUUAUGUUGUAAAGGCAUCCUUCGAGAUCCUCAAGUCAAAAAUUGAUCUUAAGGGUAAAACAUAAAGCUUUGUAUUACUUUCAAUGCUAAAUGUGAAAAGCAAAUAGUGUAUGAAUUUUAUUAAAGGGAUGUGAUUAGGUCAUGUUAAACAGAAAUCUAGCCAAGAGAGAUGCAAAUUGACUUUGAUUACUAAUCAAAAAGUACUCUUUUAUAGCUUGAAACUAACUGUUUUAAACACUUUUUGAGUAGUAGUUAAUACCGUUUAACUCAAUUGGCACAUUAAGGAACCUAGCAAGGGUUACUAAUAAGUUUUUCGCAAGUUUUGGUGUUUUUUGUAGCUAUUUGAUCAUUGAAACAAGCCAAGAAUGAGGAAGAAUUUUGUGAAAUCCAUGGCAAUGUAAGUUAAAGCUCAAAUACAUGAGGAAUCCAAGCUUUAGAGCACUUCAUAGCCCUUUGCCAAGCCAAUCAAAGAUGUAAAGAAGAAAACCAGAGGAAGAAAUCCAACAACCAGCAUUUCCGCAUGGUUGUGCGAAAUUUCGCACACCAUGCAAAACCACUUGAGGCAGCCAAAGAAUUUCGCACAACAUGCGAAAUUUCGCAUGGUAUGCGAAAUCUUCCUGUGCACCGACUCCGUUAGAUUUUUAUCUCUAGAUAUUUUGUGUAAUUUCCUAUUUUCUCCUUGUAAUCAACUUCGAUAUUUUCAUAUAUAUUUUUUUAUAUAUUUGGUGUGUGUAACAUCUUUUGAUAUAGACACACAGGGAUGUAAUCAGAGAACACUUGUAAAUUCCCCUUUAUAAGAAAUAUACAGAGCUUUUGCUCUACCUUUUCAUCUCAUUUUGUUUUCACUCUUCUUUCUAGCCAAACAACCUCUGAGGAUGAUUUAUCAAGGGAUGAGUGGCUAGGUUUUACGUUUCUUGGAGUGAUGGAAGCUAGGUGAAGGACCCGAAUGCAAAGAUGGGAGUUGUCCUUGCUUUAAAUGAAAGUAGUUGUUAACCAUUAAUGGUUUUUAUUUUAAGAUUUAGCUUUAAAUCCCUUAAAAGCACCUUGAAUGGCCAAUACUUGGUAAGCUUUUUGGAUUCUAUGGAUGCUUAUUGCUAGAUCCAUGGAUGUCUAUUAGUUAUCAUUUAUGAGCCAUUGGAAGGUGGUUCAAAGUGAGAGUCUUUAGUGUUUCAAGCCAUUAAUGGGAAGCAACUAUUAUUUUUCAUGAACCCUUUGGAUCAAAUCUUAAUAUCUAAAUAUAAAACCGGUUCGGGAAAUAACCAUCCUUUAUAUUAUUGUCCCCAAUGUGAUGAGAAGAUCCGGAAUCUCCCCCUUUGUCUAAGGAACCCGAUCCUAGUGACCUAAAGCUCUAAGAGACCUUUUCUUUGUAGUUAACUUCACUUAUUAUUUUUGCUUAACUUAAAAUCGAUCUUUGCAAUCACAAUUCCAUUUUCUUUAAAAGCUAAUUUUCAUAACGAAAAAUAUUAUUUUAUUUCCUUCACUAAAGUCAAUUGUACAAUGAAAACCCAUCCCUGUGGACGAUCCUAGAGCCACUAUACUAUGUUAGUUAUGCUACCCCAGUGUGAGGUGAUUUAGGUUUUAUAAAUUUUGUUGAUAACACCUAUCUGAGCCAGAGUCAAAUGGCAUGACUACAAUGGGGAUGAAUCAAAUGGCACCGUUGCCAGGGAGAUGAUGCCAAAGUACAUUGACAUGACUUUUGGUGAACACUUGUGAUCUUCAUCACAAGUUUGGUGAUUUUUCUUUUACUAAUUCUUUUUCUUUAUCUCUAUUUUAGCUUAUCUUUUAUUUAGUUUUCAGCUAACCUUAACUUUUUCCUACAAUUGUAUUUCUUUUGUUUUCUGUGUUUUUGUUUCAGUAAUUUUUAGUUGUGCAUGCCUUAUUGGAUAAGAGAUAUUGAGGGAAGACUUGUGAAGAUUGAAACUCCUCAAGAAACUGAGUUGGAAGUGUGCUUGAACAUCAUGAAUGUUCCACCUAAAGACCAAAAUAGCCAACAUGGUCAAGAGGAUAAUUUCAACGCAUACCGAUCCAUGAGGGAUCACAUGCAUCCACCUCGUAUGAGUGCACCAUCAUGCAUAGUGCCUCCCAUUGAGCGACUAGUAGUCCGACCUCACAUUGUGCCACUCUUACCUCCUUUCCAUGGGAUGGAAAGUGAGAAUCCCUACUCGCAUAUUAAGGAAUUCGAGGAGGUUUGUAAUACAUUCCAAGAAGGAAGAGCUUCAAUUAACUUGAUGAGGCUCAAGCUAUUUCCUUUCACCUUGAAGGAUCAGGCCAAGAUUUGGCUUAAUUCUCUAAGGCCAAGGAGUAUCCAAACUUGGACUGAUUUGCAAGCCGAGUUUCUCAAGAAGUUCUUCCCUACUCAUAGGACUAAUGGUUUGAAAAGGAAAAUUUCAAAUUUCUCGACUAAGGAGAAUGAGAAAUUCUAUGAGUGUUGGGAGAGGUACAUAGAACCUAUUAAUGCUUGUUCUCACCAUGGCUUUGACACAUGGCUCUUAGUGAGCUAUUUUUACGAUGGUAUGUCUUCUUCAAUGAAGCAACUCCUAGAAACUAUGUGUGGAGGAGACUUCAUGAGUAAGAAUCCGGAGGAAGCCAUGGACUUUUUGAGUUAUGUGGCUGAAGUUUCAAGAUGAUGGGAUAACCAAACGCUAGAGAAGUGGGAAGAAUGAAGUCUCAACCUAAUGCUAAGGGUGGGAUGUAUGUUUUGAAUGAAGACAUUGACAUGAAGGCAAAGGUUGCAGCUAUGGCAAGGAGAUUGGAAGAGCUAGAAAUGAAGAAGAUAUAAGAAGUGCAAGCUAUUUCUGAGACACCAGUGCAAGCUAUGCCUUGUUCCAUUUUUCAAUCUUAUGAGCACUUGUUGGAGGAGUGUCCUACAAUUCCAGCAAUGAGAGAAAUGUUUGGAGAUCAAUCAAAUGUUAUUGGUCAAUUCAAGCCCAAUAACAAUACUUCAUAUGGCAACACCUACAAUUCAAAUUGGAAGAACCAUCCAAAUUUCUCUUGGAAACCAAAGCCACCGCAGUACACACAACCUGCUCAAGCACCUCGGCAAGCCUCGAAUCUUGAACAAGUUAUUGUGAACCUUUGCAAGGUUGUGGGAGACUUUGUGGAAGAUCAGAAGUCCAUCAAUGCUCAACUAAAUCAGAGAAUUGACAGUGUGGAGAGUACAUUGAACAAAAUGAUGGAUGGGAUGCAAAAUGAUCUGUCUCAGAAGAUAGACAAUGUCUAAUACGCAAUCUCAAGGCUUACCAACCUCAACACAGUGCAAGAGAAAUUAAAGUUUCCUUCUCAACCUCAUCAAAAUCCCAAGGAUAUCCAUGAUGUGGAGGCUCAAGAGGGAGAAUCUUCAAAGGUAAGGGAAGUCAAAGCAGUUAUCACCUUAAGAAGUGGUAAAGAGGUUGAUCUGCCCACAUCCAAGCCAAAGCAUGACGAAGAGAGUGUAGCAGAAAAAGAAAAGAGUGGAGAAAAUAAAGGAAAGAGAAAAGGGAAAAGUACAAAGAAAGAUGACCAUGAGUCUAGUGUGGAUGAAGAACUCGAGAAGAAAGUGAUCAAGGAAGAUAUGAUGAAGAAACACAUGCCUCCAUCUUUCUCCUAAGCUUUGCAUGGCAUAAAGGGAACCAAUAAUGCAUCAGAAAUUUUUGAAGUGGUGAGGCAAGUGAAGGUCAAUAUCCCUUUGCUAGACAUGAUCAAACAAGUGCCGACAUAUGCAAAAUUCUUGAAGGACUUGUGCACUAUAAAGAGAGGGUUAAAUGUGAACAAGAAGCCUUCUUGAUUGAGCAAGUGCCAUCAUACAGUGCAAGUCUCCAGUGAAGUACAAAGAUCCGGGCUGCCCUACCAUCUCAGUGAGUAUUGGAGGGACUUGCGUGCAGAAAGCUUUGUUGGACUUAGGAGCAAGUGUAAAUUUGCUACCCUACUCUGUCUAUAAGAAGUUGGGACUUGGAAAGUUGAAGCCAACAUCCAUCGCUCUAUCUCUAGCAAAUAGAUCAAUGAAGAUUCCAAGAGGGAUGAUCGAAGAUGUCUUGGUUCAAGUUGACAAAUUCUACUAUCCAGUGGAUUUUGUUGUUCUUGAUAUGGAUCCAAUUGUCAAAGAAACUAAUUAUGUUCCUAUCAUACUUGGAAAACCAUUCCUAGCUACAUCAAAUGCAAUCAUCAAUUGUAGGAAUGGAGUCAUGCAACUCACGUUUGGCAACAUGACAUUGGAGCUCAACAUCUUCCAUUUGUGCCAGAAACAUAUCCAUCCGAAAGAAGAAGAAGGGUUAGAGGAAGUAUGCAUGAUUGACGCUUUAGUGGAGGAGCAUUAUGAUCAGAGAAUGCAGGAGGAUUUGAUUGAGAGUUUUAGGGAUCUUGAUGAAGGGUUACCUGAACCCUUAGAUUUGCUUGCUACCCUGCUCCCUUAGAGGAGAAGAGAAGAAAUUCUACCCUUAUUCAAUGAGGAGGAAACGCAAAGAACUGCUAAGGAGGAGUUCUCAAAGCUUAUUCUUAAGCCACUACCCACAGAGUUGAAGUAUGCAUACUUGGAAGAAGACAAGCAGUGUCUUGUUGUUAUAUCUUCAGAUCUUACCAUUCAUCAAGAGGAUUGUCUACUUGAAGUCCUUAGAAGAUGUAAGAAAGCAAUAGGCUGGCAAAUUUUUUAUUUGAAAUGGAUCAUCCCUUUAGUCUGCACCCAUCAUAUUUACAUGGAGAAUGAAGCUAAGCCAAUUUGUCAACCUCAGAGAAGGUUGAACCCUCACAUGCAAGAGGUGGUGCGAGUUGAAGUCUUAAGCUACUUUAGGCCAGUAUUAUUUACCCUAUAUCAGAUAGCCCAUGGGUGAUUCCUACUCAAGUUGUGCCAAAGAAGUCUGGGAUCACGGUGGUGCAAAAUGAUAAGAGAGAAGAUGUCUCUACGCGCCUCACUAUAGGUUGAAGGGUGUGUAUCGAUUACAGGAGGUUGAAUGUAGUGACAAGAAAGGACCAUUUCCCAUUGCCCUUUAUUGAUCAGGUACUUGAAAGGGUCUCUGGGCAUCCUUUUUAUUGUUUCUUGGAUGGCUACUCCAAGUACUUUAAGAUAGAAAUUGAUGUUGAAGACCAAGAGAAGACCACUUUCACGUGCCCAUUUGGCACCUAUGCAUAUAGGAGAAUGCCUUUCGGCCUAUGCAAUGCACCUGCAACUUUCCAAUGAUGCAUGUUAAGCAUUUUCAGUGAUAUGGUGGAGCAUAUUAUGGAAGUCUUUAUGGAUGACAUCUUCAUAUAUGGAAGUGCAUUUGAUUAAUGCUUAGUCAACUUAGAAGUUGUUAUGAACCGAUGCAUUGAGAAAGACUUAGUGCUUAACUGGGAGAAGUGUCAUUUCAUAGUACAAUAAGGGAUUGUCCUUGGGCACAUCAUCUCCAAGCAAGGCAUUGAAGUUGACAAAGCAAAGGUUGAACUCAUUGUCAAGUUGCCAUCCCUAACAAAUGUCAAAGGAGUAAGGCAAUUCCUUGACCAUGUCGGGUUCUAUAGGAGGUUUAUCAAGGAUUUCUCUAAGCUUGCAAGGCCUCUUUGUGAAGUAUUGGUGAAGGAUGCUAAAUUCAUAUGGGAUGAUAGAUGCCAAAGGAGUUUUGAAGAAUUGAAGUUAUUUCUAACAACCGCACCAAUAGUGAGGGCUCCCAACUGGAAACUGCCCUUUGAGGUAAUGUGUGAUGCCAGUGACUUUGGAAUAGGAGCUGUUCUUGGGCAAAGAGAAGAUGGAAAACCCUAUGUGAUCUACUACGCGAGCAAGACAUUGAAUGAGGCGCAAAGAAACUACACAACCACCAAGAAAGAAUUGUUAGCUGUAGUUUUUGCUUUGGAUAAGUUUCGUGCUUACUUGGUGGGGUCCUUCAUUGUGGUUUUCACUGAUCACUCUGCUUUGAAGUAUUUGUUGACUAAGCAAGAUGCUAAAGCAAGGCCAAUUAGAUGGAUCCUCUUGCUUCAAGAGUUCAAUCUCCAUAUCAAAGACAAGAAAUGAGUGGAGAAUGUGGUAGUAGACCACCUUUCAAGGCUAGCUAUCGCACAUAAUUCCCAUGGUUUGCCCAUCAAUGAUGAUUUUCCAAAGGAGUCUCUCAUGUUGGUGGAAGUUGCUCCUUGGUAUGCUCACAUUGCUAACUACCUAGUCAUAGGAAAAGUUCCAAGUGAGUGGAAAACACAAGAUAAGAAGCACUUCUUUGCAAAAAUUCAUGCCUACUAUUGAAAAUAGUCAUUUCUAUUCAAGUAUUGUUUCGAUCAAAUAAUAAGAAAGUGUGUUCUUGAAAAAGAGCAACAAGGGAUCCUCAGUCAUUGCCAUGAAAAUGCAUGUGGAGGCCACUUUGCUUCUCAGAAGACAACCAUGAGAGUAUUGCAAUCGGGUUUCUGUUGGCCAUCACUUUUCAAAGAUGCCCACACCAUGUGCAAGAGUUGUAAUCGAUGUCAGAGGCUUGGGAAGUUGACACGCAAGAACAUGAUGCCUUUGAACCCCUUUUUGAUAGUUGAUCUUUUUUAUGUUUGGGGCAUUGACUUCAUGAAACCUUUCCCUAUGCCUUUUGGCUACUCUUACAUCUUGGUGGGAGUAGAUUAUGUUUCUAAGUGGGUUGAGGCAGUCCCAUGCAAACACAAUGACCAUAGAGUGGUUCUCAAGUUUCUCAAGGAGAACAUCUCCUCAAGAUUUGGGGUGCCCAAAGCCAUAAUUAGUGAUGGGAGUACUCAUUUUUGCAACAAGUCUUGUGAAACUCUCCUAGCCAAGUAUGGGGUGAAGCAUAAGGUAGCUACACCUUACCACCCUCAAACUAGUGGGCAAGUUGAGUUAGCAAACAGGGAGAUUAAAAACAUAUUGAUAAAGGUGGUGAACACAAAUAUAAAAGAUUGGUUAGUCAAGCUCCUCGAUUCACUAUAGGUAUAUAGAACAACUUACAAGACCAUUCUCGGGAUGUCUCCUUAUCGCCUAGUCUAUGGUAAAACAUGUCAUCUCCCUGUGGAAUUGGAAUACAAGGCUUGGUGGGCAAUCAAGAAGCUCAACAUGGAUUUAAGCAGUGUUGGGUUGAAAAGGUUCUUAGACCUUAAUGAGAUGGAGGAAUUGAGAAAUGAUGCCUACAUCAAUUCAACAAUUGUAAAAGAGAAAUUAAAGAGGUGGCAUGAUCAGUUGAUUUCCCGCAAGGAUUUUAAAAAGGGAAAAAGAGUCUUGCUCUAUGACUCUAAGCUCCCCAUCUUUCCAAGCAAGCUAAAAUCAAAGUGGAUAGGUCCUUUUACCAUUCACCAAGUUCAUUCAAAUGGAGUAGUGGAACUACUCAACUCCAAUGGCACCAGGAGCUUUAAAGUGAAUGGCCAUCAUCUCAACCCCUUUGUGGAGCCUUUUUCUCGCGACAAGGAGGAAUUCAUCCUCCUUGAUGCACAUCAAGCUUGACAAGACCAGUUUUCUUAACGGACUUAGUCUUUCUAAAGACUAUUGAGUCCAUAUCUUUUUAUUUUAUUUUUUAUUUAAGAGUUUUCCUAUAUUAUUACUUGUUUUGAUUUUGAUUUCUCGUUUUAAUUUUAUUUUAGUUUGAUUUAACUUAGGUUUUUGAUGAUCAAUUGCAAAAGGGGCCUCAAAGCAGUUGGGUGUGUCCUUAAAGACUUCAAACAGAGGAAAAACCAAGAUAAUUCAAGCACCCUGCGAAAUUUUUGCAGGGCAUGCGAAAUUAAUGAAUCAUUUUGCAUGGGGUGAGAAAAUUUCGCACACCCUGCGAAUCAAUUUCACACACUAUACGAAAAUGAAAAGACCUUGCUAAAUCAUUUCAAACACUUUGCGAAAUUUUCGCAGAGCAUGCGAAAAAUUUUGCACACCCAACACCGUUUCGAAUGCUGUGCGAAACCCUAAGGGGUCUACAAAACCAUUUCGCACCUCCAAAGCCAUUUCGCACGCUGUGCAAAAAUCAAGAGGCGUUGUGCGAAAACGAAAAGUAGCCUUACUAUCCCUUUUUAAACCCCGAGCUCUAACUUCUCCAUUUCGCAAACACCAAACACCCUGCAAAUCCCUCAUUUUCCUCUACCACCUUGUGACCUCGUCCCUCUCCAUUCAACACCCCGUCCCGCACAUCUCAUUUUGAAGACUCGCACUCUGCGGCCCCUUCGAGCACGGCUCACUUUCCAUUUUCUACAUGGCGCUAACUCGAGGAGCCCUUCCCGCCCCUUCACCGAGACACACUCCGAGGCAGAGAGCCUCCUCUACUUAAGUGCCUAGUGAUUCUCCAUCUUAGGCCGCAGAGGCCUCGUGGAUUCCACCUCCUGAGAAUGGAGUAGCCAUUGGUCCUUCCUCUCCUGCUCCUCAGCGCAAAUAUGAGACAAAGAGACCACCUAUUACACCAAGGGCAACUACUUCGCUCCUUGAGAGUUCAGUAUGAUGUCCUCCUGCCAAGAGAGCCAAGACUUCAGGCCCAAGCGAGUCAUCCAGAGUUUCAUAGCCUAAGGCUCUUGCAGAUUCUGAGGUUCCUUCUGACUUAUCACCGGAGUCUAUUAUCUGACGCCCGAUGCUCACAGCACCACCCAUUAAGGGCAACUCAGAUUGCAGAGCAAGACCUUUCCUCUUGAAGCUAUAUUUUGAUCAAGAGGCCAUGCAACAGCAGCUUGAGCUCCGAGACUCUUACGGCCUACUGUAGAGGUACCACCUUGAGCACCUUAUAACUCUUUGUGAGUUCUUUUAUCCUAGAGUAGCACUAGACUUCUACCAGUCCAUGACUACUCUUGGCGUCCCGAGUCUUACUGUGAUUUACUUCACCAUUGAUGGACAUCAUGGUAUCCUCAAGGCUAGACAUAUUGUAGAGGCUUUACAAAUUCCUUUCAAGCCAGUGGAUCCAUCUGCUUUCCGCCAGUGGUCCUAGUAUCUCAGAGGGACAUGGUCCGCAUUUUAUCCAGGAAGACCUCUACAGAUUCGAUCCUUCUACGGAAGGAGCUUCCACCUAGGAUGCUCCUUGUAGAUAUGGUGCUACGCUCCAACCUCUUUCCCUUACAGCAUUUAGUACAGAGGCGAUGAGCUAUUUUGGACGCUUUAUUCUGUAUAUCGGAGGGCUUCUACUUUGGCCUGUUCCACUUGAUCAUGGCCUCCCUCAUCCACUUUGAGGAGAAGGUCCAUAGGAAGAAGCUUCAAAGGGCGGACACCAUUCCAUUACUAUUCCCGAGGUUGUUGUGCCAAAUCUUGGAGUAUAUGAGCUUUUCUAUUGAGCCUCGGCUCGAGCGUCACCGCCUUUGUCGAGAGUGAUUCACUCUGGACAAAUGGAAUCAAUUGACGGGCUAUUAUGCACCUCUAGGAGCCUUUCCUAUGGUAGCACCUCCAGUGCUCCUAGAACCAGAGCAAGGCGAGCUCCCGACAAAGACUGCACCACCAGUGCCCACACCUGAGGCUACUUCUACUGCUCCGCCUACGACUCUUACUGUUACACCAGUCGCGCCUACUACAUCCGAGCCUUCCAUCACCAUAUCGGCUUUAGAGUUUCGCUCCCGUGUGCAUACUUUUUAGACACUUACCACCACACAUGCUACUCUCUUUCAGCAAAUGGCUGAGAUGCGUGCCCAUCAGGACCAGCAGACUGCUAUACUUCGCCAGAUUCAGCAGCACUUGGGACAUCUACCUCUGCCUCAACCUGACCUUUCUGCAUCAUUAGAGCCUUUAGCUCCAGCUAAGGAUACUAUUCCACCUGAGGACACUACCACAGUAGAGGUCCGGAUUUCGCCACCUCAGAAGGCCACCACAGCUACACCAGAGGAUUCUUCAUUUCUACCUGAGGCUCCCACUACUUGAUCAUAAGAAAUCUCUUUAUCUUAUUGUAUUUACAUAUUAUAUUACUAAAGAUUUGUCCUUGUUUUGAUGCUUUAUAUUCAGGGUUGGAUGUAUUACCUGAUCAUAUCUCAUAUUGUACUUUCUCAUAUUAAUAUAUAGACAUCACAUUUUUUUAUUAUAUUUAAAAUUUUUCUAUUUAUUCUACUUGUCACUCUUUUGUUUUUUGACUCAUGUGGUUUCUCCUAUACGAAUCAGACUCCAUUUCAUUCAGGAGGUACCACUUCCUCCUUUUAUUUUCAAUUGCUCUUGAAACAUUGAGGGCAAUGUUGAUCUCAGUUGGGGGGAGAGUUAAGGAAGGAAUUUUUGUUAAUAAUGCUAGAUUAAUUUGUUAAUUUAGUUACUUUUUGCUUAAUUUUAAAAGUUUUUUACCCUACUCUUCAUGGUUAUUAAGGAAAAGUUCUCAAAAUGAAAUGGGAGAAAUCGAAUUCUUGCAUUUUUACUUGAAUCUUAGAGUUUGUAUUAUGCUUAUUAAAGUUGAUGAAUUAUUGAAACUCCUAUGGAAUUCAACCUUAUUUCUUCCACUUUAAUCUUAUCACACUAUGCACAUUAAGUUCCGAUUAUAAGACGAAAAACUAUCUCACCCCCUAAACUUAGGAAAAUUUCAACUUGGUACAUUUGACUUCAUUUUAAUAGUGUUGGGACACCUUAUAAAAGGCCAAUGAGCCUUCGAAAAAAAAAAAAAGAACAAAGUGUUUCGCUUGCCUUGAAACCCGAGCAAAGUCCGAGGGGUAUACGACGAAAGUCUUUAAAACCCGGUGCCCUAAGCCUUUAUUGGUUGGGAGUCACUGGCCUCAAUGCUCGUUACAAGAGUGAAUAGGUAGAGUUUAACAUAUUGUAGGUGCUUGGGUAUUGAAUUUCAAUCUCAAAAAUCCGGGGAAAAAUAUGAGGAGUUAGAGGUUGAAAAAUCCUUAAAGCUUGAUGCCCUAAACCUUGAUUGGUUGGGAGUCAUCAAUGGAUCCCCAUUACAUGGACACUUUAGAAAACAAUACCUUUAGCAUUGCACUCCUACAAUGAAAAAAAUUGUGAAAUAAAAGAGGUGUGUUCUUAGCCUAUUGGAGGUUGGUCAAGUUGCUAAGGUUUGAGAAAAAACUAGGUUGGGGGAGAGAAUAGUUUGACAUACUAUAAUCAGAAGCUAAUAAGCUUAACACUUAGAUUUUUGUGAAAAAAUAAGGUUUGAAUCUUUGGGAGUGGAAAUUCUUUUGUUGCUUAAAUUUGCAUAAUGCCUACUCUUUAUAAAUUGUAAUUUGGCAGGAGAUUUGAUAACUCUUGUUGAAGGUUGGGUUUUGCAUCUUUGAUGUUCCAUGAGAGAGUAUAAUCUGCAUCAUGCCACUUGAAAAUUUUUUGGAGUGAUUAGCAUGAUUUUGUAAAUUAUUUUACUAUUUAUUUUUCUUUAUCUCUCCUUCAUUGCUAAGGAACUAGCAAUAUGUUGGUUGGGGGGAGUGAUUACUGCUCAAAAAGUACUCUUUUAUAGUUUGAAACUAACUGUUUUAAACACUUUUGAGUAGUAGUUAAUACAUUUUAAUUCAAUUGGCACAUUAAGGAACCUAGCAAGGGUUACUAAUCAAUUUUUCGCAAGUUUUGGUGUUUUUGGUAGCUAUUUGAUCAUUGAAACAAGCCAAGAAUGAGGGAGGAUUUUGUGAAAUCCAUGGCAAUGUAAGUUAAAGCUUAAAUACAUGAAUAAUCCAAGCUUUUGAGCACUUCAUAGCCCUUUGCCAAGCCAAUCAAAGAUGCAAGGAAGAAAACCAGAGGAAGAAAUCCAACAUCCAGCAUUUCCGCAUGGCUGUGCGAAAUUUCGCACACCAUGCAAAACCACUUGAGGCAGCUAAAGAAUUUCGCACAACAUGCGAAAUUUCGCAGGGUAUGAGAAAUCUUCCUGUGCACUGACUCCGUUAGAUUUUUAUCUCUAGAUAUUUUGUGUAAUUUCCUAUUUUCUCCUUGUAAUCAACUUAGAUAUUUUCAUAUAUAUUUUUGUAUAUAUUUGGUGUGUGUAACAUCUUUUGAUAUAGACACACAGGGAUGUAAUCAGAGAACACUUGUAAAUUCCCUGUAGUAAAAAAUAUACAGAGUUUUUGCUCUGCCUUUUCUUCUCAUUUUGUUUUCACUCUUCUUUCUAGUCAAACAACCUCUAAGGAUGAUUUAUCAAGGGAUGGGUGGCUAGGUUUUACGUUUCUUGGAGUGAUGGAAGCUAGGUGAAGGACCCGAAUGCAAAUAUGGGAGUUGUCCUUGCUUUAAAUGAAAGUAGUUGUUAACCAUUAAUGGUUUUUAUUUUAAGAUUUAGCUUUAAAUCCUUAAAAGCACCUUGAAUGGCCAAUACUUGGUAAGCUUUUCAGAUUCUAUGGAUGCUUAUUGCUAGAUCCAUGGAUGUCUAUUAGUUAUCAUUUAUGAGCCAGUGGAAGGUGGUUCAAGGUGAGAGUCUUUAGUAUUUCAAGCCAUUAAUGGGAAGCAACUAUUAUUUUUCAUGAACCCUUUGGAUCAAAUCUUAAUUGCUAAAUAUAAAACCGGUUCAGGAGAUAACCAUCCUUUAUGUUAUUGUCCCCAAAGCGAGGAGAAGAUCCGGAAUCUCCCCCUUUGUCUAAGGAACCUGAUCCUAGUGACCUAAAGCUCUAAGAGACCUUUUCUUUGUAGUUAACUUCACUUAUUAUUUAUGCUUAACUUAAAAUCAAUCUUUGCAACCACAAUUCCAUUUUCUUUAAAAGCUAAUUUUCAUAAGGAGAAACACCAUUUUAUUUCAUUCACUAAAGUCAACUAUACGAUGAAAACCCAUCCCUGUGGACGAUCCUAGAGCCACUAUACUAUGUUAGCUAUGCUACCCUAGUGUGAGGUGAUUUAGGUUUUAUAAAUUUUGUUGAUAACACCCGUCUGAGACAGAAUCAAAUGGCAUGACUGCAAUGGGGAUGAAUCAGACUUAUUGGAACAUUAUCUUGAAUUUCUUUAGGAAGGAAGAGUAUCUUGAAAAUGAUUUUUGGCUCAUAAAUGAAUAUAGGUUUCUAAGUGGAAAUUAUUUAACAUUCUCACCGUUUUAUGGUGUCAUGAGUGAGUUUUUUUUAGCUUAAGCUUCCUUGUUAGAGUGUUGAUAAUCAUUUGUUUUUUACCUAUUCAUUUGAUAAAUUUGGAAAGUACUUCAAUCUCUAUGUUUAUUAAUUUUGUCUAUUGUUAAGUUCUUGGAAGCAUUUUUGUUCAAUGUGAAUCAAUUCUAACUCAUUAAUUGAAAGAUAAGUAUGUCAUCCUAUUGUAUCUCAUCUUUGGUCGAUCAAUUUUCAGUUUUUGGAAAGCUUAUUGGUGUAUUUCUUGUGAUUUUUCGAUAGUUUUUGCCUAAGUCAUUUUUCAAUUGGGUGUCGAUCGAUCUACUGAAUUUGUGGAUCGAUCCAUUGUGUGCACAAUGUAGUGACCGAGAGCCCUUGAAUGAAUCUUGGAUCGAUCCACCAAGAUCGAUACCACCUAGUCCUUGUCUCUCACACACUUAGCCAUUUUUUUCAAAUUUGGUCUAUUCAAACCUAUGUGACUAUGUAUCAUCGAGAGCACAAUUGAAAGCUGGAUCGAUCCACCCAGAUCGAUACCACUUAUGCAUUUGUGAAAAAUUCCAUUUUUGCCCCCAACUAGUUAUACUCAUAUGGUUUAAUGGAUAAGGGGUAUUUUCAUAAUUAAAAGUAAAAAAUUGAAAAUUUGAAAAAGUCAAAAUCCCUAAAUCAGUUUUUCCCAAUUCAUUUCUUUCAAAAACCCUAGGUUUUUUGUUCCAAAGAAGAGAACUUCUCUACUCUAAGCUUCUCUUUAGCCAUCAUUGUCAGUCCAUCAUUCCUACCACUACCAUCAAAAGUCUCUACCACUGGAAACCUUUAUCGUUAGACUUCCCUAUCUGGUGAGCGUUUCAAGUCUGGCCAAUCCCACUAGACAGCCUCGUCAAAUAGCCUAGAAUUGUUGUGUUGCUCAGCUCAUGUCGUCGGCCUGUGUGUCUUUUCUUAAUGCGUCGAUGUUUUAGAAAAUUGUCUUCUACAUAGUAUGUGUUGGCUAGGACCUCCUGUGUGCAUCACUAGAUUGUAUCUUGUGCAAUUAGGAUUUUGUUCCAACAGUUGGAAAUUCCAAUCUGCCCUUAGGACUGUGUUUUUCACCGCACAAUCAACACAACGCAAUCUACACUUCUGGAAAUUGUGUUCUACAUAGCCCAUUUCUCUUGUUUUUUGCUCUACUAUUUUCCAAUGUUCGUGUCUUUAAUGCAACUUAUUUGCAAGAGUUCUCAUUUUUGGCAACCAUUAUUGUUUGAUUUAUCCAUUCUUCUCUCUUCUAUUAGUCUCAUUUGGAUUUUUUAUUUUUUAUUUUUUUAUUUUUUUUAUAGAGUCCUCUCACAAUAGUUUUAAUAGUUUGAGAUUUCAUUUUUGCCUUGGAGUGUUCCUAGUUUCUAGGAAUGCUAAUCCUAGGCUUUGGUUAUUCAUUUUGAGUGGUCUUCAUACAUUUUCAUGCUUGAAAUCUAUUUUCAUGGUGAUAAAGCAUUUUUUGAAAGUUUUUAAUUGAAACCAUGUGAUAGGAUUUAGGAGGAGAUUCUUAUAUCCUGUGAUGGGAGUCAAGGGGAGAUUCUUGUAUCCUAUAUUUUUUUUUUCUAGAAUGUUGAUAUGGAUACUUGGUGAUAUGUGAAUAUUUGAUUUUUGGGUAUUUGACAUUUUUGUUGAAAAGUAGAUGUUUGUUGAUUUGGAUGUGAGAUAUUCUGCUAUUGAAUUCUCAUCCAUUUAUCUUUUUUAUUGGAUAGAAAAUGGGAGAUUAUGACUUUUUGUCUCCUAUUGGGACAAAAAGGAGAAAACAUUUUACAUGGAUGUUGAUAUGACAUGUAGUUGAUCAUGACGGUUUCUUUGUGUUUUGUUGCUUUGGAUAUUUGAUAUGUUGAUCAUGAUCACCUUUUUUGUAUAUCGAUGGAUAUUUGACACGUUUUUGAACUCAUGAAUGCAUAUUAACUAUCUUUAGACAAGUUAUUUUUGUGGAUAUAUGUGGAUAUUUGUGUGUCAAUUCAUUUGAAACUUAUGGAAUUGUCUUGGUAAUAUGUGCAAGUGCUACUAAUGUUUUUUCUUGAGAUUUAUUUACAGGAUUGGUAGUACCUUUGGUUAGGUUUUGAGUGAGUGAGUGAGUGGCCUUGUAUGAGAGUUGGGUGGGACUUACUUGUAUUCAUUCGUGUUGUAAAGGGUUUUGUCCCAGAAUUUCCAAAUGGGGAGAUUGUGAGUGUUUAGCUACGUUGGUAAUUCCAAACAAAAUUCCUAAGUGUCCCUUAACUCGGUUUACAAAUCCCUCUUCAAACUACUUGACCUUUGAAGAUUAAAACUUUGCUAAGAGACCGAGGUAUGUAGCCGAGUGUGUGGUGAUUGAAUGUGAAUCAACCCUAUUUUUUCAUCUUUAAAUGAGUUAAGAAAAUAGGGAGAAAUAUUGUUAGUGCAAGGCUUUUGUUCCCCUUAUUAUGGAUUGAUCUAGGUGCAGGGGCAAAUUGAUCCAACUAACCCACUUUUAAGAUCAAUUUUCAACCCUUAGAUUAAGGGUUUCUUUCUCAUUUAAAAUCAAAUCUCUCCCAUCUCUAGAAGUGGUGACUACAACAACUGUGAGAGAGUUUUUUCUUUCUUCACCAUUUUAAGGGUGUUUACCUACGAAGAAAAUCUAUUCAAGUUUUCUAAGAAAAAAUUUUUAAAAUGGAUUUUCUGAAAAAGAGCAUAGGUUGAUUUUUGAAACAUUCAUAUCUAAUUCUCUUGGUUUUGCGCAAAAACCCAUUUUUUUUCUUAUGUGAAUUCAAGAAGAGGCCGAGAUCGACCUUGGUGUAAACUCCAAGCGUGCUCUAAAAUAAGAAUGUGAGAAAGUGAAAGUGAAGGUACUAGUCAAGUGGUCUGGGAAGGAUUGGUUGGUUUGAGCUAGGUAAAACCUUGUAUUUAGUUUUUAUUCUUCAUAGUGGAUGUUUUCAAUUGGUAGUAGGGCCAUGGUUUUUGAUCUCUUCGAAAAAAUUUCAUGUAAAUUUAUGGUGUCUCAUUGUCUCAUUUUCUCUUCUUAGCAUCAUUUUUUAGUUUCAACAAUUUAUUAUAAUUUUGAUUGUAUAGUAUUUGAUUGAAUGAUAAGGAGAAAUGGCUAUGAAUCAUCUUUGAAGUUGUUUCUAAUUGUUAAUCACUGAUAUUUUGAGGUAUAUUGAUCUUGUUUUUAUCAUAAUUUAGUUUAAGUUGAUUUGGGUUUGGGAGUAUUAGAUCAUGUGCAUGUGAAUUUCAUUUGAGUAUUGUUGGGGAGUGUUGUUGCAUUCAUAUAUUCAUGUGAUUUAUAAUUUGUUUUUGAGACUGUGUGAAGAGAAGAAAAUAUUCAAGAAGUUUUAAGGUUUACUAAUUUGAGUUGAGAUUUUGUUUAAUUGGUCAAAACACCUAUUCAACCCCCCCUUUAGGUGUAUAUUCCACUAUUGAGAUUCACUUUUUCAGAACCUAUACUUCUACCGAGCUACAUGAAGUUUUGUAAGGCAUAAAAUACAUUUUGAGGCAUAUAUAAGUCAAAUCUUAUAUCCAAAUUAGGUUGAAUUGGGUCAUGGUUAACCUCAAAUCAAAUAUAUGCAUUUUUCUUACAAAUGUUUAUAUAUAUAUAUGCAUUUAAGAAUAUAGUUAUUAUUGUAAAGGAUGUACUUUUUCUUAAGAAUAUACUUAUUUUUGUAACAGAUGUACCUAGGGUUCUACCAUGCCAAAUUGGGUUUGGGAAUGCAUCAUGAGGUAUAUAGAAGUUAAAAUUUAGACUCAAAAUGAAUAAGGGAAUGAUUCAACUCAAAUCAGAUGUAAAUACUUUUCUAAACUUUUAUGCAUUUUUUUAAAGCAUGUACGCAAAGUUAUAUCAUGUUGAAUAGGGUAUAAGAAGACCUCAAAUGCAUUCCGAGACCUACAUAAGUGAAAUCCCACACCCGAAUUAGGUUGAAUGAGGAUAAGAAUCCCCAAUGAAAUGAAAUGUACAUGUUUUUAUACUAGAUGUACCUAUUUUUCUAAAUGAUGUACUUAUUUUUUUUAAAAGAUAUAUGUAUUUUAAGAAAUAUAAAAAUUAAUUAAAGAAAUGUUAAUACAAUUUUUAUGAAAAUAAUUUUUUUUCUAUUUUAUGUUUAUAAAAAAGUUAAAGAUUUUAACCUAGUAAAAAGUUAGAACCAUGAUCAAUUUUAAAUCAUAUGAAAAAUUAAAACAAAUGUUAAUAUGAAAGUUCAAAUUUUUACAUGCCCUUAUCAAUGUCUCAUCAAAUUUUUUUAGUACAAAAUGGAAUAGUAAGUGAAUACUCUUUUAUUUCUUUAAUACAAAAAAUACAAACCAAGCAUCUCUCAAAAUCUUGUUCCUUGCUCUUGAAUAUAAAGUAAGAUAAGCUCGUGAACUUAUUCACAGUAAAAGUUUUGCUAACCUACAGUCACGCAACACAUGAAGGCAUUAUUCGACUUUAUUUAGGCAUCGAACACAAUUCGGUGAAGCUACUAUAUGCCUUUUGAAGUGAUUUUCAUUUGUCAGCAACUUGUUGUGCAAAGCCAGCCACAAAAAGGAUCUAAUCCUUUGGGGACCCCUUCAUUUCCACAAGGCCAUCCAAUUCUUAUUCAGCUUUGUCCAGCAACUCUCUUCAAUCAGUUCGUAAGCCGACUUGGUAGUUGACAACGUUGACAUAAAGGCCAAAAAUAGUGGAGGAUUGUACAAGAGCACAUAGCACUAACCCAAAUUCUCAAAAUUUGCUAUUGAAAAGUUUUUAGCCUAUUUGGCCAUUUCAUUAAAAAAUAAUUUUUGUUUUUAAAAAUUAAAAAAAAACUAUUUUUAAAAAUUCAUAAAAUUGUUUGUUAGUUGUUUUCUAUUUGUAAUUUUUAAAAAUAAAGUGAAAUAAAAAACAUAUUUUAUAAAACAAAUAAAAAUUGUUUUCACCAAUUUUAAAAACAAAAGAAAAAUAUAGAGGAAUUAAAAAACUAUAAAAAGAAAAUUGAAGAUGAUAUCAUUCUUCUUUACCUCUUUCUACGAUCUAAUAUCGAUACUGAAAAUCUUCAAAUAUAAUAUUCUUUUAAAUUACAUGUGUUUUUAUCAAUUUCAUUUAAUUUAAGAAAAUUUUCAUUGAUAAAAUAAAUUCUAAAUCAAAUUAUACUUUAUACAUAAAAUUUACUAAUUUUUAAAAAUAACUUAAAAGUUAAAAACUGAUUUAGUUAGUACUAUAAAGUCAUGAAACUCACUAACAUUAGAAUGACAUACACCAAAAUUCAUUUGAAUGUCUUGGCUAGUUUUUUCUUUGCAUAUAAUCAUAUUUUUACAAUUUUUUUCACUUAGUAAAUAAUCACCAAAUCAAGUAUGACUUAAUGCGUUGAAUUUAUUAACAAGUCUAAGUAAUUCUAAAAAAUAAAUUGAAAUGCAAAUAGUGAUCCAAUUAAUACCAUAAAUUUAUGGACAAAAAUUGAACUUGAAUGACUUUAUUGUUUCCAAUUUUGUUUCAUUGGACAAAUAAACUUAAAAUUAAACCAAACUUAAUGUGUUGAAUUCAUUAAUAAAUUUAGUAAUUUCUAAAAAUAACUUAAAACUCAAAUAAUGAUGUAAUUAAUAUUAAAAAAUUUAUGGAUGAAAAUUGGUCUAAAACAACUUUAUUAUUUUUCUUCUACAUGGAAUCAUAUAUUCCCAAUUUUAUUUUACUAUAUAAAUAAACUCAAAAUUAAACAAGACUUAACAGUCUAGUAAUUUUUAAAUUAGAAUAAUAUUUGAAAUAAUUUAAUUAGAAUAAUAUUUUAAUUUAUUAAAAUAAAUCAUAAAUAAAUGAAUAAAAUUAUCUAACAAUAUUUUAUCAAGUUAAUAUUUGUUAAUAAUAAGGAUUUAAGAUUUUGUUAGAUUUUAUCGCUAUAGGAUUAUUAUAAAUAUGGUUUUAAAAAAAUGCAUGAACAUCAUGUAAUAUUAACAAAAUAAAAAUUACGAAUUGAUCGCUUUCAUAGUUUUUGACUAUGGAUUAUUUUUAUCAUAACAAAAAUGCGUAAAAUUGUAUACACCUUUUAGGCUAUGAAAUAUUCAUUAUUUAACUUAUGAGUGUACAAUUUUGUUUUGUCCAAUAGUAGUGCAAUUAAUAUUAAAAAUUUAUGGAUAAAAAUUGGGUUUUAAUGAGUCUACUUUUUUUCUAUACAUACUUAUUUAUUUAUAAAUUUUUUUAUUAAAGAAUGAACUUCAAAUCAAGUAAUUGAAUUUACUAAUAGGUUAAUUUUUUAGUUUUUUUAAAGUUACAACCUAGUAAAUAGAUCUAAUCACUAUAAGAAAUAAUAUAUGAAAACUAAUUGUAGACCCCAAAAUUUGUCAUAAUUUUAUUUUUACAUUGAUAUUGAGUUCAAUUUUAUCCUUAGAUUUAAAUUUCGAUUACAUCUUAAUUGUUUAACCCACUUACACUAUUUUUUUAUUUUUUUUAUUUUUUCUCUCCUCUCUCCUCUCUCUUCUCUCUUCCUCUUUCUCCUCAUUCUACCUAUUCCACCUACUUCCCUUACCCAUUUCCUUCUCGUCUAAGCCACUCCCCAUACCCCCUCCAAGUUUUUUUUUUUAAAUUUUUUAUCAUCUUUCUCUACUCUCCUCUCUUCACUUUUUUUUUCUCUCCAUCAUUUCUUCUUCGGGUUCCCUUCCAACACCACAACCACUCCACAACCCACAUACCAGACACGGUCGACUCCCCCAUCUCCUCUUUUUUUUUUUUUUCCUUUCCCCCAACUCUCACACACGACGGUCCCCAUUUUCUCUUCCAUUUUUUUUCUCUUUCCCACAGUCCUUCCCUCUACACUGCCAUUUUCCAAAGACUCCCAUUAUCACACGCUCCCCAUCUUCCUUCAUUUUCUUUUUUUUCUUUUUUUUUUCUCUUCCUUUUUCUUUUCUUUUCCCCUCCCCACACUCCAUAGCCACUACCGGCCCUCCACUGCCCGCCACUACCAGCAGCCACUGCCAACAACCACCACCCGCUACUAUCUGCCAGUCAUUGCCGGCUAGCAAUCCUACCAUCCAUAGUUCUAAAAAAAAUGGGUAAAUUUCCUUUUUACUUUAUUUUAUUUUCAUUUUUUUUAUCUUUAUAUUUUUAUUUUCAUUUGCAUAGUAAUUUAUUUAGACUUGGAUCUAUUGCUUAUUGGUUAUUUAUUUGGACUUAUUGGAUUGGGUUUGAGACAUUAUUUUCUUUGGUCAUGUAUAUUAUUAAUGUGGGUUUGUUAAUUGAUAUGAAUUUUUGACCCAUAAUGUGAGUAUGAAUUUUGGGCCCACAAUGUUGGUGGAAUUUGAUUGAUGACUUGAAUAUUUGAUAUGAGUUUGACCAAUUUGAACUAUUUAAUUUGGAUAUGGGACAAUUAUGAUGUAUAUUAAAUUAGGCUUGGAUUAUGAGAUAUUAAAUUUAGGCCUAAUUGAAUUUAUUUUAUUUUGUGAUAUUUUGGGCUUGGCUAAUUGUGUUGUAUUUUGGUUAUUAAUUUGAAAAUUUUGGAUUAAGAUUUAUAGCAUGUGAGAUGUUUUUGUUAGGUUAUAUUUGUUAAUUUAUGCCCAUUUUGAUUGACAAAAUUUAUCAGACUAAUUUGAAAUUUGAAUUUGAGUUUGAAUAUUUGUUUGGGAUUUUGUACAUCUUUGGAUAUUUACAUUUGAGCUAUUUUGUUUUUGCAUGGGUUUAUUUUGCAAAUUCUGUUGGCUGAAUACAAAUUUAUGACACGUGGAGCACGAAAUUUUAUGGAAGAAAGUGAGAAUCAAAAGGUUGUAGGAACACAUUAAACUUGUUAUAAGCUUAUUUUGGUACACAUUUUAUUUCCCACUUUUAUUUGAUUUUAUUUCUAUUAGUUCUUGUAAAUAUUCAUUUGUAUAUAUUUAUUGAGUGUGUACAGAAUUGAAUAUUUAACAAAUCAAAAUUUUCAUUUAAAUAAGAGGAAUAAUUCAGUAAAUAUGUUCUAAUAAAAUAAUAAUUUUAAAAUAUUCUUCUUCAUAAAAGAAAGUUUUUUUAUUAAUAAAAAUUCAUAAAAAUGCUUUUAAAAAAAUUCAAAAAAAAUUGUUUUUAAUAGAAUUUGAUAAAUUAUUUUUAAUAAUAAUUGUCCAAAAAUGUCUUUGUUUAAUAAAAAUUGUCCAAAAAUUGUUUUGUAAAUAAAGUUGUCCCAAAAAUUCUUUUGCAAAUAAAGUUAUAUUCUUUUUAAUAAUUUGUACAAGUCACUUUUCUUAAAUGAAAACAAAUUGAAAUACUUUUGUAAAUAAAAUUGUAAUUUUUUUGUAAAAGCGAGUAAAAAUCAUUUUUGUUACCAAAUUGAAAUUUUGUAAUAAAUUAUUUUGAUAUAAUAAGUGAAAAUAACUUUUUUGGAAAAUUAACUACAAAUUAAAUUGAAUUAAAUCAUUAAUUAAAAAUAAAUUGAAACUUCUUUUCUGUAAAUAAAAAAAAUUAAAAUCAUUAAUUUAAAAUCAUUUUUAAUAAAAUCCUUUGAAAUUUCUUGAAAAUUAUUUUUUUAAUAUUUUUUUAUUUAGUUCAAUAAAUCAUUUUGCAUAAUUCUCUUGUUAUUUAUUUUGUAUAUUCUUGUAAUUAGAUUUCAUCAUUAUUUUUAUGUAUAUUGAUUUUCAUCAUGACUUGCACAUACUCAUUUGCAUAAUUAUUUUUCUUGGUAUCCAUAAUUAAUUAAUUAAUCAUCGCAAUUUCCUUAAUUCAUUUAGUAGAGGUCGUAUGUAUACGAGCUUAGAGGGGUGUUACAACUCAUUACCAUACCUUCCCAAUAUGUAACGGAGGACUCAAACUCGAUUUUUCACAAACUUGUUUUUACUUCAAGAGUCACACUUAAGGUUUUUCUUUUUUAUUUUGUUUUUCCCUUAAAAAAUAAAACAAAAAUCAGUUGACUUCAAGUCUUUUUUUUAAAAUCAUAUUUUUCACCAAAUAAAUAAAAAAUGAGUCUCGCUGUCGAGUGGAGACGCACAUAAAAAACGUAGGUCCACACCAAUAUAUUAUACUAUUUUUUAAUUUAUUUAUAAUUUAAAACUAAUUUCAUUUUUUAUAAGACCUUAAUUAAAUUUCUAUUAAUUAAAUUUAGAAUAUUUUUACAAAAUCAACAUAGAAAAAUUAUUUAAAAAAAAAACCAACUUUAAAAUAACUUGCCAAACAUCCUUAUUUUAUAAAAUUUUUAAAACAUAUUUUUAUUUGUUUAACAUAAAAGCAACUUUCAAAAACAAACAUUAUGGAACGUGAUUGAACUUUUCUCUUAUUUCUUUUUCAUUUUCUUGUUACUUAAAAUGACCGACAAAGGAAGAUGAAUUAAAUUAUUGAAGAACAUCUUUUGCCAAACAUAUUAGUUAAAAAAAGUGAUUUAAAAAGCGGGCCCUAACCUAUUCUGGAGCCCAUGAUAUCUUUGUACGUUACCAUAAAAGGCCACACGCCACACGCCUCAGCAAACCCACCAACCCUCAGAAAGGGGUUUCAACUGCAAAUAGUAACCAUACAAUUUCAAAGCAAAAAGCCAAACACUCACAUAAAUCUAAUAUUACCACAGCAACACUACUAAAUAGUUAAUAGCCCGUGAUGUUUCCUUUUUAUUCUAUGCCAAGCUUCUUUCUCAUCCCCAUAACAAAGCCAUGGACCUUGUGUGGGUCUUCCAGAGAAGACGACACGCUCUCCUUUUCCAUGCACCUCUUGGUCCAAGCUAUCAACUUGGGACACUCCGCCUCUAUGCUGAAGUUUCCAAAGCUCUCAUAUGCAUGAAACCAGCAAGAGAAGGUCACCAGAGCCACAUCCACAAACCCAAUUUUUUCACCGCCGAAGUAAGGCUUCUCUCCAAGCUCUCCUUCCAGAAGCUUGAGGCACUCUAUGAAUUCCUUCUUGGCUGUUUCCUGCUCUUCUCCUUUGGUUGACCAUAUCUUCCUUCCAAGUUCAUAGAGCUGUGGAAAACAAUAAAGUCAAAGAGAGAAAAGGGUUAUUUUUUUGGAGCAUUUCAUCAAGUUUCAACUUUCUGUAUAGUUGGACAAGUUUAUUAAGGACCCUUCAGCAUAGAAAUCUCAUAUACUAGGAACAAUUUAAAUGAAGGGCCGGUGGAAGAAAAAUAUCAGAAUCAGUUGAAAGAAUGUAUCAUUUGCUAAAGCUUUUCCCCUCAGUGUGGGUUUUAGAAAAUGAGAAGAAAGAGAUCAAAGCAACAAAACAUGUAUUAAAAGAACUGCUCUGCAAAAUGUUGAACAUCAGGAUAACAAAAAAAAACCAAACACUGCUUUAAAAACUGGUUUUUGGAUCCCCUUUCUUGAGGGAAAAGGCAUUCUUGAGAUCUGCUUUUUUGGGUGGAAAGAACGGACUGAAAACCCACAUCAGAAAUGCAAAGUGGAGUCUUGUUGGACACACAGCAAGGAGAAUCAGUAAAGUUCUAGUUUGAGACCCCAAGGCCCGCAAAACUCAAUGUCAGAAGAGAAUGUGUGAAGAAGAACCCAGCAUUUUGGACAAAUCCCUCAUCAUUAUCAAAAUCUGAGCCAAGCGCCAUGAAUCAAUGGCAAAAAAAUGCUUUAAAUCAACAGCAAAGACAUACCUUCUUGUCUACGUAGUCCACCCAGAACCUGGCCUGAGCUCUCUGGUAUGGGUCACUAGGCAAAAGCGGAGAUUUA